rnacentral:lncRNA from 1 species
ACCUUUCAAACCUCAAAGUCCUUUCCGGUGAUGAAAACAAGAUGGUAAUGGAACCUUCCUUUUAUACCUCAGUCCCAAAGUUUCAAUUGACCAGCAUCAGUUUGUCAAAGUGCAUUACAUCUCAACAACUCAAUCUUGAACUUCCUACCUUCCUUUACUACCAAUAUGACUUGAGAUAUGUGGAUCUUUCUCAUAACAAUUUCAGCGGAACAGUCCCAACUUGGUUGUUAGAAAACAACACAAAGUUAGAAGUUCUCAUCUUGAUGGGUAAUUCCUUUACUGGUCCUCUCUCAUUUUCGUCAGCUCUUAUUUCUAAUGUAUCUUCAAUUGACAUAUCUGAAAACAAAUUACAAGGUCAAAUUCCGACUAGUAUAUGUUCAACUUUUCCACAUUUGUGGCGGUUAUUCUUAUCCAAGAAUGCUUUUGAAGGUAAUAUCCCACUUUGUUUAAGUGUCAUGAAGGACUUAUCAUUUUUAGAUCUAUCAAACAAUCAAUUGUAUGGAAAAGUACCAGAAGAGUUGAUCGCGAAAGGCUCACUGACCAUUUUGAGACUAUCAAAUAACAAGCUCAGUGGAAAUGUAGUUCCUGUGGUUCUCAACUCAAAUGGGGUGCAGAAUUUAUAUUUGGAUGGAAACAAUUUUUCAGGAGAGAUGACAAAUGUUGAUUUGUCUACUUUUGAGUUUCCAAAUUCAAUAAGGGAAAUUGAUCUUAGUAACAACAAGUUGCAUGGAAAGCUCCCAAGAUGGAUAGGGAAUGCAUCGUUUUUGGAGAGAUUAGCUUUGUCCAACAGCGGUUUCGAGGGUUCUAUUCCAAUGGAAUUUUGCAAGUUGAAUAGGUUGGAAUUUUUGGAUCUUUCCCAAAAUCAUUUAUCUGGAUCUAUACCGUCAUGUUUUAAUCCACCAAACAUAGAGCAUGUCCACCUCCACGAGAAUAGACUGAGAGGUCCACUAUCACUUGCUUUUUAUAAUAGCUCCUCUCUAGUGACUUUAGAUCUUAGAGGAAACAAUUUGACAGGUAAUAUUCCAAAAUGGAUUGACACAUUUUCUUCUUUGAGUGUUCUUCUCUUGAAAGAUAAUCAUUUUCACGGUAAAGUUCCAAUUCAGUUAUGCAAGUUGCAUUCUUUAAGCAUCAUAGAUCUUUCUCAAAAUAUGUUUUCUGGUCCUAUACCUUCUUGUUUGGGAAAUUUAUCUCUUCCAAUGCAAACGAAGAAGAUUCUAGACAUUGGGAUCUAUAGGCAAUCUACAGAAGAGGAUGAAUCAACACGCAUUAUGAUAGCAAAUCUGGGACUGGAUUCUUACUACCCUUACAGCUACUUUGAAGAAGUAAUAGAGUUCACAACAAAGAGUGGGUUCUAUUCGUACAAGGGCGACAUCCUUUCAUAUAUGACUGGGAUUGAUUUAUCUUGCAACAACUUAACUGGUCAUAUCCCACCAGAAUUAGGGAACUUGAGUGAAAUCCAUUCUUUAAACCUUUCACACAAUAAGUUGACCGGAGUUAUACCCUCGUCAUUCUCAAAACUUCAUCAAAUUGAGAGUUUGGACCUUUCUUACAACAACUUGAGUGGUGAAAUCCCCAAUCAAUUGGUAGAGUUGAACUCUUUGGAGGUUUUCAGCGUGGCAUUUAACAACUUUUCAGGUAGUAUUCCCGAACCAAAAGCUCAAUUUGGGACCUUUAUUGAAAAUAGUUAUGAGGGAAAUCCGUUUCUUUGUGGAGUUAUAUUGCAUAAAAGUUGUUCCAAAACCGAUUCACCAUCAACGAUAUCAACUGUAUCAGAAGAUAAAUGAGAAGAUGGUUUGAUAGAUACUUAUGAUUUUUGUGUGAGCUUUUUGGUUUCUUAUGUAGUUGUGUUGUUGACAAUUUUUGUUGUCCUCUACAUAAAUCCAUAUUGGCGAAGAGCUUGGUUUUCUCUAGUUGGGAAAUGCAUUACCACCUGUCACUACUCAAAUGUGGGCAAUUCUUACUUAUCACAUUUUCAAGCGAUGUGUUUAGCUACUCAAAUUGCGAUUUGAUUUCCACACCUAAAUGUUUAAUUAUGCUAAGUUGAGCGAUAAUGAAUAUUUUGUUGAUUUUUGCAUUUUGAAUAAAAGCUCUUUUACCUUAUGGUUUUAUCAUUUUCAACCAACUAUUUCUUUUUUCUUCUAUGAAAUUUAAUGUAAAAUCAUAAUCCAUUAUUAUGUAUAUGUAAUAUCUCUUUAAAUUAAAUUAAAUUAAAUUAACUGCCAAGCGUUCACUAGUGCAUACUAAAAAGGAAAUCUAAUGUAAAAUUAAAUAACAUACUAGAAAAUUGAAUCUAAAACUGGAAUAUUUUAAAACCUCACAAAUAAUGCAAUUCUUUAUUCCUCUUUUCCUCUCAAGUUAUUUUGUAUCAUGUUAUAUUUUACAUAAUUAUUCGUAUCAUUGAAUUUUAAAAAAAAUUUAAUAUUUUGAUAUCAUGUUCAUAUUAUGCUUUAAUUCACAAUAUAUUUUGUAUAAUAUGUUAUAACAAUUCAAUUUAAAAAACAAGCAAUUAUCUUAUUUUUGCAUACCGUAAUAUACAUUUACAUGUUAAUAAUUCUUUGUACAUAAAUUUUGACAUGUUCGUAUAUUCGAGUCAUUAUAAUUUUAUUAUUUGUAAUAUGACAUGUUUUACUUACCCUUAAUAUUGUGUCAUGAUAAUUAUAACUCGAUUGGCAGUGUACCAAAUAUUUUUCUAAUAAAAAAUAGUAUUUUAUUCUAUUUACCAAAUCUUUAUCAACUUUAUAUUCUCACCAACAAAACAUACAUUCAAAGUUCAAAUAAGUUCCACACCCAUUUAUGCUCAUCAUCAGAAAGCUGAAAUAUUCCACUCUAAUUAACAUUAUGAUUCUGUAAACAACAAAAAAGUGUGAUCUUUUUUUAAAGCUCUUUUUUUUCUUUAAUGAAAUGGGAUUGGUAAAAAAUCCGCACAUGUGUCGUGUGUGAAGAAGGUCAGGUUGUCUAUUCAUUCUCUAAUAAGUAGCUAAUUAUAGUUGAUCCUACAAAAUCAAAAUUAAUUCAGGUAUCUAUAUAUUCUGAAGACUGGACAGACCUUAGAAGCUCCUUCAAAUUUGCAAGAACAUGUCGUGGUCCUAAACUCUUUACACCGAUGAAAUUCAAAAGUUGCUCUAUAUCCUGCAAUCACAGUAAAGAUUAUGCAAGCUUUUCAGAACGAAUAACAUAACAAGCAAAAGGCAAUCAAAAUACUGUGAUCUCGAUAAUGUUCUUUGCCGAAAAGGAACAUAAACAUAACCUGAAAACAUCAGUGAAGGCUCAUCAGAUUUGCUUAGCAACCUUACAUACACAUGUAAAAAGCUUUGCUUUUGGAUGUAAGGUGUGACUAUCAUCACAGUCUUUCCUAAUUAGCUGAUAACCCUAUAUCUAACAUUAAUCAUGGCUAAGCAAAUUAACAUACAUAAUGUAAAGGAAUUUGACUAUAAGAUCCAACAUAAAACUUAAUAAAAGAUAAUCAACAUAGAAAGUUAAAAGGCAAUGCAAACUUAUUACAAUGAUGCAAGUGGAUCAAAAGAAAGCACUCUAUAAGGAAUUUGCAUUUAAGGCAUUGUAAACAGAAAAAAAAAAUAAAACUUUUUGGAAAGUAUUUUCAAAGAGGAGACAAACAGGGUAGAAAAAAUGUUUGGUCCUUCCUUUUUCUAUUUCUACUGUGGUGAAAAAGCCUUUUUGGGUUAAAAGUGUUUUUACACUGCAGAAGUGUUUUUCCACUGCAGAAGUGACGAAGAACACAUAGCUUUUGUAGUCAAAAACCUACUGCUUUUGGCUUUUGCAUUUCGAAGUGAAAAUUAUAAAAAUACUCUUAGAUUAAUUUAUAUUUUAUAUAUUAUUAUAUUAAUUGUUUAAAUCUUAUUUAUUAUUAUAUUUAAUUUUUUUCAAAAUAUUUUAUAUAUCAUCAAUUUUAUAAAUAAUUUAAAUUAAUUACUUAAAAGGUAUUUAAAAGUUAUAUUUCAUGUAUCAUUAUAUUAAAUUAUUUAAAUAUCAUAUAACUUGACUAAUUUUUUUCUUUCUACCAUCAUGUCUAAAAAAGACAUUUUAACUUUCAACUGCAAUUUUUGGCAGCAAUGAACAACACUAAAAACUAACAAACACACUUUUCCGCACCACAUUUCAACAACACUUUUUUCUAAACGCACUUUUGAACUAGUCCUUAGUCUAUCAUGCAUCAACUCUUCAUUUUUCUUUAACUACCCAUGUCCGACUUCGAACAUGGAUAUGGAGAUAUGACCAAGUCACAGUGACAUAGUUUUUAGUUAUGGGGAAUGGGAUUCGAGUGCUGGACCUCCUUUUAGAUGCAUGGUGGGACUUCAUCACAUUUUUCAAAUUUGUUGAUAAUCCUUCACCUAAUCUGCCGGUGAAGUUUAUAGAUAGUCUUAAGUGUCUAUCACAAGAACCUAGAUAUUGUAAAUCCAAUAUCUUCCAAACAAUUCAACCAUGAUAUUAAUGAUGAUGGAAGCAAGAUUAUCCACUAUCAAUGACAUAAAAUGAGCUGUAAAUGCUGACGAACAAACAUGCACUGUUUUUCCAACCUGUGGAUUGAAGAGCAUUGACAAGCUAACUUUGCAGACCAUUUGAAUCCAAUACUAUACAUAAAAAUGCCAAAGGAGAAUAAUUCAUCUUGGAAAAAGAAUUACUAAUAUGCAAAAGCUUACCUUGUUUAACAAGAAAACAGCAUAUGCUGCUCUUGUCGUGUCUUGACCUUCUAAAAACAGCGGAAAUUCUGCCAGCUUUACAUUUGCUGAAAGUGUUGUAUCCAAUGACAAAUCAGAAGAUGCAGGGUCUAUUGAAGACGCAUGGUCAUUAAUAUAUGAGCGAGAACCACCCAAGCGCAGAGGAUAACGCAAGGGAACUUGUAAAUAGGAUGCAAUUAGUGAAACAGCCUGCAAAUGAUGAAAUAACAGGAAACAAGAAACAAUAAUAGGUAUGAUUAAAAUUAUAGCCUCAGCAUGAGAAACAAACAAUCAAGAUGCAACCCACUAUACCAUAUUACCAUCCUAGCAAUUAAAAAUUACUACAGCAUCUUCAAGCAACAAGGGAUUGUAGGUGGUAGGUCAAAAAACUUGAUAUCCACAGCUUGAUAUUAUCAGAAAAAACAAAUUCAGUAAUAAAUGAUAACUUCACAGAAGAAAUAGAACGCACAUGUGCAACAUAUCCCAAGGCAGUUGCAGAUCUCUGAACCUCCUUUUUGUCAGUGAAAAAACUCAUCUUUGUAAAAGGAAGCAAGGUGAGAUUCAGACCUAAAAUUGUCAACGAUCCUUGAUUGACGGGCUUUGAUGCAGAAGGAUUCCCUAUUGAAGACAGGAACAAAGGAACUUCAUAUCAGUACAUCACCAGACACCACCUCUUUGUGAAAGUCAAAAGAAAAUUCAAAAAAAUAUCAUCAUGAAAGUAAGAGAUAUGUAAAAAGCUCAUAAUAUUCAAGAGCAAAAAAAAAUUGUUUUGAUAUGAGGAGAAUUGAAUAGUAGAUUGCUAAAAGAGGAAUAACUGAAUACAACCAUUAUAACCAAAAGAAGAGUCAAGUGAUAGGUAAUGGUACUCCCUAAGCUGUUUAGGAAUCAUAAAAGACUUGUCCAGUCGACAAAAAUAACUCAUUUUAUUCUCCCCUAGUAAAACAUCAUAUUGGACCAACCAUAUUUGAUAUCAAAGGAUAUGCAUAUCCAGGCAUGCCAUUUAUAGAUAUUCCCAGUGUUACAAGAAGGAAUUGUUCAAGAGAAAGAAGCUGCUAUUGUUGGUAAAGUUUUCCUCAAACCAUUUUGAACAUCCAAAAUCUCAAGAACAAAAAAGAAAACGUAGGAGGAAAUAUAACAAGCAUCACAACGGGUUCUCGAUGAUAUAAGUGAGAGGAUAAAUGUUAAUUAAGAUUAUAAAAAUAAACCACAAACUAAACAGGAAAGACAUGGAUUUCAAAACGAGGAGACUGGCUGCUAAUUAAAACCAUAUGCGGCGUUGUCUAGGGCGCAAGGCACAUUCUAGGUGCUAACCUUUAUAUUGCCUCAAGCACAAGGCACAAAAGGAAGCGCUAGCCUGAGUGCAGUAAAGCGCAAUACGUAUAUGUGAGAGUUUUUGCAAGUCUGUGUGUCUAUAACAUAAAAGUUUUAAGAUAUAUGGUAAACUCUAAAGUGUGGUCUGGUUUAUCCACAAAACUUGCAAAAUUUUUAUAGGUGAAUACUUAAAUAUUGAGAAUUAUAGAGUUUGAUAUUAUCCCUUUCUUAUUAGUAAAGGUGUAUCAAAUGAAAACAGUAGAAAAUAAAAUAAAAUAUUGAGAAAUUCAACAAGGCAGGCUUUUUCUAAUGCCCAUUGCCUUACAAAAAAAGUGUGCCUAGGUGCACCAGGCAUACGCUUGAUCAAAUGGACCUCACCUGGAAGGGUCCAAGGCGUUUUGUUGUAUAAAACUAAGGCGUAGGCACGCCUAGGCGCAUGCCUUGACAACACUGACCAUAUGUUGGCUUUAUUGCAAAGCAUUAGCAAUCCAAAACUACUAGCACAUUACCUAAUCUACUACUGCUAGAAUAGGACUCAAGUUCUUGCUCCUGUGCAGGUCCAACCAAGAUCUUUACAGGAUACAAUAAUGAAACUUGUGAUAUCAUAUAUUGUUGCCUUGCUCGAAGCUUCCUUUGCACAUUUUUAAGUUUAACACAACCCCUUUCUUCAGUGAGUAAUCUAUUUGCUUCCUGUGAUAAAAACAACAUAUAAUCAAUCAUGCCACGCAUGCAAGACUACCAACCAACUAUCUAAUAAAAGAGACAAAGAAGUAGGAGAGCAAGAAGGGGAUAACCCUUGACUAUGCAAAGGAAUUCAUAGAAUGAGAAUCAUCUCAUCUAAGCCCCUCAACCACCUUCACAGGGGGUGGAGGUGCAAAGAGAGAGGUCUUAUUGAUCCGAGAGGAGAAUAUAUAACAUCUAAAGCUGAAUAAGAAGAAACCUUCAAAUAUAUCAUAAAUUCAGAAUUCAUGAUAAUAUAAAAAUGAAAUUCCAAAGCUAAUUUAAGCUAGAAUAAAAAUGCUUCACCUGUAAUCGCUUCCUUGCUACAGAAAGAGAGGUACCAGCAACCAACAAUGAUCUUACUUCAGUACUCAGCAUUUCCUCCUGUUUUUUAGCAUCCUCUGUUGCAACUUUGCAACGAGUUGACAUGUUUGCCAUAACUACUUUCCUUGCCUCUAGUCUCUCACGCAUUUCCUCAAGCUCGUUCAGUUUAUUCAAAGACUCAUUUUUUACCUGCACAGCAUGUUCCCACCCAUUAAUCAGUGGGCCAAUUAAUUAGGUCACAGAAGACAAAACUAAAUUAUCACUCACCAGGUCCCCUUGAAGUGUCAUAUGGCUUUAACAAUUCAACGUGCAAUAUCUAGUAAAAGUGAAAUAAACAUAGAAGAAUGCAAAUGCAAUUCUUAAACGCCUUUAAAUGGACAACAUGAAACAGUUUAAGAGCCCUAUAAAACAGAAAAGUGGAAAAAAAAUCUGAAAAGGAAAAAAAAUGAAUUGAAACAAUAAAUCCAUCUGGUACAAACAGCAACAAAUCUCGAAAUAAGCCUUGGCUUUAGCCCAUUAAAGCCCGGGCAUCCGGCCGAAUAAACAGUGACUGCCAUGUCAACUUUUUGAGACGGUAGAAAAGAGCUCAAAAAUCUCAAUUUCCAAAAUUAAGGACAUAAGAAGGAAAACAAUGUACUUAUUCUUACAGUAGAAGAGCAAAAUGAAACUAAAUGAAGGAUAAGGGAACUGAUGCGAAUUGACAUUGUUAUUUUUGGGACUAAAAAGAAUACGCAGAUUGAAUAUUUAAGAUUUUGUAAGGGAAAAGUUCCAUUCACCAACACAAUUAUCAUCGCCCUUUAUCCCAGUAAAGCUUAAUUGACAAUUUUUCUGUCUCGUGUUCUUGCUAAAGCAUUUGAGCAACCCAACAGAAAUCAUUAUAUGUCAAACUGAAAUGAUUGGCUUUAUCAAUUUCACAACCUAUACUGCCCAACCUAGUAAGUAAUUUAGGUGCAGACACCAGAAAUCUAUUUUCUUUGCACUCUACAACCAAAUAGCCUACCACUUAUCAAUCAAACACAGCUGAAAACUUCAGUGAGGAAACAUUAUGUAAACUGAAAAAACUAUAACUUCAACUUGAUUCAUAGCUCGGUAAGUUCAGGGAACUUGGACUUCUACCACCAUGAUCCAGUUCGAUGUGAAACAGUGAUCCAUAUCACGCAUAUCAGUUCCCGCAACAAGAGGUAAAACAGCAAAUUAGGUAAACAAUGAUCCAACUAUAUUUCAGAAUAGCAACAUUGAGCAUGAAAGCUAAAAUUAUAGCAUAUUAUGGGUCCUUGCUCCCUACAACUACAUAUAAAAUUACUAAACAAUAUUACUACAUUAAGGAUCCAGAAAAACUUGGUUUCAAUUGUUGAUCACUUGAUCCAACUAUUUUAGAAAGUUUAUUCUUCUUUUUCCUUUCCCUUAUUUUCUAAAUCAGGAAAAACAGUAGCAUAUAAACUGGAUUACUACUCCAAUUAAGUUUCUAAAAUUUCAGCAAUAUCCCUUUAACCUUUUCACUCAAGUCACUACCCCCCCCCCCCAAUUAACAAAUAUAUUCCCAGUUUCCCUUUCACUUCAAACCCCCCCCCUUUUUUUUUUCUCUACCCAAAUUCAGCUUACGUUCAAAAACCCAAAAUUGGUUUGCUAAAAAAACAUAAUUUUCAAACCCAAAGGUAACCUAAUUUUAAUCAGAAAAAAAAAAGAAGCAUUACCUGAAUUAGUGAAUGGAGUUUCUCUUGAAGACUUUAUUUUAAAAUUAUCUUAUACUAUUUGCUUUAAAUCGAUUUUUAUUAGUUAUUUGAAACUCGUUUUCAUGUACUAUUUAUUUUUUUAUCACUUAUUUAAAUUGUUUUACAUAUCUAUUUUUUAAACCCUAUUUUAUUAUAUUUUACUUAUUUUAACUUUUUUACAUAUUUCAUUAUAAAUAUUAUUAAUUAUCUAUAUUGAGUUUUUCAUUUAUGUAUUACUUAUUUAGAUAAAUAUAUACUAUUUUGUGUAUUACUUAUUUUGAUUUUCUUCUUAUACAAUAUUACUUUAAAAUUCAUUUAGAUAUUAUUAUUUCACAUAGUAUUUAUUUUUAUCUUCAUUUUUGAUCUAUUUCAAACUCAUAUAUAUUGUUUAUUUUGAAAUUUUAUGCACAUGAUUUAUUGUUUAUAUUGAUGAUUUUAAAUUUCCUUUCUUGUAUUUUUAUUUAUUUAUUUUAAAACUUGUUAUACUUUAUUUGUGUUAAUUUGCUUAGUUUUUCUUUCAAAAUUAACUUAUAAUUCAUUAGCUUUUAAUGUUAGUAUUUGCAUAAUAUGUGAUAUAAGAUUAUUGCUCUCAUGUAUUGCUUAUCUGUAUAUAUUGAUUAUUUGUCAUUCAUUAGUAUAUAUUUUGUUUUACGAAUUAUCACUUCUCGCGUUGUACAUUAUCAUUUCCAUCGCGUUUUAUUUGCUCAAAAAUUAUGUUUAAUAUGGCUUAAGUUUUGAAAUCAUUUUAUCCAAAAGCUUCCAAUAUAGCAUAACACUCGGUGUUUGGGAUUUUUGAAAAGAUCGUACUCUAACUUACGAGGUCUCGAUUUUUUGAUAAUUUCAAAUAUACGAACCUUUUUAAAAAAAAAAACAAGACACAUUUACUUAAAAAUUAUCUCAAGAAUCAAAAAAAGAUCGUGUCCCAACUUACCGGAUAUGAUUUAUUAUCUGAAACCGAUAUGAUCAAGAUUUUUAAAAAUAAAUAAAUUUUGGUGUUUAUUCUCGUUUCGGGAUUUAAGAUAUUGUGUCCUAACUCACGGGAUAUAAUUUUUUUCUCGAUUAACGAGAAAUACACCCUUCUUUAAAUUUUAACAAAAUGGUCAUUUUUUUAAAUUUCUUUUCGAAAUUUUAAUUUUUCGACAUUAAGACAUUAAUUAAUCGAUUAGGUACUAAUUUUGGGCAUGACGGGGUGCUAAUCCUUCCUCGCAUGUAACUGACUCUCGAACCCGUUUUUCUUAAAUUCCAUUGACCAAAAUCAUUGUUUUAAUAAAAUCAAAAUGUUUUAUCAAAACGAUUGAAUUGCAAGGUGAUCCAAUCACACAUAAAAAAAAUGUCGGUAGCGACUCCCUUUUUUUCAUUUUCAAAAUAAAAGUCAACACUAUUUUUGUUUUCAAAAAGUGGUUUCGACAAAAUUGUUUAAAUCUUACUUAUUAUUAUAUUUAAUUGUUUUUCAAAAUAUUUUAUAUAUCAUCAAUUUUACAAAUAAUUUAUAUUAAUUACUUAAAAGGUAUUUAAAAGUUAUAUUUCAUGUAUCAUUAUAUUAAAUUAUUUAAAUAUCAUAUAACUUGACUAAUUUUUUAAUUUCUACUAUCAUGUUUAAAAAGAACAUUUUAACUUUCAACUGCGAUUUUUAGUAGCAAUGAACAACACUAAAAACUAACAAACACACUUUUCAGCACCCCUUUUCAACAACACUUUUUUCUUAAAGUACUUUUGAACUAGUCCUUAGUCUAUCAUGCAUCGACUCUUCAUUUUUCUUUAACUACCCAUGUCCGACUUCAAACAUGGAUAUGGAGAUAUGACCAAGUCAGAGUGACAUAGUUUUUAGUUAUGGGGAAAAGGAUUCGAGUGUUGGACCUCCUUUUAGAUGCAUAGUGGGACUUUCAUCACAUUUUUCAAAUUUGUUGAUAAUCCUUCAUCUAAUCUGCCGGUGAAGUUUAUAGAUGGUCCUAAGUGUCUAUCACAAGAACCUAGAUAUUGUAAAUCCAAUAUCUUCCAAACAAUUCAACCAUGAUAUUAUUAAUAAUGAUGAAAGCAAGAUUAUCCACUAUCAAUGACAUAAAAUGAGCUGUAAAUGCUGACGAACAAACAUGCACUGUUUUUCCAACCUGUGGAUUGAAGAGCAUUGACAAGCUAACUUUGCAGACCAUUUGAAUCCAAUAAUAUACAUAAAAAUGCCAAAGGAGAAUAAUUCAUCUUGGAAAAAGAAUUACUAAUAUGCAAAAGCUUACCUUGUUUAACAAGAACACAGCAUAUACUGCUCUUGUCGUGUCUUGACCUUCUAAAAACAGCGGAAAUUCUGCCGGCUUUACAUUUGCUGAAACUGUUGUAUCCAAUGACAAAUCAGAAGAUGCAGGGUCUAUUGAAGCUGCAUGGUCAUUAAUAUAUGAGCGAGAACCACCCAAGCGCAGAAGAUAGCGCAAGGGAACUUGUAAAUAGGAUGCAAUUAGUGAAACAGCCUGCAAAUGAUGAAAUAGCAGGACAUUAGAAACAAUAAUAGGUAUGAUAAAAUUAUAGCCUAAGCAUGAGAAACAAACAAUCAAGAUGCAGCCCACUAUACCAUAUUACCAUCCUAGCAAUACCUGCAAAACUUUCAUCAAAACGGUAAUAACACUUUUGGACAAUGUGUCCUAUUUUACCACACAACUGGCAUUGGGGCCGAUUGUUUGAAAAACCACCCUCACGGCCUCAUCCUCGAUGGAAACCUCUAUUGCAUUGAAAACCACCUCUAUGUGCCUGUUUGUUCCCUUGAUAGCCACUGUUAUAAUCAUAACACUUGGUCCGAUCACCCUCAUCACAAUCUUGUUUACUAGCUAUGUUAGCUUGUUCGAGAACACUAUUCAAGAACUCAAGUUCUCGAGCUUCACAAUCAAGCAGCAUCUCAAUCAACAGACCAAGCGACACAGCAGUAGCUGAAGCUACUACCCGUACUGAUUCACACUCAACUGGCAACCUUGCAAGAAUGAUGCUAACCAUUUCUUGAUUUGAAAUCAAACAACUCGUUGCAACCAACAUAUCACACAUGGACUUGAUCUUAGACAAAUAUUCUUUAACAAACAGAUGACCCUUUUUCUGUGAAUACAACACAUGAUGCAUACUGGACAAUUUUACCGUCGACUUAGUCGCAAGCCUUUUUUUCAAUAGUUUCCCAAAUAUAAUAACUAGUACGAGCACUAGUAAGAUAGGCUAGAAUUUCAUCACUAUCAGUUGAAAGUAACCAAGAAGCCAAUAGCUUAUCUUGUUGCACAUGUAAAACAGAAUCAGAAUCUUCUACUAAUCUCCCAUAUUUAUCCACUACAAACUGUGCUAGUACACUAAUAGCACCCAAAACAAACUCAUGCAGACCGUAUCAUUCAAGGAUCAACAUAAUUUGGAGCUUCCAUAAAACAAAAUUAUACUCACCAAGCUUUAUUGUAUCGUGCUUAGGAAAUUGUUGAAGACAUCUACAACUGUUGAGGUGGGUUUUCUUUAAACAUACUCAUUCCAACAAAAAAAAAAUCUACGUUAGUAUGAUUAAUUAGAAAGUGAUUAAUUCAUUAUUUAGUUAGAAGUGAUGGCCUUAAGAAAAAAAAUGACAUUAUUUUAUUUGGCAUUGUUAAAAGUGUUAGUUACUGAAAUAAUUAAUGAGAUUAUAAAAGUGAAAGAAUCAAAUUAUGUCAAAAGUAAAGUAGAGGGUUUUAAUCCUAAAUUUGGGUAUAAUAAAGGGACUAACACCAAAUAAUUAUAAAAUUUUCAAAUAUUUUAAAAUUAAUUUUAAAUAUUAAUUAAAUACAAAUUAUAAAAAAAUAAAAUAAAAAUCCCCAGCGCAGUGAGGGACAUAUUCGAUAUCAAUAAUUAUAAAAUCUGUAGUUGUAAUAUUUAAUUGAUAUAAUAUAUAAAAUUUGAGGGUUAAAUUUGUUAUUAUACAAUUUUUUUAACUGCCGUGUCACUUUGCAAUUUUUUAUUUUAAGGAGUCAUCAAAAUAACUAAACUAUGUAAUGUGAGUGCUUAAAUUACAAAAUUUUUACUUUAAUGUGAGUGCUUAAAUUACAAAAUUUUUACUUUAAGUGUUUAAAUUUUUAAAAAAAAUUAUAAUUAAAUAACAAUCUAUAUGUAGUUUGCCCAAAAAUUUUAUAACCCAAACUACACAAUUUUAUGGCCAUCUCCCACUUUUGAUAUCUCUUUGGCCAUUAGUUAAGAUGGGAGGGGAAUGACUUAUUCAAGAUUAGUGUCAACAUUAGAUUUAAAACCUACGGAAGUCAUGUUUCAAUUUUUUUAUAUAAUAAUAUAACAUUUAAAAUUAUAUUAUAUCUAUAAAAGAACUCAUUGGAUUAGGGUUUUUUUUUUUAAUUAACUUUCCAUUUGUUAUUAGAAAACAAAACUAAAAAUGCAUCAAACAGGGCUCUGAUAAAAAAUUAAAAAAAAACCAAAAUGUUUAGGUUUGGUAUCGUUUUACUUUUACUUUAAAAUCAGUCUAAUCUGUAUCAUGCUCACACCAAACAUAUGAAGAAAAAAAAAAGUGAAAUAGUAAGGAUAUUAUUAAUUUCAUUCCAAGACAAAUUUUAGCAUACCCAAUUAGGUCCUUGGGUUAAUCUUAUGUUUUUUGUUUAGGCAUUCAGCAUUCUUGGCGUUUAGUUUAGUUAGAAUUUUAAAUUAUGAUAGAUCUGAAACUUUGGUAUUUUUGUGCAAAACUCAACCUCAAAGCUUUAUUUGUUGUCUAAAUUAUUUUAUUGAAGCCUAGGAAUUGUUGUUAUUGUUUCGGCUAAUUGACCUUAAAGCAUCAAAUGCCUUUUUUUGGAUGGUCAUAUUCCUUCCAAGGGCUGAAUUACUAAAAGCCCAUGAAGUAUCCUUCUUUUUCUUAAGUGAGCCUCUGUUUCAAUGCCGCCAAAAUUUUCUUUAUCCACAUGGAAGCUGACCUGCCAUGAUGAUGUGGUAAAAAAAUGAACAAUUUGUAUUUUUUGAAAAAUAUAACACUUAAGAACUUUCUUUCUUCUUGCCUCCCAAUUCUCACCACCAAUUCCUUAGCCCAAAUCAGUUUUGGCCUCCGACAUUGAUCAUAACAAAAGUAAACUUUCUAUUAGAAAUAAUUUCUUUUAUGUACAAAUUAAAGGGUAAGAUAUUGUUUGGGUACAAAAAAAGCAUAUGAGCUUACUUUAGAAAAGUGACAACGUUGGGCUCUUUUAGUAUUCUAUCCUCCCACCAACUUUGUCCAAUGUUUUUUGCCUUAUCACCAGACAGUAAAAGGGCCUUUGACCUUUUCAGGCUAAGCGCUGCCUGGUGCAUGUAGGGGGAAAAGGCCUUCUAAUUGAAGUUCUCUUUAAUAUCUCUUUAAUUGUUUCUUAAUUGUAACAAAGGGAUAAUAUCGAACUCUCUAUUUCUCAAUAUUUGAGUAUUCAACACCAGGCAUGGGAUCAUAUGGAAAUAUGCAUAUGGUUGACAAAAGAAAGAAAAUUUGGAAAUGUUUAUUUAAGUAGUAACUGCUGGUUUUCUUGGAUGCUUUCUUGUUAAUGACUACUGUUUGGGCAUGUUUAUUUAAGAAUUGCCCCCAAGUAGUUUCUUGAAUCAUCUAAAAUUGGAAAAAAUAGUCUUAUGGUAACUCAUUAAAGUAUUUGAAAGUAUGCACAAGCUAAUAACAUUUUAGAAAUUAAAAUUGAAGAUCGGUUUUUAGGGUAUCAUGUCCAUAUUAAGCAUCAUCUUUCCAGAUUACUGUUCUCUCUCUCUCUCCCUCUCUGUGUGAUAUAUUUCUCAAGUGAAAGGUAACCUUCUUCACUUGAUUUUGACUUAAUUUUGCAGUCACCACGAUUGUAUAAUGUGUACAAGCAAAUGGGAAUUGUAAAAUCUUUUCAGAAUAUUCUGGACAAUGUUUUCAUUCCACUAUUUGAAGUUACAGUUGAUCCGAAUUCUCAUCCUCAACUACACGUGUUCCUAAAAAUGGUGAGUUCUAUGUUCAUCGGAGAACAUACUGUGCUAUAAUAAGAGAUUUCGGAAAAUAUAGUUAAAAAAUGCUUCUUUAUUGGAAUGACCUGCAUUAUAGCAAGCUGAAUAAAUGAUGCCUUAACUUUAUUCAUUGUGUUCUCAUAAUUCUUUAAAACCAUUCGAAAAUUCUAUUGAGCCACAUUAUAUGGUUAAUUUUUGGGUCUGUACUGCAUACUGAACAUGUGUACAUCCUUGCGAUUUUAGAUGGAUGGAGUUGGACAGCAAAGCAAUUGAAAAAAACCCAAUUUAUGGUUUCUAAAUGUUAGAUCAUUUAUGGUUUCUAGUUUCAAUUUAAAAAAAAAAAAUCCAAAUCAGCCAACUAAUGAAAUUUUCAACGAUGUUAGUUAUUUUAACUAAUCCAUAACAUGUUUGCUUCUUCUUCUUUUUUUUAGCCUAGCAGCAAUGUUAGCCUCUGGACUAGUUACCGCCCUCCUUUUUCCCCUCCCUAUUAACCCUUUUUAUUUUUCUUCUCAUUCACUCCAUGAGUCUUCGUUCUUUUCAGUUUACAGAUUUAUUUUGUGAGUAUUUUUGUUGUCUUUACAAGUUGUAAUGGACAGUUGACAAUGGCUAUCAUCAUUGAAACACCACCGACCACCAACACUUUCUUUUAGAAAGUGGGUACCUCUUCGUUGACUACUUAAUUUGUUUAUAUUUUGAGAGUUUCAAAAUAAUAAAUGAUUUCAUGACUCGGUUUAGACUCAUGUUUUUUUUCCAUUGUUCAAUAAGUUUUUACUUUUAAAAGUUUUUUUCUACUCUUAUAGUAAGCUUUUUAGUCUUGCUUUUGCGAGUAAUUUUAGGGUUGGUUUUGUCGCCAUCCCCUCUAGUUUGGUGGAUGCUCAGUUCUUUUGCUGAUUUAUGCCCGCCGCUUUGGACCAUCCGGGGUUGAUUUUCUUACUAUAUUAAGUGCUUGUAAUCACUUCUGAUAUGUUGUGCUUGAGUUGUGAUAGAGCUGAUUUCAACAUGCCAUAAUGUUCUAUUAAUGUUGAAGCUAAAGCUUUUGUUAUAUUGAUGGAGCUUGUCCUUUAGCGAGUACAACAAGUGUUUGUUAUUUCCUCCCCCCCCCCGAAUUGUAUGGUAUUAUUCAUUGAAUAAAUUAAUGAAGUUGUCUUAAAAAAAACUAAUCCAUAACAUUAACAUUAAUAAGAGAACAAAAUAUAUCAAAUUAAAAAAGAAAAACUGAAUCUUUAAUUCAAUUGAGAAAUUAUAGGGAUUAAAACUAUAAAUUGAUCUAUAAUAAUUUCUCAGGCAUUAAUUGUAAGAUUAAUUCCAUAACCUAAAUUAUUGUAGGGGCUAUAUAAGCUCAAGGUUGACGCAAAAGUCAAUAGUCAGCGUCUGAAAGUUAAUGCAAUUAAUUAUGUCAUUGUUGAUAUAUUUAACGCAAAUAUAUUAUCAUAUGUGUAAUGUCAUACCAUCUUAUUAUUUCCAUAUGUUACUAAAAAUCUAGUUAACGGACUAAGGAUUGUCAUUUGUAUCAAGACUGAAAUUUUAAAUUUUGAAAAAUAUAGGUACUUAGAAUAAUCCAAUUAGAGAGUAUGGACUAAAUCAACAAUUAUACGCAUAAUAUAGGACUAGUAAUUGGUUUUAAUUAAAUUGAUUUAACUCUAUUGUUUGGAUCACAACUAAAAUUUUAAAAUUCAAAAUGUAUAGGGAUUAAAAUUGAUCAAAUUGAAGUAAAUAGACUAAAUUUACAACUUUCACAAAGAACAGUGACCAACAGCAGAAUUUAACCAAAUAAGCUCACCAAAGUCAAUAGUCAAUCUUUGAAAAGUAAUGCAAUUAAUUAUGUCAUUGUAGGAACGCUUUCCUGACAUAAAAUUCCACCAACUAAGCCUUUUGCGUAAAUAUUAGCUAUGAAAAUUCAACCAUUGAUAUUAAAUUCAAGACCCCACAAAUGACAGACAUAUAUGUUGGAAAAAUCUUUGUGUGAACAUUUCUUUCGGUCAUACUCAUGUCGUAUAAGUUAGAGGAGCACAAGUCUAGAUUCAUCCAAUUUUUGAGGAAUUAAUUAAUUAUAUAUUAGUUUAAAAUUAUAGUGAAUUAGUGAGACGCCAUAGGUCUUGCUUGCAUAUAAAUAAGAAGCUUAGGCUUCUUCAGAUUAUUUACAUAUAAAAGUUUAAAAAGUAACAUAUAGCUAAGAGAGAAGAGGAAAACAGAAAGAUGAUGAUGAUAAUGAUGGAGUGGAAAUGGUUAUGGUUUAUAAGGAUGGCAGUAAUGUUGUUGGUGUUAGAAGGGUGCAGGUGGUGUACUGCUGAUGCUUGUUUGGAGCAUGAGUCGCCUUCUUGCAUCUCAAACCUUUCUUCAAUUAUGAUAAUCAAUUGAAAAGUUGGAUUGAGGUGAAGGGUUCAGAUUGUUGUAAAUGGAAAAGAGUUGAGUGCAACACCAUCACUAGGAGAGUCAUACAACUCUCCCUUAAUCAUACAUCAUCCAAUAUAUAAAUGAAUUAAUGAAUUUACCUUUCAAAAGAGAAAAAAAGAAUUCAUAAAUUUUGAAAUACAAAAUGAACGUGUUUUGAUAUUUUUAGGGCAAUGGUUUAGUGGUUCAAAAUUUUGAUUUAAUAUGGUGAAUUUAAUUAUAAUUUUUUAUAUAUUAGAUAGUAGAAUAUAUUUUACCAUUUAUAAUUAAGUACAAUUAAGUUUAGGUUAAAAUAUUUUAUUAAAUUUUUGUACUUUUCACAAAUUUUAAAUUUAAUCUGUUUACUUUUAUUCUAGAAUUUAAUCUCUCUGCAUGUAAAGGAGGUUAUUAUGGCAAGGGGAAUUACCAUGGCAGAGGUAGCCGAGGCUGACGAAGAGAUGCUGGAUAUGCUGAAGAAAGAUAGAUGGCUGAGAAACAGAAAAACUUUAGGAACAAUAUUCAGUGUUAGAAGUAUGGGGAUGUGAAGGCAGAUUGUUGGAAAAGGGGAAACAAGCAAAUUUUGCGGAAGAUGAUGAAGAGAUUUAAAUUAUUUAUGAGCUGUCUAGAUGACACUAUAGCUUCAACUAACAUUUGGUUUCAAGGGCGUAUAUCUCAUGAUGAAGAGAUCGUCUCUCUUCUUUUUUCUCAUAACAUAUUACACGCCAUGAUAAUAAAUAUUGAUAUGCCUAUAAAUUUGAGUUUCUAUUAUUUGUAGUCAUGAUUUGGUUCACUCCAUAAGUUACAUAAAUUUAUUAUAAUAAUUCAAUUAAUUUUAGAUUAAUUUUACAUUUUUGCCCGAACUUUAGUUUUUAAUAAUUCAAUCAUCCCACCAUUAUAUUCAAUUAAAAGUGUAAUACGAUUUUGCGUCAUCCAACCAUUAUUCUUAGUGUAAUUUUUGGUAGUGAGCAUAGAAGGACAGCGAGAACAAAGAAAGAAUGUAUCCAAUAACCCACUCCCCUUAUAGUCAAUGCUUAAAAUGAAUAAGAAAAUAGAAAACAAACGUGGCAAUGCCAGCUAAUUUGUUAUUACUAUUCACCGUAUAACUAAGGACAUUACGCACCGUUUUAAUUAAAACAAACUCACCGUUUAAGACCGUUACUUCUAUGCAUCGUUUUAAUCAUAUGCGUCAGUUCGAACAAAUAGGUGAACAUGAAAGCUUUUCGCAAAGUUUAGAUGUGUGCUUAAAACUCAAACUUUGUGUUCUGUAAAAAUAUUGAUUUUGUUGUAAUUGUAGGUUGAACUUUGUGAGUCCAAUUACUUUCUUUGGCAUCGGAUAUUUCGUGGAACUUUCGUAUGAGAUAUUUACUUCAUAAAUAGAAGAUUACAAAAUUUGGAUAUUAAUAUAUUUUUCAUGAUUUAAUUUUCUUUUCCUUUUUUGGGCUAAAAUAAUUAAUAACGAAAACACGUCUUUUGCUAGCACCUAUAAAUGCCUUAAAAAUGUAAAUUAAUAUUCCACAAUAAUUAUUAAGAUGAAAAGAAUUUUAUAAUCUAAACUUACGAUUUCAUGUGAAUUUAAUGUUUAGUUAUAGUUUUAAUUACAAAGUUAAAUUGGUAUCUUUGUUAUUGCAAUAAUUAAAAAAAGAUGAGUCCAAAUGACGUUGAUUUUCUGUUUUUUAAAAGUGAAUGCAAGAUGGGACGGCUGGAAUUUUUUUUAUUAAACAGUAAGUAUGAAACAGUUAUGGUAAUUGCUUGCUCCAUCUCACUCCACUCCACUAUAUAAAAUUAUCAUUUCAUUCUUUUAUAUAUAGAAAAAAAUUAAAUAUUUUAUGAAAAUAAUCAUGUUUAAAUUUCCAAGAAUAAAAGCAAACUGAAGACUUAAAAUUUCCAUUAAUAAAACCAAAAUCAAAGAAGUAAAUUUCCCAUGAAUAAAACAAAAAAUGAAGAUCUAAAUUUUCCAUUAAUAAAGCCAAGUCAAGACUAAGUUUGUAUAAGUGUAAGAAGGGUAUAAAUGAAACUCACAAGAAAGCCACAUGAAGAAUUUUAUAACCCCAAACUACACGAUUUUAUGUCCACCUCUCACUUUUCAUAUUUUUUUGGCCAUUCGUUUUUCAAGAUUAACAUCAGCAUUCUUGUGGUCCGUUCAUCCUUUUCUAAUGAAUUUCCACCAAGAGUUUUAUUUUUCAAAAUGUUAAAUUAACUCAUGAUAUUAAUUAAAUCAAGAAAUUUUAUAAUAAUAGAGAUGAAAAAACUAAAUUUUCAAAAUCAAAACCUAAAAUGUGCAAGAAUAAAAGCAAACUGAAGACUUAAAAUCUCCAUUAAAAAAAUCAAAAUCAAAGAAGUAAAAUUUCCAUGAAUAAAACGAAAAAUGAAGACCUAAAAUUUCCAUUAAUAAAUCCAAGUCAAGACUAAGUUUGUAUAAGCGUAAGAAGGGUAUAAAUGAAACUCACAAGAAAGCCACAUUAAGAAUUUUAUAACCCCAACUACACGAUUUUAUGUCCACCUCUCACUUUUCAGUUUUUUUGGUCAUUAGUUAUUCUAAGAUUUAACAUCAACAUUUGAUUUCAAAUCAACGUUAAACCAUGUUUAAACUCUUUUUCUUAUAUAAUAAUUAUAUUAUAUUUAAAAUUGAAAAAACUAACCAGCCAAAUAUAUAUUAAUUAAUUAAUAGAAUUUUUUUUGCUCAUCGAUUAAAAUAAAUCAAGAAAGACGUUGGAACCACCAACCUCUCUUUAAGAACAACAGGAAUACAAGAACCUAUGCACAACAAGUACUAAAAUGUAUUAAGUAAAUUCAUCACCAGGCCUUAAAAAAAGAAGAUCUCGAUAUACCUGCUUUUGCCAAAGCAUCUGCCAUACCAUUACUUUGCCAGUGAAUAAUUCUGAACUGAAACUUAGCCAAUUGAGUGAUAUUAAUUAUAGAAAUGGUUCUUCUUGCAACCAUAGAUGAAACACCACUGAGACUAACAAACUUGGAGAAACUUGAUUAAAUCAAACUUAUGCAAAUUUCUUGAAUAUUUAAGUUAAGAGUUAACGUCAAAGUCAAGAGUUGAUAAGGAUUUUGUGGUCCAUUCAUAUCUUUAUUACAAUAUAUAUAUAUUCAAGAAAUUUGCAGCAAGUUGGAGUUUUGCAAUAAGGAAUUUCCACCAAGAGUUUUGGAAUAAGGAAUUUCCUCCAAGAAUUUUGCAGGAAUCAUAUCUCUAACAAAAGAAAGACCUUCAUUUGACUAAAUUUUUUAGUAUUUAUUUUAACUUCCAUUUUAUUAAAAAAAAACAGAGGUAAAAAAUAUGCCGAACAGGGUCUUUAGGUUACUUUUCUUAGAACUAUAUUAUGUUAUAGUACCGUAUAAGUUAGAGGAGCACAAGUUUAGAUUCAUCCAAUUUUUGAGGAAUUAAUUAAAUAUAUAUUAUUUUAAUAUUAUAGUAUACAGAGGCAAUGUUAGAAAAAAAUUUUGUGGAGUCGAAAUUAAAUUAUAGUUUUAAAAGCAUAUAUCUUUAUAAUUUUUAAAGAAUUAAAUCAAAUUUUUAUCAAUUUUAGGGGGUCAAUGUGCAAUUUUAUCUUUACUAAUUUAAAAUUUUAAAACAUUUAAAGGACCUAAAUAGGAAUUUUUCUAUUUUAGAGGCGUCUGAGACGCCUGUCUAGCUAUGCCCCUGAUAGUGAAUUAGUGGGAUGCCAUAGGUCCUGCUUGUAUAUAAAUAAGAAGGUUAGGCUUCUUCAGAUUAUAUACAUAUAGAAGUUAAAAAUUAACAGACAACUGAGAGAGAAGAGAAAACAGAAAGAUGAUGAUGAUGAUGAUGAUGAUGGAGUGGAAAUGGUUAUGGUUUAUUAGGAUGGCAGUAAUGUUGUUGGUGUUCGAAGGAUGCAGGUGGUGUACUAUUGAUGCUUGUUUGGAGCACGAGAGGAUUGCUCUCUUGCAUCUCAAACCUUUCUUCAAUUCUCGUGAUGAAUUGAAAAGUUGGGUUGAGGUGAAGGGUUCAGAUUGCUGUAAAUGGGAAAGAGUUGAGUGCAACACCACCACUAGGAGACUCAUACAACUUUCCCUUAAUUAUACACAAUGGGAAUUCAACGUGGAAUAUUGGUAUCUCAAUGCCUCUAUGUUUCUUCCCUUCGAGGAAUUGAGGAGUCUUUAUUUGUCAGAUAAUGCCAUAGCUGGUUGCAUUGAAAAUGAAGGUCGUGCCUUUAAUUUUCCCUCAGUUACAUCUUUUAUUAUUACACUAUUCUCACCCUUGUUAAUUUGCAAUUACUUAUAAUUUAUUUUAUUUUAUUGAAGAAAGGUCACUAAAUGUUUGUGUAUAUAUUUAAAAGAACACUCUUACAGGUUUUGGAAAGCUAUCAUCCACAUUGAGUAAUUUGGAGAUUCUUGACUUAAGUUACAAUUACUUGAAUGAUAGCAUUUUGUUAUCUUUGAGUGAGCUUUCAUCUCUCCGAUAUUUGGAUCUAUCAUACAACCGAUUUGAAAGAUCAAGUCAUCCAAGAGGUAAAUUAAGUUUAGUCUGGUGUUAGUUUUUAUUUGUAUUGGGGAGUUUGACAGUGGUUUUCCAUUGUUUUAUUCCCUCUAACUUAGUUUUUGCUUUUAUGGUUGAGAGGAAAAAGAAACAAACAAGUACUUACUCAAAUUAACUAAACAAUGGAUUAUUUUUUUUAUGUUUUGCAGUAACUAAUUCUAUGGUAUAUAAAUCAGGUUUUCAGUGGCUUUCAAGGCUCACUAAAUUGGAAACUCUUCAUCUAAGUGGGAAUUCUUUGAAGAAUAGCAUUUUUUUACAGAUGAGAAAUCUUUCAUCUUUGAAGACUUUAAGUUUGGGUGACAAUCAGUUGGGAGGAAAACUGCUUCAUAUUCAAGGUAGACUGAUUUUACACUUUUCUUGUUAACUUUAAAAUAAAUUCAGUAUGUGAUUUGAUUUUAUCAUAUCAUGAAUAUAACUGAUCAAUAUUUGAGAUUGAAUUUCAGAAUUGAAUCAUUUGGCAAACUUGAAGUACUUGGAUUUAAGUAGGAACAGAAUUGAAAGCAUCUCAAACAAAGGUAUAAGUAAUAAUUUGUGCAUGACUUUCCUGACAGACUUCAAAUGUAUUUUCUUUGUUUUUUUCCUUUUCAUAUGGUUGAGAGGAAAAAAGAUCCUUAUAAUCUUAAAGAGUUGAUAUUGAGAGUUGGUCAUGAGAGAAUGGGUCCUUAAAAUCCUUAAGACCAGGGAGUUUGUGUCCACAGUUGAGUAUUCCAUUUGAAAACUGAAAAUUAAAUAUUCUAUUGCUUUAUUUCUUUUAAAAGAAAGAUUGAGUUUGGAUCUCCGACUGCUUUAUUUUUUUCAAAGAAAGAAAUAUGUUUAUACUUUUGCGCAGAAGAUAUGAAGAAGUCUUAUUUUGUUCUCGCUUUUGUGCAAGUGAAACUUAGUUAUCUCAAAUAUAUAUAUAUAUAUAUAUAUUGUAGUUAUCAGUUCACUACACAAUAGCAUGUAAACCAGUUCCCCCUUUUCAAAUUUAUGAGUGGGAGUUGUCCAUGAUUUUCUUUGUGAUUUUCUUUUCACGUUUUAGGAUUUUCAUCUUCACUUCAAGUUUUAGAUUUACUUUUUUUCAUUUUUAUUUCAUUAACUUAAAAAAGGAAUGCUGGAUCAUAUUCAAGGUAGAUUGAUUUUACAUGUUUCUUUUUAACUUAAAAAAUCAAUAUAUGUUCAAGUUUAAGUGACAACAACAUUGAAAGCAUCUCAAACCAAGGUAUAAGUAUUUGUGCGUAGUAACUUUCUUGACUGACUAUUAUUCCAAAAGGCAAUGACAGACUUCAAAUGUAUUUUCUUUAGUGAAUUUUUAUUGCAAAAAUGGAGUAUUAUUAUUUAUUUAAGUUUUGUAGUAACUAAUUAUAUAAUAUAUAAAUGAGGUUUUCAAUGGCUCAUUAAAUUGGAAAUUAUUGAUAUAAGUUGGAAUUAUUUGAAGAAUAGCAUUCUUUAAAAUAAAUUCAUGUUGAAGGAAAAGUUGUUGCAAUAAGUCAUUUGAUUUUAUCAUAUCAUGAAUAUAUAUAACUAAUCAAUAUUUGGGAUUGAAUUUCAAAAUUGAGUAAUUUAAGUAGGAAGGUAUCUCAAACAAAGUAUUUAUAUAUUGAAUCAAUUCAUCGGAAAGCUUGUAAAUUGGCUCUUCCUUCUCAAACAAACAUUUUUCCUAACUAUUUAUAUAUUGAAUGAUGUUAACUAUACUAAUUACUUUCUUCCAAUGAUAGAUGGAACACAAUUGAGGCUAACAAACUUAGAGGAACUUGAUUUGAGUGGUAAUCUCUUUCGGAACAACACAAUUUCCUUUCCUCAAGGGCUUUCAAGCCUAAAGUCUUUGACUUUGUACAACAACCAUUUGCAAGGCUCAUUAGAUACUAAAGGUACUAAAGCUAUAACUUUGUUUUUCUUGAUAAUUCUUUCUAGAACCUUUUAAAAUUAAUUGUUUCAAUUUUGAACAUUCACAUUUCACGUUUGAGGAUUUUCAUCUUCACUUCAAGUUUUAGAUUUACUUUUUUUUUCAUUUUUAUUUCAUUAAAAUAUUAAGUAGAAAUUAAAAUUAUUAACAUAAUGAUUUUUUGAAUUGGACGUGGAUAUGUAUAGGAUUGAGCAAUUUAACAAAUUUGAAGAAACUCGAUUUAAGUGUGAAUCAGAUUGAAAGCUUUCAAUCCUUUAAAGGUAUGCAUUUAUAUUUAACCAAUUACCUAAAUUCUUACAUAUAAUUAAAUUUUAUGCCAAUUCAUUUCAGUGAUGAAAUUAUAUAAAUCUUUUGUAGAUGGUGGUAGAAAAUUGGAGUUGACCCACUUGGAAGAGCUUUAUUUAGAUUACAAUCAGUUCAAUACUAGUGUAUUUGCAUCCCUUAACAAGCUUUCAAAUUUGAAAUCUUUGAGCAUAUGGGACAAUGGAUUGAAAGGAUCAAUAGAUAUGAAAGGUAAAUAUAUUAGUUUUUUUAACUAGAAUAUAAUCAUGUUUGAAGAGAAUAUAAUGAAGUUGAUUUGUUGUUUUUGUUUUCCUAGAUUUGGAAGCAUUUAUCAACUUAAGGGAACUAGAUAUGAACUAUAAUGAAUUGAAAGAUUUGGUGAUCCACCAAGGUAUCAUUUAAUUAAACUUCCUUUUUUUUUUAAUUUAGAAAUUUAGUUUUGAUCUCAUAUAUUAUAAUAACGGUUAUUGUCAUAAAUAUUAAUAAAGUUAUAUCAUAUCAUACUUGAAAGUAAAAGUUUGGUGAAACAUUUUCUAAAUCAUCCAUUAUAAUGUGUUUGGACUUUGGUUUGAAACUAAAAUUCUUUAAAAUUUUCAUCAUUUUAAAAUAUUAAUGUUUAUAAUUAUUUUGUUUGUAUAAAUAUAUUUUUUAAAAUAAUUUAUUGAAUUUUUAUGAGAUAAAAAAUAAUUAUAACAAUAAAAAAUGAUAUUAUAAAUAAAUAAAAACAUAUAUUUAUGAGAAAAUAUGUAAUAUAACUAUAUUUUAAUUUCAUAUAUUUUUAAUAGUAUAAAACAUAAAAAUACAUAUUAGCGUUAAAUAAAUGGCAUUUUUUGGCAAAAAUAAAUAAAUGUCAAUUUUGAAUAAUUUAAAAAAAAUCUUUAAUUUUGUGAAAUUUAAACAUACAUUGAGAGGUGCUUAAACUUCCAUUGCAAUCUUUUUAUAAAUUUCAAAGUGCAUAUGUUUUUAACUUUUUGGUUUAAAAAAAUAUGAUAGGUCUACGUACUCUUUACUAAUUUGUAAUUUAAUUCUUAUACUUUUAUUUUCAAGAAUUUAAUCCCUGUUUUUUUAUAAAAAAAUCAAAAUCCUAGUUCAAUUGUUAAAAUUGUUAAAAUUUUAAAAUAGUUUGUUGGUGUGACAUUUUGAAAUAAAAAAAAACUUAGUAGUAAUGUAACUAAAAAAUGACGUAAUGAACAUGGAUUUAAUAAAAUAAUUUUAACAAUAUUAAUAAAAUAAUUUUGAAUUUUGAAUUUUAACUUAACUCUAUUUUUGGGCCAAGAUUUAAUGCUUUAAAAUUUUCAUUUAAUCCGCUGAGUUUACUUAUAAUUCUUUUGAGUUUUAUUUAUUGGUGAGUAAAAUACCUAUUUGAUUUUUUUAUAUACUAUUGGCAUCUUUAAAGGUAAUAUAAUAAUUUUAGUGUAGACGUGUUUUAUUUUAUAAAUAUUAUUUAUAGUGUAGACAUGUGAAUUUUGAAUAAUUUAAAAAUAUCUUCAAUUUUAUGAAAUUUAAACAUACAUUUAGUGUAGACAUGUUUUAUUUUAUAAAUAUUAUUUAUAGUGUUGUUGAUUGGAGUUUGAAAAUUAUACAACUUAGCUAUAUCAGUUAAUUACUUAUAUUAAAAAAUAAUAUAAGAAAAUACUAAAAAGAAAAAAAAUAGUAUAAUUAAUAAAAUGGAUGAAGAGUUAUAUUAAAGUUUCAACAUCUUCUCUCUAUCAAAAUUUAUCUCGGAUAAAUCAUGAAUAAUCUAACUCAUAAAAAAAUAUAUAUAUAUUUAUAUACUUCAUUUCAUUCACAGAAAAUAAAGCAUUCCACUUAAUAGAGGCUUUCUAUAAUGCCGUUAUCUAAUACCUCUUGACAUUGCUUAGAUUCAAAUGUGUCGAGCAGUUUGGAGGAAAUAUAUCUUGACUAUUCUACUCUCAACACCAACAUUUUGCAAAGCAUUGGAGUAUUCGCUUCUCUUAAAAUAUUGUCUUUAUCUAAUUGUGGACUUAUUGGUCCCUUACCUAAUCAAGGUAAACAAUUUUAUGGCUCAAUUUGAUUUCUUUAUGAACUUUCUGUAAUAUAUUAUCUCCUAUUCUGUUUUAUAAAGCAAAAUUUAAUUGAAACUUCUUCCAUGAAUUUAUUUAUAAAAUUUUCAGGAUGGUGUGAUCUAAGGAACCUUGAAGUGUUGGAUGUGAGUAGAAAUGCACUUGAGGGGAUGCUUCCUCAUUGUUUUAGUAACUUGACAUCUCUUCGUGAGUUAGAUAUUUCAAGAAACCAUUUUCAAAUUCCGCUGUCAUUUGCACCAUUUGCAAACCUUUCAAACCUCAAAGCCCUUUUGAUUAAUGAAAACAAGAUGGUAAUGGAACCUUCCUUUUAUACCUCAAUCCCAAAGUUCCAAUUGGAAGUCAUCAGUUUGUCAAAGUGCAUAACAUCUCAACAACUCAGUCUUAAACUUUGUACCUUCCUUUACUACCAAUAUGACUUGAGAUAUGUGGAUCUUUCGCAUAACAAUCUCAGUGGAACUGUACCAACUUGGUUGCUAGAAAACAACACAAAGUUAGAAGAUCUCAUCUUGAAGGGUAAUUCAUUUACAGGUCCUCUCUCACUUUCGUCGGCUCUUAUUUCUAAUGUAUCUACAAUUGACAUAUCUGAAAACAAAUUACAAGGUCAAAUUCCAACUGGUAUAUGUUCAACUUUUCCACAUUUGAGGCAGUUAUUCUUAUCCAAGAAUGCUUUUGAAGGUAAUAUCCCACUUUGUUUAAGUGGCAUGAAGGACUUAUCAUUUUUAGAUCUAUCAGACAAUCAUUUGUAUGGAAAAGUACCAGAAGAGUUGAUCACGAAAGGCUUACUAAUCAUUUUGAGACUAUCAAAUAACAACCUCAGUGGAAAUGUAGUUCCUGUGAUUCUCAGCGCAAAUGGGGUGCAGCAUUUAUAUUUGGAUGGAAAUAAUUUUUCAGGAGAGAUGACAAAUGUUGAUGUGUCUACUUUUGAGUUUCCAAAUUCACUAAGCGAAAUUGAUCUCAGUAACAACACUUUGCAUGGAAAGCUCCCAAGAUGGAUAGGGAAUGCAUCAUUUUUGGGGAGAUUAGAUUUGUCCAACAAUGGUUUUGAAGGUUCUAUUCCAAUGGAAUUUUGCAAGUUGAAUAGGUUGGAAUUUUUGGAUCUUUCUCAAAAUAAUUUAUCUGGCUCUAUACCGUCAUGUUUUAAUCCACCAUACAUACAGCAUGUCCACCUCCACGGGAAUAGACUGAGAGGCCCACUAUCACUUGCUUUUUAUAAUAGCUCUUCAAUAGUGACUUUAGAUCUUGGAGGAAACAAUUUGACGGGUAGUAUUCCAAAAUGGAUUUACACGCUUUCUUCUUUGAGUUUUUUUCUCUUGAAAGAUAAUCAUUUUCAUGGUAAAGUUCCUAUUGAGUUAUGCAAGUUGCAUUCUUUAAGCAUCAUAGAUCUUUCUCAAAAUAUGUUUUCUGGUCCUAUACCUUCUUGUUUGGGAAAUUUAUCUCUUCCAAUGCAAAGGAAGAAGAUUCUAGAACCUGGUUUCUAUGGGCCACCUAUAGAAGAGGAUGAAACAACACGCAGUACGAAACUAAAUUUGGGAAUGUAUUCUUACUAUCCUAAUAGCUACUUCGAAGAAGUAAUAGAGUUCACAACAAAGAGUGGGUUCUAUUCAUACAAGGGCUACAUCCUUUCAUAUAUGAAUGGGAUUGAUUUAUCUUGCAACAACUUAACUGGUCAUAUCCCACCAGAAUUAGGGAACUUGAGUGAAAUCCAUUCUUUAAACCUUUCACACAAUAAGUUGACCGGAGUUAUACCCUCGUCACUCUCAAAACUACAUCAAAUUGAGAGUUUGGACCUUUCUUACAACAACUUAAGUGGUGAAAUCCCCAAUCAAUUGGUAGAGUUAAACUCUUUGGAGGUUUUCAGCGUGGCAUUUAACAACUUGUCAGGUAGUAUUCCCGAACCAAAAGCUCAAUUUGGGACCUUUAUUGAAAAUAGUUAUCAGGGAAAUCCGUUUCUUUGUGGAGUUAUAUUGCAUAAAAGUUGUUCCAAAACCGAUUCACCAUCAACGAUAUCAAUUGUAUCAGAAGAUAAAGGAGAAGAUGGUUUGAUAGAUACUUAUGAUUUUUGUGUGAGCUUUUUGGUUUCUUAUGUAGUUGUGUUGUUGACAAUUUUUGUUGUCCUCUACAUAAAUCCAUACUGGCGAAGAGCUUGGUUUUCUCUUGUUGGGAAAUGCAUUACCACCUGUCGCUACUCAAAUGUGGGCAAUUUUCUUACUUAUCACAUUUUCAAGCGAUGUGUUUAGCUACUCAAAUUGUGAUUUGAUUUCCACACCUAAAUGUUUAAUUAUGCUAAGUUGAGCGAUAAUGAAUAUUUUGUUGAUUUUUGCAUUUUGAAUAAAAGCUCUUUUAUCUUAUGGUUUUAUCAUUUUCAACCAUCUAUUUCUUUUUUCUUCUAUGAAAUUUAAUAUAAAAUCAUAAUCCAUUAUUAUGUAUAUGCAAUAUCUCUUUAAAUUAAAUUAAAUUAAAUUAACUGCCAAGCGUUCACUAGUGCAUACUAAAAAGGAAAUCUAAUGUAAAAUUAAAUCAAACAUACUACAGAAUUGAAUCUAAAACUGGAAUAUUUUAAAACCUCACAAACAAUGCAAUUCUUUAUUCCUCUUUUCCUCUCAAGUUAUUUUGUAUCAUGUUAUAUUUUACAUAAUUAAUCGUAUCAUCAAAUUUUAAAAAAAUUUUAAUAUUUUGAUAUCAUGUUCAUAUUAUGCUUUAAUUCACAAUGUAUUUUGUAUAAUAUGUUAUAACAAUUCAAUUUAAAAAACAAACAAUUAUCUUAUUUUUGCAUACCGUAAUAUACAUUUACAUGUUAAUAAUUCUUUGUACAUAAAUUUUGACAUGUUCGUAUAUUCGAGUCAUUAUAAUUUUAUUAUUUGUAAUAUGACAUGUUUUACUUACCCUUAAUAUUGUGUCAUGAUAAUUAUAACUCGAUUGGCAGUGUACCAAAUAUUUUUCUAAUAAAAAAUAGUAUUUUAUUCUAUUUACCAAAUCUUUAUCAACUUUAUUUUCUCACCAACAAAACAUACAUUCAAAGUUCAAAUAAGUUCCACACCCAUUUUUUUACUGCAAUACUCAAGAAUAUGCUCAUCAUCAGAAAUCUGAAAUAUUCCACUCUAAUUAACAUUAUGAUUCUGUAAACAACAAAAAAGUGUGAUACUUUUUUAAAGCUCUUUUUUUUUCUUUAAUGAAAUGGGAUUGGUAAAAAAUCCGCACAUGUGUCGUGUGUGAAGGUGGUCAGGUUGUCUAUUCAUACUGUAAUAAGUAGCUAAUUAUAGUUGAUCCUACAAAAUCAAAAUUAAUUCAGGUAUCUAUAUAUUCUGAAGACUGGACAGACCUUAGAAGCUCCUUCAAAUUUGCAAGAACAUGUCGUGGUCCUAAACUCUUUACACCGAUGAAAUUCAAAAGUUGCUCUAUAUCCUGCAAUCACAGUAAAGAUUAUGCAAGCUUUUCAGAACGAAUAACAUAACAAGCAAAAGGCAAUCAAAAUACUGUGAUCUCGAUAAUGUUCUUUGCCGAAAAGGAACAUAAACAUAACCUGAAAACAUCAGUGAAGGCUCAUCAGAUUUGCUUAGCAACCUUACAUACACAUGUAAAAAGCUUUGCUUUUGGAUGUAUGGUGUGACUAUCAUCACAGUCUUUCCUAAUUAGCUGAUAACCCUAUAUCUAACAUUUAUCAGGGCUAAGCAAAUUAACAUACAUAAUGUAAAGGAAUUUGACCAUAAGAUCCAACAGAAAACUUAAUAAAAGAUAAUCAACAUAGAAAGUUAAAAGGCAAUGCAAACUUAUUACAAUGAUGCAAGUGGAUCAAAAGAAAGCACUCUAUAAGGAAUUUGUAUUUAAGGCAUUGUAAACAGAAAAAAAAUAAUAAAACUUUUCGGAAAGUAUUUUCAAAGAGGAGACAAAAACAGGGUAGAAAAAAUGUUUGGUCCUUCCUUUUUCUAUUUCUACUGUGGUGAAAAAGCCUUUUUGGGUUAAAAGUGUUUUUACACUGCAGAAGUGUUUUUCCACUGCAGAAGUGAUGAAGAACACAUAGCUUUGUAGUCAAAAACCUACUGCUUUUGGCUUUUGCAUUUCGAAGUGAAAAUUAUAAAAAUACUCUUAGAUUAAUUUAUAUUUUAUAUAUUAUUAUAUUAAAUUGUUAAAUCUUAUUUAUUAUUAUAUUUAAUUUUUUUCAAAAUAUUUUAUACAUCAUCAAUUUUACAAAUAAUUUAUAUUAAUUACUUUUAAAAGUUAUAUUUCAUGUAUCAUUAUAUUAAAUUAUUUAAAUAUCAUAUAACAUCACUAAUUUUCUACUUUCUACCAUCAUGUCUAAAAUAGACAUUUUAACUUUCAACCGCAAUUUUUGGCAGCAAUGAACAACACUAAAAACUAACAAACACACUUUUCCGCACCACAUUUCAAAAACACUUUUUUCUAAACGCACUUUUGAACUAGUCCUUAGUCUAUCAUGCAUCAACUCUUCAUUUUUCUUUAACUACCCAUGUCCGACUUCGAACAUGGAUAUGGAGAUAUGACCAAGUCACAGUGACAUAGUUUUUAGUUAUGGGGAAUGGGAUUCGAGUGCUGGACCUCCUUCUAGAUGCAUGGUGGGACUUCAUCACAUUUUUCAAAUUUGUUGAUAAUCCUUCACCUAAUCUGCCGGUGAAGUUUAUAGAUAGUUGUUGACACCAUUUUUUUGAUGAAAACGGGAUCGACUUGGAUUUUGAAAAAAGAAUGAAAACGGGAGUCGCCACCAAUCCUUUUUGACGAGGUGUGAUCGGGUCACCUCAAAAUGUGGUUGUUUUUAAUAAAUGAUUUAAUUUUAUUAAAACAACGAUUUUGGUCUACGAAAUUCAGAAAAAUGAGUUCGGGAGUCGGUUACACACGAGGAAGGAUUAGCACCCUCGAUACGCCCAAAAUUGGUACCUAGUUGAUUAAUUAGUGUCUUAGUGUCGAAAAUUGAAAAUUUGAAGAGUUUUAAAAAUACGAUCCUUAAAAGAAAUUCUGAUAACGUGAAUUGAAAUAUAAGAUUCUCUUGUUCCGAAGGAAUAUCACAUCCAGCACGUUAGGACACGAUACUCUAAACCAUCGAAACCAAGAUCAUCUUAUAGUUUAAUGAAACCACACUUUGAAGCUUUAAGAGGAUAUUUGGCUAUUUAGUCGAACGAGAAAUCGAAACCCAGCACGUUAGGGCACGUUUUCUCGAUUUUCCAAACGCGAAAUAUCGCCUUAUUUAGAAAAAUUUUCCUUUUGAUGUUUGGUGUUAAUGCUUGACAAAACAAUAACGAAUACGACAAGGUGAGCAAAGUAAAGUGAGUAACAACAAUACAAUAGGCAAAAUGAAAUGACGAGGCGAUUACAUAAACAAAGCAUACAAAUAAAUAAAUAGAACUAACAUUUAAAAAAAAGCAUAAGUGUACACGAAUAAAUAAACAAACACCAAAUAACAAUGAUGACAAUAAAUACAAUUAUGUAAAAAUGUAUAUACAUGUAUAAUUUUAAGCCAUGAAAUAAGAAACGCAUAUAAAUUAUAGAAUAUGAAAACAUAGAUAAAUAUAUACAUAUGUGUAAAAAAUAAUAUUAUAAAAAGGGUACGUAUAUAUGUAUAAAAAAAUAAAUGUAUUAACAAUGAAUAUAAUAAGGGUAAGAAAACAAGUAUAUACACAAUAUAUAUGUAACGUGGUACUAAGGAUAUAUAUAUACAAUACAGUAUUUAAAAUAAUAUUUACGUAAUAUAAAAUAUAAUAUUAAAAGGUAUAUGUACAUACGUAAUAUAUAAAUACAUAUAUAAUAUAAUGUUAAAAUAUUUACAUAAUACUAAAAUAUUUAGGUAAUAUAUGCGUAUAUUGAAAACUAGUAAUAAUAUUAUCGAGGUAUAUACAAAUAUAUCAAGUAUAUACACGUAUUAUAAAUAUAUAAAUAUAUGACAAAGCAUAAACUAAUAAAAAUAAUAAGAAUAAUAAUAAUGAUAACAUUGGAAUAUAAAAGAAACAAACAUAACAUUAAUAAAAUAUUAAAAUAAAGUGAAAUAAAAAUAUUAAAUAUGAGAAUAUAUAUAGGUAUACACGUACAUAAUAAAAAUAUAUACUAAUACAUAAUAAUAAUAAUGGUAAUACUAAUAAUACUAAUAAUAUAAAAAUAACAAGGAUAUUUAAUAAAGAUAUAAAAAUCAACAAAAAAGGACUAAAAUUGAAUUGAAAGCAAAGUUGUGGGGCCAAUUUGAAAUGAAAACAAAGAAAAAGGACUUAAUUGUAACACGCAUGCAACUUGGAGGGUCAAAAGCGCAAUAAACCCAAGUAUUAAAAACGCUGCGCAGCGUGGGGGACCAGAAUGAAUUCGGGGCAACACCAUGGAGCCAAAUUAAAAAUAAAAAAACCUUGAUUGUAAACUCCCAGAAAGGCGGAAGGGCUAAAAGUGCAAUUAGCCCUUCCAAAGAAAAAAACACGCGGAUCUUCCUUGGUGCAGGUCGGGUCGACCCGACCCGUGUUCAAAACGACGUCGUUUCAUUUAUUUAAACCGGGGGUCCAAAACGGUGCGUUUUGACCCCCUAUAAAAGUCAAAAAAACUUCAAAAAAAAAUCAUUUGUAACGCUGAGGGAAAAAAAAGAAAAGGGAGAGAGGAGAGGGGAGCCCGGAGCGAUUUCCGGCCAAGGGAGGGGUCACCGGACGGCCACCGGAGGCUCGCCGGCGUCAGCGCCGGCCACCGCACGCGGUGGCCGGAAAGGUAAAAUUUUUUAUAUUUUUUUUAUAUUUUUUUUGUUAUUUAUUCUUGGUCUUAGAAUGUAUAGAUUUUAGGUUUAUAUUAAUAAAAAAGGUAUAGAUAUGUAUAUAGAAAUCGAAAGAAAAUGGAUGAAAACAAAAAGGUAACCUUUUCCGUUUGCCUUUCCUUUUUCCCGAAUGCUUGCUAUCUCAGUACUGAGAUCUAUGUAUUUUUUUUAAAAUUUUAGCUUCUGUUUUUUUGUAUUAAAAUGCCAAAAAACAAACAAAAAGAAGAAAGAAAAAAAACCCCCUGAUACAAUUUUUGAUUCGGGUUUUUAUAACCCAUUUUCAUCUAAUUUCCUAUUGUUUCUGUUUUGUCUCUUUGCAUGGGAUGGGCACGAUGGAGGUGACAGAGGCAUGGUGGUACAGAGGAGCAGGUGGCCGACAUGGUGGCAUGGAGAGCUGGGCGUGGCAGACAAGGAGGCCACGCGAGGCAUGCGGCGCUAGGGUUUGGGGGGCAUCUUUCUUCCGAAAAUGUUAAUGUUGUCUGGGCUGGGUUUUUAAUUUUUGUUUCGGGCCAUGGGCUACAUUGGGCUUGUUAUUUUCCUUUGUAAUUGGACUGUUGUUUAUCUUGUUUUAAUAUUCGGGCCUGGGCAUAAAAUUGGGCCUUACAGCUGCCCCUCUUUGCUUGUUAUCGUGUAACGAGAACAGAGCAAAGACUAAAAAAGGCCAAUUUGGCCCGGGCUCACCGAGUUUUGACUUCUUUUGGUGCUUCCUUUCUUCAAGCCUCAUUCUAGUCCACUGCGUCUUAUGAUUCUUCGAUCUGCUCUACUGCAACUUCAGAUACGCCUUAUAGCUUCAAUCUACUCUGCUACGACUCCAUGGGGAUGAGAUUUGUGUUUUUAGUCUGCUUCACUACUACUUAGGGAGAUAAGACUGUGGUUUCGUCUGCUCCGCUACUGCUUAGGGAGAUAAGACUGUAAUCUCCGAUCUAUUCCACUGUCAAAUACAGGGAGAUAGAGUUAUCAGCUUCAAUGUACUCCACUGUAGUCACAGGGAGGUAAAAUCUGCCAUCUUUGAUCUUCAAUCUAUUCCACUGCCAAAUACAGGGAGAUAGAGUUAUCGGCUUCAAUGUACUCCACUGUAGUCAGGGAGGUAAAAUCUGCCAUCUUCGAUCUGUUUCGCUGCCAAAUACAGGAAGGCAAGAUCUGCAAUCUUCGAUCUACUUCACGCCAAUACAUGAAGAUAAGAUCUGCUUUCUUCGAUCUACUUUGCCACCAGUAUGGGAAGACAAGAUCUGCAUCGUCGAUCCACUUCCUACCAAUAUAGGAAGACAGGACCUGCUAUCUUCGAUCUACUUCACGCCAAUACAUGAAGACAAGAUCUGCUUUCUGCGAUCUACUUCGCCACCAAUAUGGGAAGACAAGAUCUGUAUCUUCGAUCCACUUUCUACCAAUAUAGGAAGAUAGGAUCUGCUACCUUCGAUCUACUUCACGCCAAUACAUGAAGACAAGAUCUGCUUUCUGCGAUCUACUUCGCCACCAAUAUAGGAAGACAAGAUCUGCAUCUUCGAUCCACUUCCUACCAAUAUAGGAAGAUAGGAUCUGUUAUCUUUGAUUUACUUCACGCCUAUACAUGAAGACAAGAUCUGCUCUCUGCGAUCUACUUCGCCACCAAUAUGGGAAGACAAGAUCUGCAUCUUUGAUCCACUUCCUACCAAUAUAGGAAGAUAGGACCUAUUUACGCCUAGUGUUUAGGAUGACAUGAUCAGAAUGAAUCAAAUGCUCCUAACUAGAUGCGUAUGUAUUAUAUUUGUAGAAUGUCAUGAGAAUGAUCCAUUUUUAAUGCUUAGGUUGUCAUUCUUCAUUGUUCAUCAAGGUUCUAUCACUGAUGCCUUCUUGUUCAGCCAGUACCUUUGACAGAAAACCUAAAGAAAUAGACGCUAUUUAGACUAUCAUUUCUCAAAUGUUUCCAACCCUUAGGUUUGGUUAGUUCUAAACAAUAGUCCUGUUUCAGGUCAUCGUAUUAUUUAGAAACUUUCAGAGUAAUAUGCAGAACUCCUUCUGCAUGUGUAUUGUCAGUCCAUUAAUCGUUAUUUCAAUGAAAAAUGCUUGAAAAAGAUUAUCAAAAUGGACAAAAUGGAAUUUUGUUGAGAGCAAAGCUCUAAACAAACAAAUCAAGAUAGCAAAUUUGCUGAGAUACGAGAUGAAUAAGAUGAAAAAGAUUAUCACAACGGAUAAGAUGAAAAUUUGCUGAGAGCAAAGCUCUGAAUGAACAAAUUAAUCAAGAUAGCAAAUGUUGCUAGAAUACAAAACGAGAAUAAAUUAAUCAAGAUGAUGUAUUUUGUCAAAAAUACAGAAAAUGAAUAAAAUGGAAAUAAGUGCCCCAGAUAUCGUAGCAUGAGCUUCUCUGCCCCAAACUUCUUAAGGACCCUUUUGAACUUGAUAUGUGUUUAGAAGUCCUAGAAGGCUUUGUUGAUGCCCCAUCUUUGAUCGAAAACUACUUUAUGCCUCAUCCUUGAUCGAAAAUUUGAAUUGCCCGUUCCUGGGUUUUCAAUUCAAAACCCCUUUGGUCUCAAGGUGCCCUUUGCGGGUUUUCGCCUUGGCCUCUCCUCUUUUUUUUUUUUAGGCAAAGUACCUCUUCACUGAAUCCGAAUUCACAGGAUUGGGCAAGCUUUUGCCAUCCAUCCUAGUUAAAAUUAAUGCCCCUCCUGAAAAGGCCUUUUUUACUACAUAAGGUCCCUCCCAGUUUGACAUCCACUUUCCUCUGAAGUCUUUUUGUAUGGGAAGGAUCUUCUUCAGUACCAAGUCCCCUUCAUGGAAGUUUCUAGGACGAACUUUCUUAUUGUAAGCUCGCAUCAUUCGUUUCUGGUAUAUUUGACCAUGACGGAUAGCUCUUAACCUCCUUUCCUCAAUCAAGUUCAGCUGAUCAUAUCGGGAUUAGACCCAUUCUGCUUCGUCUAACUUUAGUUCUGAAAAAACUCAGAGGGAGGGAAUUUCAACCUCAAUUGGUAGCACUGCCUCCAUUCCAUAAACCAAAGAGAAUGGUGUUGCCCCGGUAGAAGUCUUGACGGACGUUCGAUAAGCAUAGAGGGCGAAUGGCAACUUCUCGUGCCAAUCUCUAUAGGUCUCAGUCAUUUUCCCCACAAUCAUUUUGAUAUUUUUAUUGGCUGCCUCCACCGCACCAUUCAUCUUUGGACGGUAUGGCGAUGAGUUGUGGUGCUUGAUAUUGAAUUGACUACAAACUUCUGCUAUCGUGCUAUUAUUCAAAUUUAAUGCGUUGUCAGAUAUAAUCCUUUCGGGCAUUCCAUACCGACAUAUGAUUUCCUUCUUUAAAAACUUGCUGACAGCUGCCUUUGUGACGUUGGUGUAAGAAGUAGCCCCUACCCACUUAGUAAAGUAGUCAAUCACUACAAAAAUGAAACGAUGUUCGUUUGAAGCCUUUGGCGAUAUCGGCCCAAUGACGUCCAUGCCCCACAUGGAGAAAGGCCAUGGGGAAGUCAUGACGUGAAGAGGUGAUAGAGGCAUAUGGAUUUUGUCUCCGUAAAUCUGGCAUUUAUGGCACUUCUUAGCAUAUUUGAUGCAGUCUCCUUCCAUGGUAGACCAAUAAUAUCCAAAUCUCAUGAUUUGUCUGGCCAUUGUGAAACCGUUAGCGUGUGUUCCACAAAUACCAUCAUGGACUUCUUCCAAGAUCUGUUUGGCCUCCAUAGCGUCCACACAUCUUAACAGCACCUGAUCUUUUCCUCUUUUGUACAGGAUCUCUCCAUCUAAGACGUAAUCACUGGCCAGCCUCCUCAACAUUCUCUUGUCAUUCUCAGUUGCUUGGUUUGGGUAUUCACGAUUUUUUACGUAUCGCAAUAUAUCCUGAUACCAAGGGUUUUCGUCCUUUUCUUCUUCUUCGUCAAUGUUACAACAGUGGGCUGGAGCAUCAUAAAUGCUCAUUUGGAUAGGCUUCACAUCCUCUGGUCUAUUUACUUUGAUAAUGGAAGCCAAUGUAGCUAAAGCGUCGGCCAUCUGAUUCUCGUCUCGUGGAAGAUAACAAAAAGUGAUGUCGUCAAACUCCUCAAUCAAUUCUAGGACUAUCCUUCGGUAACUAAUCAACUUAGGUUCUCUUGUUUCCCAUUCGCCUUUGAGCUGAUAAAUUACCAAUGCCGAAUCCCCAUAUACCUCAAGUACCUUGAUUUUGCGUUCUAUAGCCGCGCGGAUUCCCAUGAUACAUGCUUCAUAUUCCGUCAUGUUAUUUGUGCAAUCAAAAUCUAGUUUACUGGUGAAAGGAUAAUGAUCACCGUUUGGAGAUACCAAGACUGCCCCAAUCCCGUUGCCCAUGGCAUUUGAGGCUCCGUCAAAAUUUAAUUUCCAAGUAUUGCCUUCUUGUGUGCUUGCUUCAGUAGUUGCCACAUACAUCAGAUCCUCAUUUGGAAAAUCAAAGUUCAAAGGCUCAUAAUCGUCCAGGGCUCUACUUGCUAGAAAAUCUGCUAUCGCGCUCCCUUUUACAGCCUUUCGAUUCACAUAGGUUAUGUCAAAUUCAGAUAGUAGAAUUUACCAUCGGGCCAUCCUUCCGUUUAGAGCAGUUGACUCCAUCAUGUAUUUCAGAGGGUCUACCUUUGAGAUUAACCAAGUCGUAUGGUACAACAUGUAUUGUCUCAAUCUUCGAGUAGUCCAAACCAAUGCGCAACAUAAUUUUUCAAUUGGCGAAUACCUCGUUUCGCAUUCAGUGAACUUUUUACUGAGAUAAUAGAUCGCUCUUUCCUUUCGUCCUGACUCAUCAUGUUGGCCGAGCACGCACCCCAUGGAAUUCUCAAAUACUGCCAAGUAUAGUAUCAAUGGUUUGUCAGGGCAAGGUGGUAUCAGUACUGGGGCGUUGGACAAGUAAUGUUUAACUCUUUCGAAAGUUUUCUGGCACUCUUCAUCCCAUACACCUGGAUUGUGUUUCCUAAGAAGACGGAAUAUGGGGUCACAUUUCUCGGUUAAUUGUGAAAUGAAUCGAGCGAUGUAAUUUAGUCUUCCUAGGAAACCCCGAACUUCUUUUUGAGUACUUGGCGGAGGUAAUUCUUAUAUGGCCUUAACUUUGUCUGGGUCAAUUUCAAUUCCCUUUUCGCUGACUAAAAAUCCUAGCAAUUUUCCUGAUCUAGCCCCGAAAGUACACUUGGCUGGGUUAAGUUUUAGCUGGAACUUCCUUAACCUCAGAAACAGUUUUCUCAGAACUUGCACGUGUUCCCUUUCUGUUCUGGAUUUUGCGAUCAUGUCAUCAACAUAAACUUCUAUCUCUUUAUGCAUCAUAUCAUGGAAUAAUGCUACCAUGGCUCUCUGAUACGUUGCUCCCGCAUUUUUCAAUCCAAAAGGCAUCACUUUAUAACAAAACGUCCCCCACAUCGUUAUGAAUGUGGUCUUCUCCCUGUCUUCAGAAAGCAUCUUAAUUUGGUUGUACCCGGAGAAACCAUCCAUGAAAGAGAGCAGUGAGUAUCCGGCCGUGUUGUCUACCAAGGUAUCGAUAUGAGGAAGUGGGAAAUUAUCUUUUGGGCUGGCUUUGUUCAAGUCUCUGUAGUCCACACACAUUCGCACCUUCCCAUCUUUCUUAGGAACAGGGACUAUAUUGGCUACCCAUUCUGAGUACUUGACCACCUGUAAGAAACCAGCAUCAAAUUGCUUCUUAACUUCUUACUUUAUUUUUAGCAAGACAUCAGGCCUCAUCCUUCGGAGCUUUUGUUGGACUGGUUUGCAUUCUUCCUUUAUAGGCAAUCGGUGUACCACGAUAUCAGUACUUAACCCUGGCAUAUCUUGGUAGGACCACGCGAAGACAUCUUUAAACUCUUGAAGCAACUCAACAAGGUCUUGCCUUGUUUCCUUGGCAAUGCAAGCGCCAAUUUUUACCUCUCUGCUCUCUUCUAAGGUCACAACUUCUACUGAUUCCUUAUAGGGUAUAAUUUGUUUUUCUUCUUCUUUCAUCAUUCUUAACAAAUUCGGAGAUAAAACGCUGUCUUGGUCACCUUUAAAAUCUUGAGGAUCAUCUAUACUCAUGUCUUGCUCAAAUAGAGACUCUGAAUUAGUAACAGAGUCGCUCAUCUCGUUGAUAUUUGAAGACCUGUUAUUGGAACAAAUGGAGGCCCAAAUAAAAGGAUCUAAGAAUACUUGUAUGCAUAUUAUGAUUAUAAAGGGAAUGAAAAGAAUGAAAGAAUACUUGCUCAAGAUGAAACUGAAUGAUAAGUUUUCACUGAAAUUAGAUUUUGAACAUGUGCAUUUUACAAAAGAUUCUUAUCACCCCCAGGCUUAGGGCAACAAGUGUUCUGAAUAUUACUCUGAAUUAGUUCUAAAUGUUACAGGGAUCUCUUCUGCAGUCCAGUUAUUCGGAACACUUCCAGGUUCGUAAGGACGAAUGCCCGAUAAAUUCCUUUCCACCCUUUCUUCCGCGGAUAUGGCAUUGAUGUCCAACCUCUCAAUCCUUCCUUCUGUAACCUCAUCCUUCUCUUCAGGGUGGACAAUUCCCCCUGAAACAAAAGUCUUAGAUAUAUGAGGAAAGGUUAUCGGUCCCCACUUGGCUUCUAUCCCGCCCAAAUGUGCUCUUCUCCUUUCUUGUCUUUUCUCCAUCUCCUUCCUCCUUUCCCUCGCAAUAGGCUUAUAUCCCAAACCAUAACGGUCCUGUUUGUUAACUAGGAUCGGUACUCCGACCCUUCCCUGGAGGUAUUUUCCAAAUCCUCUUCCAGGCAAUGCUCCCUUUCCCACCGUUAAGUUCAUUGACGUAGCUUUGGAUAUCUUAGGCUCUGGGAUUUUGCUCAUCUCAAUGACAAAUAUGGCAUUUACGAAUUCCAAUGAUCGGAAUGAACAUUCUAUCGCUUCACUAUCAGCCUCUAUGUAUGGCAUAUCAUCGGUGACUGAUGCAAUGAUGUCUUCUUCUGCACCUAUAGUCACCAAUCUACCCUCUACCACCAAUUUUAACUUUUGGUGAAGUGACGAUGGUACAGCCCCUGCAGAAUGGAUCCAAGGCCUCCCUAAUAGGCAAUUGUAAGAUGGUUUAAUAUCCAUUACCAAAAAGUCUACCUCGUAUGUAUUUGGACCAAUCAAUAGAGGUAUCUCGAUUCUUCCCAUCACUUUUCUCUCAGUGCCAUCAAAUGCUCUCACUAUAUUUUGGCAUAAUUUCAUGUGAGAACUAUCCACAGGUAGCCUGUUUAAUGUGGACAGGGGUAAAACAUUCAGGGCCGAUCCAUUGUCAACGAGUACCGCCGGUAGUAUACACCCCUUGCAACGGGCAGUGAUGUGCAAGGCCUUGGUAGAUCCCAUACCGCCUGGCGAGAUCUCAUCAUCGUUGAAGAAGAUGAAGUUAUCGGCAUUUAUAUUGUUAACCAGGCAAUCCAAUUUGUCCACUGAGAUAUCUUUAGCGACAUAAGUUUCAUUUAGCACUUUUACUAACGUAUUACGAUGUAUCUCUGAACUUAGAAGUAACUCGAGCACUGAGAUGCGAGCCGGUUACUUAUGCAGUUGUUCCACCACGCUAUACUCGCUAUGCUUCAAGAAUUUUAAGAAUUCUCUAGCCUCAUUUUCAGUCACCGGUGUAUUAAUAUGCGGUUCAAUUCCGGUCUUCGUUUUAUCUUGUUCAACCGCCAAGGCUUUUCCUUUUAUAGGCCCCCUUUUUGUAUUUCCCGGGUCGCAACGUUUUCCACUACGCGUAUAAAAGCCUGUGUCAUUACCCUCUUCUGAAGCAUUUAUCGGGUUCUCCUCUCCCGUGAUCAUCACAUUGCAGUCAUAAUUCUAAGGAACCUUUUUACUAUCCUUGUAAGGAAAGGCUACAGGUUUUUGGAUUAUGACCCUUGGCGCCAGUUGUAUUCCAGAUCCUGUGCUUGUUGGCCUUGAAAUAAUCACCACCGGGUGAUUUUGGGCCUUUCUCGUAGGCCCCUCCUCUGAGGCAUAAACUUCUCCUUUCUCAAGUCCUUUGAUCUCUUCAUAAAAUUCUAACUCUUUGUUGUUCAUCAGAUUUUGUAACAUGGCCUUGAAAUCAGUGCAAUUUUGAAUGUCAUGGUCUUCUUCAGCAUGAAACUCGCAGUACGUCUUCGUUCCUUCGGGCCUUUCUUUUGAAUCUUGUUUGAUGAGACCUCCUUCUAUCAUUUGUCUCCAAACCCAACUCAAUGGGGUUUUUAUCUCUGCAAUGUCGGUUUUGAUUCUCUUUCUCCCACCUUCGAUUAUUGCGUUUACCCCUUUAUCAGCAUGAUCGGGUAACGGAUUCGCUGCUACAUUUGGUCCUAAUGGGUUGUCAAACUUCACAAUCCCCAUCUUAAUGAACCUUUCCACCGCCUUUUUAAACCCAGUGCAGUUCUCAAUUGAGUGCCCCGGUAUCCCUGCAUGGUAUUCACAUUGGGCAUUCGCGUCAUACCAUUUGGGAUACGGAGGUUGCAUGGGCUCUAGAUAAAAUGGAGAUACUAUGUGUGCAUCAAAUAACUUCUGAUACAGUUCCCCGUAUGUUAUUGGAAUGGGCGUGAAUUAAAGUCUCUCUGUGUUAGUCCUUGUGUUAGGCCUCGUGUUGGGUUCCUGCCUUGAGGGGGCUUGGUGACUAGUGGUUAUCAUUUUUGGAGGGCCAACAGUAAUCAGUUUUGAAUGGCUCUUGCUAUAUGUGCAUACGUUGUUUACUUCGCCCUCUUUUUUUCUUCGGGCUGGUCUUUUGAAGUUUUCCCCAGUGUCAAUUUUACCGCUCCUUACCGCGUUCUCAAUCAUUUCACCAGACAUUACCAUAUCCGAGAAACUCUUGGUAGCACUCCCCAACAUGUGGUUGAUGAACAGGGCUUUCAAAGUGUUGAUAAACAACAUGGUGACCUCUUUUUCCAAAAGGGGUGGCUGGACUUGUGUUGCCACUUCUCUCCAUCGUUGGGCGUAUUGCCUGAAAUUCUCGCUAGGCUUUUUUUCCAUGUUUUGUAACGUAAUUCGAUCGGGUGUUAUAUCCAUUACAUGACUGUAUUGCUUCAUAAAAGCUUGCGCCAAGUCUCUCCAUGAACUAACUUUAGCACGACUCAGUUGGUUGUACCAUUUGGCUGCAGAUCCGAUCAAACUGUCCUGGAAGCAGUGGAUUAACAGCUGAUCAUUGUUGACGUAUCCUGUCAUUCUUCGACAGAACAUAGUUAUAUGAGCUUCAGGACAACUAGUCCCAUUAUAUUUUUCGAAUUCUGACAUUUUGAACUUAGGUGGGAGUACUAAACCAGGGACCAAACUCAGAUCAUUGACGUCAACCCCGCGAUGACAGUCGAUGUUCUCCAUGGCUCUAAAUUUUUCCUCUAACCAUCUACAUCGGUCCUCCAGUUGUUUUGGCAGGUUCAUUCUUGUUUUUUCUGUUUCUGCCACGUCAUCGAGGUCCGGGACCACCAGAUUAGUGGGAUUAUCCCCGGGAUUAAAACCCGAGCCCAUUUGAAAAUGCACUGGUACCGAGGUACCAGCCAGAUAUUGAGGUCCUAUGGUAACUGGUACCCUCUGUGGGUACACCUCUGGUUGUGCUUGGAUGUUAGUUGGGGUGAAACCUGGAGGAUAAACAGGGUCAUCGUGAUCCUCCCCAGCAUCAAUUACGGGGUCUUUUCCUUUGUUAUUCCCUCCAGCCAAUAACUGCUUUAAUUGGUUCAUCACGGUGUUCUGGGAUUCUAACAUGUCCUGCUGGAUUUUUUCCAGUCGUUCAUGCAUCUGAUCUUGCAUCUCUCGUUGCAACUGUUCCAAUCUUUCCAACCUUUGAUCCAUUGCUUUUGUUUGGCGACGAGUACCGUAGUGAUAUUUGAUUAGAUUUUUGUUGGUUUCCAGGGUAACUGUCAUAAUUUAAUUUUAUUAGGGUCAUUUUAUGAGAUGUAAUGCAAAUGUAUGAGAUGAAUGCAAAAAAAAGAGGCAUUGAUUCGAAUUCAAUUUCAUUAGAAAACUCAACUAGAAAGCAAAUUUCUUUACAUAAAAUAAAUUACAUAUACGGCUUCGCCUUUAUACCCAAAGCCUUAACCUUCCUAAGAAGCCAACUAAAUCUCGACCUCGGCUUGAUUCUGACUCAUAUUUUAAACUCAAUACAUCGGCCUGAAUUGCUAAUGUUUGCAGAUGAUCAGCCACUUCCCGCACUUGAGUCACAGCUUCGCCCAUAACGUAAUCUCUAUCUCUAAUCUGACUUUGAGAAUGAUGGAAUUGCUCUUGCCAUUGAUCAUUACUCCUCUCAAGAAGCUCCAUUCGUAGCUCAGAAUUGUGUAAUGCGUCCUCAAGCUCCUCUACCUUUCCUUUCAGUUCUUCGAUCUUAUUUAAGCUUGCUCUUAAUUCGAUCAUGGAGUUGCGACUACGGUACGAGUGAAGUGACUUUUCUAGCUCUGCCACCUUGGCCUUUAAUCCUGCCUUCUCAUUUCGGCACUCUAACAAACUCCUUUCCAAAGCGUUUUCUCGAGCUCAAGCAUCUUGAAAUUUCUUUUCCCACUGAUCGGCCCUAUUCUUUUCCUCAUUGAUCUCUUGUCGCCAUUGCUCUGACGUUUUACCCAGACCGACAGUUCUCAUUGACAAUCGCAGCUUCUUGUAAUCUAUUUUUAGACUAUCCAAAUCCUCUUCAGCCUUGUUCUUUCCCUUCUUUAAUUUCUCGGCUUCUAGCUUGUGGAUAUCGAUGUCUAAUCCCAAAUGCACUCUUUCUUCUUCUAGCUGUUCUAUCCUCUUUCCCAACUCAGAAUUUCUUUUCUCAAAGUCUCGUUUGAUGAUCUCUAAUUCUGACGGAACUACUUGUAGAUGCUCCUCUAUAGACUGAACGCAAUCUUCCCUCGGCUUAGGGAUGUUGUCAUUGACUCUUUUACUCCACCACCCAUAAUAUUCUGAAGUUGUCAUCGCUCCUACGGUAAAUCUUUUCAUUCGGUGAACCUGUUUCCAAGCGUUAGAUAUUUCUCGAGUUUUUCUCUUGUAGUUUUCAUCCUUAUAAGAAAACUCACAUUGAGCCAGCCCUUGUGUUGCUGGUAUGAACUGUCUCGAUCUAUAUUGUCUUAAUACGAGUAAAGGGGCAUAACCGACAGCUCCCCAAAUUUCGAGUAAAGGGACCCAGUCGAAAUCCCCACAUCGAUACAGGAUCUCGUCGGGUACCAUCCAAGGAGCUUUCCAUUCAACGUCAUCCUCCUGAAGAUUUUGGAGAAUCGUCAUCCACUUCUCUUCCGUGAUGUCGUCUCGUCUUGGUGUAGCAACUUGUUCCUUCAAUGGGGAAUAGUCUUCUGAGAAGACUCGAUAGGAGACAUUUUCCACCUUCCAAAAGUGACUAUGGAACCACACUAAUAGUAGCUGUGCGCAUCCGAUGAACCUUCCCUCCCCUGCUCUUCGACAUGCACUUAGAAAUCUGAAGGUUUCUGCUAAGAUUGCCGGGAUGGGCGUGACUCCUUUACUAAGCCGAUCGAACAAAUCAGAGACGGCCUCAUCUACGUGCCCUAAAGCUCUAGGGAAAAUUACCAAUCCAUAGAUACCUAGAGCGAAGACAUCCACUCUUUUCUUCACAUCAGGGUGUGCUAAUACUAAAUCUCGCAAGCUUUUCCAAGGAACGCAUUUACUGUCUCCUUUCUGUUGGAUUCGGGCAGCGACCCACUGUUCGCUCAUCCCUGUAAUGCUCAUCAAUUUUUUUAAUAAUGUCGGGACACUAGCAGCUCUAGAAUAGGCCUUGUCAAUUUGAAUCUUUGGACACCGAAGCAAGGUCGUAUAUUCUUCCAUGGUGGGCACCAAGUCCACUUUUCCAAAAGUGAAACAACUGUAAGCAGGAUUCUAAAACUGGGCUAGGGCUCGGAAUAAAUGCUUGUCCACUUUGACACCAAGUAGGUAAGGCAAGUCCCCGUAGUCACAGUAAAACAUCUGCUUGGUCCCAUCGUCCCAUUGAUCCCAUAUUUCCUUCAUUUCUCGAAGAUCAUUUUGGAUUACGCUGAUACGGGUGAAGUCCCAUAACUCUGAUACGUACCCUUCUGCAAGACUAUCGCCUUUCUCUCUCCACAUCGUCUCAGCCCACACUCGUACAGCUGCAUUGUCUUCUACUUUAUCAAGAAACCUCUUUUCCAUGAUAAGCUUUCUAUCUAUACUGAACGUGAAUCGACACCUUUUGAAAUGAAAAUGCCAUGCAAUCAUAAACAAAGCAAAUCAGAGCUAGGAUUUAAAGUAAACAAUAAUAAAUAAAGCAUCUAUUCGGUAAGCGCUAGGGUUUGGAAUAGCUCUAUCUCGGUGGGUUCUUACGGCUCGCUAUAUGUGGUUUAGUUCUAAAGUAAGGGUACCUGAACCAGCAGAUUCCUCGAUCCUCACCCAUUAUAGGCUCAUGGACCGAGUUCAGUUCAGGGGAAUACAUUUCCCUAUGGCCAUGCGGAGAUGAAAAUCUCACGAAGACAUAGGUACGGAUGUAUCCCGGAAGCGAUUCACUAUCCCAUGCGGAGGUGAAAACCUCACGAAGGCGUAGUUUCUCACUCCCACUUAAAAAGGUAUGACCAGCGAUCAUGCAAUUCAAUGUGCAGAGGUAUAAAAUAAAAUACAGAACACGAUAAAAAAUAUAACUCAAAACAAAAGAGAUGCAAUGAAAGGAUCGUAAAUUUAAAUCAAAUUUUCCACUUUCAACAAAAAGACAAGAAAUAAUCAACACGUGGCUUGACUCUCUUUCGUUCCCCAGUGGAGUCGCCAAGCUGUUGACACCAUUUUUUUGAUGAAAACGGGGUCGACUUGGAUUUUGAAAAAAGAAUGAAAACGGGAGUCGCCACCAAUCCUUUUUGACGAGGUGUGAUCGGGUCACCUCAAAAUGUGGUUGUUUUUAAUAAAUGAUUUAAUUUUAUUAAAACAACGAUUUUGGUCUACGAAAUUCAGAAAAAUGAGUUCGGGAGUCGGUUACGCACGAGGAAGGAUUAGCACCCUCGAUACGCCCAAAAUUGGUACCUAGUUGAUUAAUUAGUGUCUUAGUGUCGAAAAUUGAAAAUUUGAAGAGUUUUAAAAAUACGAUCCUUAAAAGAAAUUCUGAUAACGUGAAUUGAAAUAUAAGAUUCUCUUGUUCCGAAGGAAUAUCACAUCCAGCACGUUAGGACACGAUACUCUAAACCAUCGAAACCAAGAUCAUCUUAUAGUUUAAUGAAACCACACUUUGAAGCUUUAAGAGGAUAUUUGGCUAUUUAGUCGAACGAGAAAUCGAAACCCAGCACGUUAGGGCACGUUUUCUCGAUUUUCCAAACGCGAAAUAUCGCCUUAUUUAGAAAAAUUUUCCUUUUGAUGUUUGGUGUUAAUGCUUGACAAAACAAUAACGAAUACGACAAGGUGAGCAAAGUAAAGUGAGUAACAACAAUACAAUAGGCAAAAUGAAAUGACGAGGCGAUUACAUAAACAAAGCAUACAAAUAAAUAAAUAGAACUAACAUUUAAAAAAAAGCAUAAGUGUACACGAAUAAAUAAACAAACACCAAAUAACAAUGAUGACAAUAAAUACAAUUAUGUAAAAAUGUAUAUACAUGUAUAAUUUUAAGCCAUGAAAUAAGAAACGCAUAUAAAUUAUAGAAUAUGAAAACAUAGAUAAAUAUAUACAUAUGUGUAAAAAAUAAUAUUAUAAAAAGGGUACGUAUAUAUGUAUAAAAAAUAAAUGUAUUAACAAUGAAUAUAAUAAGGGUAAGAAAACAAGUAUAUACACAAUAUAUAUGUAACGUAGGUACUAAGGAUAUAUAUAUACAAUACAGUAUUUAAAAUAAUAUUUACGUAAUAUAAAAUAUAAUAUUAAAAGGUAUAUGUACAUACGUAAUAUAUAAAUACAUAUAUAAUAUAAUGUUAAAAUAUUUACAUAAUACUAAAAUAUUUAGGUAAUAUAUGCGUAUAUUGAAAACUAGUAAUAAUAUUACCGAGGUAUAUACAAAUAUAUCAAGUAUAUACACGUAUUAUAAAUAUAUAAAUAUAUGACAAAGCAUAAACUAAUAAAAAUAAUAAGAAUAAUAAUAAUGAUAACAUUGGAAUAUAAAAGAAACAAACAUAACAUUAAUAAAAUAUUAAAAUAAAGUGAAAUAAAAAUAUUAAAUAUGAGAAUAUAUAUAGGUAUACACGUACAUAAUAAAAAUAUAUACUAAUACAUAAUAAUAAUAAUGGUAAUACUAAUAAUACUAAUAAUAUAAAAAUAACAAGGAUAUUUAAUAAAGAUAUAAAAAUCAACAAAAAAGGACUAAAAUUGAAUUGAAAGCAAAGUUGUGGGGCCAAUUUGAAAUGAAAACAAAGAAAAAGGACUUAAUUGUAACACGCAUGCAACUUGGAGGGUCAAAAGUGCAAUAAACCCAAGUAUUAAAAACGCUGCGCAGCGUGGGGGACCAGAAUGAAUUCGGGGCAACACCAUGGAGCCAAAUUAAAAAUAAAAAAACCUUGAUUGUAAACUCCCAGAAAGGCGGAAGGGCUAAAAGUGCAAUUAGCCCUUCCAAAGAAAAAAACACGCGGAUCUUCCUUGGUGCAGGUCGGGUCGACCCGACCCGUGUUCAAAACGACGUCGUUUCAUUUAUUUAAACCGGGGGUCCAAAACGGUGCGUUUUGACCCCCUAUAAAAGUCAAAAAAACUUCAAAAAAAAAUCAUUUGUAACGCUGAGGGAAAAAAAAGAAAAGGGAGAGAGGAGAGGGGAGCCCGGAGCGAUUUCCGGCCAAGGGAGGGGUCACCGGACGGCCACCGGAGGCUCGCCGGCGUCAGCGCCGGCCACCGCACGCCGUGGCCGGAAAGGUAAAAUUUUUUAUAUUUUUUUUAUAUUUUUUUGUUAUUUAUUCUUGGUCUUAGAAUGUAUAGAUUUUAGGUUUAUAUUAAUAAAAAAGGUAUAGAUAUGUAUAUAGAAAUCGAAAGAAAAUGGAUGAAAACAAAAAGGUAACCUUUUCCGUUUGCCUUUUCUUUUUCCCGAAUGCUUGCUAUCUCAGUACUGAGAUCUAUGUAUUUUUUUUAAAAUUCUAGCUUCUGUUUUUUUGUAUUAAAAUGCCAAAAAACAAACAAAAAGAAGAAAGAAAAAAAACCCCUGACACAAUUUUUUAUUCGGGUUUUUAUAACCCAUUUUCAUCUAAUUUCCUAUUGUUUCUGUUUUGUCUCUUUGCAUGGGAUGGGCACGAUGGAGGUGACAGAGGCAUGGUGGUACAGAGGAGCAGGUGGCCGACAUGGUGGCAUGGAGAGCUGGGCGUGGCAGACGAGGAGGCCACGCGAGGCAUGCAGCGCUAGGGCUUGGGGGGCAUCUUUCUGCCGAAAAUGUUAAUGUUGUCUGGGCUGGGUUUUUGAUUUUUGUUUCGGGCCAUGGGCUACAUUGGGCUUGUUAUUUUCCUUUGUAAUUGGACUGUUGUUUAUCUUGUUUUAAUAUUCGGGCCUGGGCAUAAAAUUGGGCCUUACAAUAGUCUUAAGUGUCUAUCACAAGAACCUAGAUAUUGUAAAUCCAAUAUCUUCCAAACAAUUCAACCAUGAUAUUAAUGAUGAUGGAAGCAAGAUUAUCCACUAUCAAUGACAUAAAAUGAGCUGUAAAUGCUGACGAACAAACAUGCACUGUUUUUCCAACCUGUGGAUUGAAGAGCAUUGACAAGCUAACUUUGCAGACCAUUUGAAUCCAAUACUAUACAUAAAAAUGCCAAAGGAGAAUAAUUCAUCUUGGAAAAAGAAUUACUAAUAUGCAAAAGCUUACCUUGUUUAACAAGAACACAGCAUAUGCUGCUCUUGUCGUGUCUUGACCUUCUAAAAACAGCGGAAAUUCUGCCAGCUUUACAUUUGCUGAAAGUGUUGUAUCCAAUGACAAAUCAGAAGAUGCAGGGUCUAUUGAAGACGCAUGGUCAUUAAUAUAUGAGCGAGAACCACCCAAGCGCAGAGGAUAACGCAAGGGAACUUGUAAAUAGGAUGCAAUUAGUGAAACAGCCUGCAAAUGAUGAAAUAACAGGAAACAAGAAACAAUAAUAGGUAUGAUUAAAAUUAUAGCCUCAGCAUGAGAAACAAGCAAUCAAGAUGCAGCCCACUAUACCAUAUUACCAUCCUAGCAAUUAAAAAUUACUACAGCAUCUUCAAGCAACAAGGGAUUGUAGGUGGUAGGUCAAAAAACUUGAUAUCCACAGCUUGAUAUUAUCAGAAAAAACAAAUUCAGUAAUAAAUGAUAACUUCACAGAAGAAAUAGAACGCACAUGUGCAACAUAUCCCAAGGCAGUUGCAGAUCUCUGAACCUCCUUUUUGUCAGUGAAAAAACUCAUCUUUGUAAAAGGAAGCAAGGUGAGAUUCAGACCUAAAAUUGUCAACGAUCCUUGAUUGACGGGCUUUGAUGCAGAAGGAUUCCCUAGUGAAGACAGGAACAAAGGAACUUCAUAUCAAUACAUCACCAGACACCACCUCUUUGUGAAAGUCAAAACAAAAUUCAAAAAAAUAUAAUCAUGAAAGUAAGAGAUAUGUAAAAAGUUCAUAAUAUUCAAGAGCAAAAAAAAAUUGUUUUGAUAUGAGGAGAAUUGAAUAGUAGAUUGCUAAAAGAGGAAUAACUGAAUACAGCCAUCAUAACCAAAAGAAGAGUCAAGUGAUAGGUAAUGGUACUCCCUAAGCUGUUUAGGAAUCAUAAAAGACUUGUCCAGUUGACAAAAAUAACUCAUUUUAUUCUCCCCUAGUAAAACAUCAUAUUGGACCAACCAUAUUUGAUAUCAAAGGAUAUGGAUAUCCAGGCAUGCCAUUUAUAGAUAUUCCCAGUGUUGCAAGAAGGAAUUGUUCAAGAGAAAGAAGCUGCUAUUGUUGGUAAAGUUUUCCUCAAACCAUUUUGAACAUCCAAAAUCUCAAGAACAAAAAAGAAAACGUAGGAGGAAAUAUAACAAGCAUCACAACGGGUUCUCGAUGAUAUAAGUGAGAGGAUAAAUGUUAAUUAAGAUUAUAAAAAUAAACCACAAACUAAACAGGAAAGACAUGGAUUUCAAAACGAGGAGACUGGCUGCUAAUUAAAACCAUAUGCGGUGUUGUCUAGGGCGCAAGGCGCAUUCUAGGUGCUAACCUUUAUAUUGCCUCAAGCACAAGGCACAAAAGGAAGCGCUAGCCUGAGUGCAGUAAAGCGCAAUACAUAUAUGUGAGAGUUUUUGCAAGUCUGUGUGUCUACAACAUAAAAGUUUUAAGAUAUAUAGUAAACUCUAAAGUGUGGUCUGGUUUAUCCACAAAACUUGCAAAAUUUUUAUAGGUGAAUGCUCAAAUAUUGAGAAUUAUAGAGUUUGAUAUUAUCCCUUUCUUAUUAGUAAAGGUGUAUCAAAUGAAAACAGUAAAAAAUAAAAUAAAAUAUUGAGAAAUUCAACAAGGCAGGCUUUUUCUAAUGCCCAUUGCCUUACAAAAAAAGUGUGCCUAGGUGCACCAGGCAUACGCUUGAUCAAAUGGACCUCACCUGGAAGGGUCCAAGGCGUUUGGUUGUAUAAAACUAAGGCGUAGGCAUGCCUAGGCGCAUGCCUUGACGACACUGACCAUAUGUUGGCUUUAUUGCAAAGCAUUAGCAAUCCAAAACUACUAGCACAUUACCUAAUCUACUACUGCUAGAAUAGGACUCAAGUUCUUGCUCCUGUGCAGGUCCAACCAAGAUCUUUACAGGAUACAAUAAUGAAACUUGUGAUAUCAUAUAUUGUUGCCUUGCUCGAAGCUUCCUUUGCACAUUUUUAAGUUUAACACAACCCCUUUCUUCAGUGAGUAAUCUAUUUGCUUCCUGUGAUAAAAACAACAUAUAAUCAAUCAUGCCACGCAUGCAAGACUACCAACCAACUAUCUAACAAAAGAUACAAAGAAGUAGGAGAGCAAGAAGGGGAUAACCCUUGACUAUGCAAAGGAAUUCAUAGAAUGAGAAUCAUCUCAUCUAAGCCCCUCAACCACCUUCACAGGGGGUGGAGGUGCAAAGAGAGAGGUCUUAUUGAUCCGAGAGGAGAAUAUAUAACAUCUAAAGCUGAAUAAGAAGAAACCUUGAAAUAUAUCAUAAAUUCAGAAUUCAUGAUAAUAUAAAAAUGAAAUUCCAAAGCUAAUUUAAGCUAGAAUAAAAAUGCUUCACCUGUAAUCACUUCCUUGCUACAGAAAGAGAGGUACCAGCAACCAACAAUGAUCUUACUUCAGUACUAAGCAUUUCCUCCUGUUUUUUAGCAUCCUCUGUUGCAACUUUGCAAUGAGUUGACAUGUUUGCCAUAACUACUUUCCUUGCCUCGAGUCUCUCACGCAUUUCCUCAAGCUCGUUCAGUUUAUUCAAAGACUCAUUUUUUACCUGCACAGCAUGUUCCCACCCAUUAAUCAGUGGGCCAAUUAAUUAGGUCACAGAAGACAAAACUAAAUUAUCACUCACCAGGUCCCCUUGAAGUGUCAUAUGGCUUUAACAAUUCAACGUGCAAUAUCUAGUAAAAGUAAAAUAAACAUAGAAGAAUGCAAAUGCAAUUCUUAAACGCCUUUAAAUGGACAACAUGAAACACUUUAAGAGCCCUAUAAAACAGAAAACUGGAAAAAAAAUCUGAAAAGGAAAAAAAAAUGAAUUGAAACAAUAAAUCCAUCUGGUACAAACAGCAACAAAUCUCGAAAUAAGCUUUGGCUUUAGCCCAUUAAAGCCCGGGCAUCCGGCCAAAUAAACAGUGACUGCCAUGUCAACUUUUUGAGACGGUAGAAAAGAGCUCAAAAAUCUCAAUUUCCAAAAAUAAGGACAUAAGAAGGAAAACAAUUUACUUAUUCUUACAGUAGAAGAGCAAAAUGAAACUAAAUGAAGGAUAAGGGAACUGAUGCGAAUUGACAUUGUUAUUUUUGGGACUAAAAAGAAUACGCAGAUUGAAUAUUUAAGAUUUUGUAAGGGAAAAGUUCCAUUCACCGACACAAUUAUCAUCGCCCUUUAUCCCAGUAAAGCUUAAUUGACAAUUUUUCUGUCUCGUGUUCUUGCUAAAGCAUUUGAGCAACCCAACAGAAAUCAUUAUAUUUCAAACUGAAAUGAUUGGCUUUAACAAUUUCACAACCUAUACCGCCCAACCUAGUAAGUAAUUUAGGUGCAGACACCAGAAAUCUAUUUUCUUUGCACUCUACAACUAAAUAGCAUACCACUUAUCAAUCAAACACAGCUGAAAACUUCAGUGAGGGAACAUUAUGUAAAAUGAAAAAACUAUAACUUCAACUUGAUUCAUAGCUCGGCAAGUUCAGGGAAUUGGGACUUCUACCACGAUGAUCCAGUUCAAUGUGAAACAGUGAUCCAUAUCAUGCAUAUCGGUUCCCGGAACAAGAGGUAAAACCAGCAAAUUAGGUAAACAAUAAUCCUACUAUAUUUCAGAAUAGCAACAUUGAGCAUGAAAGCUAAAAUUAUAGCAUAUUACGGGUCCUUGCUCUCUACAACUACAUAUAAAAUUAGUAAACAAUAUUACUACAUUAAGGAUCCAGAAAAACUUUGUUUCAAUUGUUGAUCACUUGAUCCAACUAUUUUAGAAAGUUUAUUCUUCUUUUUCCUUUCCCUUAUUUUCUAAAUCAGGAAAAACAGUAGCAUAUAAAUUGGAUUACUACUCCAAGUUUCUGAAAUUUCAACAAUAUCCCUUUUACCUUUUCACUCAAGUCAUUACCCCCCAAUUAACAAAUAUAUUCCCAGUUUCCCUUUCCCUUCAAACACCCCUUUUUUUUUCCUCUACCCAAAUUCAGCUUAUGUUCAAAAACCCAAAAUUGGUUUGCUAAAAUAACAUAAUUUUCAAACACAAAGAUAACCUAAUUUUAAUCAGAAAAAAAAAGCAUUACCUGAAUUAGUGACUGGAGUUUCUCUUGAAGACUUUGUUUCUUCUCAUUAGCUUCCUUAAGGGCAGAAGUUAAACUCCACAAUCUAGCUAGCUCGUUGUCGAAAUCUUCCCAUUCAAUUAGUUGCACAUUUUCAUGUGCAGCAUUGAUUUUCUUCGGGUCGGUAAUUAGGGUUUUGACUCGGGCUUGUUCUCGAUUUUCCAUGAAAUAAUUGAAGAGGAAAGCUUUCGAUUCUGUAAGUUUAAAAAGGGAUCAUAGAUCGACCUCAUGGUACUGGAUCUCGCCCGGUUAGAGUGUUCUUUUUCACGCCGAUCGAAUCAUUUUCUCGGGAAACUUUGCUAGCUAGGGGUAAUUUUCUCGGGAAAAUGGAGGGAAAAACAGAUUCGGGAGUUUUUAUUUGGGGGAGUCUAAGGUAUAACGGAGAAUGACAGGUGGCGGUUAACGGAGGAAUCUCACGAUUCAUGUCAUUUUCACUUUUUCGAUUUAGAAAUUGCUUAAAUACUUUUAAAAAUAGAUAAUAAGAUAAACUUUCUUUUUGAAUAAGAUAAAACUUUCAUUGAAAAUAAAUAAAUAAAUUAAAAAAUAUUUGAUGAUUUUUAAGUUGGUAAUUUUUUUUUAUAAAAAUUUGGUAACUUCUUUGAAAGUUGAUAUAAAAUGUAUCACGACCCGACUUGAGAUUUAAUUUGUCCUCGUCAGAAGUCCGACCCAAACAAGGGAAUAUGACUUGCCACUCACCAAUUUUUUAACCUUCCAACUUGCCAGCUUUAUGGAGUAACUCGGCACCUUGCGACACUACCUAACAUACCGUGAGAUUUAAGUACAAAUAUCUCUAAGGGUAUGUGUCAAGCUUAAGAGAAAUAACAUAUUAUUAUACAUAUUAUUUAGUUACCCCUAACAUGUCACGUCAAAAAAUCAUACUAUAAAAAAUAGUCCUCACAAGAUAGGAUAGAAAAAAAAAGUCAUCAACAAAAGUAAUUAAGUAACCUUUUUAUAAAACAAAAAGAUUUAUUUUAUUUUGAAAUAAAUUAAUUCUCUAACUUAUAUAAGAAAUUAAGUAAAAUCUUUUUAAAUAAUAAGACAUAAUUUCUCGAAAAAAAAUAAUCAAAUGAGAGCUAAUCAAAAUAAUUUAUUUUUUUAGGCCAAACAAUUUUACUUCAACUAUUUAUAAACACUUUUUAAUCAAUUUUAUUUUAACUCCCAUUAUAAAUUUUAUAAAAAGGAUAAUAUAUUAAAAAUACCCUUAAAUUAUUAGAUUUUGUAUAAAUAAACUCUUAUUUUUUUUAGUUAAAUAAACUCCUAAAUUAUUAAUUUAGUCAUGAAAAUGUUGAUAUAAAAGUAUGAGAAUAAUUUAUUAAAUAAAAAAUUAAUUAUUUUAAAAUAUUUAAAAUAUUUAUAUACAUAAUAAACUUAAUUAAAUUCUCUAGAAAAAAAAUUUAUAUUCUUUUAAAUUUUAUGUUGAUAUAUUAUUUCUAUUUGUCUAAUAAAGUGCAUAACGAGGCAAUAACUAUUUUUUAUGUAUAAAUUAAACAAUACUACAACUUCCGAAGUUAAUAAGAUUAUAUCUAUACUCACCAUCACAAUUAGAGACAGGGGUGAGUAUUCGAUCGAAUUGAGUUAAAAAAUUUUGAAUUAGUCGAGUUAACAAAUCUUAUUUUAGCAAUCGAAAUCAAUUUAAAUUUUUUUAAAUCAAAUCGAAUCGAGUCAAAAAAUUUCAAGUCGAAUUAACGAAUCCUAUUAUUUAUACUCAAUAUUGCGUUUAUAUGGGCUGAUUAUUUAACUGGUAGACGAAGUACAAGAUUAUUUAACUAUAUAAACAAUAUAAUGGUUUUGCAUUGUAACUUAAUAGGUAAACAUUUAUCAAAACGAAAUAAUUUUACCUUUUAAGUUAAUGGUUUUGACUUUUAACUUUUAACUUUAAAAAAUAUAAACAUUUAUCAAUACGACGUAAAUUUACAUUUUCGUAUUCGGAUUUUCGAAUAACUCGAAACGUGUAAUUCAUAUUCGAGUUAAACUAAAAAUUUUAAUUUUUUUAUUUGAGUUAAUCUGAAUAACUUGAUUAAAUCGAAUAACUCGAAUUGUUUAAUUUGAAAUUUGAUUUUUUUAUCGAAUUUUUCAAAUCAAAUCAAAAUUUACUCACCCUUAAUUAGUCAUCAUAACUAAAUUAAAGUUGCCCCAUUAUGCAAUUGCAAGUCUUCAAAGCCUAAAAGUUGUAACAAUUCAAAAUUUCAAUGGAAAUUAAAAUUAAUAUUUUUAUCAUAUAUUAGUCAAAGUUUAUUGCAUCAACAAUAAGUUAAGAUAAAAACCUCAAAUUUUAAAAUAUUUUUACCUCAAUAUAAAAUUUAAGAGCUUUCAUGUAUAAAAACUAAAGGUUAGAGCUUUCAUGUUUAAGGGCUUAUUUAUACUUCAUCUUUAUAAAAAAACACUUAAAUAGUAGUUUAAAUUAUAUAGUUAAUCACUCAAUUUUAGUAAAUUUUCAUUUUAGUCACUCGUUGUUAAUUUGGCUAAUGUAAAUAUUACAUUACACUGAUUUUAGUCACCUAAUUUUCAUAAGAUAGAAUUAAUUUUAUUUUUCGGUAAAAAAGAAAAGAAAAACUCAAAAUUUUACAAGCAAGUACCUAGGUUUUUAUAGAAAAAACUUGGAGUUUUAUAUGAAAAACCUACGUUUUUAUUGGAAUAGUCAUAUUAUCUUUUUUUAUUUCAUUUAUUUUUUUCAUUUAUAAAAUUAAUUUUAGCUUUUUCAAUGAAAAGAAAACCUAAUUUUUUACUAAGAAAAUCAUUUUAUCUUUUUAAUUUCUUUUACUUUCAUAUUUAGAAUUAAUUUUAAUUUUUUUUCCAAUAACAAUGAAAAAAAACUUGGAUUUUUACAAUGAGUUUGUUGGGUUUCCACGAGAAUUGCUUGAGUUUUAUGAAUAACUCAAUUCCUUAAAAAAUUCUAAAAAAAAUUAGAAAAAUAAGAUUAAUUAAAAAAAAUGGAGCAAAAUGAAAAUUUACUAAAAUUAGAUGGCUAAAAUGAAUAUACAAUUGCAUUUUCGUUAGCCAAAUUAACAUGUGAUCAAAAUGAAAUAUUAUUAAAAUUGAGUGAUUAAAAUGAAAAAACUAUUUGAUUUAUUUACACCCUGAUUUUAUGAGCAAAUUCCCCAGCACAAAGCCUAUUUUGACAAUAACAGUUCAAAUGAAAAGUCUUCGCUUACUCUUUGAACGAAACUCUUCUCCCGCUAAAACCACCUCUUCUUCCUCCAAAUUCAAACGCCCAAAGCUUUCUUCCAUCUCUAAUGGCUCUGAUUCAUCACAAUCAUCAUCAUCUCAAGAUCCCCUUAAAACCCAUUUCUCCUCUCUCAUCAAAUCCUCCGAAACCACCCUACAACUCCGGCAAAUCCACGCUCAAAUCCUGCGCCGCCACCUCUCUUCCAGUGCCAAUCUCACCACCCUCUUAAUCUCCGUUUCUUCUUCCUUCAAAUCCAUACCUUACGCGCUCUCUAUUUUCAACUAUUCUCACCACAAAAGCUUAUUCCUUUUCAAUGCUUUGAUUCGUGGCUUGACGGAGAAUUCCCAUUUCCAAUCCUCAGUUUCACAUUUUCUUCUCAUGUUGAGACAUAGAGUUCGCCCUGAUUAACUUACAUACCCUUUCGUGCUCAAGUCUAUUGCGGGAUUGGGUCUUCAUUUCCUUGGUCUGAUCCUUCAUGGGAGAAUCAUAAAAUCUGGGGUUGAGUUCGAUUCGUUCGUUCGGGUUUCGUUAGUGGAAAUGUAUGUGAAGCUCGAGGAAAUGGGUUUUGCGUUGCAAGUGUUUGAUGAAAGUCCUGAGAGAAACAAGAGUGAGAGUAUAUUGUUGUGGAAUGUGUUGAUUAAUGGGUGUUGUAAAGUGGGGGAUUUGGAGAAAGCUAUGGAGUUUUUCGAGGCUAUGCCUGAAAGGAAUAUUGGGUCUUGGAAUAGUUUUAUAAAUGGGCUAAUGAAAAAUGGGGAUUUGAACAAAGCAAUGCAGCUUUUUGAUGAAAUGAAGGAGAAGGAUGUGGUUUCUUGGACUACAAUUGUUAAUGGGCUUUCACAGAAUGGAGAUCAUCAGAAGGCGUUAUCCAUGUUCUUUAAGAUGUUGGAGGUCGGUUUAAGGUCGAAUGAUCUUACUCUUGUUUCAGCUCUUUUCGCUUGCGCUAAAAUUGGUGCACUUGAAGUUGGAGUCCAUAUCCAUAACUAUUUUGUGGAAAAUGGGCUUCGGUUGAAUAAAGCAACUGCUGCUGCUUUGGUUGAUAUGUAUGCAAAGUGUGGGAAUAUCCUAUCUGCUAGUAAGGUUUUUGAAGUAACUGUUGCGCGGAAGCGUGUGAAAGAGUAAAAUUAUUGUACUGAAAAAUCACACUAAGUUCAAUUCCCAGGAAAGAGAGGUGGAUCACGAGGAUCGCUUACAUACCAGAUCUUUCCUAGCCAGAAUAUCCCUCUAUCGUAAUUUAAUAGCACAAUAAAUCACUACAAUGACACUUGCAAAAUAUGCAGAACAAAAAAUAAAGAACACUAGAAUUUUAACGAGGUUCAGCAAAUUUUGCCUACGUCCUCGGGCACUACCAAAUAUAUUUCACUCCAAAAAAUACAAGUGAAAGUUUACAAAUAGGGAGAGAGAACAAUUGCCUUAAGUAGAGAUUGGCAAGUGUGGGAUGAAGAAAGUAAGAAAUGGUUAGGCCUAUUUAUAGUUGAGGUUCAAGGAUCAACUUGCAAUGUCCCUAUACAAUUAGGGACCAAAAUUGCAAUUAUCUCAUGCCAACUUUUAACCCAACUUGCCAACCAAUUUUACUUUCUACUUUCGGUGACCACCCUUUUUGACUUUUCAAACAAUGGGUGGGUUCCAAUAAUCUCCACCUUGAAGAUUUGAUUAGGCUAAUCUUAUCUUCACACAAUUCUUUCUGCCUUUGACAACAAUACUUGAUAGUGCCUUCUUCAACUGUUAAACUUGCAGGAUAUUAAUCAAGUUCAAACAAUGUUCGAACUUGGUUGAUGUUACCACCUUGCUCAUCAUAUCUGCGGGAUUAUCUGCAGUCUUGAUCUUCUGAAGACAAAUUUUCCCCUCUUCAAUAAUUUCCCGCACAAAAUGGAAUCGUACGUCGAUAUGUUUUGUACGUGCAUGAUAGACUUGAUUCUUUGCUAAAUGAAUAGCACUUUGACUAUCACGAUACACGUUAAUAUGCUCCUGAACCAACCCCAAGGUUUUAGCCAUACCUUGUAACCAAAUAGCCUCCUUUACAGCCUCUGUUACAGCCAUGUACUCGGCUUCUGUGGUUGACAAUGCAACUGUAGACUGUAGUGUAGACUUCCAACUUAUUGGUCAUCCAGCAAGUGUAAACACAUAACCAGUGGUUGAUCUUCGAUUGUCCAAAUCACCGGCAUAGUCAGAAUCAACGUACCCAAUAACACCUUUACCAAGUGUAUUAUCCUGCUUGAACAGUAAUCCAACAUCCACGGUCUUCUGAAUAUACCGUAGAAUCCAUUUCACAGCUUGCCAAUGUCCUUUUCCAGGAUUAUGCAUAUACCUGCUCACUAUACUAACUGCCUGUGAAAUGUCAGGUCUUGUACACACCAUUGCAUACAUCAAGCUACCCACUGCAUUAGAAUACGGAACUUGCAACAUGUAUUCUCGUUCCGUAUUCGUCGAAGGAGAUAGUUGUGUAAAAAGCUUGAAAUGAGAAGCCAACGGGGUACUUACAGGUUUUGUCUGCUCGUUCAUGCCAAACUGCUGUAGUACCUUUUUCAAAUACUGCUUCUGAGACAAGCUAACUCUAUCAUGAGCUCUAUCUCUCCAUAUUUCCAUGCCGAGAAUCCUUUUAGCUUCUCCUAGAUCUUUCAUCUCAAACUCGAGAUUGAGUUGAGUCUUCAAUCUUUCAAUUUCAACUUUGCUCUUAGAUGCUAUUAGCAUAUCAUCAACAUAUAAGAGCAAGUAUAUGAAAGUUCCUUCUUGUAGCUUCUGAAAAUACACGCAAUGAUCAAAUUUACUUCUUGUGUACCUUUACCCUUUCAUAAACUGAUCAAAUCGCUUGUACCACUGCCUCGGAGAUUGCUUCAAUCCAUAAAGCGACUUUGUCAGUUUGCAAACCCAAUUUUCUUUUCCAGCAACCUUGAAUCCAUCUGGCUGAGUCAUAUAGAUUUCCUCUUCCAAAUCACCGUGUAAAAACGCGGUCUUCACAUCAAGCUGAACUAGUUCAAGAUCAUAUUGCGCAACCAAGGCUAGCAAAAUCUGAAUAGACGAAUGCUUCACAACUGGAGAAAACACUUCAUUGUAGUCUAUUCCUUCUUUCUGAGCGUAACCCUUUGUUACUAAUCUAGCCUUGUAUCGAAUUUCAUUUUUAUCAGGAAAUCCUUCCUUCUUUGCAUAUACCCAUUUGCAUCCAAUUGCCUUCUUUCCCUUGGGUAGUGUCACCAACUCCCAGGUCUUAUUUUUCUGAAGAGACUGCAUUUCUUCAUUCAUUGCUUGCUUCCACUUUACACCAUCAGGGUUACUUAUUACUUCUGUGUAAGUAGAAGGAACAUCAUCAUCUGUAUUUGGAAAUGCAUAGGCCACUAUAUCAUCAAAGCGAGCAGGCUUACGAAUCUCUCUUCUUGGCCUUCUAUAUGCAAUUGAAUCUUGUUGCUGUAGAGAUUCUUGGGUAGGAACCUCUUCAUCAUUUGUCCCUUCAAUAUUAGCUGGAUCAUCGUUAACCUUUUCAAGCUCCACAUGCUGCAAAGUACUAACGGUUUUGUCAUCCUUUUGUGAAUCCUUGUACUUCAACAUGGUUGAUUCAUCAAAAGUCACAUCUCUACUGAAAACAAUCUUCAUUGUAUCAGAACACCAGAGACGAUAUCCUUUUACUCCAUCAGUUAUACCCAAGAAUAAUGCUUUCUUUGCUCUUGGGUCUAACUUAGAUUCUUUUACAUGAUAAUAUGCAGUGGAACCAAAUACAUGCAAAGAAUCAUAAUCAGUAGCAGAUUUACCAGUCCACAUCUCUAUAGGAGUUUUUCCAUUUAUUGCAGCUGAUGGCAAACGGUUAAUUAGAUGGCACGCAUAUGUAACUGCCUCAGCCCAAAAUUCUUUGCCCAAUCCAGCAUUGGACAACAUACAUCGAACUUUCUCCAGUAUAGUUCGAUUCAUUCGUUCUGCCACCCCAUUUUGCUGUGGUGUAUCCCGAACAGUGAAGUGUCGCACAAUGCCCUCAUCUUGGCAUACUUGUAGAAAUGGAUCGUUUUUGUACUCAGUACCAUUAUCUGAUCGAAGUCGUUUGACCUUUCGACCAGUCUGAGUCUCCACCAUCUUCUUCCAUUUCAGAAAUGCAUCCAAAACUUCACUUUUUCUUUUCAUUAGAUACACCCAUACUUUUCUUGAAUAAUCAUCAACAAAAGUAACAAAAUAGUGCAUACCUCCCAAAGAAGCUACUUUGGUAGGUCCCCACACAUCACUGUGAACGUAGUCCAGAAUUCCUUUCGUAUUGUGAAUUGCUGGACCAAAUUUUACCCUCUUCUGCUUGCCCAGAACACAAUGUUCACAGAAUUCCAUUUUGCAAGAAUUUGCACUUUUCAAUAAGCCUUGCUUCACCAAUGUCUGCAAAGCUUUUUCACCAGCAUGUCCCAAUCGCAUAUGCCAUAAUCUGGUAGCCUCUGAAUCUACAUCUUUUGUAGAAACUGUUGAUGUUGAUCCAAUAACUGUACUUCCAUUUAAAAAAUACAAGUUAUUUCUUCUUGUGCCUUUCAUCACCGUCAGUUGCCCAGCUACUACUUUUAGUAAUCCAUCUCUCAAAGUGAUUGUGAGCCCUUUAGAUUCUAGGGCACCUAAUAAGAUGAGAUUUUUCUUCAGGCUAGGUACGUAGCAAACAUCUGUCAAGACUUGGAUUGAGCCGUCGUGAUUCUUCAAUUGGACUGUACCCACUCCCAUUGUCUUACAAGCACUAUCAUUGCCCAUAAGAACAAUUCCACCUUCUAGCUCUUUAAGACUAGAAAACCAGUCCUUAUUAGGACACAUAUGGUAAGUACAUCCUGAAUCCAAAAUCCACUCAUCCGUUUGACAUGCCAUUGCCAUGCCAACCAAGCUAAAGUCUGACUCCUCAUCAUGCUCCGCUACACAUGCAUUAGAAAUAGCCUUGCCCUUUUGUAGCUUAGGACAAUUCUUUUUCCAAUGCCCUUUUUCACGGCAAAAGGCACAUUUAUCUUUGGCGGGUCUCCCUUUGGACUUUCCUCUUCUACCAGAUUUGCUGCUGUGUGAACGACCUCUUACUGUUAAGACUUCUGCGGUUGUAUCUCUGUGAUCUCUUUUAUCUUUCUUUCGAGUCUCAGAUCUAUACAACGCACUACAGACUGCAUCAAAUGUGAUCGUGUCCUUCCCAUGAAGCAAUGUGGUGGUAAGAUGAUCAUAUUCAUCAGGAAGGGAAUUCAACAACAAUAAUGCAUUGUCUUCAUCUUCAAAUUUCUCAUCCAAAUUUAGCAAGUCUGCUAAAAUUUUAUUGAAUGAGUUCACAUGGUCAUUCAUCGACAUACCGGGUGCAUACGUGAAUCGAUAAAGUUUCUUUUUCAUAUAAAGCCUAUUUUCAAGACUUUUCGUUAGAAACUUUUCUUCCAGUGUAUCCCAUAACUUCUUCGCUGAUGUCUCCCUCAUGACAGAGUACUUCUGCUCUUUGGCCAAACAUAGGCGGAUUGUACCACACGCCUGUCUAUUGAUUUUGGCCCACUCCAUGUCAUCCAUCUUGUCAGGUUUUUCUUCAAAUGCUAUAUCUAGCUCUUGCUGACAUAAGACAUCCAGGAUCUCACAUUGCCACAUACCAAAAUUAUUGGUACCGUCAAAUUUCUCUACUUCAAAUUUUGCAUUUGUCACAGUAGUCCUUGCUGAUGACGAUGCUGCUGCCAUUUUUCUCCUCAAUCCCAACUACUGUAUACGUGAACAGUACUGUAUACGUGAAUAGUACCGUAUACGUGAAUAGUGCCGUAUACGUGAAUAGUACUGUAUAUGUAAAUAGUACCGUAUACGUGAAUAGUGCCGUAUACGUGAAUAGUACUGUAAACGGUCGUAUUCCCCAAGUACGAACCUGGCUCUGAUACCAAUUGUUGCGCGGAAGCGUGUGAAAGAGUAAAAUUAUUGUACUAAAAAAUCACACUAAGUUCAAUUCCCAAGAAAGAGAGGUGGAUCACGAGGAUCGCUUACAUACCAGAUCUUUCCUAGCCAGAAUAUCCCUAUAUCGUAAUUUAAUAGCACAAUAAAUCACUACAAUGACACUUGCAAAAUAUGCAGAACAAAAAAUAAAGAACACUAGAAUUUUAACGAGGUUCAGCAAAUUUUGCCUACGUCCUCGGGCACUACCAAAUAUAUUUCACUCCAAAAAAUACAAGUGAAAGUUUACAAAUAGGGAGAGAGAACAAUUGCCUUAAGUAGAGAAUGGCAAGUGUGGGAUGAAGAAAGUAAGAAAUGGUUAGGCCUAUUUAUAGUUGAGGUUCAAGGAUCAACUUGCAAUGUCCCUAUACAAUUAGGGACCAAAAUUGCAAUUAUCCCAUGCCAACUUUUAACCCAACUUGCCAACCAAUUUUACUUUCUACUUUCGGUGCCCACCCUUUUUGACUUUUCAAACAAUGAGUGGGUUCCAAUAGUAACAAAAGAGAAGGACAUUCGUACCUGGAGUGUCAUGAUAUGGGGUUGGGCAACCCAUGGGUUUUAUGGACAAGCUAUCCGAUGCUUCAAAAAGAUGAUGUUUUCAGGUGUGGACUUAGUAGUUUUCAUUGAGCUCAACCCUUUAUUCUAAUCUUUCUGAAUAAACUCAAGUUUGUCGUAUUUGCAGGAAUAAAACCCGAUGCGGUGGUCUUUCUUACCCUCCUGACUGCAUGCUCACAUUCUGGACAAGUAGAUCUUGGGCUUAACUUCUUUGAUAGCAUGAGGUUUGAUUACUCCAUUGAGCCAACCAUGAAGCAUUAUACGUUGGUCGUUGAUUUGUUAGGCAGGGCAGGCCGACUGGAUGAAGCAAUGAAGUUCAUACAAAGGAUGCCUAUAAGUCCUGAUUUUGUGGCAUGGGGAGCACUUUUUGUGCUUGCAGAGCUCACAAAAAUAUUAAAAUGGCAGAACUAGUGUCAGAAAAGCUCCUUCAGCUUGAACCUAAACAUCCUGGGAGCUAUGUUUUCUUGUCAAAUGUUUAUGCAGCAGUUGGUAGAUGGGAAGAUGUGGAGAGGGUAAGAAUGUUGAUGCAGAAUCAAGCUGUUGGCAAAGAUCCGGAGUGGAGUUAUAUUGAAGUCAAUGGACAAGUGCAUAGUUUUGUAGCUGGUGAUCAUGAUCAUAAGCGUGCAAGAGAAAUAUACUUGAAAUUAGAGGAAAUAGUGUCUGGUGCAAGAGAGCAAGGAUAUAUGCCUGAAACUGGGUGGGUUCUUCAUAAUAUUGAGGAAGAAGAGAAGGAAGAUGCAUUAGGAAGUCACAGUGAGAAAUUGGCGCUUGCCUUUGCCUUAAUGAACACUCCUCCGGGGACAACUAUUAGGAUAGUGAAGAACUUAAGAGUAUGUGGAGAUUGCCAUUCUUUGAUGAAAUGUGCUAGUAAGAUGAGCCAAAGAGAAAUCAUAUUGAGAGAUAUAAAGAGAUUCCACCAUUUCAAGUAUGGGGUCUGCUCAUGUGGAGAUUAUUGGUAAAAUGGUAAGUAACAGCAACAUUAAUUUGCUUUGCUGUUAAUAGCACAUGAUUAGUGCUUCUACUUGGUUUAUUUAGAAUAAUGCUUUUAGUUAAAACAUGGAUGUAGCUACAGCAACACAAGUUUUUUUGUUUGAUAAUUGGUAGCAAGUACAUUAAAUUUCUCCAAUGGACCUUUCUGCACAUAUAUAUUAAACUUGAAACUCAUUAGUUAAGUUUGUACUUUAUUUAGGUAUCUAAUUAACGUUGUUAGAUUUUUUCAAUUUCAACUUAUCAUCUUGUGCCACUUCUUUCUCUUCCCUUUAGUGAAAUUUAGCACUUUAAAAGAUGGGUUGCAUUUUGCUCCCUCUGUCAAAAAAAAUGGACAGAUUAAGCUAUACACGUUAGAUCAAAGAGCAAAUAGGUCUUUUUGUUUAAAAAUCCAUCAAUUUUUGUUGUUAAAAAUCAAUCCAUUUACAUCAACAUAAAAUAUAUAACUGUUUGGGUAUCUCAUCAUCCAUGUUAGUUUUUAGCAAUACAAAUGGAUAGAAUUUUUAACAAAAAAAACCAGUUUAUUGUUUGAUCUAACAUACAAUGACUAAUUUGUCAAUUUUUUAAGUAAAUAAAGCAUAAUGCUAAUUGACUCUUAGUAUAAUAUCUCUAUGGUACUUUUAUCAAUACUAUCUCUAUUUAUGAAAUUAAAAAUACUUAAAUAAUUAGAUUUAUUGUAUAUUGUGAUAAAAAAUUAUGUAAGAAAUGCAUUUAUUAAAAAUCCAUAUAAAAUCUAAAUGAUGAUUGUAAAGUUAAAUGUUCUGGUGCAAGAGAGCAAGGAUAUAUGCCUGAAACUGGGUGGGUUCUUCAUAAUAUUGAGGAAGAAGAGAAGGAAGAUGCAUUAGGAAGUCACAGUGAGAAAUUGGCGCUUGCCUUUGCCUUAAUGAACACUUCUCCGGGGACAACUAUCAGGAUAGUGAAGAACUUAAGAGUAUGUGGAGAUUGCCAUUCUUUGAUGAAAUGUGCUAGUAAGAUGAGCCAAAGGGAGAUCAUAUUGAGAGAUAUAAAGAGAUUCCACCAUUUUAGGUAUGGGGUCUGCUCAUGUGGAGAUUAUUGGUAAAAUGGUAAGUAACAACAACAUUAAUUUGCUUUGCUGUUAAUAACACAUGAUUAGUGUUUCUACUUGGUUUAUUUAGAAUAAUGCUUUUAGUUAAAACAUGGAUGUAGCUACAGCAACACAAGUUUUUUUGUUUGAAAAUUGGUAGCAAGUACAUUAAAUUUCUCCAAUGGACCUUUCUGCACAAAUGAUAUAUGUCCCCAUAAAGAACUUGGUGCUCACGGUAUUGCAUGACAGGUAGCCAUAGGUUAUUCGCUCUCUUGAUUGGUAUCUUACAUUCCUCAAGGUCCAAAAGUUGUUCCUUCUUUUUGUCUGAAGUCCAAACCUAAGAAAAGCAUUGAUGGGCCUUUAAAACUUUGCUCAUUUCACUACAUGAACUAUUGGAUGUUUUGUGUUCAAAUUAGUUUAUGCCAGUAGUGAAAGUACAUCUCUUUCUCCUUAUCCAGUUAUUCUUUUCAGUUGUCAUCAUCUUUCUGUGUCUUGCCUUCUGAAGUGUUUAGAUGACUGCAUUUCUCAAUAUAAUUUUCAUUUGACCUAAAUAGUUGAAAUUAAAGUCCCUUAUCAUGCCAUUCAUUACUUUGCUUCUAUAUGGUAGUUAUUCUUCAAUGUCCAUGAAUUGACAUAUAUCACUGGAAGCAUAAUCUUACUUCUAAGCAUGGGAUUGACCUUCUUUAAUGCAGGUUCUUCUGUAAGACUCAAACCAUAGAUGGGCAAGGCUUGAGAAAAUAAAGUUGUAAGUGUUGAACCAGGAAGGACGAUGUUGGCCAUGUUAUAAACAUUCCUCCAGAAUGACUAAACAUCGAGGAAAAGGUUCAACCAUGAGUGGUCCACUGAAACGUGCUUGGUCGAACACGUGCCAAUUAUCAGCUACGUAUCAAAUCCCACAAUUAUAAAUGUAGAUUGGGUUCCAUGCUCUGGUUAAUCCAUUAGAUGACACGGUCCAUUGAAAAGGUACUAAAUUACUGAUGUUUGGUCCAUAUAUGAAUCUGUUUAUUUAAUGGCCAGCAUUAAUUGUUAAUUCUCUUGUUUGCGGGUGACUUUUCCUCUAGCAUGCCUUAUGGAAAGAAGUGUCAGUGACAACCUUUUAAUCAACAGCAACUUACCCUACUAAUGAGCAUUUGGAGCAUUUCAUAGCUCGUUCAGUUUAUUCAAAGACUCAUUUUUACCUGCACAGCAUGUUCCCGCCCAGUAAUCAGUGGGCCAAUUAAUGAAGGAGAGGAUAGUUUGCUAGACACAUGUUUUUUGUGUGAGCUUUCUGGUCUUUUAUGUAGUUGUGGUGUUGACAAUUUUUGUUGUUCUUUACAUAAAUUCUUAUUGGCUAAGCGCUUGGUUUUCUUUUAUUGGAAAGUGCAUCACAACCUGUCGUUACUCAACAAUGGCCAAUUUUCUUGCAUAUCACAUCUUCAGGCAAUGUGAUUAUGUUGAAAAUUGGCCUACCAUGCUUGCUGUAAUACUUCCGGAUGAAGUACGUGCUAGCAAUUGUUCAUGCUGCAGCACGUAUGCUUGCUGUAACAGCAAGAUUUUUGUUUUAGUUUCACUGUAAUCAGCCUAGUUGGAAAUGAACAAGCUGAUGACAGCUUGAUAUGUUUAGGUGUUGAAUGACUAAUUUAGGUGGCUUGUUUCUGUGUACAAGCAAUGUUUUUAAAGUUAGUAGGCUACUUAGUGGUAGUAGGUAGUAAUAACUGAUGUAGUUGGCUAUAAAUGUAUUGUUUUUUUAUUGAAAAAUUAAGCAUAUCAGUGGUUAAAACAGAUUGCUUCCUUGCUGCACGUUUGUGAGCAAGUAAAUUAUUCUUGCAGCUUGCUUCAUUGUCUUGUUCUGUUCUCUGUUUUCUUCCUCUGCUGUCAAAAAACCCAACAGAUUAGCUAUCGUGAAGAUUUCAACAAAGUCGGUUCGUGUUGAUUCAAGGAAAAAAAGAUAUUACGAUUUGAUUUCCUCACCUAAUUGUUUUACUAUGCGAAGUUGGAUUGUGAGGAAUAUUUUGUUGAUUUCUGCAUUUUGAAUAAAGAGCUCUUAGGUUUGUGUGGCCGACGUUUAUAGUUUUAUCUUUCGAUUUUAUCUUUUUUUUUGUAUGAAAUUUAAAGUUUAAUCAAAACUAAUUGUUAUGUGUAUGUAAUAGCUAUUUGAAUUAAAUUAAAUUGACAAAUCAACGUACACUAGUGCAUACUAAAAAAAAUGUAAUAUAAAAUUAAACCAAAAUUGAAUCUAAAACUUAAAUAUUUUAAAACCUCAAACAUAUGGCAACUCUUCACUCCUCUUUCCCUCUGAAGUUAUUUUAAUUUAAAAUAUAUUUUGUAUAAUGUGUUAUAACAAUUCAACUAAACAAAGUGAUUCUCUUUGCAUAACAUAUUAUAUGCUUAUAUAAACUUUUACACAAUUUGUUAUAGAUACAUUUUUAAUAAUUGAAUGAUGACUCCAUUAAAAAUGCAAUAUCAUAAUAAUUCUACAUUUCUUGCAUUAAUAUAAAAUUUUCCUUUUUUUUUCCUCCAAGCCUUGUUUAUUAUCUUUUGUUUUGCCAAAUGGCAGUGCCAGCUUUCAGGCUAGCUAUCGCCCGCCUUUUUCUCCCUCCCAUUAAUCCUUUUUUUCUUUUUUCUUCUCAUUCACUCCACAUGUCUUCUUUCUUUUCAGUUUGUAGAUCUAUUUUAUGAGAAUCUUUAUUUUCUUCACAAGUUGUGAUAGACAGAUGACGACGCCUAUGUUCGUUAAAACUUCAUCGGCCACCAAUAAUUUUUCAGAAUAAUAAAUAAUUUCAUGAGUCGAUUUGGAUUCUUGUUAUCAUAAGUUUUAUAUAUUUUUUAGUUUGUUUUUCAUUGUUUAAUAGGUUUUUAGUUUUAGAAGUUUUUGUCUACUCUUGUAACACGUUUUUUAGUCUUGCUUAUGCAUGUAACCUUAGUUUUACAAGUGAUUUUAGAGAUGGUUUUGUUACCGUCUUCUCUAGUUUGGUGAAUGCUCAAUUCUUUUGUCCAUUUUUGCUCGUCACUUUGGACCAUUCGAGGCUGAUUUUCUUUAUCGCAUUAAGUGCUUGCGAUCACUCCAAAUAUAUCGUGCUUAAGUUGUGAUAAAGCCUGUACAAGCCCAAUUUUUAUGCCCGGGCCCAAUUGACCCAACAAAACCGAACGGCCCAACAGACUAAGGCCCAAACCCAACAAAGACUAGGGUUUCAGAACCCUAGCCCCUCCAUCAGCGCCGCAUGCUAGGGUCUCUGACUUCUGCCCCGUCGGCGCAAACGGCGCACCUACCCCGUCCGUGUCACGUCUCCUCCAUCGCCCUACACCUGCAAACAAUAAAGAGAGAAGCAGACAACACAAAACAGGGGAAAGAUUGAAUCUUUUUUUUUUGUUCUUUCGGUUAUAAAGCCGAACGUAUCAAAUAAGAAAAAGGGGGGAUUUUUUGCAAAAAAAGAAAAUCACAUCAGAAAUAAGAAAAGGAACAAAGGUUGCUGUGUUCUUCAUUUUAUUCUUUUUUGAUUCGUUUACUUUCAUUUAUUUUUAAACAAAUCCGUUAAAAAAUAUAUCAAUAAAAAGGAAAAGAAAAAAAGGAGCGCACCUGAAUCGCUCUCUGGCUCCGUCGACGGAGGUUCUCUCGCCGUUGUCGGCCCGGAUCUGAAGGAGGGAUUCAGAGCCCUUGUCUCGGCGCUCGUAGGGGUUCAAGGACCCGAUUUUCAAAUCGCCCGAAGGCCAGGCUUUUUAAAAACCCUUUGUUGCGCUUCGUUGGCCGCCGUUUCGGUGGCGGUGCGACGGACAGACGGACGAUGGUGAAAAGCCAAUCGUCGGAGGGCAUGAAGAGAGAGUGGGGGAAAGAGUUCUGAAUUUUUUUUUUUAAAAGAGGGAUGAAAUGAUUUUUUUAGGGGUUUUGAUUUAUAUAAGGAUCCAAAACGGCGCCGUUUUGGAAGGGUCAGAAAGCCCCUAAAACGACGCCGUUUUUGCAUAAGACCCGAGACCCAACCCGUCUGCCUUAGGGGAUCCGCGUGUUUUUUACGGAAGGGCUAAUUUCACGUUUAAUCCUUCCGCUUUUUAAUUAUUUUAAAAUUAGGUUCUUUUGAUCUUUUUAAUUUUACCCGGAAAUUGUUUUCGUUUUCAAUUUGAUCCUUACCCAAACUACGUCGUUUUAAAGAAAGGGCCAUUUCUUUGUUGGUCCCUCCAUGUUUUAUGCUUGUUUAGAGCAGUCCUUCCCUUUUCGUUUAUUUGCGUUUUGAACCCCCCGAAUUUUGUUUUAAUGUUUAAUCUAAUCCUUCUGCUAUUUUGUUUAUUUUCUUAACAAAUUUAUUAUUAUUAUUAUUAUUACAUAUUCAUUUAUAACAUCUAAUUUUAGAUUUAAUCAUAUAUAUAAAUAUACGUCCAUGAUAUAUACCUACUUUUUAUAUAUACUUUAUAAUUUAUAUAUACAUAUACACAUUUUAAUUUAUGUACAUAUCUACACAUAUUUUUCAUACUUUACUCAUAUAUAUAUACAUGUACUUAUACAUAUUCUUUAUAUCUUAAAAUCCAUAUUUUUCUUAUGUAUAUAUUUUAUAUUUUAUAUUUUAUAUAUAUGUGUUUAUAUAUUCUACGAUAUAUAUUUAUAUGCAUAAUAAAUACAUAUCUAUAUACGUUUCGAUUUUUAUAAACACAUAUAUAUGUAUGCAUACCUUUAUAUUUCUUAUAUUAAAUACAUAUAUAUAUAUUUAUAUAUCCCUUUAUACUUCUAAAAUCAUAUAUUUUGUAUAUAUUCUUUAUAUUUUAUGAUUCCUAUAUGUACCCACAUAUAUACUUUUUGUAUUGUAUGAUUGUUAUUUACGUAUAUGUACGUACAUACAUACUUACACCUAUUUUCAUGUAUAAUAGCCUUAUAAUAUGUGUACAUACAUGUAUUUUUCAUAUUUCCAUAUACAUACACAUAUAUCUUUUUAUUUUAUAUAAUCUUACUCAUUUUAUUUAUUUAUUUAUUUACAUGUCUAUUAUUAUUAUGCUCUAGUUUUUAUUUAUUUAUUUAUUAUUUGUUAUUGUGCUUGCUUGAUCCUUUUAUAUAUUAAUCUUAUUUUUUAUUUUUAUUUUGAUCAUGUCAUUUUACUUACAUUAUCAUCAUCAUUCCGUUACACUCAUUUUUUUGUUUAGAUUUCAAAAAAAAAAAGAAGAAAUUUUAAAAAUAAGUAACACUCGGUAUUUUGGAUCUUCGAGAGAAUCGAGUCCUAACGUAUUGGGUUCCGACUUUCUUCGUUGAAUUUAAAUAAUCGAGAUUACUCUUUUAAAAAUGAUAAAAAAGCUCGUUAUCGAGAAUUCAAUACGUUGUGUCCCAACGGAUUGGACGUAACACGGUGUUUUCUCGAGACGAGGAUUUUUCGAAAUAAACGUAAUAUUCAAUGUUUAAUCUUUUGAGAAAUUGUGCCCUAACGUAUUGGGUUGUGAUUUCUUCAUUUGAUUUAAACAAUUGAAUAUCCUUUUAAACUUUAUUACAUGGAUCUUUUCAAACUCAAGUUUUAAACAACCUCGGGAAUUAAAAGAGGAUCGUGUCCUAACUUACUGGUCGUAAUCCCUUUUUUAAUUCGAGAUCGUUAAAUAUCUUUUAAAUAAGCUUUUUUCAUUCGCGUAUUGGGAAUUCGACAUAUUGUGUCUUAACUUGCUAGAUAUGAUAUUCUGUCUCGAAUAACGUGAAAUAUGCCCCUUUUCCUGAAAAUUUUCAACGUUUUAAUACAAGGAUCGUAUUUUUAAAAUUCUUCUAAGUUAUCAAUUUUCGACACUAAGACAUUAACUAAUCAACUAGGUACCAAUUUUGGGCGUAUCGAGGGUGCUAAUCCUUCCUCGUGCGUAACCGACUCCCGAACCCGUUUUUCUGAAUUUCGUAGACCAGACUUGUUGUUUUAAUAAAAUUAAAUUGUUUAUUAAAAACAACCACUUUUCGAGGUGAUCCAAUCACCCCUCAUAAAAAAGGAUUGGUGGCGACUCCCGUUUUUUUAUUUUCGUCAAAACCCAAGUCGACCCCGUUUUUCAUCCAAAAAAAUGGUGUCAACAAAGCCAAUUGUCAACAUGUCAUAACGUUCUAUUUAUGCUAAGGCUAAAGCCUUCGUUGGGUUGUUGGAGCUUGUCAUUUACCAUCUACGACGAGUGCUUAUUUUUUUCCCUGAAUUGUAUGAUUCCAUUCAUUGAAUGAAUUAACGAAUUUACCUUUCAAAAGAAAAAAAAUUCAUAAAUUUUGAAAUACAAAAUGAAUGUGUUUUGAUAUUUUUAGGGCAAUGGUUUAGUGGUUUAAAUUUUUUUAUUUAAUAUGGUGAAUUUAAUUAUAAUUUUUUAUUUAUUAGAUAGUAGAAUAUCUCUUACCAUUUAUAAUUAAGUUUAGGUUAAAAUAUUUUAUUAAAUUUUUGGACUUUUCACAAAUUUUAAAUUUAAUCUGUUUACUUUUAUUCAAGAAUUUAAUCUCUCUGCAUAUAAAGGAGGUAAUUAUGGCAAGGGGAAUUACCAUGGCAGAGGUAGCGGAGGCUGAGGAAGAGAUGCUGGAUAUGCUGAAGAAAGAUAGAUGGCUGAGAAACAGAAAAACUUUAGGAACAAUAUUCAGUGUUAGAAGUAUGGGGAUGUGAAGGCAGAUUGUUGGAAAAGGGGAAAACAAGCAAAUUAUGCGGAAGAUGAUGAAGAGAUUUAAGUUAUUUAUGAGCUGUCUAGAUGACACCAUAGCUUCAACUAACAUUUGGCUUCAAGGGCGUAUAUCUCAUGAUGAAGAGAUUGUCUCUCUUCUUUUUUCUCAUAACAUAUUAUACGCCAUGAUAAUAAAUUUUGAUAUGCCUAUAAAUUUGAGUCUCUAUUAUUUGUAAUAUGACAUGUUUUAAUUAUUUUUUAUAUUAUGCCAUGAUUUGGUUCACUCCAUAAGUUAUAUAAAUUUAUUAUAAUAAUUCAAUUAAUUUAAUUUAGAUUAAUUUUACAUUUUUGUCCUAACUUUAGUUUUUAAUAAUUGAAUCAUCCCACCAUUAUAUUCAAUUACAAGUGUAAUACGAUUUUGCGUCAUCCCGCACCAUUAUUCUCAGUGUAAUUUUUGGUAGUGAGCAUUGAAGGGGAGAGAGAGAGAGAACAAAGAAAGAACUUACUGUAAUUUUUGGUGUAUGUAAUCGAUAACCCUCAAUGCUUAAAAUGAAAAAGAAAAUAGAAAACAAAGGUGGCAAAGUUAGUUACAAUGCCAGCUAAUUCGUUAUUGCUAUCCACAUGAAGAAUUUUAUAACCCCAACUACACGAUUUUAUGUCUACCAGCUCUCACUUUUCAUAUUUUUUGGCCAUUAGUUAUUCUAAGAUUUAACAUCACCGUUAAGCCAUGUUUAAACUCUUUUUCUUAUAUAAUAAUUAUAUUAUAUUUAAAAUUGAAAAAACUAACCAACCAAAUAUAUAUUAAUUAAUUAAUAGAAGUUUUUUGGUCAUCGAUUAAAAUAAAUCAAGAAAGACGUUGGAACCACCAACUUCUCUUUAAGAACAACACGAAUACAAGAAUCUAUGCACAACAAGUUCUAAAAUGUAUUAAGUAAAUUCAUCAUCAUGCCUUAAAAAAAGAAGAUCUCGAUAUAUCUGCUUUUGCCAAAGCAUCCGCCAUACCAUUACUUUGCCAGUGAAUAAUUGUGAACUGAAACUUAGCCAAUUGAGUGAUAUUAAUUAUAGAAAUGAUUCUUCUUGCAACCAUAGAUGAAACACCACUGAGACUAACAAACUUGGAGAAACUUGAUUUGAGUUUUAACAUCUUCAGGAACAACACAAUUUCGUUUCUUGAAGGACUUUCAAACUUAAAUUAGUCCUUGGAUAUGCAUAAUAACACUCUGCAAGGCUCAUUAAUAGAUAUUAAAGGUACUGAAGCUAUAACUUUUUUUUCUUGAUAAUUCUUUUUAAAAUAUUUCAUAAUUAAUUGUUCUGAAUUUGUACAUUCACUUCUCACAUUUCUGGGUUUUUUUUGUCCUCAACUAAAUUAAACUUAUGCAAAUUUCUUGAAUAUUUAAGUUAAGAGUUAACGUCAAAGUCAAGAGUUGAUAAGUAUUUUGUGGUCCAUUCAUAUCUUUAUUACAAAAAAAAAAUAUUCAAGAAAUUUGCAGCUAGUUGGAGUUUUGCAAUAAGGAAUUUCCACCAAGAGUUUUGGAGGAAUCAUAUCUCUAACAAAAGAAAGACCUUCAUUUGACUAAAUUUUUUAGUAUUUAUUUUAACUUCCAUUUUUAUUAAAAAAAAGGUAAAAAAAUAUGCCAAACAGGGUCUUUAGGUUACUUUUUUUAGAACUAUAUUAUGUUAUAGUACCAUAUAAGUUAGAGGAGCACAAGUUUAGAUUCAUCCAAUUUUUGAGGAAUUAAUUAAAUAUAUAUUAUUUUAAUAUUAUAGUGUAUAGGGGCAAAGUUAGAAAAAAAUUUUUGUGGAGUCGAAAUUAAAUUAUAGUUUUUACAAUAGUUAAAAAAAAUAAUUUCACUAUUUUAAAAGCAUAUAUGUUGUAAGCACUAAAUUUUUGUCCGACUAGAGUUUGUGUUUAAUUUUCAAAAUUUCAAAAAAAAAUUUUAAAAAUAAAAAUUGCAUUUUGACCCCUAAAUUUUUCCUAAAUUUCAUUUUGACCCUUAAACUUUCAUUAAAUUUCACUUAGACCCCUAAACUUUCAUUAAAUUUCAUUUUAAUCCUAAAUUUUCUAAAAAUUACAUUUAGCCCCAGAAGUUUUGCUGUAUUUGUGAUUUGGUCCUUCAGACACGUUACGUGAUUUGGGGCACCCACUUCCCAGAUUUUCAGGCCACAAUCACCCACUACCUGCAAACAAUGAGAAAGAGGACAAAAUUUGGAGCUUUUAAAAAGAAAAAAAGAGAAGAGGAAGAAAAAAAGGAGAGAAAAAAACAAGCAGAAUUUUUAGAGAAAAAUAAAAAAAGAAGCUCUCAAUCCGGCCGAUUGCCUCCACCGCCACCACGUCCGUUGCGCCACCACCAUUGUCAUCUCACCAUCGAGUCCUAAACGCAAACAAAACAAAAACAAAGAAAAAAGCAAGCAAAAGAGAAAAGGAGAAAGUGCAAAGAAGAAAAAGAAAAAGGAAAAGGGGAGAGAGCAUACCUCCGUGCACGCCAUUGUCGGCCGUCGCACCAGGCGGAGGGACAUCACCGGCGAGACAAAGGAGGUGCUGCUGAUCGGGGAGAAAGAAAGGAAGAAAAAGAAGAAGGAAAGAAGAAAAGGGGAAGAAGAAAGAAAGAAAAAAGAAAAAAAAACUAAAAAAAAUAGCAGGCCAUUUUGGUGGACCAGAUUCAGCCCAACAAGAAGCAGCCCAAACCAGUCCUUUGGCAGCCAAUAGCAACAGCCCAACAGCAAAAAAAAUAAUAAAAGGGGAGGCCCAAAAUUUAAGCCCAUAACUUUGGGCUUUUGGGUAAUUUUUUUUCUUUUUUUCUUUUUAAUCUAUUUUAUUUUAUUUUAUUUAUUUAAAUGGUGUUUUAUUUAAUUUAAAUUAGUAUGCUUUAAAACAGUUUUCAUAAAUAUUAUUAUGUCAUUUAAUUGCAUAUUUUUUUUAAAAAAUAAUAAUAUUUUAAUGCAUAAGGCAACGAACCGAUUUAGCAUCGAGUCAUCGAAUUCAUCGCUAUGUUGGAUGGAUAUCGAUAGCUCGUGUUAAAUUCGGGACACCCUUUUAAAAAUAAAAAUAUUCAAAAAUCCUCGUAUUUUAAUAAAAAUUCUCGUGUUUUAUUAGAAUCCCGAUUAAAUAUUAAAUUGAAUUGAGUUAACAUUAAUUCGAUGGUUUCAUCGCCAUAUCGGGAUGAAUAUCAUCGAUUCGUGUUAAAUACGGUAUUUUUUAAAGAAAAAUUGUGUUUCAAAAAUUUUCAUGUCUUCAAAAUUUCUCGUGUUUCGUAUUUUAUCAAAAAAUUUAUGUUUUCAAAAACAAAUUUUCUGUUUUAAAAAUUUUCGUGUUUCAAAAAGAAGAUUCGUGUUUUCAAAAAUAAAAAUAAAAAAUCUCGUGUUUUAAAUUCUUCGUGUUUUUUAAAAAAAAAUUUUGUGUUUCUAAAAUUCUUGUAUUUUAAAAUUUUCGUGUUUUCAAAAAAGAAAAAGUUGUUGCGCUUUAAAAUUCUCGUGUUCAAUCGGAUCACGACUAAUAUUAAAUUGAACUCGUAUUUUUGAAAAUGAAGACAAUGCGCGUUUAACGAGAUACCAAUUUUGGGCGUUGCGAGGGUGCUAAUACCUUCCUCGCGCGUAACCGACUCCCGGACCCUAAUUUUCUCUGGAUUUUUACGUGGACCUAAAAUUACCUCUUUUUUAGAAAAGUUUAAAAAUAAAUUUUUCUUCUAAAAAGAGAAUUUUAUAGGUGUCCGAUCACACCUAGAAAAAAUAUCGGUGGCGACUCCUUUUUCAAAUAAAAUCGAGAUUCAGUUUUCAAAUUUACAAUAAUUACUUCGACUAGCGCCCGUGCCGAAAUUUUUAGGUCGCUACAGCUGGCGACUCCGCUGGGGAACCUUUUUGAGAGUCGAGUCGAAUUAAACUCGCGUUGUCAAAAUUUUCAAAGUUUCUUGUUCAAAUUAACAUUUAGUCGUGAUCCUUAAAUUUUUUGUUUUCAAAAAAAUCAUGCAUUUGCAUCGUGUUGUAUAUAUUCUAACUUGUUUUAUCAGGUUGUUUUUCAGCUUUAAAUUUUUGCGGUUUUAGUUUUGGUUUAGUUUUUCUAAAUAAAACGUAAAGGUUUACAAGUUUCUCCCCACACACCGUGCACGUGCAUUUAUGUUGCAUAACAUGAGCUCUAUACCCGGGCUCUGUCCCUGUUAAGAGAAAGUAAAUGCUACGCCUUCGUGAGUUAACUCGUUCCUCCGCACAGGCUAGUGAAUACUUUCGGGUUACAUAUGACUUAUGCUUUCGUGAGUUAACUUGUCCCUCCGCAUAGGCAUAAGUAAAUGUAAUCCCUCGAAUUGAUCUCGUAAGCCUAUGAUGGGCCAUGACCGAGGCUCUGUACUAAUCUUAGUAGAUGACAGUGCAGACGAUUCGAGUACCCACCUAGAACCAAAACCGCAUAUAGUGAACCAUACGAGCUAUCCAAUUAGAGUCAUGCCGAACCUCUGUCCGCUUAUAGUCAUCAAAAUAAGUACACGGGGAAAAUGCCUUUUGCCUUUCAUUUACACUGUUUAUGCAAAAUAAUUGGAUUGGGUAGUUUAAUUUGUUUUUCAAAUUAUAUUUGUUGUGUUUACUAACCAAGUUUGUUUGUUUUUACUUUUAUUUUCAUCAUGCAUCAUAGGCAUCAUAUUAGGAAGGUGUUGAUUAAAAGUUGGUUGCCAAAAAACGGGUUUCUGAUGGAAGAGUCAAUUACACAAAUAACCGAGAAGAAUGCCGUGGUUCGGGACUGGUCUCUAAAAAUUCAGAGAGAAAAGAGGGAUAGUCUAGUGGAAGGGUGUGUCACUAAUUUGCCCGAACAUAUAACUGUAAAUGUUCGCCAAAAUAACUUUGAGGAUUUGGUUCAAAUUUGGAAUCAGUGGGAUUCAGACACUAGAGACAUUUUCACUCAGAGGUAUGGAGAUAUAGCUCACCUGAUCAUCAUCCAUGUAGACGAACAGUUGAUUCAAGCCAUGGUUCGGUUCUGGGACCCAGCUUAUCAGUGUUUCACCUUCAAUCAAGAAGACAUGACUCCAACCAUAGAAGAGUAUGCUGCUUUACUCCGCAUCGACAAUGUACAAUUCGGCAAAAUAUAUGUGAAGGAGCCUAAACCGAUGACCUUCAAGAAAAAGUUAGUGAGACUGACAGACAUGACUGAUGCAUGGGCCGAAAAACAGAUAAAGAAGAAGAAUGAAACCAUUUGCAUUCCAUGGUCCUCCCUACGAGAUUUGGCUCUGAACCAUCCCAACAUGCUGAAAAGGGUAAAUCUAUUCGCUUUGGCCAUUUACGGUUUGGUCAUUUUCCCAAAAGUUCUCGGACAUCUCGAAGUUGCAGUAGUUGAUUUCUUCGAAAGGUUAAAACAAGGAAUCAACCCUGUCCCGACCAUCCUAGCCGAGACCUUCAGGUCCCUGAGUAGUUGUCGAAAAAAAGGGGAGGGACGAUUUAUCAGAUGCGCGCAGUUGCUCAAUGUUUGGAUUUUGAGUCACUUCUGGAAGGUAGAGCGCACUCCGUUCCAUAUGUUUUCUAAAACAUUCUCCCCGCUAGAAGCUUACCUCAAUAAAGAAUGGCCGAAGGAAGUCACCGAGCAACAUUGGGUAUCAGUUUUUCAAAAUCUUCGCACCGAGAAUAUAACAUGGAGAGCACCCUGGAUCCGUCCUUCAGUUCUGCUAUACAAAUGUGGAAGCCAAGAUUGGGUACCUCUACUCGGGUUUUGGGGAGGAGUUGGAUAUGCUCCGCUAUUAGUCCAAAGGCAAUUUUCUUCGCGACAAUUCCUCCCCGCAACUGGAGGAUUAGCACAGUUCGAGUUCGCUUUUGCGGGUGAAGGAUAUAUGAAGAGAGUCCGAGACACUGCAAAGUAUUGGAAGGAAAUUCAUUUCAUGGAAUUAGCUUUGUAUGUUGAUACCCUUACCCAAGAUUACGACAUAUGGAGGAAGCAACGGGUAAAUAGUCAGCAAAUCUCAUCAACAAACUACACCAUCCAGAAUCCUUUCUCGGAGAAAACGCCGUCUGAGCUAGAAAUGGCAAGACAAGAAUUCGAACGAGAAAAGGCCAAGAUGUCUCGGGACCUUAGUGCCCUUCAAGAAGAAAACUAUCAACUGAAGAUUGAAGUUCAGGUUGAAAGGUCCAGGACUGAAAAGUACAAAAAGAAGCCGAGAUUGUGAGAAACGACUUAAGGGACCUUCAUUUGGAAAACAAGAAAUUAAGAAACACUAUAAAGAAUAGCGGGUUGGGUAAGUCGACAGCAGAAUGGAAGGAAGAAAUUAGCAAUAUCAAGGGAGGAAUGGAGUUUUGGAAGGGAAAAGUAAAGAAAGAGGAGGAAAAGGCUGCGCGCGCUGUGAUAGAGUUAAGAAGGAAGAACGACGAGUAUGAAAUAGUGACUGCAAAAUUUGCGAAUAGUCAGUCUGAAUAUCAAGAAUUAAAAAGGAAAGCACGAGAUCUAGAAAAUAUGCUGCAAUCUCGUCAACAACAAUUAGAUAACCUCCUGAAGGCUCUAGAGGAAAAGCAUGAUCAGUACGAUAGGGACAUUCAGGCGUAUGAAGGAACUCUCAAAGAAAAAGAAAUGCAACUCGACUUCUUGAUCAAUGAAAUUCGUAAAGCGGCUAUGCAAGUUGUUCAAUUAUCAGAUGAAGCCGAAGUUAUCAGUUGCCAAUUCCCUCCGAGCCAAAGAUCGAGCAUAUCAGAGUUUUUAGAGCAAGUGAAUAAACAAGGCAAUGUGGCUAGGAAAUUUGUGUAACUGUUGGAAAAAUGAGAACUUUGUGUAAUAGACUAUGUUGAUAAAUGAAAUGCCUAAAUAUGGGGCUAUCUUGAAAUCAACACCAAAUUCUUGCAUGUUUACUCAUAACUAACAUUUAUGCAUCAUUUAUUCUUUGGACAUUCAUCCAUUCAUAUACUCAUUCAUUCAUUCAUCACGAGUACAUAUCACCAUAAUCAUCCACCGAAACUAAAGAACCGUAUAAUCCGCAGUUGCAAGAUUUCAAAUCUGGAACCACGCAAUUCCUAUAAAACGCGCCGACAAGCUAGAGUAAUGGAGGAUGAAUUCAAUGAGAGAAUUGAAAGGAUGGAAAGGGCUCAAAAGGAAUUACAAGAGUAACUGGCCAAAUCGCAGCAAGAGACGAGAGACCUAAUGGUGAGAUCUCGAGAGGAAUCACUCGAGCAAAGAGAUCAGAUGGCUAAAAUGAUGGAGAUGAUGACAACUUUGGUCAAAGGAAAAGGACCCAUGCAGAACUCCGAUGUUAUGGAACCUCGGUCAAGAAUUCACCAUGAUCAGGAUCCACUUUAUCCCCCAGGAUUUACUCCACCUCAUGUCCACGCAAUACAACGAGGAUACCCCCAAAGGGAACCUACAGGCCUAGAACAACAUCUUGCUCCGCCCACUAAUUUGGGGCAAGGAAUGUUAGCGUCGAACCUUGGGGCUAGUCCUGCUAAUCCACUAGUUCCAGAUCUGGAUGACCUAGCAGAGGCAGCCAAGUUGAAAUUGGAUAACCAUGACGCAAAAUAUAGGAGUCUAGAGGAAAGACUCAAAGCAAUAGAAGGCACUGAAGUCUUCUCCGCACUAGGUGCCAAGGAACUCAGUUUGGUACCUGAUCUAAUUUUGCCUCCGAAGUUCAAAGUGCCUGAUUUUGAGAAAUAUGAUGGGACAAGGUGCCCAAAAGCACAUCUCAUUAUGUUCUGUCAAAAAAUAACCGGUUAUGUGAACGAGGAUAAGCUACUCAUACAUUGCUUUCAAGAUAGUCUAACAGGGUCAGCUCUUCGGUGGUACAAUCAACUUAGUAGAGAAAAGAUUCGAUCCUGGAAGGACUUGGCGUCAGCAUUUUGCGAACAGUACAAGCAUGUAUCGGAUAUGGUGCCAGACCGUAUGACCUUGCAAAUGAUGGAGAAAAAGCCAUCAGAGACCUUUAGACAGUAUGCGCAGAGAUGGAGAGACGUCUCAGCUCAAGUGGAACCCCCACUAACAAAAACGGAGAUAACCGUUCUCUUUAUCAAUACUUUAAAGGCACCGUUUUAUGACAAAUUAGUGGGAAGUGCCACGAAAGAUUUCGCGGAUAUUGUAAUAUCCGGUGAACUCAUAGAGAACGCCGUCAAGAGCGGUAGAAUGGAAGGAUCAGAAGGCUCAAGAAAAGCAGCACCCUUAAGGAAGAAAGAGCCAGAAGCCCUCAUGGUGGGAACUGGGAGUCGUUACAUUCCCAAUUCAUAUCCUAAUCAACCCCGACCUCGAGAUUAUCCACCCUCGAGUUUCCAUUAUCCCCCUCAAACCCCUUGCUACCAAGCACCACAUCCGUCCUGCCCCGUAUACGCUACGAACAACCAAAGACCCGUCACCACUUUCCCACAAAACACGGUACCCACCCAAAGCCAACCCAGAAACGAACCAAGACCAUCAAGGCAUAAUCCUGAGAGACCGCAAUUUACCCCCAUCCCUGUGUCGUAUGGGGAAUUGUACCCAAAACUUUUAGAAAAAUAGCUAAUUUCUCCCCAUUACAUGGCACCCCUUAAACCUCCAUACCCAAAGUGGUACGAUCCAAACGCUAGUUGUGCAUACCACGCAGGGAACCAAGGGCACUCUACUGAGAACUGUCUCACUUUCAAAAGGAGAGUUCAAGGACUCAUUGAUGCGGGUAUCCUACGAUUCGAUAGUGCUAGUAAAGCCACGGAGAACCCGUUCCCUAACCAUACCGAAGGGAAUGUGAGCACAGUGGGGAAAGAGGAUGAAUGGAAGGUCAGAAGAUGUGUAUCAGAAAUAAGGACGCCUCUGCAGAAAAUCUGGGAGGUAUUGGUUAAGAAAGGAUUGCUCUGUCACUCUGAUAGAAUUUUUGGAGAAGAAGGUCAAAGUUUUUGCAAUUUUCAUGGGAUUGUUGGGCACGACAUUCAGUCGUGCGAGGACUUUAAAAGGUUACUUCAAGACUGGAUGAAUAAUAAAGAGAUCAAGGUCCUUAACAAGAGUGAAGAUGCCAACGAAAGAGAAGUAUGUGUCUCUGAUAGCCAAUCACCAGGUCCCCCUUAUAGUGCUGAUCGACCGUUGGUAAUUUAUUACGACGCGAUGAGAGAGCCCUUGAAACCACAGAUGGUAAUUGAAGUACCAUCUCCUUUCCCGUAUAAGGACAACAAAACAGUACCGUGGAGAUAUGAUGUUAAUAUCGUUACACCGGAAGUUGAAAAGUCCAAAGCCAUAAUUGAAGAUGUUGGGGAGGUAGGUCAUUUUACUCGAAGUGGACGAUGUUAUUCUAAAGAAGUUGAAUCGGUAAAGAAAAGUAGCGACUCGAAGCAAAAAGGAAAAGCAGUGAUGCACAAGGUCGAAGUCGAGCAAGAAAUUCCACCCGUGCAAGAAACUAAAAAGCUUGUGAAUGAGGAAGAAGCUCAAGAAUUCUUGAAAUUUAUUAAGCACAGUGAAUAUAGUGUGGUGGAACAAUUGAGCAAGCAGCCAGCACGAAUCUCAGUUCUAUCUCUACUGUUAAAUUCAGAGCCACACCAGAACGCUUUAUUGAAGGUGUUAAAUCAAGCUUACGUGGCCAACAACAUAUCUGUCGAAAAGCUUGAUAGGUGGGUAAACAAUCUGAAUGCGGACAACUUCAUCUCUUUUAGUGAUGAUGAGAUACCGCUAAAUGGUAGAGGUUCGGUGAAAGCGCUGCAUAUCACGACCCGCUGCAAGGGCUACAUAAUACCGAACGUACUCAUCGAUAAUGGGUCAGCGUUAAAUGUUAUGCCAUUGGCUACACUUUCCAAAAUACCGAUGGAUUUGUCCUACUUAAAGCCCUGUCAUUCCAUGGUAAGGGCAUUCGACGGGACGAAGUGCAAAGUCAUGGGAAAGAUCGAAAUCCCUUUGGAAGUGGGCCCCUACAUCUAUGAGGUCGAAUUUCAAGUUAUGGACAUUACACCCUCUUAUAACUGCCUUUUGGGAAGACCUUGGAUUCAUUCUGCAGCAGCAGUCCCAUCAUCCCUCCAUCAAAAAGUGAAAUUCAUCAUGGAUGGCUGUUUGGUCACAGUCGAGGGCGAAGAAGACAUUAUCGCAUCUAUCUCUGUUGAUGCGCCAUACCUGGAAGUAAGCAAGGACGUAGUGGAAUGUUCCUUUCGAUCCCUUGAAUUCAUCAAUGCCACUUUCGUCGCUGAGGGAAAUAGAAUUUCGAUGUCAAAACUGUCGAGAAAUACCAGAAUGGGUGUCAAGUUGACCGUAGGAAGGGGAGCUUGUGCGAGAAGAGGUUUAGGGAGACAUAUGCAAGGAAUAGUGAGGGCUUUAAAGCCAGUGCACCACAAGGCCUGAUACGGUUUGGGGUUCCAGCCUGACAUGCGCCAAAGAAGAAGACAGUGGAAGAAGGAUCAAGAAAGAAGAAUUGCAAGAACUUUGGGCCGAGAACCAGAAUGGGAACCAAUAGAGUACCCUCCUUUGUCAAAAACAUUUACAUCUGCGGGAAUGAUGUACCCUGGACAAGAGGAUCCACGAAACAUGCUGGGAUUAAUUGAAAAGGAUUUUCAGAAUGUUAGUAUAAAUGUCAUUGACAAAGAAGCUGGUGCAAGUAAAGAUGUCUCGAGGAUACGCCAUUGCCCUCCUGGUUUCAUGUUGAACAAUUGGAUAGCUGAGGAGCUUCUUGUAGUUUAUAAGCCUUCAGAGUAAUGCUAAACAUCAACCUUCUAUUGUGUCCUUAGAUAUAAUAGAGUUCUUUUGUAAGAGUUUGCAUUCGCUCUUUAUCAUUUAAAUGAAUAUCAAUGAAGAUGCAUUUUGUCACGAUUUUUCGCAUUAUCACUAAUUUCAUAAUCAUUUUCUCAUUUCAUAGCCUAUCCUUACAUUUGCCUCAUUGCCAUGACAUAAAAUUUUGUUUGUUGUUUCCAAUACUUGGAUGUCCCCCGAUAGCUUCCUUUUCCAUUCAACUUUCAGGUGCUCAGAUAUUGACGACAUGAAUAAGCCCGUUACGAAUCUUGAAAUUGAUUUUGAGAAGGCUGUUUGCUUAGGAGAAUUUGAAGCCGAAGAAAAUGCUGAAGAUUAUGUCUCGUCUCUUGAAUUGUUAAGAAUGGUGGAACAAGAGGAUAAACAGGUUCUGCCUCAUGAAGAAUCUGUAGAAACAAUAAAUUUGGGCACUGAAGAGAGGAAACAAGAAGUGAAGAUUGGGACUUCUAUUUCAGAAAGUACCAGACGUAGUUUGAUCACUUUACUCCGCGAAUACAAAGAUGUUUUCGCGUGGUCAUACCAGGACAUGCCAGGGCUAGAUGAAGAUUUAGUGGUCCAUAAGCUCCCAUUAAAGCCAGAAUGCAAGCCCAUCCAGCAAAAAUUAAGACGGAUGAGGCCCGAAAUCCUGUUGAAAAUAAAAGAGGAAGUCAAGAAGCAAUUUGACGCUGGCUUCCUACAAGCCUCCAAAUAUCCAGAAUGGGUGGCUAACAUAGUCCCGGUACCAAAGAAAGAUGGAAAAGUACGAAUGUGCGUGGAUUACCGUGACCUGAAUCGAGCAAGCCCAAAAGAUAAUUUUCCCUUGCCACAUAUUGACACGUUGGUGGACAACACAGCAAAACAUUCAUUGUUUUCUUUCAUGGAUGGAUUCUCGGGGUAUAAUCAGAUCAAGAUGGCUCCUGAGGAUAUGGAGAAAACUACCUUCAUAACAAUGUGGGGAACGUUCUGCUACAAGGUGAUGCCAUUCGGGUUAAAGAAUGCUGGGGCAACAUAUCAGAGGGCUAUGGUGACAUUAUUCCAUGACAUGAUGCAUAAGGAAAUAGAGGUCUACGUCGAUGAUAUGAUUGCUAAAUCUCGAGGAGAAGAAGAGCAUGUAAUGAACCUCAAGAAGUUGUUCGAAAGGCUGAGAAAGUUUCAGCUAAAGCUUAAUCCAGCCAAAUGUACAUUCGGGGCUACCUCGGGAAAGUUGCUAGGCUUCAUUGUCAGUGAAAGAGGUAUCGAAGUUGAUCCAGAUAAAAUAAAAGGCAUCCAAGAAUUACCACAUCCGCCACGCAAAAGGAAGUUAGAGGAUUUUUAGGGAGAUUAAAUUACAUCGCCCGAUUUAUCGCUCAACUUACCAACCAAUGCGACCCAAUCUUUCGGCUUCUUCGAAAACAUAGCCCGGGAGAAUGGAACGAGGAAUGCCAAGUGACCUUUGAUAAGAUAAAACAAUAUUUGUCCAGUCCUCCAGUGCUAGUACCGCCAACUCCGGGAAGACCAUUAAUUUUGUAUCUGACAGUGUUCGAAAGUUCAAUGGGUUACGUACUGGGACAACAUGACGAGUCAGGAAAGAAAGAAAAGGCGAUCUACUACCUCAGCAAAAAGUUCACUGAAUAUGAGGCAAAAUAUUCGUCCGUUGAGAAAUAUUGUUGCGCUCUGGUUUGGGUAGCUCGGAGACUCAAACAAUAUAUGUUGUAUCACACGACAUGGCUAAUUUCAAAGCUGGACCCAAUAAAAUACAUGAUGGAAUCGCCGGCACUAUCAGGAAGAAUGGCACGAUGGUAGCUCCUCCUUUCGAAAUAUGACAUUGCCUAUGUAAGUCAGAAGUCAAUAAAAGGGAGCGCAAUAGCUGACUUCUUAACAACUCGAACGACAGAGGAAUAUGAGCCUUUAAGAUUCGAUUUCCCAGACGAAGACUUAAUGUGCAUCACAGAAAUAGAAUCCGAGUCAUCAAAAGAGAAGUCAUGGAAGAUGUUCUUUGAUGGUGCGUCAAAUGCUUUAGGGCAUGGAAUUGGAGCAAUCCUGGUAUCACCAGACGGGAAUCAUUAUCCGUUCACUGCAAGACUGAACUUCUUCUGUACCAAUAAUAUCGCAGAAUAUGAGGCCUGUAUCAUGGGGUUUCGUGCAGCUAUCGAACGAAACAUCGAGAUCUUAGAGGUGUACGGGGACUCAGCCCUAGUGAUUUACCAAAUCCGUGGAGAAUGGGAAGUGAGGGACUCAAAAUUGAUUAAGUACAGCGAUUUAGUGGCUGGAUUGAUCAAGGAAUUCAAAGAAAUAACUUUUCAUUACUUCCCACGAGAAGAGAACCAACUGGCUGAUGCCCUAGCCACUUUGGCUUCAAUGUUCAAAGCAAGUAGAGAAGCAGAAAUAAUGCCCCUCAAAAUGAGCAUAUACGAGGUCCCUGCACACUGUUGUAGCAUUAAGAAAGAAGUAGACGGACGGCCUUGGUUUCAUGAUAUCUUAGAAUAUAUCAAGAAUCAAAGGUAUCCCGAACAAGUAAAUGAGAACGAUAAAAGAACAAUUAGAAGAAUGGCAGCGGGAUUUGUUCUUGAUGGGGAUAUCCUGUAUAAAAGAGGAAAGGAUCAGAUGCUUUUGAGAUGUGUGGAUGAUGUUGAAGCCAGAAAAAUACUUGAAGAGGUCCAUGAGGGAGUUUGCGGAACGCAUGCCAAUGGUUUCAAUAUGGCCAGAAAGAUCAUGAGACUCGGUUAUUAUUGGCUGACAAUGGAAAGUGACUGCAUCAAUUUUGCCAGAAAAUGCCACAAAUGUCAAAUCUACGGCGAUAAAAUUCAUGUAGCCCCUUCACCCCUUCAUGUCAUGACUUCUCCGUGGCCUUUUUCUAUGUGGGGCAUGGAUGUCAUAGGGCCAAUUUCUCCAAAAGCUUCAAAUGGACAUCGAUUCAUUUUUGUGGUUAUCGAUUACUUCACAAAAUGGAUUGAAGCCGCUUCAUUUGCCAAUGUGACGAAGACUGCAGUGUGCAAGUUUUUGAAAAAGGAAAUCAUUUACCGAUAUGGUUUGCCUGAAAGAAUCAUCUCAGAUAAUGCCACGAAUCUGAACAAUAAGAUGAUGAAAGAAGUGUGUGAGCAGUUUCAAAUAAAGCAUCAUAAUUCCUCGCCCUAUCGCCCAAAGAUGAACGGGGCUGUUGAAGCAGCUAACAAGAACAUUAAGAGGAUCAUUGGGAAAAUGACUGAGACAUAUAAAGAUUGGCACGAGAAACUUCCAUUUGCUUUGUUUGCAUAUCGUACAUCUGUGCGAACAUCUACGGGAGCAACUCCUUUCUCUCUAGUCUAUGGAAUGGAAGCUGUGCUACCUAUCGAGGUUGAGAUCCCCUCUCUGUGAGUAUUGAUGGAAUCAAAGUUAGAAGAAGCAGAAUGGGUUCGAGCUCGAUAUGAUCAGUUGAACCUCAUUGAAGAAAAACGUCUAAGGGCAAUUUGUCAUGGGCAAAUGUACCAAAAGAGAAUGAUCGCAGCCCAUGACAAGAAGGUACGACAAAGAGAGUUCCAUGAAGGAGAACUCGUUCUGAGAAAGAUUCUCCCAAUACAAAAAGACCUGCGAGGAAAAUGGGCACCAAAUUGGGAAGGACCAUACGUUGUAAAAAAGGCAUUCUCGGGAGGAGCUUUAAUCCUUACCAAGAUGGAUGGGAAGGAGUUACCGAAUCUGGUGAAUUCGGAUGCGGUGAAGAAAUAUUAUGCUUAAGAUGAAAACCCGAAAAGGGCAUCUUAAAAAAAAAGGGUGAAAACCCGAAAAAGGUGUCUUGAUUAGUACAAAAAGAUUAGGAUGAAAACCCGAGAGGGCGUCCUAAUGAAACAAACCUGGCGGUCAAACGAUAGGUCAAGUAGUGAGACUACAGUAUUUGAAGCACUUCUGAAAGCUCGAAAUUUUCUACGCAAGAAGCCAUGCUCGAAAAGAUAAUUGAUUGAGGAACGUAGAAGAGUUCAUGUGUUGAAUAUCUAGAGCAUUAGUAUCCGUUGAAUACGACCUUUUCUUUCUUUUUGACAUUUUUACUCUCAUUGGUUAACUUUCUUUGUUUGCCACACUUGAAAUAAAGGAAUAUGAGAUAUCCUUUGUGUCCCUACCUGACCAUUUUCAUGCAUCUCAUUAUGUGUUUAUUUAAUGAUAAAUAGUGAAAUGACAUACUCUAAACAAAAGAAAUGUCAAGCAUUACCCGGAUAAGAAUUUGAUAAGUGCAAGAUCUUCAAAGCAAGAACAAAGUUUAACCAAGGGCAAAAGGGUGAUAUCUGAGAAACGUCGAUUACUCGUAAAGCUCGAAGACAGGUAUGAGGCCUGAAGAGAAGGUCGAGAAUCAAAGCAAUGAACGCAGAUCCUCAAAAAUCAUGGCAAAAAUGACAUACGACCAAUAUGCUUAAGGAGCACUGCAUAAUCAUGUAGGCAUAAAGGCAUUUAAGACAAACAUGUGCAUAUCAUGAUGACUUCAUGCAUGGCAUAUACAGGUAAUCCAGUAAAGCAAGAAAUCUUGAAUCGCACAGAAUCAAAGGAAAAGAUACCCGAGUUCUACCAAAGGACUGGUUUUGGUAUUUUGAUGUUUAAUAUUCAUGCUUUCCAAGGAAAAUCAACUCAUAUUGCGAGAAAUGAGUUGAGCCUCAAGACACGUUGAGCUAUUUUUAAUUUUUUUAAAAAUCAACUCAUAUUGCGAGAAGUGAGUUGAGCCUCGGGGCACGCCGAGGUAUUUUUAGUUUAUGUUUUAAAUUGACUCAUAUUGCGAGAGGUGAGUUAAGCCUUUUAAUUUUUGUUUCUCAAAAUUCAACUCAUAUUGCGAGAAAUGAGUUGAGCCUCAAGACACGUUGAGGUAAUUUCAAUUUUUGUUUUCAAAAUUCAACUCAUAUUGCGAGAAAUGAGUUGAGCCUCAAGACACGUUGAGGUAAUUUCAAUUUUUGUUUUCAAAAUUCAACUCAUAUUGCGAGAAAUGAGUUGAGCCUCAAGACACAUUGAGGUAUUUUCAAUUUUUGCUUUUCAAAAUUCAACUCAUAUUGCGAGAAAUGAGUUGAGCCUUAAGACACGUUGAGGUAAUUUCAAUUUUUGUUUUCAAAAUUCAACUCAUAUUGCGAGAAAUGAGUUGAGCCUCAAGACACGUUGAGGUAAUUUCAAUUUUUGUUUUCAAAAUUCAACUCAUAUUCCGAGAAAUGAGUUGAGCCUCAAGACACGUUGAGGUAAUUUCAAUUUUUGUUUUCAAAAUUCAACUCAUAUUGCGAGAAAUGAGUUGAGCCUCAAGACACAUUGAGGUAUUUUCAAUUUUUGCUUUUCAAAAUUCAACUCAUAUUGCGAGAAAUGAGUUGAGCCUCAAGACACGUUAAGGUAAUUUCAAUUUCUGUUUUUAAAAUUCAACUCAUAUUGCGAGAAAUGAGUUGAGCCUCAAGACACGUUGAGGUAAUUUUCAAUUUCUGCUUCUCAAAAUUCAACUCAUAUUGCGAGAAAUGAGUUGAGCCUCAAGACACGUUGAGGUAAUUUCAAUUUUUGUUUUCAAAAUUCAACUCAUAUUGCGAGAAAUGAGUUGAGCCUCAAGACACGUUGAGGUAAUUUCAAUUUUUGUUUUCAAAAUUCAACUCAUAUUGCGAGAAAUGAGUUGAGCCUCAAGACACGUUGAGGUAAUUUCAAUUUUUGUUUUCAAAAUUCAACUCAUAUUGCGAGAAAUGAGUUGAGCCUCAAGACACAUUGAGGUAUUUCCAAUUUUUGCUUUUCAAAAUUCAACUCAUAUUGCGAGAAAUGAGUUGAGCCUCAAGACACGUUGAGGUAAUUUCAAUUUCUGUUUUCAAAAUUCAACUCAUAUUGCGAGAAAUGAGUUGAGCCUCAAGACACGUUGAGGUAUUUUCAAUUUCUGCUUCUCAAAAUUCAAUUCAUAUUGCGAGAAAUGAGUUGAGCUUCAAGACACGCUGAGGUAAUUUCAAUUUCUGUUGUUAAAAAAAAAUCAACUCAUAUUGCGAGAAAUUAGUUGAGCCUCAGGACAUGCUGAGGUAAUUUCAAUUUCUGUUUUCAAAAUUCAACUCAUAUUGCGAGAAAUGAGUUGAGCCUCAAGACACGUUGAGGUAUUUUCAAUUUCUGCUUUUCAAAAUUCAACUCAUAUUGUGAGAAAUGAGUUGAGCCUCAAGACACGUUGAGGUAUUUUCAAUUUCUGUUUUUCAAAAAUCAACUCAUAUUGCGAGAGGUGAGUUGAGACUUUUAAUUUCUAUUUUUCUAAAACCAACUCAUAUUGCGAGAGGUGAGUUGAGCCUUUUUCUGUUUUUCAAAAAUCAACUCAUAUUGCGAGAGGUGAGUUGAGCCUUUUAAUUUCUGAUUUUCAAAAAUCAACUCAUAUUGCGAGAGGUGAGUUGAGCCUUUUAAUUUCUGUUUUUCAAAAAUUAACUCAUAUUGCGAGAGGUGAGUUGAGCCUUUUAAUUUCUAUUUUUCAAAAACCAACUCAUAUUGCGAGAGGUGAGUUGAGCCUUUUUCUAUUUUUCAAAAAUCAACUCAUAUUGCGAGAGGUAAGUUGUGCCUUUUGCAAAUUCUGUUUUCAAAAAUCAACUCAUAUUGCGAGAAGUGAGUUGAGCCUUGGCUCACGUGCUGAGCUAUUUUCAAUUUCUAUUUUUAAUGUCUAGUUUUAANNNNNNNNNNNNNNNNNNNNNNNNNNNNNNNNNNNNNNNNNNNNNNNNNNNNNNNNNNNNNNNNNNNNNNNNNNNNNNNNNNNNNNNNNNNNNNNNNNNNNNNNNNNNNNNNNNNNNNNNNNNNNNNNNNNNNNNNNNNNNNNNNNNNNNNNNNNNNNNNNNNNNNNNNNNNNNNNNNNNNNNNNNNNNNNNNNNNNNNNNNNNNNNNNNNNNNNNNNNNNNNNNNNNNNNNNNNNNNNNNNNNNNNNNNNNNNNNNNNNNNNNNNNNNNNNNNNNNNNNNNNNNNNNNNNNNNNNNNNNNNNNNNNNNNNNNNNNNNNNNNNNNNNNNNNNNNNNNNNNNNNNNNNNNNNNNNNNNNNNNNNNNNNNNNNNNNNNNNNNNNNNNNNNNNNNNNNNNNNNNNNNNNNNNNNNNNNNNNNNNNNNNNNNNNNNNNNNNNNNNNNNNNNNNNNNNNNNNNNNNNNNNNNNNNNNNNNNNNNNNNNNNNNNNNNNNNNNNNNNUAGAUAAUGUGAAUGUAUUUAGAGGUGCUUAUAUAGUAUUCAAAACUAUCAUAUAAAUUCAAUUUUCAACCAUAUAUAAUUGACAUUAUGGGAGUUGGAAAAUGAUAGGGGGCACUAUAGCAAAUGUUAUAGUUGUAUAAAAUUAGGACUUUGUGAUGGAAUAGUUUAGGGCAUAUUGUUUGAAUAUUCCAUAAACAUUAAAAAAAAAACCAAAUUUGUAAUGGAAUAUAAGAUUGGGUUUUCUUUUAUUAUCAAUUUAAAGCCAUGAGAAUCUUUAUUAUUUAAAAAUUAAUGUAAUUGUUAAAUUGAAAUUGCAGGGGAAUUUCAAAUAGGAGAAAAUAUAAAAGAAAUGGAUCCAAAAACAGUGGGAAGUAGUGUUGUAAAAUAUGGGAGGUGGAGAUUUGGAAUGACAAAGAAAGCAAUGGGGCAUUCAUUAGUUUAUAGCCAACUUUAUCCAUUUAAAGGCCUCCAAAAUUAUACCUCUGGAAUUAUUCACCAUGUUCGCCUCACUGGUAUUUCUCACCAUUUCUUCCCUUAUUUAUCUUCUGCAAAUUUGUUUUCUUACCAUUUCUUUCGCAUUAAUACUAACUUUUUUAAUUUACAAUAUGGUAGCCAAUACUGUUUCGGUAUUAGUAAUAUUAGUCGAUACAUAUCACUUUUAAGGGUGAGUUUAAAGGGAUAGGAACAAUUCCGUGUGUUGACUUAAUAGUCAGGGUGUUCACCGUUCUAGGUAUGGUUUGAGUUCAAGUUAAGUUGUGCUAGUCACGUUACUGUUAGGGUUUUGCCCUUCUCUUGUAAUUCAGCAAAAAGAAAUUAAUAUAUGGUGAAAUUGCACUUUAACUCCUCCAAAAAUGAAAAUAUUUAUAUUUAAUUCCUUCAACAAUAAUGAAAUCGUAAGUUAAUGCAAGAUAAAUGACACUUUAACUUAACAAUCUCCGCUCCCCUUAAAAAAAAAAUCCUAACUUCACCCUUAAUCAUCUUGAUUUUAGAUUGGUACCAAGUAGAUUAAAUUUUGUUCUUAUUAAAACAUUGGUGUGUUUCCUUCUGUUUCAGCUAAUACCAACUUAUACCGAUAUGUACCAAACAAUAUUGGUAGGACUGAGAAAGAAAUCAAAAAAUUGAACUAAUUUUUAUUUAUAAUUUUAUUUAUAAUUUAAAAAUAAAAAUAUAUUUAAACAGUGACAAUAACUCAAAUUUUAUAUAAAAACUAUUUAAAAAUAUUAUCAUAUAAGAGUUAUUAAUUUAUUUGAAAAUUAGUUUCUUUUAAAAAUAUUUAUGAAUAUUUUUAAAAAUUUUACAAAAUAAUAUCCAAAAUUCAUAGAAUAAUUUAUCAAGAUAAGUUCAAACACCCAAAAUUAAUAGAUCUUGAACCAAAUAAAUCCAACUAAAAUAAACCCAAAAUUAAUAGACCGAGAAUCAAAUUAUCAUAGAAGAUAUACCAUACACACUAAUACCCAUAAUUACCCAAUAAUUCUUCUCACACUUUGCAGGUUUAAAACCCAACACCUUCUAUUACUAUCAAUGUGGAGACCCUUCAAUCCCAGCAAUGAGCGAUGUUCAUUAUUCACCAUGUUCGCCUCACUGGUAUUUCUCACCAUUUCUUCUCUUAUUUAUCUUCUGCUAAUUUGUUUUCUUACCAUUUCUUUCGCAUUAAUACUAACUUUUUUAAUUUACAAUAUGCUAGUCAAUACUGUUUCGGUAUUAGUAAUAUUAGUCGAUACAUAUCACUUUUAAGGGUGAAUUUAAAGGGAUAGGAAUAAUUUCGUGCGUUGGCUUGAUAGUUAGGGUGUUCACCGUCCUAGGUGUGGUUUGAGUUCAAGUUGUGCUAUUGUAAUUCACCAAAAAGAAGUUAAUAUAUAGUGAAAUUGCACUUUAACUCCUCCAAAAAUGAAAAUAUGUAUAUUUAGUUUUCUUCAACAAUAAUGAAAUCGUAAGUUAAUGCAAGAUAAAGGACACUUUAACUUAACAAGCUACGCUCCCCUUAAAAAAAAUCCUAACUUCACCCUUAACCAUCUUGAUUUUAGAUUGGUACCAAGUAGAUUAAGUUUUGUUCUUAUUAAAACAUCAGUGUGUUUCCUUCUGUUUCAACUAAUACCAAUUUAUACUGAUAUGUACCGAAUAAUAUUGGUAGGACUGAGAAAGAAAUCAAGAAAUUGAACUAAUUUUUAUUUAUAAUUUUAUUUGUAAUUUAAAAAUAAAAAUAUAUUUAAAUAGUGACAAUAACUCAAAUUUUAUAUAAAAAUUAUUUCAAAAUAUUAUCAUAUAAGAGUUAUUAAUUUAUUUGAAAAUUAGUUUCUUUUAAAAAUAUUUAUGAAUAUUUUUAAAAACUUUACAAAAUAAUAUCCAAAAUUCGUAAAAUAAUUUAUCAAGAUAAGUUCAAAAACCCAAAAUUAAUAGAUCUUGAACCAAAUAAAUCCAACUAAAAUAAACCCAAAAUUAAUAGACCGAGAAUCAAAUUAUCAUAGAAGAUAUUUACCAAACACACUAAUACCCAUAAUUACCCAAUAAUUCUUCUCACACUUUGCAGGUUUAAAACCCAACACCUUCUAUUACUAUCAAUGUGGAGACCCUUCAAUCCCAGCAAUGAGCGAUGUUCAUUAUUUCCGAACAAUGCCGGCCUCCGGUCCAAGGAGUUAUCCGGGAAGAAUUGCAAUCAUCGGAGACUUGGGGCUCACGUAUAACACAACUUCAACAAUUGAUCACCUUAUGAGCAAUCACCCGAACCUGGUGCUGUUAAUCGGCGAUGCAAGCUAUGCCAACUUGUAUCUCACCAAUGGCACCGGUGCCGAUUGCUACUCUUGCGCUUUCUCCGACACUCCUAUUCACGAAACGUAUCAGCCUCGUUGGGAUUAUUGGGGAAGGUAAAUUUUAACGAUGUUUCAUGGAUUUAAAUAGCGGUCACAACAUGACAUUACGAUAGUAUUUGUUAUAAAUGUGCAGGUUUAUGCAGCCUUUGGUGUCCAAGGUUCCCUUGAUGAUGAUAGAAGGGAACCAUGAAAAAGAAGAACAGAUUGAGAAGAAGACAUUUGCGGCUUAUAGUGCUCGAUUUGCAUUUCCAUCGGAGGAGAGCGGAUCAUCGUCGACAUUCUAUUAUUCUUUUAAUGCAGGUGGCAUUCAUUUCGUGAUGCUCGGUGGUUACACCGACUAUAACAAAUCAGGGGAUCAAUACCAGUGGUUGAAGAAGGACCUUGCAAAAGUUGAUAGAAAAGUGACUCCAUGGUUGGUUGCAACAUGGCAUCCUCCAUGGUACAGUACAUAUACUGCACAUUAUAGAGAAGCUGAAUGUAUGAGGGUAGAAAUGGAAGAUUUAUUAUACAAAUACGGAGUUGAUAUAGUCUUCAAUGGACAUGUAAGUCGUGCUUUAUAAUGAAUUAAUUCAAUUACAUUCACUCGAAGAGCUGAUGGUCGUGUUCAUUUGGUGAUAAUCAAUAGGUUCAUGCCUACGAGAGGUCGAACCGAGUGUAUAACUACAACUUGGAUCCUUGCGGUCCUGUUCAUAUUACGAUUGGUGAUGGUGGCAACCGAGAGAAAAUGGCAAUUACACAUGCUGAUGAACCCGGAAAUUGCCCCAAACCAUCGACAACUCUGGAUAAAUUUAUGGGUGGGUUCUGUGCAUUUAACUUCACAUCAGGGCCGGCAAGUGGUAAAUUCUGCUGGGAUAGGCAGCCUGAUUAUAGUGCAUAUAGAGAAAGCAGCUUUGGACAUGGAAUCCUUGAGGUAUAUUAUGCAGAUAUUUCAUUAAGAUUAAUUUCUAUGGACCGUAAAAAGGACACAAAGGGUACUUUAAUUAUACAAAAAAAACAUUAACAGCAAGUGUUUUGCAGGUGAAAAAUGAGACUCAUGCACUGUGGACAUGGUACGGUAAUCAAGAUGCUUAUGGGACUACUGGUGAUGUGGUUUAUAUAGUUAGGCAACCUGAUAGAUGCCCUGUUGAACCCGACGUAAUUAAUUAAGAGUAAACUCCAAAGCUUAAUUAAGUUGAUUCAUCUGCAGUCACCAUUAAAAAGUGAUGCCAAGAAAGUUUAGGUUUGAAUCUCGGCAUCUGUCCUCAGACUAUGAUUUCUUUUGUACCAGUAAAUAUCUUUCAAAGCUAUAAAUACAUAUUAAACAUCAAAAUCAGACAGCUGAUAAAUCACAAAGGGAUUAUGUACGUAUGUAUGCAUGCAUGUAUGUUGGCUUCUAAAGAUUGAAAAGUAAAUAAUUAAGGAUUCAAAAGGAACAUUAUUGUGAUAUGAUUUGCAGGUUCGUAAUUUUAAUUAAAUGAAAUAAGUUUGAUGUAACUAUGCAAGUAGUACUUAGAAUCCUAAAAGUUUGAAAUAAAUAUUUGUAACUUUGUUGAAUGUUUUCAUGAGAGUUCCUUUCUCAUGGAGGUCAAUUUCUUUGUUAUAAGAUACGGUCCCAUGGUUUGACAUACUAAGAUUAAAUAGGCUCUUAUGUAGGCUAACACGUAUCCUACUUUAGGGUCAACACGUGUCUCUUGAGUAUGGGUUUGCCUGCAUGGUGGUGUGAACCCAUUAGGUGCGGACUUAUACAGACGAACUAUAUGGUUUGGUUAACUAUAUCCGAAAUAAAAGGGGUCAGAUCGGUCUUAAUCAGAAAACAAAUAAUUUAUGGCGGACACUACAACAAACUUAAUAAUCACAUUUGUUAAUAACAAAUAAUUAAUUUGUUUUGAUAACGUAAUUACAAGACAUAAUUUGAAAAUAAUAUAUGCUUGCUUAGAUACCAUUAUUCUCAGUACUCCAAGUAACAUAAAUAUUGAAAUGAAUUUGUGAGAGAGCUAAGAUGGUUGUAUUCUAAUAGAGAGAUUUCUAUUGCUGGUAAAGAAGACUUUAGCUCCACUAUCGUGCGGCCGUGACAUUAGCUUAAGCUCCUCAUUAAGCUAAUUAAAUGUGAUCUCUAGAUUAACCAACAAUGUCUUCAUAAAGUAGACAACUAAAUGAUCGAUACCACCAGCAUCCUUCCAUAAAUAGCUGCGAAAUAGGGCUUCAACUUCUAACAAAAACGCCUCUUCCUAUCAUUGGGGUCAUGCAUCAAGGUUUAAAAAGUUCCAUAUUGGAUGCAAAAUAAAUGAUAGAACAAGUAAGAGCAGGAUAGACAUUGAGCUUGUGUUGAGUGUACUAUCAAAUGAAGCUCUAGAGAGAAAUGGAGGGCUGAAUCCAGGGUAAUUGAGCCCCGGACCGCCACCUCCGCCAUUGAUCGGUGUGGUUGUCGUAGUUGGCACAUUCGGAUUGUUCCACGACCCUGUUUUUGGCAUAGCUGUCCCUCCGGAUGUGCUGGAAAUUUCAUAACUUAAGCUUUUAAAAUCAAUAAAAUAACAGUGACAAAAACUACAAAUAAUGAUGGAAUCCAAUUUGGUUGGUAAUUUUCAAAAAAUAGGCGAAAGGAGCUAUUAUUAGCUUUUGCUGGAACCCAAUAGAGGUGCUCAUGGGCCGGGCCGGGCCGGGCCCAGAAAAAAUUUCGGCCAGUGUCCUAGACCCUGGCCUGGCCGAGGCUGAAAUAUGAGCCUAAAAUUUUAUCUAGGCCAGGCCUGAAAAAAAAUUCAUAAGCCCGAGCCCAGCCCGGCCCAUUUUUUAAAUAAACACCAAAAAAAAUUUAAAAAUAAAAAAAUUUAUUUUAAAAAUAUUUUAAAAAAUAAAAAUAAAAAAUAUUUUAAAAAUAAAAAAAUAAAUAGAUUUAUUAUAUUUGGGUCGGGUCGGGCCGGGCCAAAAAAUGUUAUGUGAGGCCCGGUCCAUUUUUUAAAUGGGCCUUUUUUUUUGUCUAAUGUCAUAUUUCGGGCCUAUUUUUUACUUAAACCCUCCCAUAUUUUGGGCAGGCCAUUGGGCCGAGCCGGGCCGCCCGGCCCAUGAAGACCUCUAGAACCCAGCAAUGCGCCCAUGGAUAGAGAUGACAACAAGGUGAGACGGGACGAGUUUUUGCUCGCCUCAAUUUCGACUCGAUUUUUAUAUCCUCUACUUCGAUUUAUUCUGAGCUCGAUUUUAUUUAAAAAUGUAAAAAUAAUUAUAAAAUUAAAAAAAAAGUGUUUUAGUAAGUAAAUCAAGGCAGACAAAUCGAAUUUUCAUCUAAAUCUAAACUCGAAUUGAUCUUGAACUACCCAUGUAUGACUCCAGUAUCCAAAUAUCUAGAGUGUUUUUUGACCGUUGGAUGUCUUUCAAGAAAAGAGUACCCAUCCAACGGUUGAAAAAGUCUCACCUAAACAAGACGGUAGGAAAACAUUACAAGUAAAGAAGUGGCCAACAGACAUAAAUAAGCCUGGAAACGUAAAAGGUGUAAACCUUCACAAAGUGACGACUGCAUGUAGGAUACGAAAAUGGACGGUUAGAGAUCAUGCCGAGAAACACGUGUCAGACAUCUACUCAAUUACAGCAUCACCAUGAAAGGCUCACACCCACUUGAGAAUCAAAGGAUUAUGCAAAGUUGAUUCAUGUUAGUUAAUUAGGAUUUAAACAAUAUCUUAUUUUGCGCCUUUUUGUUUUUCUGUCUUUGAUCCUCUUACAAGCCACAAGGGUUUCAAUAAUAAAUUACACCCAACUUCAAAAAGUUAUUAAAUGAGCAAUAAAUUAUUCAAAUUUUUUUAUUUAAGUCACUAAACUAUUUAAAAGUUUUUAUUUAAUUUACUGGGCUGUUAAAUUUUUUUUUUAAAAAGGAGGUUCAGCUAGUGAACUCCAAGCAACAAUUUAACAAUCGGUAUGGUGGAUAAAUACCCGCUGACGAGUAGAUCCAAGUUGAUCUAACGGUUAGUGUCGGAGAUCGGAGAAUGAAGAGAAAAACUGUUUGGAUUUUAGUUUAUAGAUUUGUGACGUUAAAAGUUAUUUCAUAAAAAAAAAUUAAACUGUAAAAGAGAAGGGAAAUUAAAGCUUUUGAGUGUUGCAAGCAAUGCAGACAAAGAAAGCCGUACAACAGUAAUUUUAACAACCCGAUGACUUAAAUGAAAAUUUUCGAGUAGUUCAAUGAAAGAAAAUACAAAAAAUUCUCUCUGCUGCGUUGUUUUCGUCUUCUUUGCAGGUAAGGAGGCUAGCUGGCGUAAGGAGGUGGUGGAUGUGGCACAGCACACGCGGGGAAGGCCUUGGUGGCUGCGGCGCCGGAAGGAGGGCUGUUGCAGCUAGGGUUUUCUGAUUUUUUUUUUGUUUUGGGCUAGGGUUGUGUUGAUAGUUGUAUUGGGCUAGGUUUUUGGGCUGGGUGUAGUUGGACUAGAUGCAUCUGACUUUGGGUUUGUACCGGGUCACUGUAAAUGGGUUUGGUUUUUAUUGUUAUUGGGCUGUGAACUAUUUGAGUUUUAAUUAAUUUUUAUUUAUUUGGUUUUUUAUUGUGGGCUGGGCAAAUUGGGUAUUACAAUCAGCUAAUUAGGAAAGACUGUGAUGAUAGUCACACCUUACAUCCAAAAGCAAAGCUUUUUACAUGUGUAUGUGAGGUUGCUAAGCAAAUCUGAUGAGCCUUCACUGAUGUUUUAAGGUUAAGUUAAUGUUCCUUUUCGGCAAAGAACAUUAUCGAGAUCACGGUAUUUUGAUCGCCUUUUGCUUGUUAUGUUAUUUGUUCUGAAACGAUUGCAUAAUCUUUACUGUGAUUGCAGGAUAUAGAGCAACUUCUGAAUUUCAUUGGUGUAAAGAGUUGAGGACCACGACAUGUUCUUGCAAAUUUGAAGGAGCUUCUAAGGUCUGUCCGGUCUUCAGAAUAUAUAGAUACCUGAAUUAAUUUUGAUUUUGUAGGAUCAACUAUAAUUAGCUACUUAUUACACUAUGAAUAGACAACCUCACCUUCUUCACACACUACACGUGCGGAUUUUUUACCAAUCCCAUUUCAAAGGAUCACACUUUUUUGUUGUUUACAGAAUCAUAAUUAAUGUUAAUUAAAGUGGAAUAUUUCAGAUUUCUGAUGAUGAGCAUAUUCUUGAGUAUUGCAGUAAAAAAAUGGGUGUGGAACUUAUUUGAACUUUGAAUGUAUGUUCUGUUGGUGAGAAUAUAAAGUUGAUAAAGAUUUGGUAAAUAGAAUAAAAUAUUAUUUUUAUUAGAAAAAUUAUUUGGUAGACUGCCAAUCGAGUUAUAAUUAUCAUGACGUAAAACAUGUCAUAUUACAAAUAAUAAAAUUAUAAUGACUCAAAUAUACGAACAUGUCAAAAUUUACGUAAAACGAAUUAUUAACAUGUCAAUGUAUAAUACGGUACGCAAAAAUAGGAUAAUUGCUUGUUUUUUAAAUUGAAUUGUUAUAACAUAUUAUACAAAAUACAUUGUGAAUUAAAGCAUAAUAUGAACAUGAUAUCAAAAUAUUAAAUAUUUUUUAAAAUUUGAUGAUACGAAUAAUUAUGUAAAAUAUAACAUGAUACAAAAUAACUUGAGAGGAAAAGAGGAAUAAAGAAUUGCAUUGUUUGUGAGGUUUUAAAAUAUUCCAGUUUUAGAUUCAAUUUUCUAGUAUGUUUGGUUUAAUUUUACAUUAGAUUUCCUUUUUAGUAUGCACUAGUGAACGCUUGGCAGUUAAUUUAAUUUAAUUUAAUUUAAAGAGAUAUUGCAUAUACAUAAUAAUGGAUUAUGAUUUUACAUUAAACUUCAUAGAAGAAAAAAGAAAUAGACGGUUGAAAAUGAUAAAACCAUAAGAUAAAAGAGCUUUUAUUUAAAAUGCAAAAAUCAACAAAAUAUGCAUUAUCGCUCAACUUAGCAUAAUUAAACAUUUAGGUGUGGAAAUCAAAUCACAAUUUGAGUAGCUAAACAUAUCGCUUGAAAAUGUGAUAAGUAAGAAAAUUGCCCACAUUUGAGUAGCGACAGGUGGUAAUGCAUUUCCCAACAAGAGAAAACCAAGCUCUUCGCCAGUAUGGAUUUAUGUAGAGGACAACAAAAAUUGUUAACAACACAACUACAUAAGAAACCAAAAAGCUCACACAAAAAUCAUAACUAUCUAUCAAACCAUCUUCUCCUUUAUCUUCUGAUACAGUUGAUAUUGUUGAUGGUGAAUCGGUUUUGGAACAACUUUUAUGCAGUAUAGGUCCACAAAGAAAAGGGUUUCCUUCAUAACUGUUUUCAAUAAAGGUCUCAAAUUGAGCUUUUGGUUCGGGAAUACUACCUGACAAGUUGUUAAAUGCCACGCUGAAAACCUCCAAAGAGUUUAACUCUACCAAUUGAUUGGGGAUUUCACCACUUAAGUUGUUGUAAGAAAGGUCCAAACUCUCAAUUUGAUGUAGUUUUGAGAGUGACGAGGGUAUAACUCCGGUCAACUUAUUGUGUGAAAGGUUUAAAGAAUGGAUUUCACUCAAGUUCCCUAAUUCUGGUGGGAUAUGACCAGUUAAGUUGUUGCAAGAUAAAUCAAUCCCAGUCAUAUAUGAAAGGAUGUCGCCCUUGUAUGAAUAGAACCCACUCUUUGUUGUGAACUCUAUUACUUCUUCUAAGUAGCUACUAGGAUAGUAAGAAUCCAUUCCCAAAUUUAGUAUCAUACUGCGUGUUGUUUCAUCCUCUUCUAUAGAUGGCCCAUAGAACCAAGUUUCUAGAAUCUUCUUCGUUUGCAUUGGAAGAGAUAAAUUUCCCAAACAAGAAGGUAUAGGACCAGAAAACAUAUUUUGAGAAAGAUCUAUGAUGCUUAAAGAAUGCAACUUGCAUAACUCAAUAGGAACUUUACCAUGAAAAUGAUUAUCUUUCAAGAGAAGAACACUCAAAGAAGAAAGCGUGUAAAUCCAUUUUGGAAUACUACCUGUCAAAUUGUUUCCUCUAAGAUCUAAAGUCACUAUUGAAGAGCUAUUAUAAAAAGCAAGUGAUAGUGGGCCUCUCAGUCUAUUCCCGUGGAGGUGGACAUGCUCUAUGUAUGGUGGAUUAAAACAUGACGGUAUAGAGCCAGAUAAAUUAUUUUGAGAAAGAUCCAAAAAUUCCAACCUAUUCAACUUGCAAAAUUCCAUUGGAAUGGAACCUUCAAAACCAUUGUUGGACAUAGCUAAUCUCUGCAAAAACGAUGCAUUCCCUAUCCAUCUUGGGAGCUUUCCAUGCAACUUGUUGUUACUGAGAUCAAUUUCGCUUAGUGAAUUUGGAAACUCAAAAGUAGACACAUCAACAUUUGUCAUCUCUCCUGAAAAAUUAUUUCCAUCCAAAUAUAAAUGCUGCACCCCAUUUGCGCUGAGAAUCACAGGAACUACAUUUCCACUGAGGUUGUUAUUUGAUAGUCUCAAAAUGGUCAGUGAGCCUUUCGUGAUCAACUCUUCUGGUACUUUUCCAUACAAAUGAUUGUCUAAUAGAUCUAAAAAUGAUAAGUCCUUCAUGCCACUUAAACAAAGUGGGAUAUUAUCUUCAAAAGCAUUCUUGGAUAAGAAUAACCGACUCAAAUGUGGAAAAGUUGAACAUAUACCAGUUGGAAUUUGACCUUGUAAUUUGUUUUCAGAUAUGUCAAUUGAAGAUACAUCAGAAAUAAGAGCCGACGAAAGUGAGAGAGGACCUGUAAAUGAAUUACCCUUCAAGAUGAGAUCUUCUAACUUUGUGUUGUUUUCUAGCAACCAAGUUGGUACAGUUCCACUGAGAUUGUUAUGAGAAAGAUCCACAUAUCUCAAGUCAUAUUGGUAGUAAAGGAAGGUAGGAAAUUUACGAUUGAGUUGUUGAGAUGCUAUGCACUUUGGCAAUCUGAUGACUUCCAAUUGGAACUUUGGGAUUGAGGUAUAAAAGGAAGAUUCCAUUACCAUCUUGUUUUCAUUAAUCGAAAGGGCUUUGAGGUUUGAAAGGUUUGCAAAUGGUGCAAAUGACAGCGGAAUUUGAAAAUGGUUUCUUGAAACAUCUAACACACGAAGAGAUGUCAAGUUACUAAAACAACGAGGAAGCAUCCCCUCAAGUGCAUUGUUGCUCACAUCCAAUACUUCAAGGUUCUUUAGAUCACACCAUCCUGAAAAAUUUAUAAAUUCAUGGAAGAAAUUUUAAUUAAAUUUGGUCCUAUUAAAUAGAAUAGGAGAUAUUAUAUUACAAAAGCUAGUAAAGAAAUCAAUUUGAGCCAUAAAAUUAUUUACCUUGAUUAGGUAAGGGACCAAUAAGUCCACAAUGAUAUAAAGACAAUGUUUUAAGAGAAGCGAAUACUCCAAUGCUUUGCAAAAUGUUGGUGUUGAGAGUAGAAUAGUCAAGAUAUAUUUCCUCCAAACUGCUCGACACAUUUGAAUCUAAGCAAUGUCAAGAGGUAUUAGAUAACGGUAUUAUAGAAAGCCUCUACUAAGUAGAAUGCUUUAUUUUCUGUGAAUGAAAUGAAGUAUAUAAAUAUAUAUAUAUAUUUUUUAUGAGUUAGAUUAUUCAUGAUUUAUCUGAGAUAAAUUUUGAUAGAGAGAAGAUGUUGAAACUUUAAUAUAACUCUUCAUCCAUUUUAUUAAUUAUACUAUUUUUUUUCUUUUUAGUAUUUUCUUAUAUUAUUUUUUAAUAUAAGUAAUUAACUGAUAUAGCUAAGUUGUAUAAUUUUCAAACUCCAAUCAACAACACUAUAAAUAAUAUUUAUAAAAUAAAACAUGUCUACACUAAAUGUAUGUUUAAAUUUCAUAAAAUUGAAGAUAUUUUUAAAUUAUUCAAAAUUCACAUGUCUACACUAUAAAUAAUAUUUAUAAAAUAAAACAUGUCUACACUAAAAUUAUUAUAUUACCUUUAAAGAUGCCAAUAGUAUAUAAAAAAAUCAAAUAGGUAUUUUACUCAACAAUAAAUAAAACUCAAAAGAAUUAUAAGUAAACUCAGCGGAUUAAAUGAAAAUUUUAAAGCAUUAAAUCUUGGCCCAAAAAUAGAGUUAAGUUAAAAUUCAAAAUUCAAAAUUAUUUUAUUAAUAUUGUUAAAAUUAUUUUAUUAAAUCCAUGUUCAUUACGUCAUUUUUUUAGUUACAUUACUACUAAGUUUUUUUUUUAUUUCAAAAUGUCACACCAACAAGCUAUUUUAAAAUUUUAACAAUUUUAACAAUUUAACUAGGAUUUUGAUUUUUUUUUAUAAAAAAAACAGGGAUUAAAUUCUUGAAAAUAAAAGUAUAAGAAUUAAAUUACAAAUUAGUAAAGAGUACAUAGACCUAUCAUAUUUUUUAAAACCAAAAAGUUAAAAACAUAUGCACUUUGAAAUUUAUAAAAAGAUUGCAAUGGAAGUUUAAGCACCUCUCAAUGUAUGUUUAAAUUUCACAAAAUUAAAGUUUUUUUUUAAAUUAUUCAAAAUUGACAUUUAUUUAUUUUUGCCAAAAAAUGCCAUUUAUUUAACGCUAAUAUGUAUUUUUAUGUUUUAUACUAUUAAAAAUAUAUGAAAUUAAAAUAUAGUUAUAUUACAUAUUUUCUCAUAAAUAUAUGUUUUUAUUUAUUUAUAAUAUCAUUUUUUAUUGUUAUAAUUAUUUUUUAUCUCAUAAAAAUUCAAUAAAUUAUUUUAAAAAAUAUAUUUAUACAAACAAAAUAAUUAUAAACAUUAAUAUUUUAAAAUGAUGAAAAUUUUAAAGAAUUUUAGUUUCAAACCAAAGUCCAAACACAUUAUAAUGGAUGAUUUAGAAAAUGUUUCACCAAACCCAUAUUUUACUUUCAAGUAUGAUAUGAUAUAACUUUAUUAAUAUUUAUGACAAUAACCGUUAUUAUAAUAUUUGACAUCAAAACUAAAUUUCUAAAUUAAAAAAAAAAAGGAAGUUUAAUUAAAUGAUACCUUGGUGGAUCACCAAAUCUUUCAAUUCAUUAUAGCUCAUAUCUAGUUUCCUUAAGUUGAUAAAUGCUUCCAAAUCUAGGAAAACAAAAACAACAAAUCAACUUCAUUAUAUUCUCUUAAAACAUUAUUAUAUUCUUGUUAAAAAACUAAUACUUUUACCUUUCAUAUCUAUUGAUCCUUUCAAUUCAUUGCCUCUUAUGCUCAAAGAUUUCAAAUUUGAAAGCUUGUUAAGGGAUGCAAAUACACUAGUAUUGAAGUGAUUUCCAUCUAAAUUAAGCUCUUCCAAGUGGGUCAAUUCCAAUUUUCUACCAUCAUCUACAAAAGAUUUAUAUAAUUUCAUCAUCUACCAUCACUAAUUUCAUCUACCAAUUUGUUAAAUUGCUCAAUCCUAUACAUAUCCACGUACAAUUCAAAAAAUCAUUAUGUUAAUAAUUUUAAUUUCUACUUAAUAUUUUAAUGAAAUAAAAAUGAAAAAAAAAAGUAAAUCUAAAACUUGAAUUGAAGAUAAAAAUCCUCAAACGUGAAAUGUGAAUGUUCAAAUUUGAAACAAUUAAUUUUAAAAGGCUCUAGAAAGAAUUAUCAAGAAAAACAAAGUUAUAGCUUUAGUACCUUUAGUAUCUAAUGAGCCUUGCAAACGGUUGUUGAACAAAGUCAAAGACUUUAGGCUUGAAAGCCCUUGAGGAAAGGAAAUUGUGUUGUUCCGAAAGAGAUUACCACUCAAAUAAAGUUCCUCUAAGUUUGUUAGCCUCAAUUGUGUUCCAUCUAUCAUUGGAAGAAAGUAAUUAGUAUAGUUAACAUCAUUCAAGAUAUAAAUAGUUAGGAAAAAUGUUUGUUUGAGAAGGAAGAGCCAAUUUACAAGCUUUCCGAUGAAUUGAUUCAAUAUAUAAAUACUUUGUUUGAGAUACCUUCCUACUUAAAUUACUCAAUUUUGAAAUUUAAUCCCAAAUAUUGAUUACUUAUAUAUAUUCAUGAUAUGAUAAAAUCAAAUGACUUAUUGCAACAACUUUUCCUUCAACAUGAAUUUAUUUUAAAGAAUGCUAUUCUUCAAAUAAUUCCAACUUAUAUCAAUAAUUUCCAAUUUAAUGAGCCAUUGAAAACCUCAUUUAUAUAUUAUAUAAUUAGUUACUACAAAACUUAAAUAAAUAAUAAUACUCCAUUUUUGCAAUAAAAAUUCACUAAAGAAAAUACAUUUGAAGUCUGUCAUUGCCUUUUGGAAUAAGAGUCGGUCAAGAAAGUUACUAUGCAGAAAUACUUAUACCUUUGUUUGAGAUGCUUUCAAUGUCGUUCCAACUUAAAUCCAAGUACUUCAAAUUUGUCAAAUUAUUCAAUCCUGAAAUUCAAUCCCAAAUAUUGAUCAGUUAUAUAUAUAUAUUCAUGAUAUGAUAAAAGCAAAGACAUAUUGCAACAUUAACUGUCCCUUAAACAAAAAUUGGUUUUAAAGUAAAAAAGAAACAUAUAAAACCAGUCUACCUUUAAUAUGAAUUGACAUAUAAAUACUGUACUUAUACCUUUGUUUGAGAUGCUUUCAAUUCUGUUCCAACUUAAAUCCAAGUAUUUCAAGUUUGACAAAUUAUUCAAUCCUGAAAUUCAAUCCCAAAUAUUGAUUAGUUAUAUAUAUUCAUCGUAUGAUAAAAUCAAACUUGAACAUACAUUGAUUUUUAAAUCAAGGAUGAAAGAUUUCUCAUAUGAAACAAAAUGCUAUUCUUCAAAGAAUUCCCACUUAAAUCAAGAGUUUCCAAGUUAUUGAGUCUUGAAAGCAAUUGAAAACCUGAUAUAUAUAUUUACUUGUUAAUUGUUUUUUCUUUCUUAGCCAUAUGAAAAUUUUACUAAAGCAAAAGUGGAAUUACGACGGAUAAAAAGAAUGGAAAACUAGGUACCAAGCCUAGAAGACCAUCCUCAAACUCCACUAUACAAAUAAAAACUAACAGCAGACCAAACUUAAUUUACCUCUUUGAUGACCUGAUCCUUCAAAUUUGUUGAUUGAUAGAUCUAAAUACCGGAGAGAUGAAAGCUCACUCAAAGAUAACAAAAUGCUAUCAUUCAAGUAAUUGAAACUUAAGUCAAGGAUCUCCAAAUUACUCAAUGUGGAUGAUAGUUUUCCAAAGCCUAUAGAAAUAUUCUUUUAAAUAUAUACAAGUUAGUGACUUUUCUUCCAUAAAAUAAAAUAAAAUAUAAGUAAUUGCAAAUUAACGAUGGUAAGAGUAGUGGGAUAAUAAAAGAUGUAAUUAAGGAAAAACUAGAGGCACGACCUUCAUUUUCAAGGUUACCACUUAUGGCAUUCCCCCGCAAAUAAAGACUCUUCAAUUCCUCAAAGGGAAGAAACAUAGAGGUAUUGAGAUACCAGGCAUUGAGAUUCCUAUUAUCCGUUUUGUAUCCCAUACUGUCAAACCAUCUUGUAGAAUUAAGGGAGAGUUGUAUGAGUCUCCUAGUGGUGGUGUUACACUCAACUCUUUCCCAUUUACAACAAUCUGAACCCUUCACCUCAACCCAACUUUGCAAUUGAUUUUGAUAAUUGAAGAAAGGCUUGAGAUGCAAGAGAGCGAUUCUCUCAUGCUCCAAACAAGCAUCAGUAGUACACCAUCUGCAUCCUUCUAACACCAACAACAUUACUGCCAUCCUAAUAAGCCUUAACCAUUUCCACUCCAUCAUCAUCAUCUCUCUGUUUUCACUUCUCUCUCAGUUAUAUGUUACUUUUUGUUAACUUCUAUAUGUAAAUAAUCUAAAGCAGCCUAACCUUCUUAUUUAUAUACAAGCAGAACAUACUGGAUCCCACUAAUUCACUAUAAUGUAAAAAUAAUAUAUAAUUAAUUAAUUCCUCAAAAAUUGGAUCAAAAUCUAGGCUUUUUAUUUACGUAAAUUCCUUAUUGCAAAAACUCCUGGUGGAAAUUCGUUAGGAAAGGAUGAAUGGACCACAAGAAUGUUGAUGUUAAUCUUGAAAAACGAAUGGCCAAAAAAAUAUGAAAAGUGAGAGGUGGACAUAAAAUCUUGUGGUUGGGGUUGCAAAAGUCUUCAUGUGGCUUUCUUGUGAGCUUCAUUUAUACCCUUCUUACACAUAUACAAACUUAGUCUUGACUUGGCUUUAUUAAUGGAAAAUUUAGGUCUUCAUUUUUGGUUUCAUUCAUGGAAAUUUUACUUCUUUGAUUUUGAUUUUGCUUUUAUUCUUGCACAUUUUAGGUUUUGAUUUUGAAAAUUUAGUUUUUUUCAUCUCUAUUAUUAUAAAAUUUCUUGAUUUAAUUAAUAUCAUGAGUUAAUUUAAUAUUUUAAAAAAUAAAAUAUUACAUUCACUAUUUUUAAAAAAAUAGGAGUAACUAUAAAAUUUAAUUAUUUAUAUAAUAUUUUUAUAAAAAAACUAUUUAUUUCUACUAGACCACUACUUUAAAACUAUCAAUUAUCAUAUAACUUCUCUUUAAUAAUUCACUAUUCUUUGAACAUUCAUUAGUUUUUGAAACAUAAAAUUUAUAAAUAAUUAUUUUUAAAAUGACUUGAGUUUUACUUGAAUCAUUUUUGUAAUUAGUUAAUUAAAUUGGGUUAUUUUUAAAAAAAAUCCUCUUAACUAAUAGCAAAAAAAAAAAAAGAAAAAAAAAAGCCAUCAUGUAGAAAAUUCUGGUUUGUUGGAAAGAUAAAGACUUGCACCAUUACUUUAAAUUUUGAAAUGUUCAACUUGAUAUUGACAUCUGAUAAUAUGUACAAAUUUCUCAUUGUUUUGAAUUUUAGUGAUAUUACACAUAUGAUAAUAUGUUUGUCACACCAAAUUUUGAAAUAGUAGAACUUAAUGAAUUUAACAAAUACUUAAUGAAUUUAAGAAAUAUCUAAAAUAUCAAAUUAAAGUCUAGGAAUUAAAUCUACAACUUCAGUAAAGUACAAGAACUAUUGUAGAAUUAAACCUUUAUAUAAUAAUUUCCUUCUAUGAACCACAAUUCAAGUGCACCCCACAAGCAACAUUAAAAAAUUGGCAUGUGUCUAUUUUUUUAAAAAUAUUUAUUUUUUUAAUAUUAUAUACUACACCUCUAUAGGAUACGUGUCAAUCCUUUAACUCUCCUUAUGGAAUUUAAAAACUCCACUAACAAUGUACCAAAUAUUAAUCCUAAUUAUUAUACUAUUCAUGGAUAAAGAUAAAAUAUAAUAUUUGCUUAAAAAUCUCAAUUAUAUAUAUUUGGUCACCCAUUGUGAUGUAAUAUAGCACCGUCUACAAAAUAGUUGGAGGAAAGUGUUAAGAAAAUAUCAUUACAUAUAUCAACAUUCGCAUAAUUCAUUGCAUUAACUUUCAAAUGUUAACUAUUGACUUCUGCGUCAACUUUGAGCUUAUAUAGGUCCCCCUCAUGGAAAUUGAGAAAAACAAAUUAAUAUGUAUAUUCUUGUGGGUGGAAAUUUAGUGGAGAUGCCCAUCAUCUUUCCUAAUUAAUAAAAAUGAAGACUUAGAAAAUGUGCAAUCAUAAUCCUAGUCGUCGUUAUGGCCCCAAGAAUAGUUAUCUUAAUUUGUCUCUCUUCAGGAUUAAAGAUAAAAAAUAAAUUUUAUAAAGUUAGAACUAUAAUUUUAUAAUUAUAUUAACAUAUAAUUUCAUAAAAUUUUAAAAAUGUAUCUUUUAAUUUUUUAAUUAAAUUGAUAAUUCGUUAACUCAUAAUAUUAUUUUAUUUUUCAAAAUAUUUACGAGAACGAGUUCGUAUUCUAUUGUGUGGAAAAUUUUAGUACAGAUUAUUAAGUUAUUGGAGAAGCCAAAUCCAACUUGUUUGACCAAGAAAGUUUUUGUCGCGUGGAAAAUGGACAUUACCAUUUCCUUGAAUGACCUUCAAUUUAAUGUAUUCACACCAAAUUUCAUUAAUGAGUAAAACAAAUAAUGAAUAAUAAUGAAAAUUGGAGGAAAUUGUUAAGAAAUUAUUAUUACAUAUAUCAACAGUCACAUAAUUCAUUGUAUUAACUUUCAAAUGUUGACUAUUGACUUUUACAUCAACCUUGAGCUUAUAUAGGCCCCCCUCACGGAAAUAAUCUCAUAAUUAAUGCCUGAAAAAUUAUUAUACAUCAAUUUACAGUUUUAAUCCCUAGACUUACUCAAUUGAAUUAAAAUUUUAGUUUUUAUUAUUUAAUUUGAACUAUUACUUUAGAUUUUGAAAUGUUCAACUUGAUAUUACAAAUUUCUCAUUCUUUUGAAUUUUAGUGAUAUUACACCUAUGAUAAUAUGUUUGCCACACCAAAUUUAGAAAUAGUAGGACUUAAUGAAUUUAAUAAAUAUCUAAAAUAUCAAAUUAAAGUCUAGAAAUUAAAUCUACAACUUCAGUAAAGUACAAGAACUAUGGUAGAAUUAAACCUUUAUAUAAUAAUUUUCUUCUAUGAACCACAAUUCAAGUGCAUCCCACAAGCAACAUUAAAAAAUUAAAAUGUGUCUAUUUUUUUAAAAUAUAUUUUUUUUAAUAUUAUAUACUACACAUAUAUAGUAUACGUGUCAAUCCUCUAACUCUACUUAUGGGAUUUAAAAAAUCCAGCAACAAUGUACGAAAUAUUAAUCCUAAUUAUUAUACUGUUCAUGGAUAAAGAUAAACUAUAAUAUUUGCUUAAAAACCUCAAUUAUAUACAUUUGGUGACCCAUUGUGACGUAAUAUAGCACCAUCUACAAAGUAGUUGGAGGAAAUUGUUAAGAAAAUAUCAUUACAUAUAUCCAACAGUCACAUAAUUCAUUGCAUUAACUUUCAAAUGUUGACUAUUGACUUCACGUCAACUUUGAGCUUAUAUAGGCCCCCUCCUCAUGGAAAUAAUGUCACAAUUAAUGCUUGAGAAAUUAUUAUACAUCAAUUUAUAGUUUUAAACCCUAUACUUACUCAUUUGAAUUAAAAUUUUAGUUUCAAUUUGAUAUAUUUUGUUCCUCUUAUUAAUAUUAAUGUUAUAGAUUUAUUAAAAUAACUAACAUUAUUAAUUCUCUAACAUUUAAAAAUUAAAAUUAUGUGGUUAUUAAAAUUAUGAUGCUAAAUUGAGAAUUAAAAAUUAUCAAGUUUUAAAUGAUCUCGGGAAUUAAGAAGAGAUCGUGUCCUAACUUAUUGGGCAUGAUCCUUUUUUUUCUCAAGUUUUAAAUGAUCUCAGGAAUUAAGAAAAGAUCGUGUCCUAACUUACUGGGCAUGAUCCUUUUUUUUUUAAAAUCUAAGAUAGCUAAAUAUUUUUUAAAUAAGUAAAUUUUUGGCAUUCAUUCGCGCAUCGGGAAUUCAAGACAUUGUGUCCUAACUUACUGGAUAUAAUUCUCUUUCUCGAUUAAUGUGAAUUAUGGCUUUUUCCCGAAAAUUUUCAACAUUUCAAUAAAGGAUCGUAUUUUAAAUCUCUUUAAAGUUUUCAAUCUUCGAUACUAAGACAUUAAUUAAUCAACUAGGUACCAAUUUUGGGCGUAACGAGGGUGCUAAUCUUUCCUCGUACGUAACCGACUCCCAAACCUGUUUUUCUGAAUUUCGUGGACCAAAAUUAUUAUUUUAUUAAAAUUAAAUUGUUUAUUAAAAAUAACCACUUUUCAAGGUGGCCCGAUCACACCUUAUCAAAAAGGAUUGGUGGCGACUUCCAUAUUCGUUUUCAUUUUUUAAAAUCCAAGUCGACCCCGUUUUCACAAAAAAAAAAAGUGUCAACAAUUAUAUUAAUAUAUAAUUUCAUAAAUUCUUUAAAAAAAAUUGUAUCUUUUAAUUUUUUAAAUUAAUUUAGUAAUUCAUUAACUCAUAAUAUUAAAUUUUUUAUUUUUCAAAAUAUUUACGAGAACGAGUUCGUAUUCUAUUGUGUCGAAACUUUUAGUACAGAUUAUUAAGUUAUUGGUGAAGCCAAAUCCAACUUGUUUGACCAAGAAAGUUUCAGUCGUGUGGAAAAUUUUAGUUUUGUGGAAAAUAUAGAUUAACUUCUAUAUAUGUAUGUAAUCUAAAGAAGCCUAAGCUUCUUAUUUAAUUAUAUACAAGCAGAAGAUAUUGCAUCCCACUAAUUCACUAUAAUAUAAAAAUAAUAUAUGAUUAAUUAAUUCCUCAAAAAUUGGAUCAAUCUAGGCUUCUUAUUUACGUAAAUUCCUUAUUGCAAAAACUCUCGAUGGAAAUUCGUUAAGAAAGGAUGAAUGGACCACAAAAAUGCUUAUCAACUCUUGACUUUGGCGUUCAAUGCUAAGUUCAUUUUAAAAUUCUUUCAUGGAGAGAAGAUGGGAUGACAAGAAUGAUAAGUUUUAAGUCAUUUAAGUUUACACAAAAUUUUAAUCACUCACAAAAAAUCAGUCUUGAUAUUCUAUUAAAAAAUUUAAACAUGGCUUAACGUUGAUUUUAAAUCUAAUGUCGAUGUCAAUCUUGAAAAACGAAUGGCCAAAAAAAUAUGAAAAGUGAGAGGUGGACAUAAAAUCGUGUAGUUGGGGUUAUAAAAUUCUUCAUGUGGACAUAAUAUAUUUUUUAUGCCCUUCUUACACUUAUAUAAAGUUAGUCUUGAUUUCGCUUUAUUAAUGGAAAUUUUAGUUCUUCAUUUUUUGUUUUAUUCAUGGACAUAAUAUUUAUUUUUAUUUUUUAUUUUUGUGUUAUGGUCUAUGUUCGAGGUUUAUGGCUAUCCCCUUUCAACAACGUCGUCUCAACGGUUCAAACAUACACUUGCAGGUAAAAUAAUACUUUUUAAAAUCACAAAUAUUUGAAAUAAUAUAUUGCAGCUAUAUAAAUGCUUUCUUGUUUAAGAUACUAAUAAAGUAAUUAACAAAGUAAUUAUUAUACCUAUAAUAAUUCAAAAUGCCACUUGUUAUCUAAUGAAGUAUAGGGGUGCAAAUGAGACAUCCGUACCCGCAAGCUAUUCGAAUUCGGCUCAAAAAAUUUUGAAUUUGAUUCGGUAAUUAUUGCGCCGAGCUAUAGGUCGAUCCGGAUUCAAGCUUAGUAAUACUUGACUCGAGUAGUUUGGGAGCCUUAUUGAACUUUUCAUAUUUUUAUAUUAUUAGAUUACAUUAUUGCCUUUAAUAUAUAUUGUUAACCCUAAGUUUAAUUAUUGAGGCGAGCUCGAACUCGAGUACAAAAAUUGAUAAACAGAUUUAAUUUCGAGCUUAAAAAUAUAUGUUCAAUCGAGUAUCAAGCUUUGAAUUUCAAAUUAAACUUGAGUUUAACCGUAUUGAGUUCGAAUAGAUUCAAUUACACCCUACAAUAAAAUAUACCAACAAAACCUACAUUCCAUAUUUGCUUAAAAACUUUGCUGUAAAUUUUAUAUAUGUGUGUGUUUAACGUGAGUUCCAUCUAUGUCCAACUUGAUGACGAUGAAAGUUCCUAUGGUGUAAAAAGUUUUAGUUAUGUGGAAAAAUAAGGUCUUCUCUUCACACGUUUAAUAUGCUUACUUGUGACGGUCAUUUCGGGCUUGACAUCAAUUUUCAAAAUGUUCUAAUUGGUGGAAAACUUACGUCUGCUUUUAUGAUUCUUUCAAGUCAAUUGGAGAAUGCCUCUGUUACACUUCAAAAGAAGUAGAUUUUGAACUCAACAUGAACCUGUGAGAUUUGAUGCCUAAAAUAUAGGUAUAAGGUUUCAAUUCAAGGAAAUGUUGGAAGUCCAGGAAAUUUCUUAGUCUCCUCUCUUUGGAUGUUUUUGAACAAAAAUGUUUUAAGUCUCUUCCGAUGCUAAACUUCUGAUUGGUCGUCGGUUCACUGACCCUUUGGUACACAGCAAUAUGAAGCAUUGGCCAUUCAAGGCCAUUGCUGGUCCUGGUGAUAAGCCAAUGAUUGUACUACUAUAGAUUUGAAAUGAUUGUACACAUCUGAUCGGCUCUUUGUAAAUUUAAAUCUUACAAAUUCGGAUAAUAUUCGAAUUUAAAUAUUUCAAUUACUAUCUGCAAUAGAUUAAAAACAAACGUGAUUAUCAAUCCUUGGAUAUCCACAUACAGAUUAUGCAAUACAAUCUCUUAAGGCAUAUAGAAUUUGGGUCUUAACCAAGCUAUGUUGCUUAAAAGCUUGCUAAAAGCACCCCUAACAAAGGGGUAAAUAAAUAAAAUAUCAAGCACCAGUUAUCAAAGCAGAUUGACCACCUUAUAUCUAUGUAUGCUACUACAAAACUUGCACCAUUAAAAUCUCAAGCUGGUAAUUGGAGCUUCAUGUUAUUCUUGCAGCUGCAGGCAUAAUAAUCAAAUAAGUUGCAAUCAUUCACAUAGGUACUAUGAAGUGCUUUCCAGAGCGUGAGAAACCUCUGGAAGUAAUAGUAGAAGAAAUCAGCAUAAAGCAAUGUCUGGACAAGACCGCAAAUCCAAGCUGAUCAAAGGCAUCAAUCAUGUAAACUAGGUGUUAGAAAUAACAAAUAUAGCAUAGAAUAUAACAAAUAAUGAAUAACAAUGAAUAGUACACGUUACCAUUUCCUUGAAUGACCUUCAAUUUCUCCAUUGAGAUAUAGUAAGAGGGAGUGGAAUAGAUGUAAGGUAAUAUUUGAUGUAUUCGGUAAAUGAAUAAUAACACCACAUUCCAUUAAUGAGUAAAACAGAUAAUGAAUAAUAAUGGAAGUUUUAUAAAAUAAAAAUAAAUUAAAUCAUAUACAUAUAAUGUAUUAAAUCUUAUUCGUGAAGUUCACAAUGAACAAAAUACUAAUCCAUAAUGGAGAAAAAUAACCUAAACUUUAAACAUUUGUUCAUUACUAUAAACAUAUGUACAACUUUUUAAAGGUUUUAUAUAAACUAUUAAAAGGUAUAAACACUCUCAUAAAAAUAUAUUAUUAAGUACGUCUUCUUUUACUAGGAAAGUUCCUAUCCUGUAGAAAAAUGUAGUUUUGUGAAAAAAGGUCUUCUAUGCACUAAUUUGUGGCAAUCACAUGGGGUUUGGGAAUUUCAAUUUUGAUAGCCAACCGAGAUUCACUAAAUUUAAAUUUUAUUAUGAUUAAUUACGCUCUUCGUUUUGGAGAAAUAGGUAAUCACAACAACUAAUUUAAUUAAAUGUAAUUUAAUAAUUAAUUUUUUUAUAAUUUAAUUACAUUAACUAUAUUUAAAUUUAAUAUUUAGUAUUUAUAUUUUAAUUUAACAUAAUUUAAUUCACUUACUUUUAUAAUAUUAUUAGUUCGUCUAAAUAGUUGACACCUUUAAUUAAUUCUUAUUAAAAUGUUAAAAAUGUUUAUACUUAUUUUCCAUGUUAAAAUAUAUAUUUUUUUGUGCUUUUAAAAACAAAAUUUCACAAUAUCAUUUCCCGAUAUAAAAAUUAAAUCUCAAAUUAAUUUAUAUUUUUGUAUUUUUUUAUAACUAAUGUUAUCAAGAACUCUUAAUAGUGCAACUGAUUCCACCAUAAUAUUUAUAUUCUUUAAAUAUGAUUUACAAUUUAUGUUUGGAGUUCGUGACUGUCAUUCUUAAUAAUGUCAUUUCUAAUGUUCGAACAUGCAUCUCCCCUUGAGAAUGCAAUAUUCAUUACUAUUGCACCUAAUUAUUUUGAUAAUUUAAUUUUAAAUAUUGACAUAAAAAUAUUUUUAAAUAUAUUAUUAAUAAAUUUAAUUAAGAUUAUAAAACUUGAGGUUUUUUUUAAUUCUUCAAAAAUGUCAUUUAUUUAUUUUUGGCCAAAAAAUGCCAUUUAUUUAACUCUAAUAUGUGCUUUUAUGUUUUAUUUUAAAAAUAUAUGAAAUUCUAAUGAUAGUUAUAUUACAUAUUUUUUAAUUUUAAAUAUCAUUGUUCUUUUAUAAUUUGUUUCAAGUAUGAAAUGAUAUAAUUUUUUUUAGUAUCUAUCACAAUAACCUUUACUAAGAAUUGAAACUAAAUUUCUAAAUUUUGAACAAAAAUGAAAGUUUAAUUAAAUGAUACAUUGGUGGAUUCAUUACCCCUCAUAUCUAGUUCCCUUAAGUUGAUAAAUGUUUCCAAAUCUAGGAAAACAAAAAACAACAAAAUCAACUUCAUUAUAUUCUCUUCCAACAUUAUUAUAUUCUUGUUAAAAAUCUAAUAUUUUUACCUUUCAAUCCAUUGCCCCAUAUGCUCAAAGAUUUCAAAUUUGAAAGCUUCUUAAGGGAUGCAAAUACACUAGUAUUGAACUGAUUUCCAUCUAAAUAAAGCUCUUCCAAGUGGGUCAACUCUAAUUUUCGACCACCAUCAAUAAAAGAUUUAUAUAAUUUCAUCACUAAAAUGAAUUGGCAUAAACUUUUAUUAUAUAUAAGAAUUUAGGUAAUUGGUUAAAUAUAAAUGCAUACCAUUUAAGGAUUGAAAGCUUUCAAUUUCAUUCCAACUUAAAUCGAGUUUCUUCAAAUUUGUUAAAUUGCUCAAUCCUAUACAUAUCCUCAUCCAAUUCAAAAUCUGAAAUUAGUAAAGAUAAAAUUGCACAUUGACCCCCUAAAAUUGAUAAAAAUUUAAUUUAAUUCUUUAAAAAUUAUAAACAUAUGUAGCGACCUAAAAAUUUCGGCACGGGCGCUAGUCGAAGUAAUUAUUGUAAAUUUGAAAACUGAAUCUCGAUUUUAUUUGAAAAAGGAGUCGCCACCGAUAUUUUUUCUAGGUGUGAUCGGACACCUACAAAAUUCUCUUUUUAGAAGAAAAAAUUAUUUUUAAACUUUUCUAAAAAAGAGGUAAUUUUAGGUCCACGUAAAAAUCCAGAGAAAAUUAGGGUCCGGGAGUCGGUUACGCGCGAGGAAGGUAUUAGCACCCUCGCAACGCCCAAAAUUGGUAUCUCGUUAAACGCGUGUUGUCUUCAUUUUCAAAAAUACGAGUUCAAUUUAAUAUUAGUCGUGAUCCGAUUGAACACGAGAAUUUUAAAGCGCAACAACUUUUUCUUUUUUGAAAACACGAAAAUUUUAAAAUACAAGAAUUUUAGAAACACAAAACUUUUUUUUUAAAAAAAACACGAAGAAUUUAAAACACGAGAUUUUUUAUUUUUAUUUUUGAAAACACGAUUCUUCUUUUUGAAACACGAAAAUUUUUAAAACAGAAAAUUUGUUUUUGAAAACAUAAAUUUUUUGAUAAAAUACGAAACACGAGAAAUUUUGAAGACAUGAAAAUUUUUGAAACACAAUUUUUCUUUAAAAAAUACCGUAUUUAACACGAAUCGAUGAUAUUCAUCCCGAUAUGGCGAUGAAACCAUCGAAUUAGUGUUAACUCAAUUCAAUUUAAUAUUUAAUCGGGAUUCUAAUAAAACACGAGAAUUUUUAUUAAAAUACGAGGAUUUUUGAAUAUUUUUAUUUUUAAAAGGGUGUCCCGAAUUUAACACGAGCUAUCGAUAUCCACCCAACAUAGCGAUGAAUUCGAUGACUUGAUGCUAAAUCGGUUCGUUGCCUUAUGCAUUAAAAUAUUAUUAUUUUUAAAAAAAAUAUGCAAUUAAAAUGACAUAAUAAUAUUUAUGAAAACUGUUUUAAAGCAUACUAAUUUAAAUUAAAUAAAACACCAUUUAAAUAAAUAAAAUAAAAUAAAAUAGAUUAAAAAGAAAAAAAGAAAAAAAUUACCCAAAAGCCCAAAGUUAUGGGCUUAAAUUUUGGGCCUCCCCUUUUAUUAUUUUUUUUGCUGUUGGGCUNNNNNNNNNNNNNNNNNNNNNNNNNNNNNNNNNNNNNNNNNNNNNNNNNNNNNNNNNNNNNNNNNNNNNNNNNNNNNNNNNNNNNNNNNNNNNNNNNNNNNNNNNNNNNNNNNNNNNNNNNNNNNNNNNNNNNNNNNNNNNNNNNNNNNNNNNNNNNNNNNNNNNNNNNNNNNNNNNNNNNNNNNNNNNNNNNNNNNNNNNNNNNNNNNNNNNNNNNNNNNNNNNNNNNNNNNNNNNNNNNNNNNNNNNNNNNNNNNNNNNNNNNNNNNNNNNNNNNNNNNNNNNNNNNNNNNNNNNNNNNNNNNNNNNNNNNNNNNNNNNNNNNNNNNNNNNNNNNNNNNNNNNNNNNNNNNNNNNNNNNNNNNNNNNNNNNNNNNNNNNNNNNNNNNNNNNNNNNNNNNNNNNNNNNNNNNNNNNNNNNNNNNNNNNNNNNNNNNNNNNNNNNNNNNNNNNNNNNNNNNNNNNNNNNNNNNNNNNNNNNNNNNNNNNNNNNNNNNNNNCUCUUUUUACUUAAUUAUUUAUCAAUUUACACUAGUUCGAGUUUUUGUAACAGUAUCAUGGAGACUUAUGUACUAGGAGUUAGAUUGUAUUUUGCCUCUUUUACUCAAAAAAUGAGUAAAUUAAUCCUUGUACGUUAAAUCAAUGAGCAAACUAGUCCUUUUAGUUAACAUUUUCAUUCAUUUUUACUAUUAAAAAUUGGAGUGACUAACGAAAUAACCAGAUAGUUACACAUUACAUGCCAAGGGUGAAGCCAGAAAAUUCUUUUAGGGGGCCGAAAUUAAAUUUUAAUUUUUAAUAGCUUAUAUCUUUAUAAUUUUUAAAUGAUUAAAUCAAAUUUUUAUCAUUUUUAGGAGGGGACUAAAGUGUAAUUUUAUCUUUACUAGUUUAAAUUUCUAAAAUUUCUAAAAAGCCUAAAUGGAUAAUUUUCAAUUUUAGAGGGGUCAGGGCCCUUGCCAGCCUCCCUAGAUACGCCACUGUGGCAUGCCACAUGUACCUCAUGUCAGCAUACAUGAACCCGUUUUUAACAGUUAAAAUGGAUGAAUUUUUUAGUAGAAGGAUUAAUUUUCUCAUUUUUUGAGUAGAGGAAAGAAAAUGCAAUCCAAUGCCUAAUACAAGGGCCUCUAUGUCUUUCAUUAUUACUCAAUUAUUUGUCAUCAAAAGUUGUAUAUGUUCAAAUAUAAAUACAAUAAAACACAUAUGUAGUUAUUAAACAUAUCAUGCUAAUGUCAUUGUUUCUUCUUUAUCCAAAAUUAUUGGACUUAUAAAAUUCUUGAGAAUAAGAAAACCCCAUUAAACUUCCUUUUAAGUAAAACGUGUGUUCAAAAUCUUGAACUAGGUUUAUGCAGCAAUAGAAAUUCACAAGCUGUUUUUUUUAUACAUGAGAUGUGAAUCUCAAAAUUUUAGGGUUUCUGAUCUCAUAUAUUUUGGGUCCAGAUUUAAUGCUAAGGAUUUGUUGAGAAAGUUGAAAGGGAAGAAAAUGAUGUUCAUUGGGGAUUCACUAAGCUUGAAUCAAUGGCAGUCUCUAACAUGCAUGUUGCAUGCAUUUUUGCCACAAUCAAACUACACUGUUCACAGAGAAGGGAACCUUUCGACCUUUUAUUUGCCUGUGAGUUGCCAAAUCUAGUAGCUAUUUUAUUUCCUUCUUAUAAUUAAAACUUUUCAAUGUCACCUUUAGAAGGUAGCUGCAUGAAUCAAAUGAGUUAAAUCAAAUAGACUAAUUACUAUUGUUUGGCAAAAAUACCGAGUAGACCUUUUUAAAAAUAGUUAUUAUACUUUUAUUACAACAAAAUAAGCAGGGGUGAACCUAAAAUUUUUUUUAGCAGGAUAGAAAUUUAAUUAUAAUUUUUUCAUAGAUCAAAAUAUAAAUUUAUUAUGAAUUAAUUUAUAAUUUUAUCAUUUUUAAAGGGAUUAAACAGAAAUCAUUUCAUUUUUAUGGGGGUUAAAGUGUAAUUUUACUAUAUAUUAAUUUAUAAUUUCUUUAUUUAUAAGACUAGAAAAAAUUUUCAUGGGGGCCAAAGUACAAUUUUACUAUAUAUUAAUUUAUAAUUUCUCUAGUUAUAAAAGAACUAAAUUAAAAACUUUUCAUUUUUUAGGGGGGCCAAGGCCCUGCCUACCCCUUUCAGAUUAUUCGCCUCUGAUAAUAAGCCAUUAAACUUUAAUUUAUAACCGUUACCAUUAAUUUUUAACUUAUAUCCAAAUAACCCCUUACCAUUUUAUUUAUACUCAAAAUAAAAUUUAACAUAAAUAAAGGUGAGAGAGGGGCCUUGGCCUAUUGGUUAAAAUAGAAAAUUUUCAUUUAGGUCCAAAGGUAAAGCCAAAAAAUCAUUUUAGGGGGUUGGAAAUGAAUAAUAAAUUUUUGGGGAGACUAAUAUUGCAAUUUUAUCAUUAUAUCAACUUAUAAUUUCAUAAAUUUUGAAAAGAUUAAAAGACAAAUUUAUCAAUUUUUGGGGUUGUCUACUCUCCUGAGUUGGUCUCUAUUGAAAAUUAAUAAUUCCAUAAAAUAUAGCUUUCCUAAAUUUAUAAUUUUAGCUCGACCCUAAAUAUAAAAUUCUUUGCUUUACCCCUGAUAUUAAAUCAAAAGAUAGAAACUUAUUAUGUUACUAUAAGAAUAUAGGGAUUUAUUUAGCAAAAGCAAACUAUUUCAAGGACUUUUUUGGUAGUUUGCACUUAUAGUUGGUAUUAGUUAGAAUUAAGUGCCAAGAUUAAGUUUCCUUUGAGAUAUAUAGUUGGUUAAGCAAUUUAAUAUAAGUGGAAAUUUAGACCCCUAAGUUAUACCCUUCAUGCAUUUGGACAACUGUGUUGAGCCAAAAAAAAAAUUGCAGGAGUAUGAAGUUUCGUUGAUGCUAUCACGCAAUGCAUUUCUUGUGGAUAUUGUCCAAGAAAAGAUUGGCACCGUUCUGAAGCUUGAUUACAUUAAAAACGGCGAAUCAUGGAAAGGAUAUGACUUUCUCAUCUUCAAUACCUGGCAUUGGUGGCUCCACACUGGAAGAAAACAACCGUAAGCAAAACAUAAUUUCAGCAAUUAAAACCCGAUUUUUUAAUUGCAUCCCGAGUAGAUUUGUAAACAAAUACAACACUCGAAUUGGGUUGGGUUUGAACCGGAAUAUCAUUCCUAUAGUUUUGAUUAGACCUGUAGUUUAAAAGUUAAUUAUUUAUUUAAGUUUGAAAAUUCGUUUGAAAUUUAGAAGAAUAUUUAGAUAAAAAUAUUAGACUUCAUAAAUGAGCUUGAGUAAAAAAAUUAAACCCGUUUUUAAUAUGGGUUAAGCUUAAGCUCAAAAAAGUUAAGGAUCCAGACAUGUUGAUGAACUUAAAAUGAAUUUGCGAUAACUAUUUACAAAUAUUAGUAUGUUGGAGCAAAAUUUUAAGCCAUUGUUUGGUCCAACUAAAUUUAGGCAAAUAUAAAGUGCGUUAAUAUCAUGCUUAAAAUUGAUUCAAACUGAUCCCAACCCAUAACCACUUCUAAUUCUGAUUAGUUUGACUCAACCUUUUUAUUCUUUUAAAUACUUAUAAAAUCUCUUAUCCAAUUAUAUUUAUAUUUGAGCAAAAAAUGAUGUAUGUAUGUAUGUAUGUAUGUAUGUAACUUGAAAAAUGAAUUGGAUAUUAGAUGGGAUUUCAUUGAAUCAAGAGGAAAGGUGAAGAAAGACAUGGAUCGUAUGGCUGCAUAUAGAGAGGCACUAAGAACAUGGUCAAAAUGGGUGGAUUCCAAUGUUAACACUACAACUACCCAAGUGUUUUUUCAAGGCAUUUCUCCGACUCAUUUCAAGUAAGCUUUAGCUCUUCUCUUCUCUUCUCUUACCAUUUGCAUUAACUUCCUUGUUCUUAUUUUACUUAAAAGAAAUGGAAUUAUGAAAAAAAUUGAAAGCCAUUUUUUUUCCAAUAGAACUUAAUUCAUUUUAAUCCCAUCAGAUUUGGUUCAAAUUAGAGGUGUUUAUAAGUUGGUGAGUCAAUCGGCUUAGUUCGCUUUAGACUGCACUUGAAGUUAAGUUUUCAAGUUUCGAGCCAGAUUAGCCUUACUUGUUUUAUUAGUCGAAGAAAACUAUUUUUAAUUGUUUUAUAAACAAUGAAAAUGGACCAUUUAGGUAAGCUUAAGUUUGGAAAAUUUUUGAAAUUGGGCUUAAACUUGACUUGGAAAAUGAACACUUAUAGUUGAAAGAAACUCAUUUGUCAUAAAGCACAAAUACUUUUAUGAUUAGAGACGUUAAUGGGCUUGAACUUAAAUUUUCUUUUUGGUUUAAGCUUGGUUCGAGUUGAAAACUCGUAUUGUUUAAAAUAUUUCUAAUAUAUUAUUGUUUAAAAUAUUUCAUAAAUAUUUUCAAAAUGAAAUAUGUGUAAGAAUCAUAAAUUCAAGCUGUAGUGUUUCCUCAUAUAAAUUAUGAAUCACUCUAAAUAUCUCAAAGAGAAAAUGACAGUUCAUUGACAUCUAUAUAAAGAUUUUUUUUUUUAAAAUAAAAAUCAACAAGUCUCUUACGUUAUCCAUAUAUAAUAUGUGGAUGUACAAUUAUAAACUUCACCUCAAACAAUUUGGUAUUUUGAUCCACAAUUUUGACAGUGGCAAAGAAUGGAAUGGUACCAAAUCAACAACUUGCACACAUCAAAUCAGACCGGCUACCGAUUUAACGUACGAAAGUGAUCCACCUCCGGAAGUGACGAUCGUAAAGGAAGUGCUAAAAAACAUGUCGACGCCGGUGGUUUUGCUCGACAUAACCAGAUUAUCACAGCUGAGGAAAGAUGGUCACCCAUCAAUUUAUACUGGUCUAAAAGGAAAUGAUUGUAGUCAUUGGUGCCUAGCUGGUGUUCCUGAUACAUGGAAUGAAAUCUUAUAUGCAAUUCUUACAAGUAGGAAAACUUAAUUCAAGAUUAUAAUUUUUUUUUCAAUUUAAUGUAUUUAGUUAAUAAAAAUUAAUUUCCCAUUAAUAGAUGAAGAAUUUUAAAUUUAAUAACAUAGGUGUAGCCAUCAAUUUAAUGUAUUUUUUACCCGAACCCAAAUUAAGUCAAGCUCAAACCAAUGGAAAACCUACAAUAUUAUUCAUAAUAAUAUUGAAACUUUAGAUUUUUUUAUUAGUAUUAUAUAUUUUAAUAAUUAAUUUUAAAUAUUUUUAUUAAUAAAUAGUAUUCAGGUCGCGCCAGCCCAAUUUAAAAGAUAUUUAACUCAAUAUAAAUUCAACAUAUUAAAUGAAUAAUUCAAAUGUCAAAAUGAGCAAAGGAAAAUCUAGAGUUGUAAGCUUUGCAACUUUAAAUUGGACAUGAGAGUUUCUUUUAUUGGAUACAUGCCACAUUAUUUUUUAACAAAAUUCCUUUAUUUUAUCAAUUGAAUUUAAAUUAUUAUAUUAAUAAAAUUAUUUAAUUAUUUAAUUGUGUUUCAACCUUUUACAUAAAAUAAAAUUUUCUCUUUUAACUUUUUCAUCAUUUAAUUUUUCACUUUUUAAAAUCACCCUCAAUUUCAAAUAUAAAUUUACUUGUGUAAAAAAAAAUCUAAAUCUGUUAAUUGCAUCUAGAACUUUUCAGAGUUGGUCUUGUCAAAAUUUUAAGUCUAUUUGCUAGGCCCAAGUUUGGCCUAAAAAAUAGACUUAAAAUUUUGUCUAAAUUUAACCCGGAUAAAAUAUUAAAAUCAGGCUCGACUCAACUCACCUGAAUUAAUUUUUCUAUAAAAAUAUUAAAAAUAAUAGGUCAAAAUACUAAAAAUAUUAAAAUAAAUAUUUUUUAAUAAUUUAAAAAUAAAUUUAAAAAUAUUUAUACUUAGAUAAAAUUAACAAUAAAAUAAUUUUUUAAUGUUUAUUAAAAAAUGGGCCGGACCGGGCUCGGGCUUAUGAUAUUUUUCCCGGGCCGGGCCUGGAAAAAUAUCAGGCCCAUAUUUCGAGCCGGGCCAAAAAAAAUUUCUGGGCCCGACCCGGCCCAUGGACAGGUCUAAUCUUAGACCUUUUCAGUGUUGGUCUUGUCAAAAUUUUAAGUCUGUUUGCUAGGCCCAGGUUUGGCCUAAAAAAUAGACUUAAAAUUUUGUCUAAUUUUGACCCGAAUAAAAUGUUAAAACCAGACUUAGACUCAACCCACUUGAAUUAAUUUUUUAUAUAAAAAUAUUAAAAAUAAUACGUCAAAAUAUUAAAAAUAUUAAAAUAAAUGUUUCCUAAUAAUUUAAAAAUAAAUUUAAAAAUAUUUAUACUUAGAUAAAAUUAACAAUAAAAUAAGAGUUAUAUAAUAUAUAAAUAAUAAUAAAAUAAUAGUAACAACAAGAAAAUAGUAAUUUUUUGUCUUUUUGUUAAUUCAUAUCGGACCGGGCUUAACCCGGUUGAGAACGGUACUUAUAUUUGUACAAAAAAAAAAUCAAAAAAAAAUGUGAACGGUACUUAACCCGGUUGAGUCGGAGCUCCAUGACCCGAACAGCAAUUUAUUUUUCAAUUCUUCUUCGUUACGCAAAAAGGAAAAAAAAAAAAACAGCUCAUGAAAAUGGCAUGGUCAAAUACUCUGCUUCAGAUUCACAUCAAAUCCCCUUCGAUCCCUUCUCUCCAUUUCCCACAUUCCCUCCCAAAAAGCUCCCCAUUCCUUCUUAAUCCUAACCCUAUAAAUCCCAUUCCCAGAUCCCUCAGAAUGCAAUUCCUUCACAGACCCAACGCUGUCCCACUCGUAUCAAGAGCCAUGGACAUCAUCCAAUCGUCUCCUCCCACGUGGCAAUCCGCAGUCCUCAGUAACCUCUUGAUCUUCGUCGUCGGCACCCCACUUUUAGUGGCGGGGCUUUCUCUCUCCGGAAUUUGUGCUGCGUUCUUGCUUGGCACUCUCACUUGGCGCGCUUUUGGCUCCCCUGGGUUUCUCCUCGUUGCUUCGUACUUCGUUAUUGUGAGUUGCUAAUAAUAUAUUAUGAAUUGUAGCUGAAUUAUGGGAAUUAAGUUAAAUUUUGGAAAUUGGGUUUUGAUUUUGUAUCCAUCUGGUAUUAAAAGUUGCUUGCUUUGGAGAAUUAGCUGUCAUUGUUUGGUAGUAUGGCAAGGAAAAUAAACUUAAUUUAUGUCGAAAGGUUACUUUUUAAUUAGUUAGCUAUUCAAGUUUGAUUAGUUGUAUUUAGAGAAAUUGAUUGUACUAGGUGAAAUGAGAUCAAAAGAUUAACAAAAGUUACUUGAUGGUUUCUAGCUUUUUAGCUGAAAUAAAGUCCUGUAUGAAAUGAUAUAAUAUUUUAGUUUUCUAUUAUGGCUUGUUUUCCUUGCAAAGUAUGAAUCUUGAAUUAGUUCCUGCCUCCCUCUUCUAAUUCUCCUUACCCAUUUCUAGUUGAAAGUUAAUUGAAAUUCCAUGUGAUUUUGUGUUAUAAUUCCAGUUCAUAAUCUGAAUGGAGACAAUAAAUUUGGAUGAAGGAGCUUUAAGCAGUGGGAAAAAUCCAUAAUAAUUUGUAAUUCUCUAAAUCUCUAAACAAUCUUACAUCUCUUUGUCAUGCCUUUCAAACAUAGUUGGUAUAACUAUGUUCAAUUGUCUUAGCUAUUGUUUAAUCAUUUUUAAUUUUUCAUUCCCCCUGCUCCCCCAAAAAAAAAUGUUUGUCUGAGCAAUGAGUCUUUCUCAAAAUCAAUUUCCAAGGCCAUUUUAUUUGAUUAUGACUUUGUGAGUAAAACAUGUUUGUAUUUGUUAGGGAACCGCAGUAACAAAAGUGAAAAUGGCUCAAAAGGAGGCCCAAGGGAUUGCUGAGAAGAGGAAAGGAAGAAGAGGACCUGGGAGUGUAAUUGGGUCCAGUGCUGCUGGUUGUGUAUGUGCUGUUCUAACAAUAUAUGGAGUUGGAGGAGAGGCAUUUACACGUCUUUGGCAACUUGGUUUUAUUGCUAGUUUCUGUACUAAGUUGAGUGAUACAGUGUCCAGUGAGAUUGGGAAAGCAUAUGGCAAAACAACGUAAGUAGUGCAUCUCUGUUUGUUAAUGUAUAGGCGCUUUAGAUUAACUGUAUUAAUAAUUCUCCUUAGUUCAUUCUAAAGAAAGGAUAUUUCAAAUCAAGUGGAAUUUAGAUCCCUUAUGGUUCUUGCUAUAUUCGAGCUCUAUUAUUGUCAUAUAUGCUGGUGAUAAAGGUCGCUUUGACAUCCUAUAUAGAAACAAAAUUUGUGAGUGUUAAUAUUGCCUCAAAUCUUUUUUUUUUUCUUCAAAGGUUUAUGUCAAUUGCUACUCUCUUUUUUUUUUACUGUUAAACUACACUUUAGAAUUGCAAAUAUAAAGUGUGUGAUGUGCCAAAAUGAACAGGUACCUGGUGACAAACUUUCAGAUUGUUCCUAGGGGAACAGAAGGAGCUGUCAGUGUUGAAGGAACUGUUGCUGGACUUCUAGCAUCUAUACUGCUUGCCACUAUUGGUUGUCUAUUGGGUGAGGUAGUACUUGCUAUGUACUCAUACUAUGUGAAUAAUUUGUUCUGCCAUUCAUGAUACCAUUUUUUUUUAAUAACAAGCAUUAUUGUGAUCAUUACAAAAUGUUUACACCUUGUAAGAACCUGGAAUUUUUUCUAGUCUCUGCAACAAUAGACUAAUUGGUGGGGUGGUGCCUAGAUGGAAUGAUUUUGCAGAUAUAAUUUGUUGAAGGUGUUUUUCAAAGGGAACUCUUAGCAAAAUAGCAGAUCAUGAUAUAUUUAUAAAUUGAUUUUGACAUCUCAGUUUAGGCGUGUACGACCUUUGUGAGCAUUAUUUUGCUGGGAACUUAAAUUUCAAUUUAAUAUAGUUCAGGUAUUACAAUUUGGUAAAUUGGAUAAUAUUUUCAAGGGGAAGGAGAAUUAAAUUAGUUGAAACCGAUUUUUAUUGUUAGUGGUUUUUUGUAUGUGAGUGGAUGAGGUUGUCUCUCUAGCCUUGCUGCAUCUUUAGCUAGGAUUUUCUCAAAAAUCUUGUAUAUAUCCCUAAGGUUAUGGUGUUGUUCAUAGUAUUGACGCCAUAACCUCUAUACACUUUCAAACUGAAUAUGAUCAACAGCUUCUAGAGAAUGCAUAAAUGAAAUAUGGGUAUUUGAAUUUAUAGAGAUGUUCUAAGCUUCUGUUUUUUGCUUUUUCAUUUAUCUUUGCAAGCAGAUAAAUGUACCUGAGGUAUUGAUAUGUGUAAUAGCAUCCCAGAUUGCUAAUCUUGGUGAGAGCAUAAUUGGUGCUGCAUUCCAAGGGAAAGAAGGAUUUCGUUGGGUAAGGAAUCAUUUGAAUAAUAGGAUGGUUUCUGUCAUCCUGUUUUCUUAACCAUUUUUUCUUAAAUUUAGUGCCUAUGUAUCUUCUAGAUUUUAGUGUUACCGAUGAAUCAGGCUUGAUUCUAUAUGAAUGUAUGGUUUGAUGUGGUAUAUCGAUGAGAUGAUUACAUGUAUAUCAUUUUGUGGACUCUCAUCAUGUUUGGAUCUGGCUGCACUCCUAAAGCUGUAGUGAGGAAGAAUUAUAUACCCACUGUUUUGGGGUAAAGAAGAUCGAAGAGUAAAUUUAGAGAGAUCAGCCUGUUAUAAAACUGCCUGCUAAGGAUUAAUUCUAGUCUUAAUUUUCAUUCGAUGAAAUCACGGUAUUGUGCAUGUAAAAGGCUGUUAUGUUGGUCUGAUUCUUCUUUUUGCUUUGAAGUAUCCAUGUUCAACAUAUAGUCACACAAGAAAUAUGGAGAUAUGACCUUCAAGAUACAUGAUAAACUUUAGCACAAAUCUCUAUCAGACACUUACCUGAAUUUGAGCGAAAUAUCUGGGUUGGCCAUAUAUAAAUCUGCCUAGGAUCUAUCAUCUUAGCAUGUUUAUAUGCUUUUCAUUAUAAGGCUGAAACUUGGAUUCUUUUACCAUAUUGAUUUUGGUUUUCAUCUUGCAGCUGAACAAUGAUGCUGUUAAUGUCAUCAACAUAUCCAUAGGCUGCAUUUUGGCAGUCUUAAUGCAACAACUACUCCAAAACUGGCAAAUGUAAGUUCACCCCAUCAUCUCUUUUGCGAUGUCAGGUAAUUAUUGCAGAGUUCAUCGACACUGCAAUCGACAUAUUGCAAUGUGGGGAAAGAAAAGAAGAAGAAGAAAGAGAAAGUCUUCAAUGUAAUGCAAGAGAUGAGCACAAAGGUGCAACAAUUAUAGCAAUGAUUUUGCUAACCUUGAAAGAUACUCAAAUGAUAUGGAAAAUCAUUAGCAUAACCAUUUGUUCCAUGAGUAUAUUUUAAAAAGGCUUCUCUCUUUUAUAGUCUUGGUAUUCAAAGAUGUAUUCCUUUUAUCAAUCUCCAGUUAGAAAUGAAUUAGAUGCUUUUUAAAUUGCAUUUCUUAACCAAAAUUAUUGGCUUUUUUUUUAUUGUUGUUGAGCCGCACUGGAUUUAUGGGUGUAAUUGAAGCACAAGCUUGACUUGGAACUUUUAUGUUCAAAGUUCGGCCCGGGCCCAAGCUUGAGUUCAAUUAAGCCAUUUGUGAAUAUAUCAACCAAUUGUUCCUUUGUAAAGACAUGUCUAGUUUGGACUAAACCAUCUUGGAUUUUUUUUACAAGGUGAGAGUCAAUCUCUAUAUGUUUCGUUCUCUCGUAGUAUUCAGGGUUGGUUGCAAUCUGAAUUGCUGCUUGACUAUCAUAGAAUAAUAUGAUUGGUUCUACUCGUUUAAAUCCAAGUUCCUUCAGUAGUCCAGUCAACCAAACUAACUCAGCCAUAGUUCUAUACUUUGCCUUUGCUGAAGAUCGUGAUACUGCAUUUUGUUUUGUUUUGUUUUUUCCAAGAGAUGAGACUUAAAACUUCUGGAGGAUGGUCAGGAUGGGUGUUUGGUUUACAAGGUAAAGAAAACGGUGAAGGUGGAGUUUGUGAGGUUUUCUUUUUACCUUUCCCUUUGGAGGAGGAUGAAGGUUGGAUCAUGAAAUUUUCUGGAAGUUUUUCUGGUGGUCUAGAAAGAAUGUCUGCAAGAACAUUGGUUUUCCCUUUUAUGUGGAGGACAUUCUGUCACUAAUCGCUUUGACAUUGGACUUGAAGCCCAAUUCGAAUCACAAUAUGCUACAAGUUAUGGAGAACCAACUACAGCACAGAAUAAACCUUGUCCUGGAUCCUUUUUAAUGUAUCUGACUAUUCUAAGAGCAGCUUUAUAAUGCGACUUCUUGGGUCGUUGCAUAAACUGACUGGAUGUUGUACCACAAACGUCAUAUCUAGCCUUGUAUGAGUCAAGUACAAAAGCCUUCUAAUAAGCCUUUGAUAUAAUGAAACAUCUGUCAAUACCUCAUCAUCAUGAUUCAUUUGCACCAUCUCAUCUUACUGGAGAUGUCAAGUUUUGAUUUUGUUCUAAAGGAGUGACAACUAUCUUUCCUCCCCCUUACCUCGUGUCUGAAAUUAAUUCAAGAGCAUAUUUGCGUUGAUUCAGUACAAUUUCAAACUGUGAUCUUGUGAUUUCAAUGCCAAGAAAAUACUUUGAGAUCACCUAAAUCUUUCAUUUUGAAAUUUUGAUGCACAGUUCCUUUAAGCUCAUUUAUAAGCUUGGUAUCAUUUCCAGAAAUCAACAAAUCGUUAACAUAUAUCAACAUGACAACCAGCUUAUAACCUUUCUUCUUGAUAAAACGAGAAUAAUCGUACUUACUUUGUGAAUAACCAUUUAGAAGAAUAGCUUUAGUAAGCUUUAGAUUCCACUGUCAGACUUAGCAAUUGACAUACUCUAGUCUCUCUUUGAUUGCGAAAAUCGUCUGGAAGAGUCAUAUAAACCUUCUCAUGUAAAUCUCCUUGCAUUAUAGGCAUCCAUUUGAAACAAGGGCCAACCAAACUAUACAGCAAGAGCAAUGACCGUGCAAAUUGUGACUUGCUUCGCAACAGGGGAAAGUGUCAUGAAAAUAAAAAACCUGCCUGCUGAGUAUAACCCUUCCUAACAAGUCUGGCUUUAAAUCUUUCAACCGAGCCAUCAGAGCUGUACUUGACCUUGUAGACCCAUAUGCAACCAAUGGGCGUUUUACUAGGAGGUAAAGGAACUACCUCCCACGUGACAUUUGAUUCCAAUGCUUGAAUUUCUUGAUCCAUGGCCUUUAUCCAAUGUUUAUCCUUAAUUGCUUCACUUUAGGUUUAAGGUUCAAUAAUAUGGGAAAUGGAGGCAGCAAAAAAUUGUGUAUGCAAAGGUAAAUGAGCAUCAGCUAUACAAUUAGAUAUAGGGUACUAACCUUUAUGGAGUGAAGAAGAUAAAGAAGAGCAAUUUAAAUCUUUCAUCCAUGUAGGAUCCUUAAAAGAACGAGUAGUGCGAUGUAAAGACAGCUGGUAAGGUAGUAGACUACGAAGGUAAUAAGGACUGGUUGGGAAAUGGAGCUGAAGAACGACAAGGAGCUAAGGAUGAACAUUUCAAAUGGGAUUUUUCCAAUUCAAAGCUGAAGUAGGUAAUCUGUUAACAAUAUAACAAGCAGCAAGGAUACACUCGCCCCAAAAUUUGGUAGGUACAUUAGACUGAACUUUGAAAGCACAUGCUAUUUCUAACAAAUGUCGAUGCACACAAGAACUUUGAUGUAUUAUGCCUAAGAAGAAAAAAAAGGAGUAUAUUCAGAGUUAAAGAACUCAGUACUUAUGACUUCCAAAAGUUUUAACAACAGUUGAAAAUUGCGUGUGAACCAAGGCUAUAAACUGUUUCAAAAUGACAAUAGUGUCGGUUUUAAGCUUAAACAGAUGAACCAAAGAAAAAGGAGAAUCCGCUCGAGAAUAACUAAUAGGAAAUGGCAAUCGUGUUUGUUUAGUAAGAGGACGAACAUGGCAUGGACUAAUAUAGUCACUGUUCCAAAAUGAAAGAAACAUGGCCAAGUCCGGCAUGCCAAAGGAAAGACUGAUCAUGAGAUGUCAAAAAGGAAGAAAUGGGAGAAGAUACAAAAGAUGGCAAUUGAGGCUGUUGAUGCACCAGAAUGUAAAGAUCAUUCUGUUCUUUACCAAUCCCCUUCACUUGUCCACUGCAAAGUUGCCGUAAAAGGCAAAAAUCGGGAUAAAAGGAUACAAAACAAUGUAAGUCUCGAGUUAACUUGAAAACGAAAAUUAAAUUGAAAUGAAAGUCUGGGACAUGAAGGGCAUUGGUUAACUUGAUAGAGGAGGACAAGACAUAGGAACCCAUGUGAGUAAUAGGGACGGAUUUACCAGUGGGAAAUUGGACAAAUGAAGAAUGAAAAGUAAAAGGAACAAGAGAAUCCAAAUAUUGGCAAUCAGAUAUCAUGUGGUUGGUGGCCCUCGUCUCCAAAAUCCAUUGGAAAGAUGCAGGCCAAGAAACCAUACCUGCCAUGUGAGCAGCUACUCCAACAGUUGAAGUGAACUCAAGACUGAGUAAAUUCAAGAUCAGUAGAUACUGUGCCUGAAUAAACACAGGUGCAAAUACUAUGGUAGCAUUGUUAGUCAUAGUUGACCUUUGUUUUGUAAAUUUAAAAUCAACAGGAUACCCAAUAAGCUUCUAACAAGUUUCCCGUUUGUGACCUUUAAUCUUUCAAUGGUCACACACAUCUUUCAAUGGUCACAGAAUACAAUGUUGUAGGUUCAGAAGGAAAAGAUAUGCCAGAAGAAUGUUGUCUUUGAGCUUCCUCUUGAACAAGCACGGAAUUAGCUUAAUUAACAGAAGGUAAGGGUUCCAUUAACAAAACCUGACUUCCAACAACAGCAUAAGAAUCAUUCAGGCCCAUCAGAAACUGAAAUAACCACUGUUGUUGAAUAAGUUGUUGAUUCAUGCGGGAAUUUUCACAAGAAAAAGAACCAAAGCAUCGUAAUCCCACAAAAGCUUCAAUCGUGUAAACAAAACUGAAACAGAGUAAGUACCUUGAGCAUGGGAAGCAAUCUCACCAUGAAGAACCAUCGACUUUCUCAUAUCGUUCUUGAAGUUCUUUCCAUGUUGACAAAAAUAAACUGUGCGGUAUAAUUAUAUAAUUAACGUCGCUCAAAAUUAACAUAAAAUUUCAAUAUUUGUAAAUUCGAAUAAAGAAGGUGAAAUUCAAUUAUAUUACUUUAUAUACUCAGUGCUUUCUAUGUAAAUUAUUUUCAUUAUUUUAAAUAUAAAAUGUUUAUAUUAACAUGAUAAAAAAUAAAUUAAAUUAUAAAUUAAAUAAAAAAUAAAAUUCAGUUUUAGUUACAUUCAAAUACUCGAUUUUUGGGGUUUUCUGCGCCCUAAUAGUAGGAAAAGAAAAUUCUCAUCAAACCCUAAAGCCCAUAAAAGAAAAAGUGAGAAGUUUAGUUGAUCUAUCAGAAUCUCAAGCACUCACCCUUAAUUUGCAGUAAGUUGCGAGUCUGCAAUUCUUUAGACCCCUUUUCUCAAUUGAUUUUCUUCUUUAACCAAUCGUUUCUCUCGCGCUCUGUUUCUUUUAGGAUGGCCGAUGAACAUAUUUCCACAGUCCUGGAGCAGCUACGACGAAUCAUGGCCGACGAAAGAUUUCGGAACUCGGAGUUUCAGAUAAACUUGCUUGUAUGGAGACUCGAAGCUUUUCAAUCUAUGAUUCUUUAACAUGGGGACGGGCUAUUUUCGGUUCGGCUAUUGGAGCGUGGGAUUACUGUUCAUGCACUCGAUCAAGUGCUAUAUAACAUAGAAGAUGUAAUUAACGACGUCUUACAUUUAGGAGUAUCUACUGAAUUAGCAGCAGCAGGCCUUGAGAAGUUUGCUUCUACUCAAUCAAAAGCAGCAUCAGCAGAAACAGCCACUCUUUACAUCUUGCGCAAGAGGUUGGAAGAAUUGGAGGAGGUAUUGAUUGGUAAUCCGCAUGAAUCGCAUCCCUUGCACUCUAAACGAUCUUUUUUUGUAAAAUUGUCAAAGUUAUAUGGUCUAGAUGUGGUUAAGAAAGAUAUAAUAAAUGUAAUUUUGGGUGAAAGUUUCAGGGAUAGUAGCGACAGCAUUAAAACCAUCAUUAUUGUUGGCAUGGAAGGAACGGGGAAAACAUAUCUUGCGCGGUGCAUUUGUACUGAUUGUCAAGUUCUGGAAAUUUUUGACAACAUAAUUUGGGUGAAUGUUUCGGAUGAUUUUGAUUUAGGUAAAAUUGCAAGAAAAAUUAUUCUGUCUCUUGAAGGUUUGGAGCAUGACUCUUUGCGUCUCCUAACAUUAGUUCCAUUGCAAAGUCUGUUAGAUAGAAUUCAGCGAAAGAUUGUUAACAAGAAAUCACUUCUUGUUUUAGAUGGUGUGGGGAGAUAUGAUUGUGAUGAUUGGGAAGCACUUAGAGCUGUUUUUCAACAUGGCAUGUCGGGGAGUGGGAUUCUAGUGACUACUCAUGAGCACUCGGUUGCAGGAGCAAUGGAAUCAUCUUAUAAAUUUUGUUUGGGAAAGCUGUCUGAUGAGUUGUGUUGGAUGAUACUUCGUGAAGUUGGAUUGAAUGAUGAUACUCUUGAAUAUGCGGUAGAGGAUAUAGGAAGGGAACUUGCAAGGAGGUGUGAAGGACUACCCUUUGCUGCAAAGGUUUUGGGAGAUGCUAUACGACAUUAUGACUUUGGAAUAAGAGGAUGGGAUGUUUUUCUGAGAAAUUGUAUCUGGAAAUCUCCUAGAAUACCCAAAUAUAUGUCUAAAAUUCUAUCACUAUCUUAUUGCAAUCUACCUUUGUCUGUAAGACGGUGCUUAUCGUAUUGGGCUAUCUUCCCCAAAAGCUUUGAGAUUUCAAAAACUCUUUUGGUGCAACACUGGAUGGCACAAGGUUGUCUGUACUCAUCUGAUAAUUUAGAAAUGGAACUAAAAGGUGAAGAGUACUUUAAAUGCUUAGAAGCUCAUUCAUGUUUCCAAUAUUGUACCAGAGAUGGUGGUAUGCUUACUUGUAAGAUGCAUAGCUUAGUACAUGAUUGUGUCCAAUCUUUGUCCCCAUAUGAUUUAAUGAUGAGGUUCGAGUCUGUUAAACAGCUGACCUUGAAUUUAUCUUCUUGGACGGAGGAGGUCAAAGUUGUUGGCACUCAUCAUUUGGUAAUGAUGAUUGCUCAAGGAGCUGGUUUUCCCAUGGACAUUAGUGGUGCAGAGAAAUUGAGGACCCUUGUUGCUGUUACUCAAGGGUGUUUGAUAACUAGUCAAGCAUUAUCUAACUUAUUUAAACAAUCCAAACAUCUGAGGUUAUUGGAUUUGAGCUUGACUAGUGGGUGGCAUAAUUGUUUUGGGCCAUCCGGACAAGGUAAUAUACUAGAUGAAAUUCCGGUGGAAAUCUGCAGAUUGAUUAAUUUGAGGUACCUUAGCUUGGCUGGCAGCAAAGUAUUGAAGAUAUUACCAGAAACAUUGUGUGACUUGCAUAAUUUGCAAUCCUUGGAUCUUACUGGUUGUAGUAGUCUUAGAAAAUUGCCAGAUGGAAUGGGGAAAUUAAUGAACUUGAGGUAUUUUUAUACCUGGUGUUGCUCUAGUAUAACUUCCUAUCCAAAAGGGAUUAGCUGCUUAACUUCUCUUUGAGAAUUAACCAAUGUCAUUGCUAGAGCUGAUCACAAUGAUGCAAAGGAAUUCACUCUUGGAGAUUUUGAAAAGUUGAACAACCUUUGUGGACAUGUUCGUGUGAAACUGGUAGGGAAUGCGAUGGAUGCAGAUGAGGCUAUUAGAGCUAACCUUUGGAACAAGAAGGAUCUUGACCGUAUCAGAAUAAAUCUGGAUGGGGAUAUAGGGAAAGAAAGCCAAGACGUUAUAAAGAAAGCAUUAAACCCGCCUUCCGACUUGAAUAUAGAGUUCGUAGGUUGGUGGUUCUAGUCCAGAAAUGUAAGGAUGCUGCAAAGCAACAGGUAGUCUCUCUGUCUCAUUUUCUCUUUUGUUGUAGCUUUGAUGGUUCAAAUUCAGUAUUUACUCCUAUGAUUCAUUCAAACCCAAAUUUCAGUUGUGUUAUAGUAGUUCUAGUUUCUGUUGUUAUCAUCUGAUUAGAUGGAAUAUUAUGAAAUCUCUUAUAACAUUACAAUGACAAAGAUAUCGGCUUGUCUAUCACAUGAAAUUUCUCUCUUGCUAAAGCAUGCUCUGAAUGAAUCACUUUAAAACGGCAAGAUAACUUAGAUUAUCCUUAUUUUCUUUUGCUGGACAUACAUAUCCCGUGAGAGACAUUGUCGUUAUCGGUGGUACUGUAGUUAAAGUUGGAGUAUAUUUUUAGUAUUUUAGUUUUUAUAUUAGGAUUUAAUCAGUUAUUAAGAUGGAUUUUUUCUGGAAAAAACAUGGAUACUUUUUUCUAAAAUUUUUUAUUAACUCUUUUGAAAUUUGUUAAAUUUUUAAUUAUUUUUAUUAGUUUUUGAAUUUUUAUGAAUUAUAGGUAGGCUACCACACGAAUUGAUCACGUCAAUAUUGUUAAAAUUUUAAUAAUCUUUUUAAUUCAAAAGAAAGUAAUAUAACUAAAUUGUAAAGGUUAAGUGUAAAAGUCAAAAUGACAAAAUAAGUCAACAUUAAAAGAUUAAAUUUAUCACGAUGCCUUUUUUAUAUACUCAUAAUUAAUUAUAAUAAAAAGUUAACUUUAUUCAGAUAUAUUUGUUAUUUUAAAUAAAUAUUCAGAAUACAACUUGAAAAUAAUCUCAUGUUUAUAAUUAUAACACGAAAACUUUACUUACUAUAUAAUGGAAGAGUAUUUGGUAUAUUAACAGUGUGCCUUUUUUUAUUGCACAAGUAUGUGUAAAAGAUUGAUAUAUGUCUUUAUUUUUUAAUAUUUUAUUAUACUUUCUAAGACACUUGUCAAUCUUUUAACUUUGCUUAUAAAAUUUAAAAAUUCCACUAAUAAUCUCACCUAGCAAAAUGGAUUAAAAACAUUUAAAGUAAUUUAGUUGAAUUAUGAUAAAAGGUCAAUGUAUUCUAAAAUGCUAAAUGGCAUAAAUUUGAGUUUGUCAAAUUCUCUAGCAUUGGGAGGUAAGUCAAAUUGCAAACUAAGUUGAAUAUUUUUUGGCUUUUCAGUAAUCAUAUUCAUGCUAAUAUUUUUAGAUUUAAUUCUCACUUUCAAUAUUAAAAGAGGGUUCAAAUGCAACUUGGAGUCAACAUGAACAUGAUACUUUGAAAACCCUAAAGGGCACUUGCACUCUUGUUUUGGAGGUGAGGUUAAGAAGACCUACAACAAGUUUUAAUAGAAUUUGAUAUAGUUGAAAAAGAUUCAGAGGAAAAUGGUACCAAAAUCUACAGUCGUGGAAUACGAUGACUGUAUUAAAAUAUAUGAAAUUGGUUGAUGGUUUUAUUUAUUGUCUCUUAAUAUUUUAACUAAUCAAUUAAGUAGUAAUGAGAAGGACAUGACACUUAAUCAUUAUAGUUUCUAGUUAAAGUUUAGGAAGAUGCAUUGACAUCAAUUCACUAAUUUUUUAUGAAAAAUGUUUUUAACCGGUUCAUAUCCCCAAUACCAUUGAACGUUGAAUCAAAUGGUUUUGUUGAUUAGAGAAAGACACUAAGAAAUGUAGAGGAACAUGUAUGCGUAAGAGAGAAUUUGAGGCACAUUUAAUAAGUUAACUUUGGAAAUUUUAUAUGUGGAUAAUAGCAACGAAGAAAGAGACUGUUGAGAAUGAUCAAACUUGGAGCAUAUGUUUAGAUCCAUGUGGAGGUACCUAUUAGGUAAGUGAAACAAGCAAUUGAAAUGAUGGAGAGUUUAGUACACCGGUAUCGUACUAUGAUAAUUUAUGGUCAUUUUUAAUUAAUACAAGUCAAAAAUAAUAAUAUUUAAUAAACCUAAAAUUAAUGGGCAAAUAGUGAUGAGUUAUCCUAAAAUAGAAUUGAAGAGGAUAAGGUCCUACAAUUAAUAAUAAGAAAAGUGAAGACUCUUUGAAAAGAUUAAGGAUGUACUUUGAUUAAGAGUGGUUAUAAAAAAAAAAAUUGGGGGGAAGGGAUAGAGUGGAGUAAGGAAAGUGGUGUGAUUGCCCAUUAACAUAAGUAAGAAAUAUGCGAAUGAUUGCCCAUUAACAUAUAGAGUAGGUAAAAUUGACUUGUUUUUCUAGAAAGACAAUAGAUAAGCCUAAAAAGUUAUAAAAAGUAAUUGUUAAAAUAGUUAAAAUGAGAGGAAAAAAUAAGAUAUUUUUGUUUAUGAGAAUUAAGUGUCGUGAGUCGGGACGAAAAGAUUAAUCAUUGUUACGACAGUAAAUACCUUGAUUACAACGAAAAAGAUAAAAUACCAUUUUACUUUAUAGAAAAUUCUCAUGAUUUUAUAAAAUAUACCAUGAAUAUAUUAAAUCAUAUAAAAAGCGUAAUUCUAUAACUCAUACCUAAUUUAAAUACAGGAUGGUAUUUAGAAUGAUUAUAAGAAAAUGCUUGUUCAUGAAUGUUGUGAGUUUUCCGAAUCUUGGGGACAAUGUACCCUCUGGCUCCCGUCAGGAUUCACCUGGUAAUUUAUAAAAAGGAAUAAACAAUCACUUGGUAACUCACAACUCACAAGGCAUAAAAUAUAAUCACGUCAAGCAGCAAAACACAAACCUUUUUUAAUAUUCCAAUCUAAUACAAGUGAUAAUAUCAACUCUUAGAGCCCUAACUCUUAAAGUAUCAGCACAUAAUUUUAACCACUUACUUUUAAUAAAUACCACCAUCACUACCAUUAUCACCAUCGACAGAGCCUCUCAAUUCAUAUGUCCUGCAAAAAAUGGUGUCAACACUAACAAAAAAACCAAAAUUAUAUCAUUAAAAUAUAUUUGUAUUUCUUAAAAGGCAGAUCAUUCAGUUUUUCUGGACAAGUUUCCCUAUGCAAUCUAAUACAAGUGAUAAUAUCAACUCUUAGGGUCUGUUUGAUUGACGGAAUUGAUUUUCCGGAAAAUCAUUUCCAACUUUUCCAGCGUUUGAUUGGCGGAAAACAUUUUCCAUUUGGAAAAUGAACUCCAAAACAAGGGAAAAUGAGUUACAUUUUAGGGAAAAUGUCUUACUCUUUCAAUUUCUAUAAUUUUAGGCUUUUCCCACCUACCUCUAAUUACACAAAAUAUUUUCAGAUUUAAUUUACUAAUUUUGGCUUUUACAAGGUCAAGAUUUGACUAUCCCAUCAAAUGUCCCAAAUUUAUAAUUUGGUCCCUCUUCUCUUUUCCAUGCUUCAAUCUAACCCCUUCUUUGCUUGUUUUUGAUUUAAAGUGCCCGAAUUUUGUUCCUGUCAAUAUUUAAACACAAAACGCACCAAUUACCAGGGAUUAAUUUGAGAAUAAGUCGAGUUGAACACGUAAAUUAUGCAAAAUGAACAAGUUAUCAUUGACCAUUAGUGCUACGUCAGCACAAACAAACGGUGUUAGUGCAGAGAUACCAACCUAGGUGACAGAAUAUAAAUUCAGGUACCAAUUAGAUAAAAAAAAAUCAUACACCAAAUAAAUACUUUUGAAUAAGUUCGAAAAUAGACGACAAAUUAUCCUUUCUUUUCUCUUUUUAUCUACCUGUAAUAUUUGAAUAUGAAAAGAAGUUACACAACUUUUCAAUUUCAAUAGUAGUUAUUUAACUUUGCCUAGUUGAGUUUUACAUAAAAUUUCUUUCUUUCGUUGAACAUGCUCUCAAUGAAUCACUUCAAACCCCCAAGAUCCUAAUAUUUUGCAGAACAUAUCAAUUGAGAGGCUCUAUCGAUGGUGGUGGUGGUGUUAGAAUCCGUUUAUGCUGGUGGUAGCAUUUUGUAUUUUUUUUUAUCGUAUUUAUUAAAAAUAAGUGGUUAAAAUUACGUGUUGAAAAUUUAAGAUUUAGAGCAUAUCGCCACUCGUAUUAAAUUGUAAUAUAAGCAUCGAUUGUAAAAAGAAAAGUUUGUGUUUUGCUUGUACUGUCUCAUAAAAGACAUUAAGUAAUUUCGUUGUCGUGUUUAUAUUUUAUGCCUUAUGAGUUACCAAAUGGUUGUUCAUUCCUUUUUAUAAAUUACUAGCCGAAUCCUCUUCAGUGAAGGAGCUUGAAAAUUUUUUGGGAGGGUCGGAAUUAAAUUGUAUAUUUGUAUGAUGGUAAAAAUAGAAUUUUAUAAUUUUAAUAGCUUAUAUCUUUAUAAUUUUUAAAAGGUUAAAUCAAAAUUGUAUCAUUUUAAGAGGUCAAAGUAUAGUUUUACUAUUACUAAUUUAAAAUUUUAUAAAUUAUAAAGGGCCUAAAUUAAAAUUUACUAUUUUAAGGGGGCUAUGGCGCCUUGGGUCUCCACUACAUUAUGCCACUGAUCCUCAUGGAAGACAGAGGCUACCUUGACCCCCAAGAUUUAGAAAAUUGCCAUUUGACCUUUUUAAUUUUAUAAAAUUUUUAAUUUAGUUUAUUAAAAUUCUGUAAAUUUUCAUUAAACAAUUUUUAAAACUUUUAAUUAGAUCUCUCAAAUUCUUUUUGGAAAUUCUUAUUUUCUCAAUUAAUUUUUUAAUUAAACUAUUCAGAAUUUUUGAUAAUUCUCAUUAAACCUUUUUAAAAUUCUCGAAAUUUUAAUUAAAUUGGUAAAAUUUGAAAAAUUUUAGUGAAGGGAAUCCCUCCCACAUAUUGAUCAAGAAAGCUUUGAAAAAAUAUUAAUUAAUUAUAUGUUUGAGAGAUUAAUAAUGUACUAUUUGGCUCCCAACAAUAAUAAUUCACUCUUAAUUUUGCUUCUUUUCCCUUUUUCUUUUACUUGUUUUUGUGAAAGAUAUCAUAAUAUAUGUUUUAAAUAAUUAAUGUAAUAAUAGAAAUAUUAAAAAAUAUAGUUAAUAGUAACAAUAUUUUAUACAAGCACAAUGACUUAUUCAAUUCUCCAAUUUUACAAAAAGAGACCAAUAAGUGAUUAGAUGUAAUGACAGGUCACAUUGCAUUCCCAAAAGAACUGCCUAAGUUCGAACAUCAUAAGUAAUAUAAAAACUUAAACAAAGUCAUGUAACAACCCAUAUAUCAAGUAUCACCAAAUACCAUUUCAUUCUUAUUCCAUUGUUUAGUUUCUAUUUUCAAUCAACUGAAUAUCGUCCGAUGGAACUAUAGCAAAACGGGCUCAAAUACACGGGAAUAAGUUGGUCACACAAGUUGACAGUAUAUUAGGGCUGCUCAGACAAGUUGACAUUACAACAGAAUUGCUCACAUAAACUGAUAUUAUAUCAAGGUUAUUCAUCUGGGCUAAACCUUCAAUAUGUAUAACCCGAGAAUUUGAGACAAGCCCAAGAACUCAUCCUAUGUAAAAGGGGUGCCAAACCCUAGUGCAUAGUAGGGUAUGUUGCCGCCCCUUAGUGUUUUGAAUAAAGGGGAACUGUAGUAUCAUAUUAAAACAAUACUAUUUAAUUACUCAUUAUUCAAGUAAAACUUUUGUACUAUUUUCCUAAAAUAGGAUCUAUGAAAUGAUUUAAUUACACCUAUCGCUGUUAUUUUAUCAUAAAAUAGUGGUAAUUUGUUUAUAAGAAUAAAUUCUAUAUUCUGAAAAGCUCAAAGUUUUCGAUUUCUAUAUAGAGAAUUAACUUUCUCACUAAAAGUUCAUGAAAGAUUGGUUGAACUGGGCAAAAAAAUUGGUCGAAUUAGAUGCGAUUGAACUGGUUGAACUAAAAUAUUUUAAUAUAUUUUUAUUUUUUAUGAAUUUUUUAUGAUUUAUUUAAUUGAAUUAGACUAAUCAAUCAAACCAAUUGAAUCAAUUGGAUCAACAAACUAGUAACCUUAUUGGUUUGAUCAUCGAUUUAGUUUUUAAAACCUUAGAUUUCGUCAUACCGUUUCAAUUAUUAUACCUUAUAAAUAAAAUAUAAAGUAAACCAGUGGUGAAAUUAGGGGGAUUGGCAAGGGCCCUGGCCCUCCCUAAAAUGAUUUUUUUUUUCAUAUGGACCCUCUAAAAAAAUUAAAAUUUUAAAUUAAUAAAAAUAAAAUUAUACUUUGGCUCCCCUAAAAUAUAAAAAUUUGAUUUAAUCUAUUAAAAAUUAUAAAGAUGUAGUCUAUUAAAAUGGUGAAAUUGUAUUUUUCUAUCGUAAAAAUUACAAUUUAAUUUUAGCCCAUAAUUUUUUUUUUCUAAUUUCGCACCUGAAAUAAGCUAUAUUUGAUUAAAUUUAUUAUUUUACCUUACAUACAAAACACAAAAUAAACAUUUAACUAUACAAAAUUAAUUGAUGAAUUGUUUUACUCAGUUGAAAGUAGAACAAAUAAUUGAUCCAAGAGGAAAGUGAAAUUUAUCCUUUUAUACGUCGAACAUUAGCGAAAAGGACAAAAAAGAAAUUUUGGGUUAUUUGGCUUUUGUUUCCUGCUGCUCUCCUCAAUCCAUUGACGCUGUUUCACCCCCUUUCUCUCGAUUUCUCAAUGUUUCUUUUCCUGUAAUUUGUUGUGAUUUGAAGUAUAAAUCAGGGAGAAGUAAAAGCUAUCAUAAAAAUGGCGGAGGCAAUUCUUACGGUAGUCUUGCGACAGAUAACAACAAUCUUGAGUGACCAAGCGGUAAAAGAGAUGACGAUGUGGGGAGACCGCGAGGCUGCUCUCAAAAAUCUUGAAACAUAUCUGAAAUCCAUCCGAUCCGUUCUCAAAGAUGCAGAGGACCUUCAAAUUACAGACGAUGCAAUCAAACUGUUGCUAGAAGAUCUGAAAAUUGUAAUUUAUGAAAUCGAGGAUGUGUUGAAUUUAUGGAGCUGUAAAGUACGGAAGGCAGAAUCUGUUCGUGCCAAGGUAAAUUGUCUACUUGAAUUCAUUGCAUAUCGUCGUAGUUCUGAUAGAAUAAAGAAGAUUUGUGAAAAACUGAGUCCAUUUGAGCUGAAAAACAAGCUGGAUCUGGGCAAGAGUAAAAUUAUAUCUCCUCUGCGGAACAAAGAAAGUACUAGCUAUUGUGAUCUAUCAAAAAUUAUUGGUCGAAGCGGAAUAAAAACUGAGUUAGUGUUCCGUUUAGUUUNNNNNNNNNNNNNNNNNNNNNNNNNNNNNNNNNNNNNNNNNNNNNNNNNNNNNNNNNNNNNNNNNNNNNNNNNNNNNNNNNNNNNNNNNNNNNNNNNNNNNNNNNNNNNNNNNNNNNNNNNNNNNNNNNNNNNNNNNNNNNNNNNNNNNNNNNNNNNNNNNNNNNNNNNNNNNNNNNNNNNNNNNNNNNNNNNNNNNNNNNNNNNNNNNNNNNNNNNNNNNNNNNNNNNNNNNNNNNNNNNNNNNNNNNNNNNNNNNNNNNNNNNNNNNNNNNNNNNNNNNNNNNNNNNNNNNNNNNNNNNNNNNNNNNNNNNNNNNNNNNNNNNNNNNNNNNNNNNNNNNNNNNNNNNNNNNNNNNNNNNNNNNNNNNNNNNNNNNNNNNNNNNNNNNNNNNNNNNNNNNNNNNNNNNNNNNNNNNNNNNNNNNNNNNNNNNNNNNNNNNNNNNNNNNNNNNNNNNNNNNNNNNNNNNNNNNNNNNNNNNNNNNNNNNNNNNNNNNNNNGCAUCUUUCUAACACCAACAACAUUACUGCCAUCCUAAUAAACCAUAAGUACCAUUUCCACUCCAUCAUCAUCAUCAUCUUUCUGUUUUCACUUCUCUCUCAGCUAUAUGUUACUUUUUGUUAACUUCUAUAUGUAUAUAAUCUAAAGAAGCCUAAGCUUCUUAUUUAUAUACAAGCAGAACAUUUUGCAUCCCACUUAUUCAAUAUAAUAUAAAAAUAAUAUAUAAUUAAUUAAUUCCUCAAAAAUUGGAUCAAUCUAGGCUUCUUAUUUACGUAAAUUCCUUAUUGCAAAAACUCUUGGUAGAAAUUCGUUAGGAAAGGAUGAAUGGACCACAAGAAUGCUUAUCAACUCUUGACUUUGGCGUCCAAUGCUAAAUUUAUUUUAAAAUUUCUUCAUGGAGACAAGAUGGGAUGACAAGAAUGAUAAGUUUUAAGUCAUUUAAGUUUACACAAUUUUAAUCACUCAUAAAAACAAGUAUUGACAUUCUAUUAAAGAAUUUAAACAUGGCUUAACGUUGAUUUUAAAUCUAAUGUUGAUGUUAAUCUUGAAAAAAGAAUGGCCAAAAAAAAUAUGAAAAGUGAGAGGUGGACAUAAAAUAGUGUAGUUGGGGUUAUAAAAUUCUUCAUGUAGACAUAAUAUUUUUUUUAUGCCUUUUUUACACUUAUAUAGAGUUAGUCUUGACUUUGCUUUAUUAAUAGAAAUUUUAGGUCUUCAUUUUUUGUUUUAUUCAUGGACAUAAUAUUUUCUUAUUUUUAUUUUAUGGUCUAUGAUCGAGGUUUAUGACUAUCCCCUUUCAACAACGUCGUCUCAACUGUUCAAACAUACACUUGCAGGUAAAAUAAUACUUUUUAAAAUCACAAAUAUUUAAAAUAAUACAUUGCAGCUAUAUAAAUGCUUUCUUGUUUAAGAUACUAAUAAAGUAAUUAACAAAGUAAUUAUUAUACCUAUAAUAAUUCAAAAUGCCACUUGUUAUCUAAUGAAGUAUAGGGGUGUAAAUGAGACAUCCGUACCCGCAAGCUAUUCGAAUUUGGCUCAAAAAAUUUUGAAAUUGAUUCGGUAAUUAUUGAGCCGAGCUAUAGGUCGAUCCGGAUUCGAGCUUAGUAAUACUUGACUCGAGUAGUUUGAGAGCCUUAUUGAACUUUUUAUAUUUUUAUAUUAUUAGAUUACAUUAUUGCUAUUAAUAUAUAUUAUUAACCCUAAGUUUAAUUAUUGAGGCGAGCUCAAACUCGAGUACAAAAAUUGAUAAACAUAUUUAAUUUCGAGCUUAAAAAUAUAUGUUCGAUCGAGCAUCAAGCUUUGAAUUUCAAAUUAAACUUGAGUUUAACAGUAUUGAGUUCAAAUAGAUUCAAUUACACCCUACAAUAAAAUAUACCAACAAAACCUACAUUCCAUCUUUGCUAUAAAUUUUAUGUAUGUGUGUGUUUAACGUGAGUUCCAUCUAUGUCCAACUUGAUGACGAUGAAAGUUCCUAUGGUGUAAAAAGUUUUAGUUAUGUGGAAAAAUAAGGCCUUCUCUUCACACGUUUAAUAUGCUUACUUGUGUCGGUCAUUUCGAUCUUCACAUCAAUUUUCAAAAAGUUGGAAAACUUAUGUCUGCUUUUAUGAUUCUUUUAUGUGUGUGUUUAACGUGACUUCCUUGUGAGUUCCAUCUAUGUCCAACUUGAUGACAAUGAAAGUUCCUAUGGUGUAAAAAGUUUUAGUUAUGUGGAAAAUUGGUGGAAAACUUACGUCUUUUUCACUUGCUUUUAUGAUUCUUUUUACAUGAUAUUACUAUAUAAUUAAAUUGAAAUACUGAUAAAUUUGAACCCAUAUGAUGUAAGUCUAGGCAUCAUCUAAUUUAUUGAUAUUUAAUUAAUUAAUAUAUAUACUUUCAAUUAUAAGAAUUGAAACAUAACUUUCAAGUCAAUUGGAGUAUGCCCCUGUUACACGUCAAAAGAAGUAGAUUUUGAACUCAACAUGAACCUGUGAGAUUUGAUGCCUAAAAUAUAGGUAUAAGGUUUCAAUUCAUGGAAAUGUUGGAAAUCUUGGAAAUUUCUUAGUCUCCUCUCUUUGGAUGUUUUUGAACAAAAAUGUUUUAAGUCUCUUCCGAUGCUAAACUUCUGAUUGGUCGUCGGUUCACUGACCCUUUGGUACACAGCAAUAUGAAGCAUUGGCCAUUCAAGGCCAUUGCUGGUCCUGGUGAUAAGCCAAUGAUUGUACUACUAUAGAUUUGAAUAUUUGUACACAUUUGAUCGGCUCUUCGUAAAUUUAAAUCUUACAAAUUCGGAUAAUAUUUGAACUUUGAAUGUAUGUUUUGUUGGUGAGAAUAUAAAGUUGAUAAAGAUUUGGUAAAUAGAGUAAAAUAUUAUUUUUAUUAGAAAAAUUAUUUGGUACACUGCCAAUCGAGGUAAUUAAAACAUGUCAUUAUAAAUAAUAAAAUUAUGAUGACUCAAAUAUACGAACACGUCAAAAUUUAUGUACAACGAAUUAUUAACAUGUAAAUGUAUAAUACGGUACGCAAAAAUAAGAUAAUUGCUUGUUUUUUUAAUUGAAUUGUUAUAACAUAUUAUACAAAAUACAUUGUGACUUAAAGCAUAAAAUGAACUUGAUAUCAAAAUAUUAAAUUUUUUUUAAAAUUCAAUGAUACGAAUAAUUAUGUAAAAUAUAACAUGAUGCAAAAUAUCUUGAGAGGAAAAGAGGAAUAAAGAAUUGCAUUAUUUGUGAGGUUUUAAAAUAUUCCAGUUUUAGAUUCAAUUUUCUAGUAUGUUUGGUUUAAUUUUACAUUAGAUUUCCUUUUCAGUAUGCACUAGUGAACGCUUAGCAGUCAGUUUAAUUUAAUUCAAAGAGAUAUUGCAUAUACAUAAUAAUGGAUUAUGAUUUUACAUUAAAUUUCAUAGAAGAAAAAGAAAUAGAUGGUUGAAAAUGAUAAAACCAUAAGAUAAAAGAGCUUUUAUUCAAAAUGCAAAAAUCAACAAAAUAUUCAUUAUCGCUCAACUUAGCAUAAUUAAACAUUUAGGUGUGGAAACAAGUCACAAUUUGAGUAGCUAAACACAUUGCUUGAAAAUGUGAUAAGUAAGAAAAUUGCCCACAUUUGAGUAGCGACAUGUGGUGAAGCAUUUCCCAACGAGAGAAAACUAAGCUCUUCACCAGUAUGGAUUUAUGUAGAGGACAACAAAAAUUGUCAACAACACAACUACAUAAGAAACCAAAAAGCUCACAAAAAAAUCAUAAGUAUCUAUCAAACCAUCUUCUCCUUUAUCUUCUGAUACAAUUGAUAUCGCUGAUGGUGAAUCGGUUUUGGAACAACUUUUAUGCAAUAUAUCUCCACAACGAAAAGGAUUUCCCUCAUAACUGUUUUCAAUAAAGGUCCCAAAUUGAGCUUUUGGUUCGGGAAUACUACCUGACAAAUUGUUAUAUGCCACGCUGAAAACCUCCAAAGAGUUCAACUCUACCAAUUGAUUGGGGAUUUCACCACACUCAAGUUGUUGUAAGAAAGGUCCAAACUCUCAAUGUGCUGAAGUUUUGAGAAUGAUGAGGGUAUAACUCUGGUCAACUUAUUGUGUGACAAGUUUAAAGAAUGGAUUUCACUCAAGUUCCCUAAUUUUGGUGGGAUAUGACCAGUUAAGUUUUUGCAAGAUAAAUCAAUCCCAAUAAUAUAUGAAAGGAUGUUGCCCUUGUACGAAUAGAACCCACUCUUUGUUGUGAACUCUAUUACUUCUUCUAAGUAGCUGUCAGGGUUGUAAGGAUUUAUACCCCUUUCCCAUUUUCUCAUCACAAUGGAUGUUGAUUCAUCCUUUUCUAUAAAUGGAAGAUAGAACCCAGUUGCUAGACUCUCUUUCUCUUUCAGUGGAAGAGAUAAAUUUCCCAAACAAGAAGGUAUAGGACUAGAAAACAUAUUUUGAGAAAGAUCUAUGAUGCUUAAAGAAUGCAACUUGCAUAACUCAAUAGGAACUUUAUCAUGAAAAUGAUUAUCUUUCAGGAGAAGAACACUCAAAGAAGAAAGCGUGUAAAUCCAUUUUGGAAUACUACCUGUCAAAUUGUUUCCUCUAAGAUCUAAAGUCACUAUUGAAGAGUUAUUAUAAAAAAGCAAGUGAUAGUGUGCCUCUCAGUCUAUUCCCGUGGAGGUGGACAUGCUCUAUGUAUGGUGGAUUAAAACAUGACGGUAUAGAGCCAGAUAAAUUAUUUUGAGAAAGAUCCAAAAAUUCCAACCUAUUCAACUUUCAAAAUUCCAUUGGAAUAGAACCUUCAAAACCAUUGUUGGACAAAUUUAAUCUCCACAAAAAUGAUGCAUUCCCUAUCCAUCUUGGGAGCUUUCCAUGCAACUUGUUACUGAGAUCAAUUUCGCUUAGUGAAUUUGGAAACUCAAAAAGAAAUGUUCACACAAAGUUUUUUCCAACAUAUGUCUGUCAUUUGUGGGGUCUUGAAUUUAAUAUCAAUGGUUGAAUUUUCAUAGCUAAUAUGUGCGCAAAAGGCCUAGUGGGUGGAAUUUUAUGUCAGGAAAGCGUUUCUACAAUGACAUAAUUAAUUGCAUUACUUUUCAAAGAUUGACUAUUGACUUUGGUGAGCUUAUUAGGUUAAAUUCUGCUGCUGGUCACUGUUCUUUGUGAAAGUUGUAAAUUUAGUCUAUUUACUUCAAUUUGAUCAAUUUUAAUCCCUAUACAUUUUGAUUUUUAAAAUUUUAGUUGUGACCCAAACAAUAGAGUUAAAUCAAUUUAAUUAAAACCAAUUACUAGUCCUAUAUUAUGUGUACAAUUGUUGAUUUAGUCCAUACUCUCCAAUUGGAUCAUUCUAAGUACCUAUAUUUUUCAAAUUUUAAAAUUUCAGUCUUGAUGCAAAUGACAAUCCUUAGUCCGUUAACUAGAUUUUUAGUAACAUAUGAAAAUAAUAAGAUGAUAUGACAUUACAAAUAUGAUAAUAUUUUUGCGUUAAAUAUGUCAACAAUGACAUAAUUAAUUGCAUUAACUUUCAGACGUUGACCAUUGACUUUUGCUUCAACCUUGAGCUUAUAUAGCCCCUACAAUAAUUUAGGUUAUGGAAAUAAUCUUACAAUUAAUGCCUGAGAAAUUAUUAUAGAUCAAUUUAUAGUUUUAAUCCCUAUAAUUACUCAAUUGAAUUGAAGAUUCAGAUUUUCUUAUUUAAUUUGAUAUAUUUUCUUCUCUUAUUAAUGUUAAUGUUAUGGAUUAGUUUUUUUAAGACAACAUUAUUUUAUUCAAUGAAUAAUAUCAUACAAUUCGAGGAGAAAAUAACAAACACUCGUUGUACUCGUUAAAGGACAAGUUCCAUCAACACAACAAAACCUUUAACUUCAACAUUAAUAGAACAUUAUGGCAUGUUGAAAUCGGCUCUGUCACAACUCAAGCACAACAUAUCAGGAGUGAUUACAAGCACUUAAUAUGGUAAGAAAAUUAACCCCGGAUGGUCCAAAGCGGUGGGCAUAAAUCAGCAAAAGAACUGAGCAUCCACCAAACUAGAGGGGAUGCGGCGACAAAACUAACCCUAAAAUUACUCUCAAAAGCAAGACUAAAAAGCGUACUACAAGAGUAGACAAAAACUUCGAAAAGUAAAGACUUAUUAAACAAUGGAAAAAUAAACAAAAAAAACAUAUAAAACUUAAGAUAACAUGAGUCUAAACCGAGUCAUGAAAUUAUUUAUUAUUUUGAAACUCUCAAAACAUAAACAAAUUAAGAAGUCAACGAAGAGGUACCCACUUUCUAAAAGAAAGUGUUGGUGGUCGGUGGUGUUUCAAUGAUGAUAGGCAUUGUCACCUGUUCAUCACAACUUGUAAAGAUAACAAAAAUACCCACAAAAUAAAUCUGUAAAUUGAAAAGAACGAAGACUCAUGGAGUGAAUGAGAAGAAGAAAAAUAAAAAGGGUUAAUAGAGACAAAGCAGGGCGGUAACUAGUUCAGAGGCUAACACCGCUGCUAGGCUAAAAAAAGAAGAAGAAGCAAACAUGUUAUGGAUUAGUUAAAAUAACUAACAUCAUUGAAAAUUUCAUUACUUGGCUGAUUUGGAUUUUUUUUUUUAAAAAAUUGAAACUAGAAACCAUAAAUGAUCUAACAUUUAGAAACCAUAAAUUGGGUUCAAUUGCUUUGCUGUCCAACUCCAUCCAUCUAAAAUCGCAAGGAUGUACCCAUGUUCAAUAUGCAGUACAGACCCAAAAAUUGACCAUAUAAUGUGGCUCAAGAGAAUUUUCGAAUGGUUUUAAAGAAUUAUGAGAACACAAUGAAUAAAGUUAAGGCAUCAUUUAUUCAGCUUGCUAUAAUGCAGGUCAUUCCAAUAAAGAAGCAUUUUUUAACUAUAUUUUCCGUUACCCCAAUAACAAUGGCACAGAAUGUUCUCCGAUGAACAUAGAACUCACCAUUUUUAGGAACACGUGUAGUUGAGGAUGAGAAUUCGGAUCAACUGUAACUUCAAAUGGUGGAAUGAAAACAUUGUCCAGAAUAUUCUGAAAAGAUUUUUCAAUUCCCAUUUGCUUGUACACAUUAUACAAUCGUGGUGACUGCAGAAUUAAGUCAAAAUCAAGUGAAGAAGGUUACCUUUGACUUGAGAAAUAUAUCACAGAGAGAGAGAAAGAGAAAACAGUAAUCUGGAAAGAUGAUGCUUAAUAUGGACAUGAUACCCUAGAAACCGAUCGAUCUUAAAUUUUAAUUUCUAAAAUAUUAUUAGCUUGUGCAUACUUUCAAAUACUUUUCAUUAGAGUUACCAUAAGACUAAUUUUUCCAAUUUUAGAUGAUUCAAGAAACUAUUUGGGGGCAAUUCUUAAAUAAACAUGUCCAAACAGUAGUCAUUAACAAGAAAGCAUCCAAGAAAACCAGCAGUUAAUACUUAAAUUAACAUUAUCAAAUGGAGAUGUAAAGAAGAAAGAAUCCUACUGCAAAGCUAGAUAGCAGGAGAAUCACUAGAAUGAAGAGAAAUACUAUUGGCACUAUACCUGGAUUAACCAAACAGUAGUCUCACUAUAAAUUUCAUUGUUAAUAAACCAACUUGCCAAACUGGUCCCAUUCACUUUGUUUCCUUCCAUAUAUGGACACCCUGUACUCUGCCAUCUAGAAAAUAUAUAUAUUAUUCAGUGUAGUCAGAGGCGCAAGGAGCACUCUAGGUGCUAGAAUCCUUUUAUUGUACAAGGCACAUGGCGCACAAAAAAAAAAAAAAACUUGCUUAUGUUAAGGCACAUGUAUGCGUGUUUUGGUAUGUCCAUGUCUGUAUAUAUAUAAGCCGAAGAUAUAUAAUUAUAAUAAUAAACUAUAAAAGUGCUCCAGUCUGAAGUACAGAACAUGCCAAAUUUUCUUUCUUUUGUCAACCAUAUGCAUAUUUCCAUAUGAUGCCAUGCCUGGUGUUGAAUACUCAAAUAUUGAGAAGUUGAGAGUUCGAUAUUAUCCCUUUGUUACAAUUAAGAAACAAUUAAAGAGAUAGUAAAGAGAACUUCAAUUAGAAGGCCUUUUCCCCCUACAUGCACCAGGCAGGCGCUUAGCCUGAAAAGGUCAAAGGCCCUUUUACUGUCUGGUGAUAAGGCAAAAAACAUUGGACAAAGUUGGUGGGAGGAUAGAAUACUAAAAGAGCCCAAUGUUGUCACUUUUCUAAAGUAAGCUCAUAUGCCUUUUUUGUACCCAAACAAUAUCUUACCCUUUAAUUUGUACCUAAAGAAAUUAUUUCUAAUAGAAAGUUUACUUUUGUUAUGAUCAAUGCUGGAGGCCAAAACUGAUUUGGGCUAAGGAAUUGGUGGUGAGAGUUGGAAGGCAAGAAGAAAGAAAGUUCUUUUGAGUGUUAUAUUUUUCAAAAAAUACAAAUUGUUCAUUUUUUUUACCACAUCAUCAUGCCAGGUCAGCUUCCAUGUGGAUAAAGAAAAUUUUGGCGGCAUUGAAACAGAGGCUUCAUGGGCUUUUAGUAAUUUAGCCCUUGGAAGGAAUAUGACCAUCCAAAAAAAGGCAGUUGAUGCUUUAAGGUCAAUUAGCCGAAACAAUAACAACAAUUCCUAGGCUUCAAUAAAAUAAUUUAGACAACAAAUAAAGCUUGAAGGUUGAGUUUUGCACUGCAGCAGCAUUGGGCUUUACAAGGUGAAAACCCACAUUGCACAAAAAUAUCAAAGUUUCAGAUCUAUCAUAAUUUAAAAUUCUAACUAAACUAAACGCCAAGAAUGCUGAAUGCCUAAUCAAAAAACAUAAGAUUAACCCAAGGACCUAAUUGGGUAUGCUAAAAUUUGUCUUGGAAUGAAAUUAAUAAUAUCCUUACUAUUUCACUUUUUUUUUCUUCAUAUGUUUGGUGUGAGCAUGAUACAGAUUAGACUGAUUUUAAAGUAAAAGUAAAACGAUACCAAACCUAAACAUUUUGGUUUUUUUUUAAUUUUUUAUCAGAGCCCUGUUUGAUGCAUUUUUAGUUUUGUUUUCUAAUAACAAAUGGAAAGUUAAUUAAAAAAAAACCCUAAUCCAAUGAGUUCUUUUAUAGAUAUAAGAUAAGUCCUGCAAAGUUUUUGUUUUUUAGAAAUAAAAUUUUAUUUUUGUUUUUUAAUUCUUCAUACCUAUUUUAAUAUCUAAGUUCCGGAUUCCUAACUGCCCUUUCAAUUAUAUAGUAUUCAAGAUUUGAACUUAUAUUUUUCUAUAAAAAUAUAAUGUAUUUUAUUAUUGUAUCCUACAUUCAUUAAUACUUAGUAGAAAUAACCUAAUAAAAUGAUUUUUUUCAUAUAUUAAUAGAGAUAAGAUUCGUGCAAAAUUGUUGGUUGAAAAUUCAUUAGGAAAGGAUGAUUGUACGAAUGUACCAUCAUUAUAAGUGAGCUCAACGAUAAGCCUCCUAUCAAUCACCAGUGUGCAGAAAACAUUUGAAAUCGAAACACCCGUUCAUACAUCAUACAUCAUCAUAAGUGAGCUCAACGAUAAGCCUCCAAUCAAUCACCAGUCUACAGAAAACAUUUGAAAUCGAAACACCCCGGACAUCUCCAACAAAUCUGCCAUAACGUUAGCAUCUCUUCCAUUUUUUCUAAACAAAACCUCACUAAGCUCAUCAAAUGUGCCAAUAUUUCCAAGGCCUAGAUUUCUCAUUGAUACACCAAGAAAGCUCGACUAUGGAGUCGGAUUCAACCAUAAGCUUUCAGUCUAUAAUCCACUAGGAAUCCAAAAAGAAACACUCUCGAACACCUAAAGAACCUGAAACAUAGCAAUGACAUGACCCUUUGAAUUUCUAAGAACCUCACCUCACCACGUCGAGCUAAGAUUACCUAAUGUCGAACCUUCACGGUUAAACUUUUACCAGCCUUCACCUUACUCUUGAUAUGAUGAUUAUGGAUACUCCCUUCACAAUCCCACAAACACUCCCACCAAAUUGACUCAACAAAAUUUGCACCUAUAGGUUUUCUGUUUAUAUUUGAUUUUGUUCACACAUUGCCUAAAACUACUCAUGAUCCCUCUCCAACCUAUAAAUACGAGGAUAAUGCGCUUCAACGCGCUCAAACCCACGUCCUCCUACAUUAGCAACAAUACUCAUGUCAAUCGAGUUAAAACACAAUCAAUAGAUUUUUUUUAAAAAAAAUCUUUAAAUGUUAUAUUAUUAUAUAAGAAUUUGAAACAUGACUUCCGUAGGUUUUAAAUCUAAUGUUGACACUAAUCUUGAAUAAGUCAUUCCACUCCCAUCUUAACUAAUGGCCAAAGAGAUAUCAAAAGUGGGAGAUGGCCAUAAAAUUGUGUAGUUUGGGUUAUAAAAUUUUUGGGCAAACUACAUAUAUUAUCAUUUAAUUAUAUAUUUUUUUCAAUUUAAACACUUAAAGUAAAAAAUUUAUAAUUUAAGCACCCACAUUAUAUAGUUUAGUUAUUUUGAUCACUCCAGUUAAAAUAAAAAAUGGCAAACUGAAGCGACAAUUAAAAAAAUGUAUAAUAACAAAUUUAACCCUCAAAUUUUAUAUAUUAUAUCAAUUACAUAUUACAACUAAUUUUAUAAUUAUUGAUAUUGAAUAUGUCCCUCACUACGUUAGGGAUUUUUUUUAUAAUUUGUAUUUAAUUAAUAUUUAAAAUUAAUUUCAAAAUAUGUGAAAAUUUUAUAAUUAUUUGGUGUUAGUCCCUUUAUUAUACCCAAAUUUAGGAUUAAGCCCCUAUAUUUUAAUUUUGACAUAAUUUGUUUCUUUCACUUUUAUAAUCUCAUUAAUUAUUUCAAGUAACUAACACUUUUAACAAUAUUGCCAAAUAAAAUAAUGUCAUAUUUUUUUUUCUUAAAGCCAUCACUUCUAACUAAAUCAUGACUUAAUCACUUUCUAAUUAAUCAUACUAACUUAGAUUUUUCUUUUGUUGGAAUCAGUACGUUUAAGGAAAACCCACCUUAACAUUUGUAGAUGUCUUCAACAAUUUCCUAAGCACGAUACAAUAAAGCUUGGUGUGUAUAAUUUUGUUUUAUGGAAGCUCCAAAUUAUGUUGAUUCUUGAAUGAUACGGUCUGCAUGGGUUUGUUUUGGGUGCUAUUAGUGUACUAGCACAGUUUGUAGAGGAUAAAUAUGGGAGAUUAGUAGAAAAUUCUGAUUAUGUUUUACAUGUGCAACAAGAUAAGCUAUUGGCUUCUUGGUUACUUUCAACUGUUAGUGAUGAAAUCCUAGCCUAUCUUACUAGUGCUCGUACUAGUUAUUAUAUGUGGGAAACUAUUGAAAAGAAGGGUUGCGACUAAGUCCACGGUAAAAUUGUCCAGUCAUGUGUUGUAUUCACAGAAAAAGGGUCAUUUGUUUGUUAAAGAAUAUUUGUCUAAGAUCAAGUCCAUGUGUGAUAUGUUGGUUGCAACGGGUUGUUUGAUUUCAAAUCAAGAAAUGGUUAGCAUCAUUCUUGCAAGGUUGCCAGUUGAGUGUGAAUCAGUACGGGUAGUAGCUUCAGCUACUGGUGUGUCACUUGAUCUGUUGAUUGAGAUGCUGCUUGAUUGUGAAGCUCGAAAAUUGAGUUCUUGAAUAGUGUUCUCGUACAACCUAACAUAGCUAGUAAACAAGAUUGUGAUGAGGGUGAUCGGACCAAGGGUUCUGAUUAUAACAGUGGCUAUCAAGGGAACAAACAGACAUAUAUAGGUGGUUUUCAAUGCAAUAGAGGUUCCAUCGAGGUUGAGGCCGUGAGGGUUGUUUUUCUAACAAUCGGCCCCAAUGCCAGUUGUGUGGUAAAAUUGGACACAUUGUCCAAAAGUGUUAUUACCGUUUUGAUGAAAAGUUUUGCAGGUAUUGCUAGGAUGGUAAUAUGGUAUAGUGGGCUGCAUCUUGAUUGUUUGUUUCUCAUGCUGAGGCUAUAAUUUUAAUCAUACCUAUUAUUGUUUCUUGUGUCCUGCAAUUUCAUCAUUUGCAGGCUGUUUCACUAAUUGCAUCCUAUUUACAAGUUCCCUUGUGUUAUCCUCUGCGCUUGGGUGGUUCUCGCUCAUAUAUUAAUGACCAUGCGUCUUCAAUAGACCAUGCAUCUUCUGAUUUGUCAUUGGAUACAACACUUUCAGCAAAUGUAAAGCCGGUAGAAUUUCCGCUGUUUUUAGAAGGUCAAGACACGACAAGAGCAGCAUAUGCUGUGUUCUUGUUAAACAAGGUAAGCUUUUGCAUAUUAGUAAUUUUUUUUUCCAAGAUGAAUUAUUCUCCUUUGGCAUUUUAUAUUAUAUAAUUAGUCACUACAAAACAUAAAUAAAUAAUAAUACUCCAUUUUUACAAUAAAAAUUCACUAAAGAAAAUACAUUUGAAGUCUAUCAUUGCUUUUUCGAAUAAGAGUCGGUCAAGAAAGUUAUGCGCAAAUACUUAUAUCUUUAUUUCAGAUGCUUUCAAUUCUAUUGUCACUUAAAUCCAAGUACUUUAAAUUUGUCAAAUUAUUCAAUUUUGAAAUUCAAUCCCAAAUAUUGAUCAAUUAUAUAUAUUCAUGAUAUGAUAAAAGCAAAGACAUCUUUCAACAUUAACUUUCCCUUAAACAAAAAUUGGUUUUAAAGUAAAAAAGAAACAUAUAAAACCAGUCUAGCUUGAAUAUGAAUCAAUAUAUAAACACUAUACUUAUACCUUGGUUUGAGAUGCUUUCAAUAUUGUUGUCGCUUAAAUACAAGUAUUUCAAGUUUGUCAAAUUAUUCAAUCCCAAAUAUUGGUUAGUUAUAUAUGAUAUGAUAAAAUCAAACUUGAACAUACAUUGAUUUUUAAAGUUGAAAAUUACUUGUUAAUUUUUUUUCUUUCUUACCUAUAUGAAAAUUUUACUAAAGUAAAAGUUGAAUUACAACGGAUAAAAAGAAUGGAAAACUAGGUACCAAGCCUAGAAGACCAUCCUCAAACUCCACUAUACAAAUAAAAACUACUCAAACUCCACUAUACAAAUAAAAACUAACACCGGACCAAACUUAAUUUACCUCUUAGAUGACUUGAUCCUUCAAACUGGUUGUAUGAUAGAUCUAAAUACCGGAGAGAUGAAAGCUCACUCAAAGAUAACAAAAUGCUAUCAUUCAAGUAAUUGUAACUUAAGUCAAGGAUCUCCAAAUUACUCAAUGUGAAUGAUAGCUUUCCAAAGCCUGUAGAAGUGUUCUUUUAAACAUAUACAAGCAGUUAGUGACUUUUCUUCCAUAAAAUAAAAUAUAAGUAAUUGUAAAUUAACAAUGGUGAGAAUAGUGGAAUAGUAAAAGAUAUAAUUAAGGAAAAAAAAUAAAGGCACGACCUUCAUUUUCAAGGUUACCACCUAUGGCAUUUCCCGACAAAUAAAGUCUCUUCAAUUCCUCAAAAGGAAGAAACAUAGAGGCAUUGAGAUACCAGACAAUGAGAUUCCUAUUAUCCAUGCCGUAUUCCCAAUUGUCUUCCCAUUUUGUAGAAAUAAGGGAGAGUUGUAUGAGUCUCCUAGUGGUGGUGUUACACUCAAAUCCUUCCCAUUUACAACAAUCUGAACCCUUCACCUCAACCCAACUUUGCAAUGGAUUACGAUAAACGAAGAAAGGCUUGAGAUGCAAGAGAGCGAUUCUCUCAUGCUCCAAACAAGCAUCAGUAGUACACCAUCUGCAUCCUUCUAACACCAACAACAUUAUUGCCAUCCUAAUAAACUAUAACCAUUUCCACUCCAUCAUCAUCAUCUCUCUGUUUUGUAUACAUAUGGACUACAAUUCAAGUUUCAUGCUUAUAAUUAUACCAAAUCAAAGUUCAUGUAUCAAAUUGCACAUUAAAUCAAAAUUUAUGUAUACAUUUGAUAUUUAUCUCAUUUAUGGGAGAUUAACUUUCUAAUGGUAUUGUUUUGUUUACAUUAAUCCAAAUAAUAGGAAAUGAUGAAUUAGUUUAACGCAAAUUGUAAUUCUAUUAAUGUUUCUUCUCAAACUUUUGGUUGCUCUUAUUUACAUGUUUUAUUAAUUGAUAGAUUUAAAUUCUUGGAAUAUAUUCGGUUAGAAUGAAGUGCCCCGAAUCCUUAUUUAAAUAAAAUACAGUGUUAAAAUAAAAGAAAAGUAAAAUCCCUACAGAAUUAUACUUCUUUUAUUUUAUUUUAGAAUAAGGCUUUUUAAAUCUUAUUAAACUCCAUCUAUUUGAUAUUGAUUAGAAUAAAGAGUUUCACUCCUAUUAGAAUAAAGUUUUACAAGCCUAUAAAUAGACAUAGUCUACUCCUCUUGUAAUUAAUUCAAAUUCGACAUAGUGAAUUUUCUUCUCCUCUGCCCGUGGUUUUUUCCCGAAAGGGUUUCCACGUAAAAUUUGUGUGUUCUUUAUUUUUCUAUUUCUAUUUUCUUUGUGAUAUAUUAUCAUUACCGACAUUUAUUUUCACAAAUUGGUAUCCGAGCUUCUGGGUUGUUCAUCGCAAUCACUGUAAUGACGUCUUUGAAGUAUGAAAUUCUACUGUUGGAUCGCAACACCAGAUUCGCAUUUUGGCAGAUAAAGAUGCAGGCAGUUCUUGCACAGAUGGACUUAGAGAAAGCCCUGCUAAGGUUAGAUAAGAUGCCUUCAACAUUGAUGGAGGAAGAGAAGAAGCACAAGGAUUGAAAGGCGUUAACACAAUUACAUCUGCAUUUGUCUAACGAAAUUUUGCAGGAUGUGAUAAAGGAGAAUACCGCCGCUAGAUUAUGGAAGACGUUGGAACAACUAUGUAUGUCGAAAACUCUAACUAGUAAGCUGCAUAUGAAGCAGCGUCUUUAUGCUCAUUGUUUGGAGGAAGGUGCGUCUAUGCAUGAACACUUGACAGUGUUUAAAGAAAUUCUCUCAAAUUUGGAGGCCAUGGAGGUUCAGUAUGAUAAGGAAGAUUUAGGGUUGAUUCUACUUUGUUCGUUGCCCCCGUCUUAUUUAACCUUUAGAGAUACAAUUUUAUAUAAUCGCGAGUCUUUCACAGUUGAUGAGAUUUAUAAUUCUUUAACCUCGUAUGAUAAGAUGAUGCAUCUUAUGGUUAAAACUGACUCUCAAUGAGAGGGUCUCAUUAUUCGUGAGAGAUAAGAUCAGAAUAUUGAUGAUGAUCAUGGAAGGACACAAGAACGGAAUCCUCGUGGUAAAUCUAAAGGUAGAUCGAAGUUUUCAAACAGAGGUAAAACUUGUAACUUCUGCAAGAAGAAAGGGCACAUUAAAUCUAAGUGCUAUAAGCUACAGAAUAAGAUCAAAAGGGAGACUGUGAAUCAAAAUGGAAAACAACCAGAAAAUUUUGGUAAGGCUAAUGUUGUAGAAUACUACAGUGAUUGUGAACUUCUAGUCGCUUCUGUCAAUAAUUUUAAAGUGAGCGAGGAGUGGAUCCUUGAUUCGGGUUGCACCUUCCACAUGAGUCCCAAUAGUUAUUGGUUUACAACUUACGAAAUAGUGUCUGAAGGUGUUGUUUUAAUGGGAAAUAAUACUUCAUGUAGAAUUGCAGGUGUUGGAACAAUUAAAGUUAAGAUGCUUGAUGGAGUUGUCAGAACACUUAGUGACAUAUGACAUGUUCCAAAAUUGAAGAGAAAUUUAAUUUCAUUGAGUACUCUUGAUUCAAAAGGGUACAAAUACACAGCUAAAAGUGGUGUUUUGAAUAUUUCUAAAGGUUCCCUCAUUGUGAUGAAAGGAUAGAGAAAGACUACCAAGUUUUAUGUUUUGCAAGGUUCUAUUGUUACUGGUGAUGCAGCUGUCGUAUCCUCUUCCUUGUCAGAUGAUGAUAUUACUAAACUUUGGCAUAUGCGCCUAGGGCAUAUGAGUGAGAAUGGCAUGGCAGAAUUGAGCAAAAGUGGACUUCUUGAUAGGCAAUGAAUUUGCAAACUGAAGUUCUGUGAGCACUACAUUUUUGGGAAGCAAAAGAGAGUUUGAUUCACCAGAGGAAUCCAUAACACAAAGGGAACGUUUGAGUAUAUUCAUUCUGAUCUGUGGGGGCCAUCCAGAGUACUUUCGAGAGGUGGAGCUAAUUAUAUGCUAACUUUUAUUUAUGAUUUUUCCAAAAAAGUGUGGGCGUUCUUCCUGAAGCAGAAAAACGAUGUGUUUUUUGUAUUUAAGUCUUGAAAAACCAUGAUUGAAAAACAAACGGGAAAGUAAAUAAAACACCUCCGCACAGACAAUGGCUCAGAGUUCUGUUUUGAUAAGUUUAAUAAAUUGUGCAAGUCAGAAGGGUUCAUGAAACACUUGAUAGUUCAUCAUACUCCACAGGAAAACGGCGUUACAGAAUAAAUGAACAGAACGAUCAUGGAGAAGGUUCGAUGUAUGUUGUCAAAUACCAACUUACCAAAGUCAUUUUGGGCUGAAGCAGCCUCUACUGCAUGAUUUUUAAUCAACCGAUCUCUAUCCAUUGCCAUUGAGAAAAAGACUCCACAAGAGGUAUGGUCUUGUAAUCCUGCUGACUAUUCUGAUUUAAAGAUUUUUGGUUGUCAUGUGUGUGUGCAUGUUGAUAAUGGAAAAUUGGAAUUGAGAUCCAUUAAAUGUGUUUUUCUUGGUUAUAAAGCUGAUGUAAAAGGGUAUAAGUUAUGAUAUCCUAAAAAUAGAAAAGUUGUGAUUAGCAGAUAUGUUAUUUUUUAUGAAACUGCUAUGCUACCUAACUUAUCUCUUAAAGAAUCUCUCAAUAAAGAAAAUCAAAAGUAGGUGGAGCAUCAGAUUAAUACAGAAUCUACAACAGAGUCGACUACUGAAGCCAGUACAAAAAUUCAAAAUAGAGUUGCUCCUUCACCAUAAUACUCUAUCGCCAAAAAUAGAACUAGAAGAGAAAUUAGACCUCCAAAGAAGUAUGUCAAGUCUGAUCUAGUUGCUUAUGCUUUAAAUGUGGCUAAAGAUAUAGAUGUAAAAUAAGAGCCAUCUAAUUAUUCUGAGGCGAUUAGUUGUGAAGACUCAGAAAAGUGGAUGUUUGCUAUGCAAAAGGAGAUGGAAUCACUCCACAAAAAUAAAAUAUGGGAUCUUGUGAAACUUCCUAAAUGUAAAAAGAUUAUUCGUUGUAAAUGGGUGUUUAAAAAGAAAGAAUGGACUCCAAGAGUUGAAGAACCCAGAUAUAAAGCAAAGUUUGUUGCAAAUGGUUACAGUCAAAUUCCAGGAGUGGACUUCACAGAUGUGUUCUCUCCAGUUGUGAAGCAUAGUUUGAUUCAAGCUUUACUUGGUAUUGUGGCCAUACAUGAUUUGGAGCUUGAACAGUUAGAUGUAAAAAAUGCUUUUUUGCAUAGAGAAGUUAAGGAGGAUAUUUACAUGCAACAACCAGAGGGUUUUACAGUCUCAGAAAAAAGGACUAUGUUUGCUUGCUGAAAAAGUCUCUUUACAGUUUGAAACAGUCACCAAGACAGUGGUACAAGAGGUUUGAUUCAUUUAUGACUUCUCAUGAUUUUAAAAGAAGUAGCUUUGACAGUUGUGCUUACUUUAAGAAAAACAAUGAUGGUUCUUUUGUGUAUCCACUCUUUUAUGGUGAUGAAAUGUUGAUAGCAGUGAAAGAUAAAUGAGGGAUAAGAAAGGUCAAAGCCCAACUAAGUGAAGAAUUUGAGAUGAAAGAUUUGGGACCAGCAAAGAAGAUACUUGGUAUGGAGAUUCUCAAAGAUAGAAAAGUAAGUAAAUUGUACCUAAGUCAAAAGGGGUACAUUGAGAAAGUUCUUUGCAGAUUCAAUAUGCAGAAUGCUAAGCCUGUUAGUACUCCUUUAGCAGCCCAUUUUAGACUUUUAUCGGCUUUGUCUCCACAAUCAGAUGAUGAGAUUAAGUACAUGUCACAUGUUCCAUACUCUAGUACAGUGGGAUCUCUCAUGUAUACUAUGGUUUGUUCACGUCCAGAUUUAUCAUAUGUAGUUAGUGAAGUUAGCAGAUACUUGGUGAAUCCCGAUAAAGAACAUUGGAAAGUAGUUCAGUGGAUUUUAAGAUACUUACGAGGUACUACUGAUGUUUCCUUACAGUUUGGAAGAACUAGAGAUGAAGUCAUUGGGUAUGUUGAUGCUAAUUUUGCUGGAGACUUUGAUAGAAGAAGAUCUCUCACAGGUUAUGUCUUUAUAAUCGGAGGUUGUGCAAUCAGUUGGAAAGCCACUUUGCAAACUACAGUUGCUUUGUCCACCACUGAAGAUGAGUACAUGGCGAUUACUGAGGCUUGUAAAGAAGCUAUUUGGUUGAAGGGACUCUUUAGUGAACUCAAUAAAGGCUUUCAAAUCAAUACAGUAUUUUGCGACAGUCAGAGUGCUAUCUUCUUUACAAAAGAUCAAAUGUUUCAUGAGAGAACAAAACACAUUGAUAUUCGGUAUCAUUUUGUUCGUGAUAUUAUUGCUUGUGGUGAUAUUGUUAUGAGCAAAAUUAGUACUCAUGAAAAUCCUGCAGAUAUGAUGACUAAGUCACUUCCUAUAACCAAGUUUGAGCAUUGCUUAGACUUGGUUAGUGUUCAUUGUUGAAGUUAAACCCUUAAGGGGUUUUAUGGAAUAGGUGGAAAACUUGAUCGUUGAGAGUUCGCGAUGAAGAACUUGUUCAUUAAGAAUUCGUGUCAAUGUGGAGAUUGUUAGAAUUAAGUGACCCGAAUCCUUAUUUAAAUAAAAUACAGUGGUAAAAUAAAAUAAAAGUAAAAUCCCUAUAGAAUUAUACUUCUUUUAUUUUAUUUUAGAAUAAUAUUUUUUAAAUCUUAUUAAACUCCAUCUAUUUGAUAUUGAUUAGAAUAAAGAGUUUCACUCCUAUUAGAAUAAGGUUUUACAAGCCUAUAAAUAGACAUAGUCUACUCCUCUUGUAAUUAAUUCGAAUUCGACAUGGUGAAUUAUCUUCUUCUCUGCCCGUGGUUUUUUCCCGAAAGGGUUUCCACGUAAAAUCUGUGUGUUCUUUAUUUUUUCUAUUUUUAUUUUCUUUACGAUAUAUUGCUAUUAUCGACAUUUAUUUUCACAUAUUCUAAUUAAUUAGAUAUUUCCUUCCUUCCAAAAGCCUUUCAAAAUAGGUUUAGUUUGACCAAGAUACUCUUGUAGAAAAUUUUAGUUUUGUGGGAAAACGAAAAACUAGAUUUAUUUUUUAUUCUAAUUGGUUUCAUAUGCAAGGUAUAUAAACUUUUGUGUCGCUGCAAUUUUUUUCCAACAUAUGUAUGUGAUUUGUGGGGUUUCAAUUUUGAAUUUUUUUUAUAAUUUAAUUAAAUUGUGAAAGUAUUUGAAAGUUUUUAAGUUGAUACAAUGUUUAGAACUACCCCAACACCCACCCAACCCUUAAAUAGGAGGAUAAACAUGCUUCAGCACGCUCAAACUCACAUUCUCCUACAUCUAUGAUAAUACUAAUGCCAACCGAGUUAAGACUCAACUAGCCUUGAAUUUUGAAUUUUACUUCUGAUAUAUUUUGAAUUUUGAAAUUUUAAUUUUGACCCAAACAGUAGCAGUUAAUUUAAUUUGAUUAAAUUUAAUUACUAGACCUAUAUUAUGCGUACGAUUAUUGAUUAGUCUAUACUCUCAAAUUGGGCAAUUCUAAGUACCUAUACUUUCUGAAUUUUGAAAUUUCAGUCUUGAUGCAAAUGACAAUUGUUAAUCUAUUAAUUAGAUUUUUAGCGAGUAAUAUGUAAAAAUAACAAACUGGCAUAACAUUACACAUAUGAUAAUAUGUUUAUUGCACCGCAUUUGAAAAUAGCCGAAUUUAACAAAUAUCGUUAGUGAGGAUUGGAAAUUAGAGUCUAGGGAUUAAAUCCACAAGUUCAGUAAAUUACAAGAACUAAUGGUAGAAUUUAACCUUUAUAUAACCUUUAAAUUCUAACCGUGGUUUGCACACUACUCAGCCGACCAUUGGCUGUGGUGGGAACACAAACUGUUUGAAUUUGACAUCAGUGAUUGAAUUUUCAUAGCUAAUAUGUACGUUCCUUCAAUUUCUCCAUAGGAGGGAGUGGAAUACAUUAUAUAAGGUAAUAUUUGAUAUAUUCGGUAAAUGAAUAAUUGCAAGAUAUCUCAUUAUCUAGUAAAAUAAAUAAUGAAAAUUUUAUAAAUAAAUAUUAAUAAAAUAUUAUUACAUAUAUCAACAAUGACAUAGUAAGUUGCAUUAACUUUUAGAUGUUGACUAUUGACUUUUGCAUCAACCUUGAACUUACAUAGGCCCCUACAAUAAUUUAGGUUAUGGAAAUAAUCUUGCAAAUAAUGCUUGAGACAUCAUUAUACAUCAAUUUAUAGUUUUAAUUCUUGUACUUACUCAAUUGGAAUAAAGAUUUAGUUUUUUAUUUUCUUUUGAUACAAUGUCUAGAAUUAUCCAUAGCCCUUUUCCAACCCUUAAAUAAAUGAAUAAUGUGCUUCAGCGUACUCGAACUCACAUCUUCUUACAUUGACAAAUUGCUGAUGCCAAUUAGUUAAUGUUAAUGCUAUACUUUAGUUAAAAAUAACUAACAUUAUUAAAAAAUUCAUUAGUUGGCUCAUGUGGAUUUUUUUUCAAAAAAAUUGAAAUUAAGAACCAUAAAUUCUUUAAGACUUAAAAAUUAAAAUUAUGUGGUUAUUAAAAAAGAUUUAUUUUUUAUUAAAUUAUUAUUUAAAAUAAAUUUAUCUCAUCAUAAUGAUAUGAUUUUUUUCUUUAAAAAAUCCACAUUAACCAACUAAUAGAAUUGUAUAAAGCUGCCACCAAUCUCUUAGCAUGAUGGCAAAAGAUUCAGAGGCAGCCAGAAAAUCUUUUGAGGGGCGUGAAUAAAGUUAUAUAUUUUUAUAAUAGCAAAAGUGAAAUUUUAUUAUUAUAAUAGUUUAUAUCUUUAAUUUUUAAAAUAUUAAAUAAUUUUUUUCUUAUUUUUGAGGGGAUAAAGUAUAAGUUUAUCAUAUACUAAUUUUAAAAUUAUAAAAAGACUAAAUGUGAAAUUUUUCAUUUUAAGGGGUGGGGCCCUGUCAGGUCUCCUUGGCUUCACCUUGAUAAAAGUAUUAUGUAAUACGUAUAAAGUUUGAGUUUAAUCCCAAACAAUCUCAUUUCUUAUCCCUCAUUAUAAAAUAAUAAAAUAAAUAGAGCAAUUGAUAUGAGGAGACAAGUAUAAUAGGGCAAUUUUAACCUGGGCCAGAUUUCAAAACAAAACCCAAACCAAAUAAUAAAAGAGUCCAAAAUAAUUAAAACAAUCCAUCCAUUUUACAAACAAACCCAAAUUAGCAGCCCAAAUACAAAUUAAAACUCAAUAACCCAAAACUAACUAUAGCCCAAUUAGCUAAACACUUAAACGCAACAAAAAAAACCCUAUCCCCCUAAGCCUCCAACGCUGCAUGACCACCUACGCCGCACGUCGUCGCUGCCGCUCGAGGCUCGCCUAUCUUCGACCAUCCACGCAUCUGACACUUGCAAAACCAAGGCAACACGCAACAACAAAGGCCAAAUAGAGGAAACAACAAGGAAACAGACAAAAAAGGAAGAAACAAACAGUUUUGAUUCGGCUAUAAAAGCCCGAAUCUCACCCUUGUAAUUUUUUUGCGAACAUUAGAAAAUAAAAAAACAAAAACAACACUUUCAAGGUGAAUUUCUACUUUUAUUUCUGUUUUAAAUACUUAUUUGAUUCUAUAUUCAUAUUUUUAUUUUAUUUUUUAUAUAUAUACGAAAAUAAUAAAAUAAAAAAAGGAAGAAAGGGCUCACCGGAGACGCCCCGUGAUCGUGCCGUCAGAAGGCUCUUCUCCGUUGUUGCCAUCGGAUCCGAGAGGGGGUCGAGAGUCUUCCUCUUUCGCUUUUUUGGGUCGAGAGGGCUGGGCUUCCAAGGGAGCUGCGAAACGGGGGCUAAAAAUGCCCUUUUGCGCAACACCGACCACCGGCCACGACAGCACUACGACGGCGACCAUGGCCGGCCAAGGGGUGGGCUGAGAGAGAGACCAAGAGAUACUGAGAGAGUUCUCUGUUUUUUUAGAAAAAUGAAAGUUGAACCGUUUUUUUCUUCUUUUUUUUUGCUAUUUAUAUAGGGUAUAAUACGACGCCGUUUUGGACUUAAGCAUCAGUGGCCAAAACAAUGCCGUUUUGCAUCAGACCUGAAAAUCGACUCGAAUGCGGCCAGGAUCUGCGCGUUUUAGCUUUGAGGAGCUAUUUGCAUAUUCAGCCCUUCCGCUUUUGUAGUAUAGUGCAAUCUGGUCCUCGUUGUUUUUAUAUUUUGGCCGCAUAAUUUUUUGAUUGUUUUACUUUGGUCCGAGCUGAAACGCUGCGCAUAGGGGCUAGGAAUAUUGCCCAGUCGGUCCCUCAUUCCUUAAGCGCGCUCUAUUUCAGUCCCUAGCAACCCUUUUUUUUAUUUGUAAUUUAAACCCCAAAUUCUGGGUCGAUUUUAGUAUCAUCCUUAGUCCAUUUAAUUUAUUUGUUCACUAUUUUUUAUUUAAAAAACUCUUUUAUUAUUAUUUGUUUUAAGUUUUUUUAUUUAUCAUUUAUUUUAAAUUGUUUUACAUACUAUUUAUUUAAAUUUUUUAUAUAUUAGUCAUUUUAAACCAUUAUAUGUACAUUAUCUUUUAAAUUUUUAUAUACAUAUAUUUUUUUUAAAAAAAACUGUUGUAUGUUUCUUAUUUAUUUAUUUUAAACUGUUAUUAUUAUUCAUUUUAAGUUUUUAUAUACUGUUUAUUUGAAGCCGGUUAUUAUUUAUUUUUGAAUUGUUCUUAUAAAUUAUUUACUUUAAAUUAUUAUUUACUUUGAAAUUUUUUUGCAUAUUAUUUUGUUUUGUUUUUUUUAUUGUUAAUAUUAGUAUAAAAAUUAUAUACAUUGUGUGAUUAUUACCGCCAUGUGUACUAUAAUUAGUUUCUUCGUGUUUUCAUAUUAUUAUCACUCAUUAACAUAACAUUUUUUUCAUAAAUUGUUAUUUUAUGUUCUAUGUUAUCAUUCCAUUUCACUUCAUCACUUCGAAAGUUGCAUUCAAUUUGUAUUUACCCAUAAUAAACCGUUCUAUUUUGUCACAAAUAAAACAAAUGCACCUCGUUCAAGCAUUGUACUCACAAUUAUUCAAAACGGGGAAAAGUUUUAAAAUAAGACAAUAUUUCGCAUUUUGGAGAUUUGAGAAAUUGUACCCUAACUUACGGGGUUUCAAUUUUCUCGUUGAACCUAAAUAGCAAAAUAUCCUUCUAAUUUUCAAAAUUUACGAAAUUCCAAUAAAGUUAAAGGCUAGCUUAUUCUCAAGGGUUCUAAGUGUCGUGUCCUAACUUACGGGAUGUGACAUUUAUUAUCUCGAGACGAGAGGAUCUUUGACAUUCGUUUCAAUUUAUUCAAGCAAAUUCUUUUAAAUUAAAAUAGCGUUAACAAAAGGGGGAUCGUGUUUUAAAUUCUUUCGAAGUUUUUCAAUUUUUAACAUUUAGACAUUAAUUAAUCAAUUGAAUACCAAUUUUGGGCGUGACGAGGGUGCUAAUCCUUCCUCGCAUGUAACUGACUCCCGAAUCCGUUUUCUCAAAUUUCAUAGACCAAAAUCACUGUUUUGAUAAAUUAAAAUAUUUUAUUAAAACAACUAAAUUAUGAGGUGACCUAAUCACACCUCAUAAAAAAAAGAUUGGUGGCAACUCUCGUUUUAAUUUCCAUUUUCAAACCAACGUCGACCCUUUUAAAAAAAUGGUUUCAAUAUUAAGUUAUAAGUUGAAUGAAUUAAAAAUAUGUGAAAAGUGUAAAUAGAGACUCUUCAAUCUCAUUUCCUCUAAUGCUCUUUUUUUAAAUUUUUUUUUAAAUUUUUUAUGUACCUUUUAAAUAGUUAAUGAAAAUAAAAAUAUUUUGAUAAUUUUCACUUCGAAAUGCAAAAGCCAACAACAGUUUUUGACUACAAAAGCGGUGUGUUCUUCAUCACUUCUCAGUGGAAAAACACUUCUGCAAUGUAACAACACUUUUAACCCAAAACGGCUUUUUCACCACAAUAGAGAAUGCACCCUAAAAUUGUAAAUAGAAAAAAGAAGGAUCAAACAUUGUUUCUACCCUGUUUUUGUCUCCUCUUUGAAAAUACUUUCCAAAAAGUUUUAUCAUUUUUUUUUCUGUUUACAAAUUCCUUAUAGAAGUGCUUUCUUUUGAUCCACUUGCAUCAUUGUAAUAAGUUUGCAUUGCCUUCUAACUUUCUAUGUUGAUUACAGUUUAUUAAGUUUUCUGUUGGAUCUUAUAGUCAAAUUCCUUUACAUCAUGUAUGUUAAUUUGCUUAGCCCUGAUAAAUGUUAGAUAUAGGGUUAUCAGUGUCGAAACCACUUUUUUGGCGAACAAAAAUUAGUUGUUGACUUUAAAAACGAAAGUUGGAGUCGCCAUCGAUCCUUUAUUGGGGUGUGAUCGGCUCACCUUAAAAACGAUUUUGGUCUGCAAAAUUUGAGAAAACAGGUUCGGGAGUCGGUUACGCAUGAGAAAGAGUUAGCACCCUCUUAACGCCCAAAAUUGGUACCGAAUUAAUUAAUUAAGGUCUUAAUGCCGAAUAUCGAAAAUCUGUGAAGAAUUUAAAAAUACGAUCCUCCCUUUUUGUUAAUGUUAAUUUUAUAAAAGAUGCUUGGAUAAAUCGAAGCGAAUGCUAAAGACCUUUUUGUCUUGGAAUAAUAAAAUGUCACACCCAAUACGUUAGGACAUGACAUUUUAGUCCUCGAGAAUAAGCUUGUCUUUUGAUUUUCAAAGCUCGUGCGGUGAAGUUUAAAAAGGAUAUUCAAUUGCUUUAACUCAGAUGAAAAAUCGGAGCCCAAUACGUUAGGGCACAAUUUCUCAAAAUUCCGAGCAUUGAAUAUUGCCCUUAUUAUUAUUAUUUUUAAAAUCUUCAUCUCGAGAAAAUGACAUGUCAUAUCCAAUAUGUUAGGACACGACGUAUCGAAUUUUCGAGAAUGAGCUUUUUAUUUAUGCUUUAAUUAAAAAAGGAUACCCGGUUUCUUAGAUUCAACGAGGAAGAUUGGAAUCCAAUAAGUUAGGACACAAUCUUUUCGAGGAUCCUAAAUUCCGAGUGUCGCGUUAUUUUUGAAAAAAAACUUUUUGAAUAAAAAUGCUCUCGAUACUUGAAUGAUAUUAAACGUAACCUUUUAACAACGAAUAAAAUGCGACGGGACGAUAAUGUAUAACGCGGAAUGACGAUUUGUAAACAAAAUAUACUCUAACGAAUGACAAAUAAUCAAUAAAAACAAAUAAACAUUAUCAUACAUAUAAGAGCAAUAAUCACAUGUAAAUAUUAACAUCAACAUUUGAAAGCUAAUGACCUAAAAGCCUAUCGCAAAUACAACAAAUUUAAAAUAACUAAAAAAAAAGCAUGAGAGAAAAGAAAUUUGAAAUUAUCAACAUAUAUACACAAAAUACACGUAUAUAAAAAUUUAAAAGAAAUAAUUAAUAGGAAGACUUGAAAUAAUUUAAAAAUAGAAUUAAAAAUGAAUAAUAAUAUCUAAAUGAAUUUUAAAAUAAAUAUUAUAAGAAGAAAGUCAAAAUAAAUAAAACCCAAAAUAAUACACAUAUAUUAAUCUAAAUAGGUAAUAGAUAUAAAUUACGUAUUAUAAAAGAAAACUAUUUAAAAAGGGUAAAUUCUAUUGGAUUAACAUAAAAAUAUAAAAUAAUUUAUUAUGAAAUUAAAUAAUAAUAUAUGAUAAUAAUAUAAAAAAACUUAAAAUAAUAGUGCAUAAUAGAAUAAAAUAAUGAAUAUAAAAAGGUUAGAUAAAUUGAUAAAAAAUAAUACUAAUAAUAAUAAUAGUAGCAGUAAUAAUAAUAAUAAUAAUAAUAAUAAUAAUAAUAGUAAUAAUAGUAAUAAUGAUAAAUUAAUAUUAAAGUAAUUAAUUUGAUAGCAAAAAUAACAAAACAGAUUACUAAUUUGGAAUUAAAACAGAAAUUUAGGGGUAAGACGUGCAAUAAAAUGAAAUGAAAAGGACCUAAUUGAAAUUAAUUUAAAAUCAGACUGACUAGCAAAGAAAUUAAACGCACAAGUCUCACCUGGCAAUCAAGUCAGAUCAUCAGAAACGGCGUCGUUUCGAACGUUUGUCUCCUCAACUGACAGAAGGACGAAAUUGAAAGAAAUAUCGAAUUAUGUGGCAAAAUUAAAAAAGACAAAGAAGGAUUAAAAUGAAGUAAAUAAAAAACAGAAGGACCAAACAGGAGAAUAAGCCAUUGAAACAAAACACGCGGAUCCUCCCCGGGUCAAAUCGGAUCAUCGGGUCAACCAACACGGAGACGUUUUGAAGCCAUUAAAUCGGGCUUAAACGGCACCGUUUUAUUAUCGUUAAAAACCUAAAAAAAUAAAACCCUAAUAAUUUGUUUUGCCAUCCUAAAACAGAUCAAGAGCCUAGCCUUCUCCCCACCGGUCUCCACUCACGAACCCAAUCUGACUCCGAUUCAGACGGAGCAAACCAGAUUCCAAUGGCGUCUGCUCUGGUAAGACGCUUCUUCUCUCCCUCUUUUUUUUUCGUUUGGUGCCAAAGAAGAAAACAAAGAAUCAAAGAAAUAAAAGAGAAAAAAAAACGAAGAAAAUCACCUUUCGAAAAAACUUUCUGUUUUGAUUUUUUGUUUGUAUUCAAUAUGCGUAAAAAAGGAUUACAAUGGCCUUCUCCCUCUUUAUAGCCGAAUAUUCGAAAUAAAAUGAAAGAAAAUACAAAAAAUUCUCUCUGCUGCGUUGUUUUCGUCUUCUUUGCAGGUAAGGAGGCUAGCUGGCGUAAGGAGGUGGUGGACGUGGCACAGCACACUCGGGGAAGGCCCUGGUGGCUGCGGCGCUGGAAGGAGGGCUGUUGCAGCUAGGGUUUUCUGAUUUUUUUUUGGGCUAGGGUUGGGUUGAUAGUUGUAUUGGGCUAGGUAUUUGGGCUGGGUGUAGUUGGACUAGAUGUAUCUGACUUUGGGUUUGUACCGGGUCACUGUAAAUGGGUUUGGUUUUUGUUGUUAUUGGGCUGUGAACUAUUUGAGUUUUAAUUAAUUUUUAUUUAUUUGGUUUUUUAUUGUGGGCUGGGCAAAUUGGGUAUUACAAUCAGCUAAUUAGGAAAGACUGUGAUGAUAGUCACACCUUACAUCCAAAAGCAAAGCUUUUUUUACAUGUGUAUGUAAGGUUGCUAAGCAAAUCUGGUGAGCCUUCACUGCUGUUUUAAGGUUAAGUUAAUGUUCCUUUUCGGCAAAGAACAUUAUCGAGAUCACGGUAUUUUGAUCGCCUUUUGCUUCUUGUUAUUCGUUCUGAAACGAUUGCAUAAUCUUUACUGUGAUUGCAGGAUAUAGAGCAACUUUUGAAUUUCAUCGCUGUAAAGUGUUUAGGACCACGACAUGUUCUUGCAAAUUUGAAGAAGCUUCUAAGGUCUGUCCAGUCUUCAGAAUAUAUAGAUACCUGAAUUAAUUUUGAUUUUGUAGGAUCAACUAUAAUUAGCUACUUAUUAGAGUAUGAAUAGACAACCUCACCUUCUUCACACACUGACACGUGCGGAUUUUUUGCCAAUCCCAUUUCAAAGGAUCACACUUUUUUGUUGUUUACAGAAUCAUAAUUAAUGUUAAUUAAAGUGGAAUAUUUCAGAUUUCUGAUGAUGAGCAUAUUCUUGAGUAUUGCAGUAAAAAAAUGGGUGCGGAACUUAUUUGAACUUUGAAUGUAUGUUUUGUUGGUGAGAAUAUAAAGUUGAUAAAGAUUUGGUAAAUAGAAUAAAAUACUAUUUUUUAUUAGAAAAAUUAUUUGGUAGACUGCCAAUCGAUUUAUAAUUAUCAUGACGCAAUAUUAAGGGUAAUUAAAACAUGUCAUAUUACAAAUAAUAAAAUUAUAAUGACUCAAAUAUACGAACAUGUCAAAAUUUAUGUACAACGAAUUAUUAACAUGUCAAUGUAUAGUAUAAUAUGGUACGCAAAAAUAAGAUAAUUGCUUGUCUUUAAUUGAAUUGUUAUAACACAUUAUACAAAAUACAUUGUGAAUUAAAGCAUAAUAUAAUCAUGAUAUCAAUAUAUUAAAUUUUUUAAAAAUUCGAUGAUACGAAUAAUUAUGUAAAAUAUCACAUGAUACAAAAUGACUUGAGAGGAAAAGAGGAACAAAGACUUGCNNNNNNNNNNNNNNNNNNNNNNNNNNNNNNNNNNNNNNNNNNNNNNNNNNNNNNNNNNNNNNNNNNNNNNNNNNNNNNNNNNNNNNNNNNNNNNNNNNNNNNNNNNNNNNNNNNNNNNNNNNNNNNNNNNNNNNNNNNNNNNNNNNNNNNNNNNNNNNNNNNNNNNNNNNNNNNNNNNNNNNNNNNNNNNNNNNNNNNNNNNNNNNNNNNNNNNNNNNNNNNNNNNNNNNNNNNNNNNNNNNNNNNNNNNNNNNNNNNNNNNNNNNNNNNNNNNNNNNNNNNNNNNNNNNNNNNNNNNNNNNNNNNNNNNNNNNNNNNNNNNNNNNNNNNNNNNNNNNNNNNNNNNNNNNNNNNNNNNNNNNNNNNNNNNNNNNNNNNNNNNNNNNNNNNNNNNNNNNNNNNNNNNNNNNNNNNNNNNNNNNNNNNNNNNNNNNNNNNNNNNNNNNNNNNNNNNNNNNNNNNNNNNNNNNNNNNNNNNNNNNNNNNNNNNNNNNNNNNNNAUGGUCUUCUAGGCUUGGUACCUAGUUUUCCAUUCUUUUUAUCCGUUCUAAUUCCACUUUUGCUUUAGUAAAAUUUUCUUAUAGCUAAGAAAGAAAAAAAAAACUAUUAACAAGUAAUUAUAUAUAUAUAUCAGGUUUUCAAUUGCUUUCAAGACUCAAUAACUUGGAAACUCUCGAUUUAAGUCGGAAUUCUUUUAAGAAUAGCAUUUUGUUCCAUAUGAGAAAUCUUUCAUCCUUGAAGACUUUAAGAUUGAGCGGUAAUCAGUUGAAAGGAAGGCUGGAUCAUAUUCAAGGUAGACUAAUUUUACCUGUUUCUUUUUAACUUUAAAAAUCAAUGUAUGCUCAAGUUUGAUUUUAUCAUACGAUGAAUGUAUAUAACUAAUCAAUAUUUGGGAUUGAAUUUCAGGAUUGAAUAAUUUGACAAAUUUGAAGUACUUGGAUUUAAGUUGGAACGACAUUGAAAGCAUCUCAAACAAAGGUAUAAGUAUUUGUGCAAAACUUUCUUGACCGACUCUUAUUCCAAAAGGCAAUGACAGACUUCAAAUGUAUUUUCUUUAGUGAAUUUUUAUUGCAAAAAUGGAGUAUUAUUAUUUAUUUAUGUUUUGUAGUAACUAAUUAUAUAAUAUAUAAAUCAGGUUUUCAACGGCUCAUUAAAUUGGAAAUUAUUGAUAUAAGUUGGAAUUAUUUGAAGAAUAGCAUUCUUUAAAAUAAAUUCAUGUUGAAGGAAAAGUUGUUGCAAUAAGUCAUUUGAUUUUAUCAUAUCAUGAAUAUAUAUAAGUAAUCAAUAUUUGGGAUUGAAUUUCAAAAUUGAGUAAUUUAAGUAGGAAGGUAUCUCAAACAAAGUAUUUAUAUAUUGAAUCAAUUCAUGGGAAAGCUUGUAAAUUGGCUCUUCCUUCUCAAACAAUCAUUUUUCCUAACUUUUUAUAUCUUGAAUGAUAUUAACUAUACUCAUUAUUUUCUUCCAAUGAUAGAUGGAACACAAUGGAGGCUAACAAACUUAGAGGAACUUGAUUUGAGUGGUAAUCUCUUUCGGAACAACACAAUUUCCUUUCCUCAAGGGCUUUCAAGCCUAAAGUCUUUGACUUUGUACAACAACCAUUUGCAAGGCUCAUUAGAUACUAUAGGUACCAAAGCUAUAACUUUGUUUUUCUUGAUAAUUCUUUCUAGAACCUUUUAAAAUUAAUUGUUUCAAAUUUGAACAUUCACAUUUCACUUUUGAGGAUUUUCAUCUUCACUUCCAGUUUUAGAUUUACUUUUUUUUUCAUUUUUAUUUCAUUAAAAUAUUAAGUAGAAAUUAAAAUUAUUAACAUAAUGAUUUUUUAAAUUGUACGUGGAUAUGUAUAGGAUUGAGCAAUUUAACAAAUUUGAAGAAACUCGAUUUAAGUGGGAAUCAAAUUGAAAGCUUUCAAACCUUUAAAGGUAUGCAUUUAUAUUUAACUAAUUACCUAAAUUCUUACAUAUAAUUAAAUUUUAUGCCAAUUCAUUUCAGUGAUGAAAUUAUAUAAAUCUUUUGUAGAUGGUGGUAGAAAAUUGGAGUUGACCCACUUGGAAGAGCUUUAUUUAGAUGGAAAUCACUUCAAUACUAGUGUAUUUGCAUCCCUUAACAAGCUUUCAAAUUUGAAAUCUUUGAGCAUAAGUGAGAAUCAAUUGAAAGGAUCAAUAGAUAUGAAAGGUAAAAAUAUUAGUUUUUUAACAAGAAUAUAAUAAUGUUUGAAGAGAAUAUAAUGAAGUUGAUUUGUUGUUUUUGUUUUCCUAGAUUUGGAAGCAUUUAUCAAAUUAAGGGAACUAGAUAUGAGCUAUAAUGAAUUGAGAGAUUUUGUGAUCCACCAAGGUAUCAUUUAAUUAAUUUUCCUUUUUUUUUAAUUUAGAAAUUUAGUUUUGAUCUAUGAUAUUAUAAUAACAGUUAUUGUCAUAAAUAUUAAUAAAGUUAUAUCAUAUCAUACUUGAAAGUAAAAUAUGGGUUUGGUGAAACAUUUUCUAAACCCUCCAUUAUAAUGUGUUUCGACUUUGGUUUGAAACUAAAAUUCUUUAAAUUUUUCAUAAUUUUUAAAUAUUAAUGUUUAUAAUUAUUUUGUUUGUAUAACUAUGUUUUUAAAAUAAUUUAUUGAAUUUUUAUGAGAUAAAAAAUAAUUAUAACGAUAAAAAAUGAUAUUAUAAGUAAAAAUACAUAUAUUUAUGGGAAAAUAUGUAAUAUAACUAUAUUUUAAUUUCAUAUAUUUUUAAUAGUAUAAAACAUAAAAAUACAUAUUAGAGUUAAAUAAAUGGCAUUUUUUGGCCAAAAAUAAAUAAAUGUCAAUUUUGAAUAAUAUAAAAAAAAACUUCAAUUUUAUGAAAUUUAAACAUACAUUUUGAGGUGUUUAAACUUUUUUUUUUAACUUUUUAUAAAUUUCAAAAUGCACAUGUUGUUAAUUUUUUGGUUUUAAAAAAUGUGAUAGGUCUAUGUACUCUUUACAAAUUUGUAAUUUAAUUCUUGUAUUUUUAUUUUCGGGAAUUUGAUCCCUCUAUUUUUUAAAUUUUAAAAUCCAAGUUCAAUUGUUAACAUUGUUAUUUUUUUAAAAAAUAAUUUAUUGGUGUUGACAUUUUAAAAUAAAAGAACUUGGUAGCGAUGUAACUAAAAGAUGAUGUAAUGAACAUGGAUUUAAUAAAAUAAUUUCAACCGUAUAAAUAGUUAGACUUGAAUUUUGAAAAAAAAAAUUUGUAAAGAGAAAAAUAUGCACAUUAGAUUUAAAUAAAAAUAAUAUUUUUUUUAGUUUAAAAUUUUCUAUUUUAUAAUAGAACCAUUGAUUUAAAUAAAUGAGAUUUUGAAGAAUUUCCAAAAAAAAAAAACUAUGUAGGUGAAAUUUAAAUAGAGAAUUUGAUAAGCUGAAAUUCUCUUUUGGAAUUCAUAAAUUUUAAAAUUCAGAAGCAUGUAUUUUGACAAUUUUGAUUUAAUAUGGUGAAUUUAAUCAAAAAAUUAUUUAUUAGAUUGUAAAAUAUUUCUUAACAUUUAUAAUUGAGUACAAAGUAAAUUAAGUUUAAGGGAAAAUAUUGGGUACUAUUAAUGAAAUUCUUUUCUUUUAUCAAUUUUUUUUUAAAAAAAUCGGGGUGGUACUAUUAAUGAAAUUCUAAACUUCAUAAGUAGGAUUGAGAUAAUAACAAAUUUCUUAUAUGGUAUAGUAAAAUAUUAAAAAAUAAAUAUUUAAAAGAAAUAGGUUAGUGGCCAUUUUUUAACUUCACUUGUAGAGUUAAAAAACUCCAUUACCAGUACCAAAUACUAACAUUAAGGUUAAAUGCUAAUUGAUUUCAAACAUAUUUGAGUUUUUUAAAAGAAUAUUCUCAUAUAUUUAAAAGAAAACAACACAAAGUUAGAAGAUCUCAUCUUGAAGGGUAAUUCAUUUACCGGUCCUCUCACAUUACCGUCAGCUCCUAACUCUAAAGUGUCUUUAAUUGACAUAUCCCAAAACAAAUUGCAAGGUCAGAUUCCAACCAACGUGUGUUCACAUUUUCCACAUUUGAGCCACUUAUUCUUAUCCAAGAAUGCCUUCGAAGGUGAUAUCCCUCCUUGUUUGAGUGGCAUGAAGGAUUUAUCGAUUUUAGAUUUAUCAGACAAUCAAUUGUCUGGAAGAGUACCUGAAGAGUUAAUCACAAAAAACUCGUUGACCAUUUUGAGACUAUCAAACAACAACCUCAGUGGACAUGUGCUUCCUGUGAUUCUCAAUGCAAAUGGGCUGUCAAAAUUAUAUUUGGAUGGAAAUAAUUUUUCUGGGGAGAUGGCAAAUGUUGAUGUCUCUAUUUCUGAGUUUCCAACUUCACUAAGGGAAAUUAAUCUCGGAAAUAACAAGUUUUAUGGAAACCUCCCAAGAUGGAUGGGGAAUGUGUCAUUUUUGGAGAGAUUAGCUUUGUCCCAAAAUGGUUUCGAGGGUUCUAUUCCAAUGGAAUUUUGCAACUUGAAUCGCUUGGAAUUUUUGGAUCUCUCUGAAAACAAUUUAUUUGGCUCUAUACCGUCCUGCUUUAAUACCCUAAACAUAAAGCAUGUCCACCUGCACGGGAGUAGACUAAGUGGCCCACUACCAAUCGCUUUUUAUAAUAUCUCUUCACUGGUUACGUUAGAUCUUAGAGGAAACAAUUUGACUGGUAGUAUUCCAAAAUGGAUUGGCACACUUUCUUCAUUGAGUGUUCUUCUCUUGAAAGAUAAUCAUUUUCAUGGUGAAGUUCCAGUUCAGUUAUGCAAGUUGGAUUCUUUAAACAUCAUAGAUCUUUCUCAAAAUAUGUUUUCUGGUAUUAUACCUUCUUGUUUGGGAAAUUUAACCCUUUCAACGGAAACAAAUAAGAUUCUAACUGAUUCGAAAAUUAGUCCAAGGUUAACAGGGGACGGAUUAGUGAAAACAUUGGGAGCUCUCGGAAAUUAUUACUAUCCUGAAGGCUACUUAGAAGAAGUAAUAGAGUUCACAACAAAGAGUGGGUUCUUAUCGUAUGAGGGAAACAUCCUUACAUAUAUGACCGGGAUUGAUUUAUCUUGCAACAACUUAACUGGUCAUAUCCCACCAGAAUUAGGGAACUUAAGUGAAAUCUAUUCUUUAAACUUGUCGCAUAAUAAGUUGACAGGAGUUAUACCCUCAUCAUUCGCAAAACUUCAUCAAAUUGAGAGUUUGGACCUUUCUUACAACAAUUUGAGUGGUGAAAUCCCCAAUCAGUUGGUAGAGUUGAACUCUUUGGAGGUUUUCAACGUGGCAUACAACAACUUGUCAGGUAGUAUUCCCGAACCAAAAGCUCAAUUUGGGACCUUUAUUGAAAACAGUUAUGAGGGAAAUCUUUUUCUUUGUGGAGCUAUAUUGCAUAAAAGUUGUUCCAAAACCGAUUCACCAUCAACGAUAUCAACUCUAUCAGAAUAUAAAGGAGAAGAUGGUUUGAUAGGUACUUAUGAUUUUUGUGUGAGCUUUUUGGUUUCUUAUGUAGUUGUGUUGUUGACCAUUUUUGUUGUCCUCUACAUAAAUCAAUACUGGCGAAGAGUUUGGUUUUCUCUCAUUGGGAAAUGCAUCACCACCUGUCGCUACUCAAAUGUGGGCAAUUUUCUUACUUAUCACAUUUUCAAGCAAUGAGUUUAGCUACUCAAAUUGUAAUUUGAUUUUCACACCUAAAUGUUUAAUUAUGCUAAGUUGAGCGAUAAUGAAUAUUUUGUUGAUUUUUGCAUUUUAAAUAAAAGCUCUUUGAUCUUAUGAUUUUAUCAUUUUCAACCAUCUAUUUCUUUUUUCUUCUAUGAAAUUUAAUGUAAAAUCAUAAUCCAUUAUUAUGUAUAUGCAAUAUCUCUUUGAAUUAAAUUAAAUUGAAUACCAAGCGUUCACUAGUGCAUACUGAAAAGGAAAUCUAAUGUAAAAUUAAACCAAACAUACUAGAAAAAUGAAUCUGAAACUGAAAUAUUUUAAAACCUCAAAAACAAUGCAAUUCUUUAUUCCUCUUUUCCUUUCAAGUUAUUUUGUAUCAUGUUAUAUUUUACAUAAUCAUUCAUAUCAUCAAAUUUUAAAAAAUAUUUAAUAUUUUGAUAUCAUGUUCAUAUUAUGCUUUAAUUCACAAUGUAUUUUAUACAAUAUGUUAUAACAAUUCAAUUUAAAAAACAAGCAAUGAUCUUAUUUUUGCAUACCGUAUUAUACAUUUACAUGUUAAUAAUUCAUUGUACGUAAAUUUUGACAUGUUUGCAUAUUUGAGUCAUUAUAAUUUUAUUAUUUGUAAUAUGACAUGUUUUAAUUACCCUUAAUAUUGUGUCAUGAUAAUUAUAACUCGAUUGGCACCAAAUAAUUUUUCUAAUAAAAAAUAGUAUUUUAUUCUAUUUACCAAAUCUUUAUCAACUUUAUAUUCUCACCAACAAAACAUACAUUCAAAGUUCAAAUAAGUUCCACACCCAUUUCUUUACUGCAAUACUCAAGAAUAUGCUCAUCAUCAGAAAUCUGAAAUAUUCCACUCUAAUUAACAUUACGAUUCUGUAAAAACCAAAAAUGUGUGAUCCUUUUUUAAAGCUCUUUUUUUUUUCCUUUAAUGAAAUGGGAUUGGUAAAAAAUCCGCACAUGUGUCGUGUGUGAAGAAGGUGAGGUUGUCUAUUCAUUCUCUAAUAAGUAGCUAAUUAUAGUUGAUCCUACAAAAUCAAAAUUAAUUCAGGUAUCUUUAUAUUCUGAAGACUGGACAGACCUUAGAAGCUUCUUCAAAUUUGCAAGAACAUGUCGUGGUCCUAAACUCUUUACACCGAUGAAAUUCAAAAGUUGCUCUAUAUUCUGCAAUCACAGUAAAGAUUAUGCAGUCAUUUCAGAACGAAUAACAUAACAAGCAAAAGGCGAUCAAAAUACCGUGAUCUCGAUAAUGUUCUUUGCCGAAAAGGAACAUUAACUUAACCUUAAAACAUCAGUGAAGGCUCAUCAGAUUUGCUUAGCAACCUCACAUACACAUGUAAAAAGCUUUGCUUUUGGAUGUAAGGUGUGACUAUCAUUACAGUCUUUUCUAAUUAGCUGAUAACCCUGUAUCUAACAUUUAUCAGGGCUAAGCAAAUUAACAUACAUGAUGUAAAGGAAUUUGACUAUAAGAUCCAACAGAAAACUUAAUAAACGAUAAUCAACAUAGAAAGAAGGCAAUGCAAACUUAUUACAAUGAUGCAAGCGGAUCAAAAGAAAGCACUUCUAUAGGGAAUUUGCAUUUAAGGCAUCGUAAACAGAAAAAAAAAUGAUAAAACUUUUUGGAAAGUAUUUUCAAAGAGGAGACAAAAACAGGGUAGAAACAAUGUUUGGUUCUUCCUUUUUCUAUUUACAAUUUUAGGGUGCAUUCUCUACUGUUGUGAAAAAGCCUUUUUGGGUUAAAAGUGUUUUUACACUGCAGAAGUGUUUUUCCACUGCAGAAGUGAUGAACAACACAUAGCUGUUGUAGUCAAAAACUGUUUUUGGCUUUUGCAUUCAAAAGAGAAAAUUAUCAAAAUACUAUUAUUUUCAUUAACUAUUUAAAAGGUAUAUAAAAAUUAGAUUAAUUUAUAUUUUAUAUAUUAUUAUAUUAAAUUGUUUAAAUCUUAUUUAUUAUUAUAUUUAAUUUUUUCAAAAUAUUUUAUAUAUUAUCAAUUUUACAACUAAUUAACAAAAUAUUUUACUAGGGAAUACGUAUAUGUGAAUAUCUAUAAAUGGCAUGCCUGGAUAUGCAUAUCCUUUGAUAUCAAAUAUUUUGAAAAAAAUAUUAUCAAUUCCACUGAUAUAUUAUCAAUUCCACUGAUAUAAAGCUCUUUAUAUUACCAAUAUAAAUAUAAAUAUUUUGAAUAUAAAUAUCCAUUGAUAUAUUAUCAAUUCCACUGAUAUAAAGCUCUUUAUAUUAUAAAUAUUUUAUAUUUUUUUUCAAAAAUAUGGAUAUGCAUAUCCUUUGAUAUCAAAUAUAAAGGUAAUAUUUAUAGGAAUUGUUUUUUAAUUAGAUAUUUUUAUAUAUCAGUGGAAUUGUCAAAAUAUUUUCAUUAACUAUUUAAAAGGUAUAUAAAAAGAGCUUUAUAUUGCCUCAAGCGCAAGGCACAAAAUGAAGCGCUAGCCUGUGUGCAGUAAAGCGCAAUACGUAUAUGUGAGAGUUUUUGCAAGUCUGUGUGUCUAUAACAUAAAAGUUUAAGAUAUAUAGUAAACUCUAAAGUGUGGUCUGGUUUAUCCACAAAACUUGAAAUUUUUUUAUAGGUGAAUGCUCAAAUAUUGAGAAUUAUAGAGUUUGAUAUUAUCCCUUCCUUAUUAGUAAAGGUAUAUCAAAUGAAAACAGUGAAAAAUAAAAUAAAUUAUUGAGAAAUUCAACAAGGCAGGUUUUUCUAAUGCCCAUUGCCUUACAAAAAAAGUGUGCCUAGGUGCACCAGGCAUGCGCUUGAUCAAAUGGACCUCACCUGGAAGGGUCCAAGGCGUUUUGUUGUAUAAAACUAAGGCGUAGGCAUGCCUAGGCGCAUGCCUUGACGACACUGACCAUAUGUUGGCUUUAUUGCAAAGCAUUAGCAAUUCAAAACUACUAGCACAUUACCUAAUCUACUACUGCUAGAAUAGGACUCAAGUUCUUGCUCCUGUGCAGGUCCAACCAAGAUCUUUACAGGAUACAGUAAUGAAACUUGUGAUAUCAUAUAUUGUUGCCUUGCUCGAAGCUUCCUUUGCACAUUUUUAAGUUUAACACAACCCCUUUCUUCAGUGAGUAAUCUAUUUGCUUCCUGUGAUAAAAACAACAUAUAAUCAAUCAUGCCAUGCAUGCAAGACUACCAACCAUCUUAAAAAAGAGACAAAGAAGUAGGACAGCAAGAAGGGGAUAACCCUUGACUAUGCAAAGGAAUUCAUAGAAUGAGAAUCAUCUCAUCUAAGCCCCUCAACCACCUUCACAGGGGGUGGAGCUGCAAAAAGAGAUGUCUUAUUGAUCCAAGAGGAGAAUAAAUAACAUCUAAAGCUGAAUAAGAAGAAACCUUCAAAUGUAUCAUAAAUUCAGCAUUCAUGAUAAUAUCAAAAUGAAAUUCCAAAGCUAAUUUAAGCUAGAAUAAAAAUGCUUCACCUGUAAUCGCUUCCUUGCUACAGAAAGAGAGGUACCAGCAACCAACAAUGAUCUUACUUCAGUACUAAGCAUUUCCUCCUGUUUUUUAGCAUCCUCUGUUGCAACUUUGCAACGAGUUGACAUUUUGCCAUAACUACUUUCCUUGCCUCUAGUCUCUCACGCAUUUCCUCAAGCUCGUUCAGUUUAUUCAAAGACUCAUUUUUUACCUGCACAGCAUGUUCCCGCCCAUUAAUCAGUGGGCCAAUUGAUUAGGUCACAGAAGACAAAACUAAAUUACCACUCACCAGGUCCCCUUGAAGUGUCAUAUGGCUUUAACAAUUCAACGUGCAAUAUCUAGUAAAAGUAAAAUAAACAUAGAAGAAAGCAAAUGCAAUUCUUAAACGCCUUUAAAUGGACAACAUGAAACAGUUUAAGAGCCCUAUAAAACAGUAAAGUGGAAAAAAAAUCUGAAAAGGAAAAAGAAAUGAAUUGAAACAAUAAAUCCAUCAGGUACAAACAGCAACAAAACUUGAAAUAAGCUUUGGCUUUAGCCCAUUAAAGCCCGGGCAUCCAGCCAAAUAAACAGUGACUGCCAUGUCAACUUUUUGAGACGGUAGAAAAGAGAUCGAAAAUCUCAAUUUCCAAAAAUAAGGACAUAAGAAGUAAAAAAAUGCACUUAUUCUUACAGUAGAAGAGCAAAAUGAAACUAAAUGAAGCAUAAGGGAACUGAUGCGAAUUGACAUUGUCAUUUUUGGGACUAAAAAGAAUACGCAGAUUGAAUAUUUAAGAUUUGGAAGGGAAAAGUUCCAUUCACCAACACAAUUAUCGUCGCCCUUCAUCCUAGUAAAGCUUAAUUGACAAUUUUUCUGUCUCGUGUUCUUGCUAAAGCAUUUGAGCAACCCAACAGAAAUCAUUAUAUUUCAAACUGAAAUGAUUGGCUUUAUCAAUUUCACAACCUAUACCGCCCAACCUAGUAAGUAAUUUAGGUGCAGACACCAGAAAUCUAUUUCCUUUGCACUCUACAACUAAAUAGCCUACCACUUAUCAAUCAAACACAGCUGAAAACUUCAGUGAGGAAACAUUAUGAAAACUGAAAAAACUAUAACUUCAACUUGAUUCAUAGCUCGGCAAGUUCAGGGAAUUGGGACUUCUACCACCAUGAUCCAGUUCGAUGUGAAACAGUGAUCUAUAUCACGCAUAUCGGUUCCCGCAACAAGAGGUAAAACAGCAAAUUAGGUAAACGAUGAUCCUACUAUAUUUCAGAAUAGCAACAUUGAGCAUGAAAGCUAAAGUUAUAGCAUAUUAUGGGUCCUUGCUCUCUACAACUACAUAUAAAAUUACUAAACAAUAUUACUACAUUAAGGAUCCAGAAAAACUUUGUUUCAAUUGUUGAUCACUUGAUCCAACUAUUUUAGAAAGUUUAUUCUUCUUUUUCCUUUCCCUUAUUUUCUAAAUCAGGAAAAACAGUAGCACAUAAACUGGAUUACUACUCCAAGUUUCUAAAAUUUCAGCAAUAUCCCUUUAACCUUUUCACUCAAGUCACUACCCCCCCAAUUAACAAAUAUAUUCCCAGUUUCCCUUUCACUUCAAACCCCCUUUUUUUUUUCUCUACCCAAAUUCAGCUUAAGUUCAAAAACCCAAAAUUGGUUUGCUAAAAAUACAUAAUUUUCAAACACAAAGGUAACCUAAUUUUAAUCAGAAAAAAAAAGCAUUACCUGAAUUAGUGAAUGGAGUUUCUCUUGAAGACUUUGUUUUAAAACUAUCUUAUACUAUUUGCUUUAAAUCGAUUUUUAUUAGCUAUUUAAAACUCGUUUUCAUGUAUUAUUUAUUUUUUUAUCACUUAUUUAAAUUGUUUUACAUAUCUAUUUUUUAAACCCUAUUUUAUUAUAUUUUACUUAUUUUAACUUUUUUACAUAUUUCAUUAUAAAUAUUAUUAAUUAUCUAUAUUGAGUUUUUCAUUCCAUAUGUAUUACUUAUUUAGAUAAAUAUAUACUAUUUUGUGUAUUACUUAUUUUGAUUUUCUUCUUAUACAAUAUUACUUUAAAAUUCAUUUAGAUAUUAUUAUUUCACGUAGUAUUUAUUUUUAUCUUCAUUUUUUAUUUAUUUCAAACUCAUAUAUUGUUUAUUUUGAAAUUUUAUGCAUAUGAUUUAUUGUUUAUAUUGAUGAUUUUAAAUUUCCUUUCUUGCAUGUUUUUUUUAUUUAUUUUAAAACUUGUUAUACUUUAUUUGUGUUAAUUUGCUUAGUUUUUCUUUCAAAAUUAACUUAUAAUUCAUUAGCUUUUAAUGUUAGUAUUUGCACAAUAUGUGAUGUAAGAUUAUUGCUUUCCUGUAUUGCUUAUCUGUAUAUAUUGAUUAUUUGUCAUUCAUUAGUAUACAUUUUGGUUUACGAAUUGACUAAUUUACCAAAAAAAGCCAUUUUUUUAUAAAUUACCGAAAUAGGCCGGUUUUUUAAUUAUUUACCGGAAUGGGCCAUUUCCCCCGAAAUCGCGCCACGUCGAAGCGAUGUCAGGGGACGGGGCAGAAGGUCGCGUCCACGUCAGAGCGACCUACUGACGUGGAAGGAAAUCGCUCCCCUGAGGGCGCGAUUUCCUUCCACGUCAGCAGGUCGCGCUGACGUGGACGCGACCUCCUGUCACUUUGCGCGGUACCGGGAAUGCGAUUUUGACCCUGAUUUUUACGCCUAGGUUUUAUGGCUUUUAGGGUUUAGGGUGCAGGCUUUUUAGGAGUUAGGGGUCCGGGAAAAUUAUUUUUCGAGUUGACGUUUCUGGUUAAAUAGUGGGAAAUCGCUUAUACUAGGAUGCUAUUUAAGAAGAAAUUGUGAAAUAGUGGCCUCGUGGACGCGAUUUCGCUACAGUGGUCAUGUGAGAAAUAAUUUUUUUAGACGUUUUCUGAGGAAAUAGUAUAAAAUCGCUGAUACCAGGAUGCUAUAUGAGAAGAAAUUGUGAAAUCGCGCCCUCGUGGACGCGAUUUCGCUACAGUUGGUCAUGUAGGAAAUAAUUUUUUUUGACGUUUCUGAGUAAAUAGUGUCAAAUCGCGCCCUCGUGGACGCGAUUUCGCUACAGUAGCAAGUUUGGGCUGAGGUUAUAAAUUAGGCAGAGAAUUUUCUUAGAAUGCAUAACUCAGAGCAGAAACAUUUUAGGUUAGGGUUAGGGAAUUUAGAGUUUCAAAAUGAGUGAAUGUAUUAGUGCUGUUAUUUACUACGAUGGUGAGGUUUGCCACACCGAGAAUGGUGUUGUUUUUUUGUCGAAGAAUACGAUGCGACUGUCAUUUAGCCAAAACAUAGAUUUGACAGAACUCCGUAAAAGAAUUAGGCGUAAAAUCUUCGGAACCACGCCAAUGAAAGUUCAGUCAAUGACGUAUCGAUUUUGUUCUUCUGUUGAUUCGGUGACAUAUGACUCGUUCGACAUAAAAGGUGCUCGUAGCUUAGAGGCAAUGGUGCAGACUCAUCUUGCUAGCGGAGCAACUUAUAUUGAGUUAUAUGUACAAUUUACGUCACCAAAUGAUGUACUUUCGUCCGGUGUUCGAGAUGUAUACACGACCCCUGGCCGACACUCGGUUAGUGUGUUACAAAAUACGGAACAGCCCAUGUUCGGUAGCGGUGUCGAAUGCACAUCCCCCCAAGACACUCUGUCGGUGGAUGGGACAUGUACGUCGGUGGCUCGACGGUUGACGCUGGAAAUACGAGCUGGUACGUUCAUUCUCUUAUUUUAUUUUAUUUCAUAUUUUGGGAAAUUUAGAACGAUAAGCGAAAAUGAAUAUAUUCAGAUUAGCAGGGGACAUGACCCAUUUGUUUAGUGUUCUUGUUUUGCUUCUUAAGAUCCACACAAUCAAGUCUUGUGCUGGUACGUUCAUUUUCCAAAUAUUUACUUUACUUUUUGUUUCUGGGCUUAUUUCAUUUUAUGUUGUACUUUUUUCCCAGUAAUUUACUGCUUAAUAUAAAAGAAUCGAAUAUUUAGGUUAAAUUGUGGGUGGGUUUUUGCUAGUUUAUUGAAUACUCAAAUUGGAGCCAUGUAAAAUGUGGAAACUUUAGCUUGAUAGAAAAUGUGACCCCCUUUUUUUUUAAUGUAUGGAAUAAAAAUUUUUGUAUUUUGUGAAUUUUUUUUUAGUAAUUUGAAUUUGUAUGUAUGUUCAUUGGAAGUUUAGAAGCAAGGAGUUCUGAUCAUUAGGACUUUAUGUGAUUCAUUCAUUUUGAGUUAUAGUGUAGUUAGUUGUUGGAUUUAGUGUCACUGUUGGCAUCUUAUUUUAGCUGAUUUCCUUUCUAUUUGUACCGAUAAACCUCUAGAGGUUUUGAAAUUAGCAACUGAUUUUUUUUAUGUGUGAGAGUUUUUAUGGAAAUCAAUAAGCUAAUUACAUUUUGCAGGAUCAUACAGUCGGGUUAGUGGUUUUUAUGUCAUGCUGGCCUAUGGUUUUGAGAUGAACAUCAUGAAAUCUGUAUAAGAUGAGGGUAUUAAACUAUAAACAUAGCCGAGGUAGCGAUUUAUUUCGUAUCAUGCUAUUGGAAGUUUUUUUGGGGCGGCAAUGUCAACUAAAUUUAUAUUCUUUUGAUCAAGUCGAUUAUUUCCAGUUGCACAACUAGCUUGUUGGAAAUAUUUUCUUUCUUUGCUCCUGUCCUUUUCACUUUCAUAUUUUAUGGGUGGUGUGAUGAUGGGAAGAUUCAUGGGUGGCUAAAGCCAUCUUACUCACUAGAAGUGAGGCUGUUAUUUUUAGAAGUUAGAGAUGCUAUAUCAAUUGAGGAUGCCGUGAGCAAAAGCUUGCUAAUAAUAAGUGACUGUUCAUAUGCGUGGGUUCUAUCACAUGUUGAUGGAGUAUUUGGUGCUCUUUCUUCACUAAUUUCAUAUGUAUAGAUAUAAUUGUAUAACAUCUCGACGUUGAUUACUGUUACGAGGGGAAAAAAACACAGCAUGUAAUGAAACUCAAAAAGUAGGAAUCCUAGAUCCUUGUAUUCAUUCAUAGGCAUUUUACAACAUUUGAUUUAACUUGAGCAAGAUUCCGUUUUGGGCCUGGUCUUUUCCUGUUCGUUCCCUUGUUUAUAUAUGAUGAAGUUGGUUCAGCAUGCAGGAAACUCGACAGCAUGCAGGCCAUGAAGACCAAGUCGUGCAGGAGCUGCUGGAACGAGCUGAACUUUUCCUAUUUUGUUCAUCUAGUAAUCUUAAGUUAAUGUAAUGUACUUUAGUUCAUUUAGAACUAUGUUAGGUUUAUGAUUGAUGUAAUUUUGAUGACAAUUGAGCUGUUAAGUCAGCUUUGUUUAAGUGUGUAAGCUUAGUUUUUCAAGUUUCAAUGUAUUAGUGGUAGUAGGUGAUGAUUAGGUAUCAUUAUGCAGAUUUUGACAAGCAAAUUGCUUGGUUUAUGUAUUGGCAUUAUGCCAUUGUUCAACAUAUGAAUGAAAUCAACUUUGUUCAUCAAUAUUCUCUCAAAUUUCCUCAGCUUAUUUUCUUUUUUCUUCAACUCGAAAUUGUUUGUUUGCUCAGCAAGAUUCGAGGCUUGCUCGACAAGAAACUUGCUGAGUCUGUUUGAUUCUGCUGUUGCACCAACAAUUGGUAUCAGAGCUUAUUUCUUAAGGGACCUGUUAUACAAAUCCAUGGCUUCAUCAAGUUUUUCACCAGCUGCACCUCAAGUCUUCAAUGGAGAAGGCUAUCACAUAUGGGUGGUCAAAAUGAAGACCUACCUGCAGGCAUUUGAUCUGUGGGAGGUGGUCAACUCUGAUGUUGAACCAGAGCCACUUAGAGCUAAUCCAACAGUGGCUCAGAUCAGGCAGCAUGCUGAUGAAAGGACCAAGAGGCACAAUGCUAUGUCUUGCAUCCAAAACUCAGUGUCUGAUGUGAUUUUCACAAGGAUUAUGGCCUGUGAAUCACCAAAACAGGCCUGGGACAAGUUGCAGGAAGAGUUUCAAGGGACUGAGAGGACAAGGCAACAACAGUUGUUAAACUUGAGGAGAGAUUUCGAGAAUUUGAAGAUGAAGGAAGAAGAAACUGUCAAGCAAUAUUCUGACAGGAUUAUGGCUGUGGUUAACAGCAUCAGGCUCCUUGGAGAGCAGUUCAAUGAAGCUAGGAUAGUGGAGAAGGUUAUAGCAACUCUGCCUGAGAGGUAUGAGGCAAAAAUCUCAUCUCUCGAGGACUCAAGGGACCUGUCCACCAUCUCCCUGACAGAGUUGAUCAAUGCUCUAUAUGCUCAAGAGCAGAGGAGAGCAAGCAGACUGGAGGAGCACCAAGAAGGUGCCUUUCAGGCAAGAACAAAUACUUCCUACAAAGGCAAGAAGGCUUGGAGAGACAAGCCAAAGGAUGAUGCUGCAAGGAGAGAAGGUCAAACUUGCAAGCACUGCAGAAAGGCUGGUCAUUCAGAAGAAAAAUGCUGGUUUAAUCCAGAUGCUGUGUGUCAGCAUUGUAAGAAAAAGGGCCAUGUUGAGAGAGUUUGUAAGAGCAAUGCCAAAACAAGGCGCAAUCAGGCUCAACAGAUGAAAGCUGAGGCUCGAGUAGCUAAGGAGGACAGUGACCAAGAGGAGCAAGUCUUUACUGUGUCAUGCUCAGCUGCUCAGGAAAGGUCCUCAUCUGGUUGGCUCCUAGACAGUGGAUGCACCAACCACAUGACACCUGAUGCUGCAAUCUUCAAGUCUUUAGACAGAAGCUGCAGAACUAAAGUCAAGAUAGGAAAUGGUCAUUUUAUUCAAGCUGAAGGCAAGGGUGAUGUUCUGAUAUGCACUCUUACAGGUACCAAAGUGAUUUCAAAUGUGCUGUUGGUGCCUGAAAUUGACAGAAACCUGCUCAGCAUAGCUCAGUUGCUGGAAAAAGGUUACUUAGUUGUGUUUAAAGACCACCAAUGCCAAAUCAGUGAUCCAAGUGGAUCCAAACUGAUGGCAGUCCCUAUGGCUGAUAAGAGCUUUGUGGUUGACUGGACAAAAAAGUCAGACAUUGCCUACACAGCCACUUCAGAUGAAUCCAAGCUGUGGCAUCAAAGACUGGGACAUGCCAACUUCAGAUCGAUGGCCCGAAUGAUCAGAGAAGACCUGGCUGAAAACUUCAUCAACUCAGUAGACCAUGAUGAUGUAUGUGAAGUAUGUCAGCUAGGAAAGCAGGCCAGACUCCCAUUUCCCUCGAAUCAAGCCUAGAGAGCCUCUGAAAAACUCCAACUGGUGCAUACUGAUGUGUGUGGACCUAUGAAGACUGAGUCAUUAAGUGGAAACAGGUAUUUCAUACUGUUCAUUGAUGAUUUCUCGAGAUAUUGCUGGAUUUACUUCUUAAAACAGAAAUCAGAGGUGGCCACUGUGUUUUGGAAGUUCAAAACUGCUGCUGAGACUGAAACAGGCUGCAAGGUGAAGACCAUAAGGUCUGAUAAUGGGACUGAGUACACCUCAGCUCAGUUCCAAGCCUUCUGUGAUAAGGCAGGCAUCAAACAUCAACUUGCCAACACAUAUACACCUCAGCAGAAUGGGGUAAGUGAAAGGAAGAAUAGGAGUUUGAUGGAUAUGGCCAGGUGCUUGAUGAUUCAGAAGAAUCUGCCUAAAGCACUAUGGGCAGAAGCAGUUAACACUGCAACAUACAUUCAAAAUAGACUUCCAACCAGGGCUUUGGAUCAAAAGACCCCAUUCGAGGCCUGGUUUAGCUUCAAGCCAUCACUGGCUCAUCUGAAGGUCUUUGGAUGCAUCUGUUAUGCACAUGUACCUGCUGUUAAAAGGGACAAAUUGUCUGAAAGGGCUCGACCUGGUGUUUUGGUGGGCUAUAGCACUGUUAAGAAGGGCUAUAGGAUUUUAGAUCCUUCAACAAACAAAGUGUCAGUAAGCAGGGAUGUGGUAUUUGAUGAGAGGUCAUGUUGGAACUAGGAAAGACAUGAACCUGAAGAAGUUUUUGAAGAACUUGCAGCAGACCAAGCUGAGCCAGACCAAGAUGUCCCUGAAAUGGAUAUUGAUGAUGAACCAGUCAGAGGAACAAGGCCAUUGGCUGAAAUUUAUGAAAGGGCUCAUGUAGCCAUAGUUGAACCAAGCAACUUUGAAGAGGCUGAGGCUCAGCAAGGGUGGAAGCAGGCAAUGGCUGAGGAGAUCAGCAUGAUUGAGAAGAACCACACCUGGAAAUUGGUUGAAAGGCCAGUCAAAAGGAAAGUGAUUGGGGUGAAAUGGGUGUACAAAGCCAAGCAGAAUGCUGAUGGUACCUUGAACAAGCUGAAAGCAAGGCUAGUUGUCAAGGGGUUCAGUCAGAGGUAUGGCUUGGACUACCUGGAGACCUUUGCACCAGUGGCCAGGCUCGACACCAUCAGACUGCUGAUUGCCUUAGCAGCACAGCUUGAAUGGAAGAUCCAUCAACUUGAUGUGAAAUCAGCUUUUCUGAAUGGUUUCUUAGAUGAAGACAUCUAUGUUGAACAACCACAAAGGUUUGAAAUAGCUGGCAGAGAGCAUAUGGUCUACAAACUGAAAAAGGCCCUAUAUGGAUUAAAGCAGGCUCCAAGGGCCUGGUAUAGCAGAAUUGAUGGCUACUUGACUGAUCUAGGAUUCGAUCGAAGCAAGAGUGAGCCAACACUGUAUGUCAAGAAACAAGGGACACAAAUACAACUCAUUGUGUCCCUGUAUGUUGAUGAUCUUCUGGUGACAGGAGGAGAUCGAGUAGUGCUGGCUGAUUUUAAGACCAAGAUGCAGGAAGUGUUUGAAAUGUCUGAUCUUGGGGAGAUGUCAUACUUUCUUGGAAUGGAGGUGUCUCAAGUAUAGAAUGAGAUAUUUCUAAGCCAGAGAAGCUUUGCCACAAAGAUUCUGACCAAGUUCUCCAUGCAAAACAGCAAGGCAACUAAAACACCUAUUGCUGUUGGAGAAAAACUAUCGAGCCAAGGUGAUUUUAAGAAAGUUUGUGAAACAACCUACAGGAGUCUAGUUGGUUGCUUGCUAUACUUGACUGCCACUAGACCAGACAUUAUGUAUGCUGUAGGAUUGCUCUCAAGGUUCUUGCAUUGCUGCAAUGAGAAGCAUUUCCAAGCUGCAAAGAGAGUGCUGAGAUAUGUCAAAGGCACUUUAAACUAUGGUUUGAAGUACAGUAAAGAAGGAAAUCUGAAGCUGAUUGGCUACACUGAUAGUGACUGGGCUGGCUCGAUAGAUGACAUGAAAAGCACCUCAGGGUAUGCUUUUAACCUUGGUUCAGCCAUGUUUUGUUGGAGCUCAAAGAAGCAAAGUCUAGUAGCUCAAUCUACUGCUGAAGCAGAGUAUGUGGCAACAGCAAGUGCUAUCAACCAAGCCAUAUGGCUAAGAAAAAUAUUGGCUGACUUGAAUGUGCAUCAAGAGCAAGCUACUGAGAUCUUCUGUGACAACCAAUCUGCAGUAGCAAUUGCUAAAAAUCCAGUGUUCCAUGGAAGAACAAAACAUUUCAGCAUAAAGUUGCAUGUUGUUCGAGAAAUGGAGCAAGCUCAGGAAGUAAAGCUGGUCCACUGUAAUUCAGAAGAUCAACUUGCUGACAUUUUAACCAAAGCUCUUAGUGUCACAAGGUUUGAAUAUCUAAGAAAGAAGCUAGGUGUUUGCUCCAUGCAAACCAAGGAGGAGUGAUGAAGUUGGUUCAGCAUGCAGCAAACUCGACAGCAUGCAGGCCAUGAAGACCAAGUCGUGCAGGAGCUGCUGGAACGAGCUGAACUUUUCCUAUUUUGUUCAUCUAGUAAUCUUAAGUUAAUGUAAUGUACUUUAGUUCAUUUAGAACUAUGUUAGGUUUAUGAUUGAUGUAAUUUUGAUGACAAUUGAGCUGUUAAGUCAGCUUUGUUUAAGUGUGUAAGCUUAGUUUUUCAAGUUUCAAUGUAUUAGUGGUAGUAGGUGAUGAUUAGGUAUCAUUAUGCAGAUUUUGACAAGCAAAUUGCUUGGUUUAUGUAUUGGCAUUAUGCCAUUGUUCAACAUAUGAAUGAAAUCAACUUUGUUCAUCAAUAUUCUCUCAAAUUUCCUCAGCUUAUUUUCUUUUUUCUUCAACUCGAAAUUGUUUGUUUGCUCAGCAAGAUUCGAGGCUUGCUCGACAAGAAACUUGCUGAGUCUGUUUGAUUCUGCUGUUGCACCAACAAUAUACCUCCACUGUGCCAUUGUGUAUUUGUGUUCGAUUUUCAGUUCUGUCUCACAAUCCCUGUCAUGUCUUAUGAGUGAUUUUCUGGCUCUAAAUAUCUAUGAUAUAUUUGUGCAGGCAUUUCACUGAAGACUCAGGAACUCUAUGCUAUUGUCUUUGCUACUCGUUACUUGGACAUAUUCACUAAUCAUAUCUCGCCUUAUAACACAAUCAUGAAGCUAAUAUUCCUGGGCAGCUCUUUCUCAAUUGUAUGGUACAUGCGGUAUCACAAAAUAGUUCGUAGAUCUUAUGAUAAGGACCAGGAUACAUUUCGACAUUACAUCCUUAUACUCCCUUGCCUGAUUCUUGCCCUUCUUAUAAACGAGAAGUUCACCUUCAAAGAGGUAUCGACAUCCUUUUGUUUGUUGGAAUAUGAUAACAGUAUGUUCAUAUUAAUUACUGGUUAACUUAGAAGCUCCCUAAACUGUUUAUCUGUUUUAUAUUAAUUAUUCAUUAUUAUCCUUCUGGUUAUAUUUUUAUAUAUUGAUUAUUGUCUUAAAAAAAAUUGUUGAGCAGGUCAUGUGGACAUUUUCCUUGUAUUUGGAAGCUGUUGCGAUACUUCCUCAGCUUGUAUUGUUGCAAAGGACUAGAAAUAUUGACAACUUGACUGGACAAUAUGUGUUUCUCCUUGGGUAACCACUGUAUUCUUUAAAAAUCCUAAUCAGUUGCAAGUUUUCUAUUUUAUUACCUUGCAAUUUGCAUGAAGGACCCUUAUUUCCUGGCUCAGUUCCCUAAAAUGUUGCCUCCUUCCUGAGGAAACAAAAGAGAGAAAGUCUCUAAAUAGAGUUGCCAUCAUAUUGCCGCUUGGUUGCCACUGAUUUCUUUUUGAUGAAAAGUUGAUAUGAUUAUAUGUUGGACCAAAGUUAUCUAUUUUCAGAUGUGAUUAACUGCAGUUGAAUUUUGCGAGUAUGACUGUUCUUGUGUAACUUUUGUUAUGUGCUUUCAUGUCGUUUUUAGUCUUUUACACUGUGUUCUGUCUAUCUUUGUUUGCUAUUAUCCUAAGUUAGGAGACAAGGUGCCAUUAGGAGCAAUGUGACGUCAAAAUUCAUUUCCCUUUAGCCUUCAGUUCUACCUUUUCUUCCCUUUCUUUAUGUAGUUUUUGGGAGUUGGGGAUCACAGCGAUGAUAGUCGGUACAUGUGACUUGAAAGAUGCCUAAAAACUUCAAGAGCAUAGUGUUGUAUAAAUCUUUUGGAGAAAUUUUUUUGGUACAUUGAUGCCAACUUACAAUAACCCUUGCCACUACAACCGUGGCUUUGUUGGCUUAUGUAUGCACUCUCUUUGUCUUUAUAGGUCACCAAAUUCCUAAUGUCUAAUUCUUGGUUAUGGACUAAUAUAGUUGCUUGUUAUUGCAGUGCAUACAGAGCAUUGUACAUAGUGAACUGGAUUUAUCGGUACUUUACUGAAGACCACUUUGUCCACUGGAUAAGUAUGUACUCUUCUCUGUCUCCCUUCAUCUUUUACUCCAAGUCGGUAGCCAUGGGUGUAUGACGAGUGUGUCAAUAUAUCUACCCCAACACAUUUGUGAUAUACUAUGCUAUAUGUGUUAUUUCUAACACCUUGUUUACAUGAUUGCUGCCUUUCAGCUUGGAUUUGCGGUCUUGUCCAGACAUUGCUUUAUGCUGAUUUCUUCUACUAUUACUUCCAGAGGUAACCCCCUUUCUGACACUCUGGAAAGCACUUCAUACCUAUGUGAAUGAUUGCAACUUAUUUGAUUAUUAUGCCUGCAGCUUGAAGAACAACAUGAAGCUCCAAUUACCAGCUUGAGAUUUUAAUGGUGCAAGUUUUGUAGUAGCAUACAUAAACUUACAUCAUAUGGGUUCAAAUUUAUGAGUAUUUCAAUUAAUUUUAAUUUCACUAUGUUAUAUUGUAAUAUCAUGUAAAAAGUAUCAUAAAAGCAGGCAUAAGUUUUCCACCAAUUAGAACAUUUUGAAAAUUGAUGUCAAGCCCGAAAUGACCGUCACAAGUAAGCAUAUUAAACGUGUGAAGAGAAGACCUUAUUUUUCCACAUAACUAAAACUUUUUACACCAUAGGAACUUUCAUCGUCAUCAAGUUGGACAUGGAUGGAGCUCACGUAAAAAUAAUUUUUCAUAUAAAAACUAAAAACUAGAAAUUGACUUGUAAUAAUUCUCAAGGUUAAGGUUGACGUGGUCAAUAGUAAUGAACUUAUGUUUAAGGUUUGGGUUAUUUUUCUCAAUUAUAGAUUAGUAUUUUGUUCAUUGUAAACUUUGCUAACAAAAUUUAAUAUAUGACACAUAUCUGAUUUAAUUUAUUUUUAUUUUAUAAAACUUUCAUUAUUUGUUUUACUCAUUAAUGAAAUUUGGUGUGAAUACAUUAAAUAUUACCUUUUAUAUAUUUCACUCCCUCUUACUAUAUCUCAAUGGAGAAAUUGAAGGUCAUUCAAGGAAAUGGUAAUGUCCAUUUUCCACAAAACUAAAAUUUUCCACACGACAGAAACUUUCUUGGUCAAACAAGUUGGAUUUGGCUUCACCAAUAACUUAAUAAUCUGUACUAAAAUUUUCCACGCAAUAGAAUACGAACUCGUUCUCGUAAAUAUUUUAAAAAAUAAAAAAUUUAAUAUUAUGAGUUAACGAAUUAUCAAUUUAAUUAAAAAAAGUUGAAAGAUACAUUUUUUAAAAUUUUAUGAAAUUAUAUAUUAAUAUAAUUAUAAAAUUAUAGUUUUAACUUUAUAAAAUUUAUUAUUUAUCUUUGAUCUUGAAGAGAGACAAAGUAAAAUACCUAUUCUUGGAGCCAUAACGACAACUAGGAUUAUGAUUGCACAUUUUCUAAGUCUUCAUUUUUGUUAAUUAGGAAAGCUGAUGGGCAUCUCCACUAAGUUUCCACCCACAAGAAUAUACGUAUUAAUUUGUUUUUCUCAAUUUCCAUGAGGGGGGAUAUAAGCUUAAAGUUGACGUAGAAGUCAAUACUCAACAUUUGAAAGUUAAUGCAGUGAACUAUGUGCUUGUUGAUAUAUGAAAUGAUAUUUUCUUAACAAUUUCCUCCAACUAGUUCGUAGAUGGUGCUAUAUUACAUCACAAUGGGUAACCAAAUGUAUAUAAUUGAGAUUUUUAAGCAAAUAUUAUAUUUUAUCUUUAUCCAUGAAUAGUCUAAUAAUAAGGAUUAAUAUUUGGUACAUUGUCAGUGGAGUUUUUAAAUUCCAUAAGUAGGGUUAGAGGAUUGACACAUGCCAAUUUUUUAAUGUUGCUUGUGGGAUGCACUUGAAUUGUGGUUCAUAGAAGGAAAUUAUUAUAUAAAGGUUUAAUUCUACCAUAGUUCUUGUACUUUACUGAAGUUGUAGAUUUAAUUCCCAGACUUUAAUUUGAUAUUUUAGAUAUUUGUUAAAUUCAUAAAGUCCUACUAUUUCCAAAUUUGGUGUGGCAAACAUAUUAUCAUAGGUGUAAUAUCACUAAAAUUCAAAAGAAUGAGAAAUUUGUACAUAUUAUCAGAUGUCAAUAUCAAGUUGAGCAUUUCAAAAUCUAAAGUAAUAGUUCAAGUAUUUAUUUUUCCAUAAAACCAAAAUUUUCUACAUGAUGGCUUUUUUUUUGGCUAUUAGUUAAGAGGAAUUUUUUUAAUAACCCAAUUUAAUUAACUAAUUUAAAAAAUGGUUCAAGUAAAACUCAAGUCAUAUUAAAAAUAAUUAUUUAUAAAUUUUAUGUUUCAAAAACUAAUGAAUGUUCAAAGAAUAGUGAAUUAUUAAAGAGAAGUUAUAUGAUAAUGGAUUGUUUUAAAGUAGUGGUCUAGUAGAAAUAAAUAGUUUUUUAUAAAAAAAUAUUAUAUAAAUAAUUAAAUUUUAUAGUUACUCCUAUUUUUUUUAAAAAUAGUGAAUGUAAUAUUUUUUAAAAUGUUAAAUUAACUCAUGAUAUUAAUUAAAUCAAGAAAUUUUAUAAUAAUAGAGAUGAAAAAAACUAAAUUUUCAAAAUCAAAACCUAAAACGUGCAAGAAUAAAAGCAAUCUGAAGACUUAAAAUUUCCAUUAAUAAAACCAAAAUCAAAGAAGUAAAAUUUCCAUGAAUAAAACCAAAAAUGAAGACCUAAAUUUUCCAUUAAUAAAGCCAAAUCAAGACUAAGUUUGUAUAAGUGUAAGAAGGGUAUAAAGGAAACUCACAAGAAAGCCACAUGAAGAAUUUUAUAACUCCAACUACACGAUUUUAUGUCCACCUCUCACUUUUCAUAUUUUUUUUUGGCCAUUCAUUUUUCAAGAUUAACAUUAGCAUUCUUGUGGUCCGUUCAUCCUUUCCUAACCAAUUUCCACCAAGAGUUUUUGCAAUAAGGAAUUUACCUAAAUAAGAAACCUAGAUUGAUCCAAUUUUUGAGGAAUUAAUUAAUUAUAUAUUAUUUUUAUAUUAUAAUGAAUUAGUGGGAUGCAGUAUGUUCUGCUUGUAUAUAAAUAAGAAGCUUAGGCUUCUUUAGAUUAUAUACAUAUAGAAGUUAACAAAAAGUAACAUAUAGCUGAGAGAGAAGUGAAAAUAGAGAGAUGAUGAUGAUGGAGUGGAAAUGGUUAAGGUUUAUUAGGAUGGCAGUAAUGUUGUUGGUGUUAGAAGGAUGCAGAUGGUGUACUACUGAUGCUUGUUUGGAGCAUGAGAGAAUCGCUCUCUUGCAUCUCAAGCCUUUCUUCAAUUAUCAAAAUCAAUUGCAAAGUUGGGUUGAGGUGAAGGGUUCAGAUUGUUGUAAAUGGGAAAGAGUUGAGUGUAACACCACCACUAGGAGACUCAUACAACUCUCCCUUAAUUCUACAAGAUGGUUUGACAGUAUGGGAUACAAAACGGAUAAUAGGAAUCUCAAUGCCUGGUAUCUCAAUACCUCUAUGUUUCUUCCCUUUGAGGAAUUGAAGAGUCUUUAUUUGCGGGGGAAUGCCAUAAGUGGUAACCUUGAAAAUGAAGGUCGUGCCUCUAGUUUUUCCUUAAUUACAUCUUUUAUUAUCCCACUACUCUUACCAUCGUUAUUUUGCAAUUACUUAUAUUUUAUUUUAUUUUAUGGAAGAAAAGUCACUAACUUGUAUAUAUUUAAAAGAAUAUUUCUAUAGGCUUUGGAAAACUAUCAUCCACAUUGAGUAAUUUGGAGAUCCUUGACUUAAGUGAAAACUACUUGAAUGACAGCAUUUUGUUAUCUUUGAGUGAGCUUUCAUCUCUCUGGUAUUUAGAUCUAUCAGGCAACAAAUUUGAAGGAUCAAGCCAUCUAAGAGGUAAAUUAAGUUUGGUCUGGUAUUAGUUUUUAUUUGUAAAGUGGAGUUUGAGGAUGGUCUUCUAGUAAUUCCACUUUUGCUUUAGUAAAAUUUUCAUACAGCUAAGAAAGAAAAAACAAUUAACAAGUAAUUUUUAACUUUAAAAAUCAAUGUAUGUUCAUAUUCAAGGUAGACUGGUUUUAUAUGUUUCUUUUUUACUUUAAAACCAUUUUUUUUGUUUAAGGGACAGUUAAUGUUGCAAUAUGUCUUUGCUUUUAUCAUAUCAUGAAUAUAUAUAAUUGAUCAAUAUUUGGGAUUGAAUUUCAGGAUUGAAUAAUUUGACAAACUUGAAGUACUUGGAUUUAAGUUCGAACAGAAUUGAAAGCAUCUCAAACAAAGGUAUAAGUACAGUAUUUAUAUGUCAAUUCAUAUUAAAGGUAGACUGGUUUUAUAUGUUUCUUUUUUACUUUAAAACCAAUUUUUGUUUAAGGGACAGUUAAUGUUGCAAUAUGUCUUUGCUUUUAUCAUAUCAUGAAUAUAUAUAUAUAUAUAACUGAUCAAUAUUUGGGAUUGAAUUUCACGAUUGAAUAAUUUGUCAAACUUGAAAUACUUGGAUUUAAGUCGCAACAACGUUGAAAGCAUCUCAAACCAAGGUAUAAGUAUUUGUGCGUAGUAACUUUCUUGACUGACUAUUAUUCCAAAAGGCAAUGACAGACUUCAAAUGUAUUUUCUUUAGUGAAUUUUUAUUGCAAAAAUGGAGUAUUAUUAUUUAUUUAAGUUUUGUAGUAACUAAUUAUAUAAUAUAUAAAUGAGGUUUUCAAUGGCUCAUUAAAUUGGAAAUUAUUGAUAUAAGUUGGAAUUAUUUGAAGAAUAGCAUUCUUUAAAAUAAAUUCAUGUUGAAGGAAAAGUUGUUGCAAUAUGUUAUAUCAUGAAUAUAUAUAAGUAAUCAAUAUUUGGGAUUGAAUUUCAAAAUUGAGUAAUUUAAGUAGGAAGGUAUCUCAAACAAAGUAUUUAUAUAUUGAAUCAAUUCAUGGGAAAGCUUGUAAAUUGGCUCUUCCUUCUCAAACAAACAUUUUUCCUAACUAUUUAUAUAUUGAAUGAUGUUAACUAUACUAAUUACUUUCUUCCAAUGAUAGAUGGAACACAAUUGAGGCUAACAAAUUUAGAGGAACUUGAUUUGAGUGGUAAUCUCUUUCGGAACAACACAAUUUCCUUUCCUCAAGGGCUUUCAAGCCUAAAGUCUUUGACUUUGUUCAACAACCGUUUGCAAGGCUCAUUAGAUACUAAAGGUACUAAAGCUAUAACUUUGUUUUUCUUGAUAAUUCUUUCUAGAGCCUUUUAAAAUUAAUUGUUUCAAAUUUGAACAUUCACAUUUCACGUUUGAGGAUUUUUAUCUUCAAUUCAAGUUUUAGAUUUACUUUUUUUUUUCAUUUUUAUUUCAUUAAAAUAUUAAGUAGAAAUUAAAAUUAUUAACAUAAUGAUUUUUUGAAUUGGACGUGGAUAUGUAUAGGAUUGAGCAAUUUAACAAAUUUGAAGAAACUCGAUUUAAGAUGGAAUCAAAUUGAAAGCUUUCAAUCCUUUAAAGGUAUGCAUUUAUAUUUAACCAAUUACCUAAAUUCUUACAUAUAAUUAAAUUUUAUGCCAAUUCAUUUCAGUGAUGAAAUUAUAUAAAUCUUUUGUAGAUGGUGGUAGAAAAUUGGAGUUGACCCACUUGGAAGAGCUUAAUUUAGAUGGAAAUCACUUCAAUACUAGUGUAUUUGCAUCCCUUAACAAGCUUUCAAAUUUGAAAUCUUUGAGCAUAAGUGGGAACCAAUUGAAAGGAUCAAUAGAUAUGAAAGGUAAAUAUAUUAGUCUUUUUAACAAGAAUAUAAUAAUGUUUGAAGAGAAUAUAAUGAAGUUGAUUUGUUGUUUUUGUUUUCCUAGAUUUGGAAGCAUUUAUCAACUUAAGGGAACUAGAUAUGAGCGGCAAUGAAUUGAAAGAUUUGGUGAUCCACCAAGGUAUCAUUUAAUUAAACUUCCUUUUUUUUUUAAAUUUAGAAAUUUAGUUUUGAUGUCAAAUAUUAUAAUAACGGUUAUUGUCAUAAAUAUUAAUAAAGUAAUAUCAUAUCAUACUUGAAAGUAAAAUAUGGGUUUGGUGAAACAUUUUCUAAAUCAUCCAUUAUAAUGUGUUUGGACUUUGGUUUGAAACUAAAAUUCUUUAAAAUUUUCAUCAUUUUAAAAUAUUAAUGUUUAUAAUUAUUUUGUUUGUAUAAAUAUAUUUUUUAAAAUAAUUUAUUGAAUUUUUAUGAGAUAAAAAAUAAUUAUAACAAUAAAAAAUGAUAUUAUAAAUAAAUAAAAACAUAUAUUUAUGAGAAAAUAUGUAAUAUAACUAUAUUUUAAUUUCAUAUAUUUUUAAUAGUAUAAAACAUAAAAAUACAUAUUAGCGUUAAAUAAAUGGCAUUUUUUGGCAAAAAUAAAUAAAUGUCAAUUUUGAAUAAUUUAAAAAAAAUCUUUAAUUUUGUGAAAUUUAAGCAUACAUCGAGAGGUGCUUAAACUUCCAUUGCAAUCUUUUUAUAAAUUUCAAAGUGCAUAUGUUUUUAACUUUUUGGUUUAAAAAAAUAUGAUAGGUCUACGUACUCUUUACUAAUUUGUAAUUUAAUUCUUAUACUUUUAUUUUCAAGAAUUUAAUCCCUGUUUUUUUAUAAAAAAAAUCAAAAUCCUAGUUCAAUUGUUAAAAUUGUUAAAAUUUUAAAAUAGUUUGUUGGUGUGACAUUUUGAAAUAAAAAAAAAAACUUAGUAGUAAUGUAACUAAAAAAAUGACGUAAUGAACAUGGAUUUAAUAAAAUAAUUUUAACAAUAUUAAUAAAAUAAUUUUGAAUUUUGAAUUUUAACUUAACUCUAUUUUUGGGCCAAGAUUUAAUGCUUUAAAAUUUUCAUUUAAUCCGCUGAGUUUACUUAUAAUUCUUUUGAGUUUUAUUUAUUGGUGAGUAAAAUACCUAUUUGAUUUUUUUAUAUACUAUUGGCAUCUUUAAAGGUAAUAUAAUAAUUUUAGUGUAGACGUGUUUUAUUUUAUAAAUAUUAUUUAUAGUGUAGACAUGUGAAUUUUGAAUAAUUUAAAAAUAUCUUCAAUUUUAUGAAAUUUAAACAUACAUUUAGUGUAGACAUGUUUUAUUUUAUAAAUAUUAUUUAUAGUGUUGUUGAUUGGAGUUUGAAAAUUAUACAACUUAGCUAUAUCAGUUAAUUACUUAUAUUAAAAAAUAAUAUAAGAAAAUACUAAAAAGAAAAAAAAUAGUAUAAUUAAUAAAAUGGAUGAAGAGUUAUAUUAAAGUUUCAACAUCUUCUCUCUAUCAAAAUUUAUCUCAGAUAAAUCAUGAAUAAUCUAACUCAUAAAAAAUAUAUAUAUAUUUAUAUACUUCAUUUCAUUCACAGAAAAUAAAGCAUUCUACUUAGUAGAGGCUUUCUAUAAUACCGUUAUCUAAUACCUCUUGACAUUGCUUAGAUUCAAAUGUGUCGAGCAGUUUGGAGGAAAUAUAUCUUGACUAUUCUACUCUCAACACCAACAUUUUGCAAAGCAUUGGAGUAUUCGCUUCUCUUAAAACAUUGUCUUUAUAUCAUUGUGGACUUAUUGGUCCCUUACCUAAUCAAGGUAAAUAAUUUUAUGGCUCAAUUUGAUUUCUUUAUGAACUUUCUGUAAUAUAUUAUCUCCUAUUCUGUUUUAUAAAGCAAAAUUUAAUUGAAACUUCUUCCAUGAAUUUAUUUAUAAAAUUUUCAGGAUGGUGUGAUCUAAGGAACCUUGAAGUGUUGGAUGUGAGUGGGAAUGCACUUGAGGGGAUGCUUCCUCAUUGUUUUAGUAACUUGACAUCUCUUCGUGAGUUAUAUAUUUCAAGAAACCAUUUUCAAAUUCCGCUGUCAUUUGCACCAUUUGCAAACCUUUCAAACCUCAAAUCCCUUUGGAUUAAUGAAAACAAGAUGGUAAUGGAACCUUCCUUUUAUACCUCAAUCCCAAAGUUCCAAUUGGAAGUCAUCAGUUUGCUAAAGUGCAUAACAUCUCAACAACUCAGUCGUAAAGUUCCUACCUUCCUUUACUACCAAUAUGACUUGAGAUAUGUGGAUCUUUCGCAUAACAAUUUCAGCGGAACAGUCCCAACUUGGUUGUUAGAAAACAACACAAAAUUAAAAGUUCUUAUCUUGAAGGGUAAUUCUUUUACUGGUCCUCUCUCA